rnacentral:lncRNA from 1 species
UUCGUUAUUUUUAGACGCAAUUCGGCUUUGUUUCUGUAACUCGAGGAAAUAGCUAUGCGGUGUCAUCUGGCAUGGAUCCUCGGUAAGCUUGGAGCGUGAGCAACAAUGCUGUAGACAAAUGAAAGUAUUAUAAACUUCCAUAUAUUUUGUUUCAAGCUGAAAGCCAUUGUAUCACAAGAAGAAGAAAACCCAUAUAUGACUAUGCUGAACGGCAUCACAUUAACCAUAUCAGUAGCUCGACAAGGUGCAUCAUUUGUAUAGACUAAACUGUUAGCAAAUUGAGAAAUUGUAAAUAAAAAAAAUCUUAGCAUCUACUUCCUCCGUCCCGAAAAACGUGUCGCACCCGUAGUUCAUUGGUAAUUUUACAAAAAGGCCGUCAUAGGUUCAAAACAGUCGCAAAGAAGUCCCUCCACCCCCGUCUUCUCCCUCCGCCGUCGCCCGUGCGUCGCUAGGGGCCGGCGCCGCCAAGCUGCGUGAUUUGCUGCCCAUCAGGAAGUGCUCCGCCUCCGUCGCCACGUACCUUCGACGCCGCCGCCGUCGCCAAGUACCUGCUCCGCCACCGCCGCCCAAACCUGUGCCGCAGCGAUCCCCUCUCGCCGGAUUACCUGCGGACGUUGCCGGAAUUUCCCACCACGAUCCGGCGGAGCAGGAGCUCCCUCUCAUCUUCCUCGAGCUACCGCGAGUCCUCCUCGAGCUCCCGCGAGUCCACCUUGAGCUGCCUCCCGUGCGCCGCCGCGAUCCCUCCCGCCGUGAUCUACUACGGGCGUCGCUGGAACCGGCCUCCACGAUCCGGUGGACAAGAGCUUGCGUGCGUCCUCCUCUAUCUCCCGCAACUCCUCGUCGAGCCCCCACCAGCUGCCGUGCUGCUCCUUCUCCUCUGCAUGCGACCCUGCGUGCCUGCUGCUGCUCUGUUUCUCCUCUGCCGCCGGUGGAGCUAGCCCGUGCUGCUGCUGCUCCUCUGCUCGUGUUGAUGCUGCUGAUCCAAGUGAACAUGCCGUGUUCCUGCUGCUGCUGGUCCAAGUGACUGUGACGUGUUGCUGCUGCUGCUAUUUGCACUCUGAAGAAGGUACAGUAGCUUGUACAUUGAUCUGCUGCUAUGUGCUGCUGCUGCUAUUUGUUCCAUGCUCCAUGGCAUCAGAUGGCAUGGAAAACAAUUCAUGUUCUACAGUGUCGUGUUCAACUUGCUCAUCCUCUGAUGAUGACAUCUCUUUCAAUCUAUUUUCACCUCAGGAGCUGCGUGUAAAAUUUAAAAUCAAUAUGGUUUUCUUAUUAAUGUUAAAUCAGCAAAGCUAUCAGCAUGGAACAAAUAAAAGGACUGUGGAUGACUGAGUAUUUAGUUAAGAGGUCCAUUUCAUGCUAUCAAGGACACUUCCAGUUUUUCUUUAGUUUCAUCAAAGGUUCAUCAAUACAGAUGCUAAAAUCUAGCAUAUCUCAUGGAAUGGAUCAGCUAAAAGCCUAAAAUAAGAAGUCUAGAUAGGAACACUUAAAGACCAUCUCCAGAAUAGUCACACAAUAAUUUGCAAGAAAUAAUAUUGUCUAUACUUUACUAAAUAAAAUGACUUACAUAACAAACAGAUAUACGGUAAAUAAACGAGCAGUGGAGCAAUUGAAAAGAUAGGUUAUUGCUACAGCGAGAGCAUGUAUAAAUAUAAAGAACAUAUAUUAUUCUUCCAGUUAUUCUUGCAAUUAGCAAGAGCAUGUGUAUAAGAGGUCCAUUUCAUGCUAUCAAGUACGCUUCCAGUUAUUCUUUAGUUUCAUUAAAGGUCCAUCAAUAGAGAUGCUAAAAUCUAGCAUAUCACAUGGGAUGGAUCAGCUAAAACAAGAAAGACCAUCUCAAGAAUAGUCACACAACAAUUUGCAAGAAAUACUAUUGUAUAUUCUAAUUUACUGAAAUGAUUGGCAUAACAAAAACAUAUAUGCAGUGGACAUGUUUGGUACAGUAAGUAAAUAUGCAGCCAUAGCGUGGAUAGAUUAGAUACAAAGAAUGGAGUAAAGUUUAUCAAAGGAAGAAAAUUGACUUACAGUGCUGAACAUCCAAUAUUUAGUAAAUCAAUUUGGAUGGCGUGCAGAAUUCCUGUGUAUGACACUUAACUUAGUAAAUUCAGUUAAAGAUGCAUUCUAAAUCACAGGAGUACUAUGCUUUCUAAAUUUGUUUCAGUCAACUUGUGUCAAAAUUUGUUUCAAACAGUUUUCUGUCAACUUGUGAGCAGGAAAAUGGCUUCGGAAAAUUCAGUUAAUUGAGACUACAGUGAAUAUUUAGUUUUCUGUCAAUUUAAAUGGAUCCAUCCAAUAUUUGUAGUCCAAGUUUAAAUGGGCUGCAGUCAUGUCCAAGUUUAACUGAAUUUAUUGAGUACACGUUCAGUAGCUACUCAUUCAGUACUCUAUGUCACAAUAAGUCUGCCAAAAUUUUGGAGAAAAGGAUCUAGCUCCUCCUACACAUGUAUAGAUCAAUCAGUUCAGUUCUAGUGUUGUUAGACUUUUGCACCCACACAGAAUGCAGUGUUAAAAUGCACAGAAAAUUCAGUUAAACAUGAUACUUUUUGUUUAAUCUGGACAUGUGUAUGGUUUGUAUGGUGGCUCCAGUAAUAACUAAUCAUGAUCAUAUCUACUCAUGAUCAUAAUCUGAAAAUUCAGUUAAAAUGCAGUGUUAAAAUCGUAGAUAUCUACUCAUGAUCAUAAUCUGAAAAUUCAGUUAAAAUGCAGUGCUAGAGCAGGUCUUCUAAGCUAAGAUCCUAAUUAACUUCUAAGUACCUACACAACAUAAGAUAGUAGUGGUGGUAAUCCUUCUGCUAAAUACUAGAGCAGAUCUUCUCAGCUAACAAAAGAAUAUGAGGUUUGCAUGGUUUGUAUGGUGGCUCCAGUAAUAAAACUGUAGAUAUCUACUGAUGAUGAUAUCUCCUUGGGGCCCAGUGGUUGACAAUAUUACUUCUGCUAGUAUUUUCAAGAUUCAGUGCCAUCAAAAAACAAAAUCAAAGACAUAAUGUGGGAGUAGUAGUGGAUAUUUAUUGCCCAUGCUGAUUAUUCACUUCACAAGGUUACCUAGUACUCCAUCAAAAACAGAAUCAAAGAUGGCAUGGCAUGCUUGAUGUGAUGUAACUAAUCUUUGCGCCAUAAUCUUUGCCAUUUUAGAAAUGCACUAACUAAAUUUCUAAAAUGAAGCUAUAGAUAUACAGUGUUCUGUUCUGACACUAGGUACUGUAGAUAUGAUAGCUGAAGUUUCAGAACAGAGGAGAAGGAAAAAGUAGGAGUAGUCACUAUAAUUUCAGUUAACAGAAAACAACAACUUUGCAAGUUGAGGUUUAAUUUACAGGAGUAUCUUGAACUUUAAAAGUGCAGUCCUAACUUGAAUAUUUAAAAUGCUAUUGGGACAGUACUAAUUUCAGAGUUCAUAGUUCAUGACUGAAUUUAGAGACAGUAUAAAUCUUACAGAAAACAAAAUUUUUCAGAGAUCGAAUGCUUGCAAAACUAUUCAGUUAUCUGUGCAAAAUUGUUCAGUUAACUAUGCAAUACUCUCUAAACUAGCAGAACUAGUCCAAAUAUUCCAACCAGAAAAUGAACAGAUUUUACACACAUUCAGUGAAGUGGUUCAGAAAAUGAACAGAUUUUACUCACAUUCAGUGAAGUGGUUCAGAGAUUCAGAAGGUUCAGAACAUUUGAGUAACAGAGAAGAUGGAGAUGUAAACACUGACCAGCAAUGCACAUGUCGAGGUGUUCAUCUUGUUCUUGCACCGCUGCCUCAUAGCAGUAGCUGAUUAUUCAUGUUGUUCUCUGUUCGUACCCCACGCUCUUGGGUACCGUCAGUAGACGCCUUCAUCAACGGGGGCACCUUCUCUAAGCUAGUUUCGUCAGUAGAUUUUAUUUCAGUAGACGCCUUCUCUGUUCGUACAGCCGCACGCCGCACGGUGUCGGCGCUACCGGGGGCAGCAGCAGCAGCUGAAAAUCAGCUCCGUGAAGGCGAAACUCUUGACGUUGGCCGACUGGAGGAUCUCGCCCUUGCUCCAUGGCGUCGACGGCACCGUCGUCGUCGACGGCGAGGACAACACCUGGCUGCUCGUCGGGCUUUAGGUUGUUGUUGGUGGUCCGGAUCCGGCGCCUCCGGGCUCUCCGACGGCAGUUCCGGCGUAGCCGGAGCAGAGCGCGGCGGCAGCUGGGGAAAUCGAAGAUCUUUUUGAGGAAGGGGGGGAGCUUGGGGAGGCAGGCGGGCGGCAGCGGAGCAGGAGGCAGCUGCGGCGGGAGAGCGGGGGAGCAGGGGGGCUGCGGCGGUGGGGAGCAGGGAAGCUGCGGCGGUGGGGAGCAGCGCAGCUGCUGCUUCUGUCGGAGGAGGACGACGAGGAGCGCGGGUUUGGUCGGGAGAAGCUAGAGAUUUUUUUUGUAAAAAUGCCGUCGCGACAUGUUUUUCGGGACGGAGGGAGUAGUACGUAAAAGGAAGAAGCUAUAGUUGUGCAACAACGUGUAGUUAAUUAGAUAGAUCGCACCGCACAUCCCAACAACUACGGGUUAGUUCGCCCUAAUUCCUCGAACCAAUGAAACCCUAGUGAAGAGACGAGACGGAUUAGUUAUUGCUACUGGGAAAGGAUGAGAAGAGGGGCUUAAUUACCUUGCACUGGAACCUCCCAACACCAUCGGAGAGCAACCGCGAGCGGCCUGGGCACCGGGGGAAGCACACCUGACCAGAUCUGAGCAACAAUGAGGCCAUUGUAUUGUGUGUGGGCGAUGCGAUCAAACUGGCGGUUUGGCUGGCGUAUAAGAAACCGCACGCUACAAGAAACACACUGCCGCACGCGGUAUUCUUCCUUAGCGCCGCGUCGCAGGCCCGACAGUUCAUGGACUGGAGCAAGAACGAGGCCCAGCUUUUUCAUGGUAAUACAUGUCUCAUUUAUAGAAUAAAGAUUAAGUUACAAGACACGUAAGCACCAACCUUACAUGACUGAAAAGAUAAGAAAAUCCCAUGCAAAAUACCAGUAUCUGUCCUUCUUCUUCGACACCACCGAAGUGGUCACCAAAGGGUAAAAAGACAAACCACCACUUUACCCAAACUCGACGCGGCUCCAUCGCUAAUCAGAAGCCCAGCUACUCGCUUUCGCUUGCAACUACUAGCUUAUUCCUUCGCGAAUACGCAAGAAGCGUAUCAUUCCAUUAAUAGAAAGAAGGUGAAAAAGGGUUACAAAGCAACGUUUGUCGCUUACACAAGGCUGGUGUGACACACUUUAAGGAGCAGAAGACAAGGGGUGCUCAGCCCGACCCUAUGCUAGAAACAUACUACGGAGGGAUGAUGGCCGCCAUUCCUUUAGCACUGGCCUUGGCCCAGGACCGUGCCUCGUCUUUAAUGGUUUGGAGGAGCUCCCAGCAGGACGGCUGAGUGUUGUCCAAGAUGCAGGAGUUGCGAAGCUUCCAAAUAUGCCAAACGGCAAGGAGUAUGAUGGAAGCCAGGCCCUUCCUCAUGGCGGGAGGAGCAGCGCUGGUUGCCUCUGCCCACCACUAGAGGAAGGGGGAGCUCGGAUGCGGCCCGUCAAUAGGAGCUCCGAUACUAGCUUAUUCCUGAUGUGUUGUUUCUGUGAUGGCACAUUUUAGAGCGUUCGCUCGAUCGCACACUGCCUCCAUCGCUUCGCUCGGUUGCUAUAUGAUUUUCUUCGGGUUUGACAAUUUUUUUCUUCGAGGUUCUUUGUUCUUUUUAUCCUUUUGAUUUAUAUUUUAGAUUUUUUUAAAAUUUUAUGAACAUAUUUUUUGAAGCAUGUUAACAUUUUUUGAUAAUAUAAGCUACAUCUUUCUGAAUGGCACGAAACAUUUUUUAAUUAUAAAAAUAUUUUUCUACAUUGUAUAAUUUAUUUAUAUUUAAAAAACCGCGUACAUUUUUUCGUAGUGUGUGAACCUUUCUUGAAUGUCACAAACAUUUUUUCUCAAAUGCUAUCAACAUUUUUUUAAAUCGCACAGACAUUUUCUUAACACUGCACAAACAUUUCUUCAAAAUGUAAGUAUUUUUUCAUCAAAUAUAUGUAUUUACAAUAUUUUUGAAAUAAGAAGGGAAAAACGAUAGUAAAAACAAAACGUAGUGAAGAAAAUAAUAAACCUGCUACCUGGCCGGCAUACUAUGGCGUUCCUUCAGGCGACGAUACCAUACCUCUCGCAAUAAGCGACGUAUAGCCGCGUCAAUGAAGGCUUUUGCCUGGCAAAUCCUAGUGAUGCCCGCAGGCGUCAAGUAGGCGAGGCCACGCUCACAGCGAAGUGAGGUGGUCCGACCUUUGUUCGCGUGCGGUCUCUAUUUAAAUUUUCCCCUUUUUUUUUCAUUUUUUUCGUUUAGUUUUUAUACUCCCGAUUUGGAGUAGUUAUCAACCUGAUUUGGGUUUUCUUCUGUUUUUCUGUCUAUAAUUUUCACGUUUUAUUUUCUAUAUUUUUGUACUAUAGGCAAUUUCCAAAUAUACAGUGAAUUUUUUUCAAACACAUGCUGAAGUUUUAUUAAUAUAUGCUGAAUUUUUCUACAAAUAAAUAAUUAACUUUUUUUAUAUACGGUGAACAUUUUUCAAUGUACGAAGUUCCUUUUUCAAAUACACAAUGAAUUAUUUUACAUACGGUGAAUGUUUAUCCAUUAUGCAAUGACCUUUUUAUUAAAUAUAUAGAUUUUAAAAAAUAAAUACAAAGUGAACAUUUUCGUAAAUUACUCAUAUAUUUGAAAAUAAUUUUAUUGUAUUUAAAUCCCCUUAAAAAUCAACGGUUGGUUUGCUAAAAAAAACAGACUACAAAACCGAAGAGAAAAAAGCAAAGUAAACCUGUAUAAACUGAAUGUGCUAAAGUGGGCCGGUCCAUUAGCAACUUUUCUUUUUCGUAGGUAACAUAUUCUGGAAUUAAGCAAAGCAAACCUCAGGCGUCAGAUCUUUUCUACUACCUCCAUCUCAAAAUAAGUGUUUCAAUUUUGUAAAACUUUAGUACAAAGUUGCACUAAAGUUAAGACAUUUAUUUUGGGACGGAAAGAGUAUUUCGUAGGGUUCAAUGGCCCUAGUUUUUUGUUCCCGGUUCACGUUCGAUUUGUUCCAUCCGGUCUGAUUGCAGGACUCUAAUCGACUCCUAUAGGCGUCCAACAGGAUUACUCGUCUCGCCUGCAGCGGGACCGAGUGUAGUGUCGCCUCAAGGGACGUUCUAAAUGGGGUGGCCCGGUAAAAAGUUACGACGUGUUGCUUCAUUACUUAUUUGUUGAUUUGUUCGUUUUUUUCCUUUGCUACUUUUAUUUAUAUUUAGCAUGUAAAAACAAGUUCAUCAUACAGUGAAAUAUUUUUACACAAUGGAAAGAAAAAGAAUCCACACAUCUUCUAAAAAAAUUAGUAGAAUUUUGGAAAAAAGUUUAUCACAUUUUAAAAAAUGUUCACGCAUUUCAAAAUACGUCCAUAACAUUUUAACAAAGAAUUAUACAAUGUAAAAUGUUGGUGAAUACGAUUUCAAAAAACUGUUCACACAUUUCAGAAAUAUGUUUUUCACAUUUUUGAAAAUAAUAGUGUAUAGAAAGGUUCACGCUAUAUAAUAAAAAUGGUCAAACCAGUCAAUUAAAAUGUUCAACUUAUAUUUGAAAAAGUUUAACAUUUUUCCAAAAUAAUGCUCCAACAUAAUGUAUAGCAAAAAAAUGUUGUCGGUGUAUAGGAAAAAUGUACAACAUAUAUUGCAAAUUUUGACAUGUAUUAGGAAAAAAUGCAGAAAACCAUGAAACCCCAAUUAAAAACACAUAGUAAUAGAAGAAAGAAAGAAAAAUACAUGAAACGUUCUAGCACCGGUCCGAACAGGGCCAUAAAACUUACUAAAAAAAUGCUCAAGGAAGUUGCAAUGUUGAGCCGACCCAUUUAGUCGCAAUGCAAUUUUGCACCAGAAAGAGAAACCCAUAUUCUUUAAGCCAAGCUGCCAAUCCUGGGAUAACCUAGAACAGGAAACCGUUGCUAUUUUAACAUGAUUCCCGCCUGUACACACGCCAUGUCAAGACAGAGGAGAUGGGACGCGCUGACCGGCCGGCCACUUCGCCACGCCACACGUUUUUUAAAUAAAACCAUCCUGCCCCUUUUUGUGAAGAUGUAUGGGCUAAUUGCGGCUGUCCUUGUGUUUACGGGGCUUGUACUGAAGCAGAAGUAUAUUAAAAAAUAUAUCUUAAACAUAGAUAAGGAAGUCUCUUUAGCAACUAUAAUCUUGUAACGAUGCGUAGUUAGACCACAUCUGCCAAUUUUUUUGGUCCCACAUAAAGAUACUGGUGUCGCUAUGUCCAUUCUCGUUGUGCGCAUCUUAAUUAUACAUAUAGACCAGGUGUCACUCAUUUUAUUUUGUAUUACUAUGUCCACUUGAUGAUAUAUUAUGAGUUAAUAAGAACUUCAUUUAUGGAAAAAACACUCACACACACGAAGAACUGAACGUUAGUAUCGCAUAUGCAACUAACUUCAGAAAGGAUGGCGAUGCCAUUUAUCGUGGUUGCACGGGUGUUUGCUUCCUUGACGACCCUCGCAGCUGCGUCUUGCGUCCAUGUGCUUGGGGCGACCGCGCGUGUUGGGACCGGAGGUGUGUAUGGGAAAAAAAUCCUAUGCGACCCGGGUCGCAUAGGUUUAUCGUGAGACCCUGUCCAGCGAUGGACACUUGGCAAGAACCCCUCAAUGCAGGCAAGUCAAUUAAUUAGCCUAAAAAAACAAGCCAAUUAAUUCUCUAAAUCCAGUAACAACUAGCUAUUCCCGUUCCUUCCAUCUAUCACGUGAUUCCAGCCCCAUGUGCCAAGAUGCAGCGCUGCAGAGGAGCUUGAUGGUGGCCGUGGAGGCGUGGACGGCGGGGGAGCUGAACGAUGGCCGUGGACGGAGCUCCGGUGGGUAGCGACGUAACGAACAGAUGAGCGGCCUUGGAAAGUUGGAAGACGGGGUAGAGCAGCGGGGACGGCGGCCAUGGCCGCGGCCGCGGCGAGCGAGCUGGAGAGGUCGAGUUUCCGGGAGCCGAGGAACGCGGCGAGAGCAUCCGAGGCGGCCAAGACGGCGGCUGCCACGGCGAGCGAGAGGAAGAUGGAAAAGGGACUUGGGAUUUCGCUGCGGAAGUUAAUGGAAACAGAGGAUUAAUAGCUUACGAUUCGGUUUCGCCAAGUGUCGUCCGCUGAAUAGGGUCUCACGAUCAAGGCGUGCGACCCAGGUCGCAUAGGAUUUUUUUCCGUGUGUAUGCCGCCAACACAUCGCAGUUGGUUCAUGGCAUUAUCAUGGGCAGCAACGACGCAGUCCACGGCUUGCCAGCCCCGCUGCUUCUGCCAAGAUGUCCCCUACCACGACAGCUCUUGGUCUUGCACCGCCCAUGGCGUGCCAGGCAACAAGACGACUCUGCGCGCCGCCGCCCAGCAUGUCGGUCCGUGCACCGGGCAUAUCACAUGCGCCAUUAGUGUUAGCUACAACACCUUAGAGACGGGCAAGUUGCUGAAUAUCUUGGUGUUGAGGUGUUCAUGCUGGGUUCACACACGGUGGUUGUGGUGUUCAGGUGUAUCAAAGGGUCGUCAAGUGACCUGGCUCAGGAGCUUUACUCGUCUCAUUACACUUACAUGAUGCCUAUUUGGUUCUCUCCACUAUCUCACUUCACUGAUCAUGCUAGAUAAACCAUGUGUCUCAUAGCCCAUGGAGAAAUACAAAGCUGAUAGCAUGGUUUCACACUUUCACUGGACAAACUACGUGUAUAUAUAGAGAGGUCGAGAUGCCAUAGGUCACAGAUAGAGUUUUGUGUGAGCAAGCUGAAGACAUGGAAACCAAAAUAAUAUGAAUGGCCGCACGCAAUAGAAAUGACUUGCAACUCUCCUCGGCGACGUACAAACAUACAUCGAUGUGGUUGUUGAUCACUGGCCAAUAUCAGAGGGUCAUAUGCAUCAUCUGGUGCUCAAGGUGCAUGCCCAUGCCCUUUGUCCUCUCCUCCCAUAACGUCGGGAUGAGCACACAUGAAUACAUGACCACACUAUUCACAUUUCCUUUUUUUUUUAUGUUUAUUUCUAAUUAGGAUUCAAAAGUUUUAGAAAGUAUACGCACAUGCUUUUUGAACAUUCAUACAUUCUUGAAACGAACUUUGCUUUGGUACGCACCCCCUUAGAACAGCUUAUGGAUUUCAAUAUAAAUUAAAGGUGGAGAUUAUAAGUUACCCCUUUCAAUCAAAAAGGGUAAGAGAGUCUUUUGCAUCCAAAUCAAUUUAUCAAUACGUUUGAUCAGCAUGCUAAUAUGGCAAUUGCAUUUUAAAGUAUUUUAAGUUUCAUUUAAACNNNNNNNNNNNNNNNNNNNNNNNNNNNNNNNNNNNNNNNNNNNNNNNNNNNNNNNNNNNNNNNNNNNNNNNNNNNNNNNNNNNNNNNNNNNNNNNNNNNNNNNNNNNNNNNNNNNNNNNNNNNNNNNNNNNNNNNNNNNNNNNNNNNNNNNNNNNNNNNNNNNNNNNNNNNNNNNNNNNNNNNNNNNNNNNNNNNNNNNNNNNNNNNNNNNNNNNNNNNNNNNNNNNNNNNNNNNNNNNNNNNNNNNNNNNNNNNNNNNNNNNNNNNNNNNNNNNNNNNNNNNNNNNNNNNNNNNNNNNNNNNNNNNNNNNNNNNNNNNNNNNNNNNNNNNNNNNNNNNNNNNNNNNNNNNNNNNNNNNNNNNNNNNNNNNNNNNNNNNNNNNNNNNNNNNNAAAACACGAAACAAACAUUUAUAUUUGUCUUUUGAAAGACGAGAGCAUUCACACCAUCAGCCUUAAGCACCGGCCGCAGAAUCAUUUUAUUUAAUACUGCGUUGGCAGGGUCUUGAACUCAAGACUUCUUGGCUCAGAUACCAUAUUGGAUUCAUGCACUAGCCAACUCAUUCAAAAGUCCGAACUGAUGAAGGGAGGCGGGCAAUAUAUUUCAACACAGGCCUGAUACUUUGUGGGCCGGAGAGAAAAGGCCUAGCUAGUCGCUUUCUCAUUCUCUACCCGUACAAGGAGUUUAUUCUGUAUUUUAAAUGUUUAGGAAUACAAACCCCUGUCUGUCUGCUGGGAAAAAAAUUCCCGUUUUAAAGGUGCACUUUAACCUAUGCAUGUGCAAUGUGGUAGUCAUGCAUAGAAUCUUUCUUCAGAAAUCAAAUACGGGACUUCUUCAUUCACUUAGGCCCACCACGCAAACUGAAACUUGCCACCCAGCCCCACAUAGAUCACAUCUCUAAACUUGGCUCGCCAAGCAGGUGAUGGCAAUGGGGCCUUUUACCAUGUGAUCGCUAUCGCUCCACAUGAUCAAGAACAAAUGUACUUGUCGGUGUCACUCACAAAGAUUCGAUGCUUGAAGUUGGUCUUUUACUCCUUUGUCGCACUAAACUGCAGCCUCUAUGGUCUCACGACCACACGCAUGUCAUCCGGGUUGGUGAUGCUGACCGCCGUUGUUGCCAACAUUGCGCACAAUGCCGCACUGCGUCUGCGUGACAACCACGAGUUUGUCUAAGGUGAAGGCCGCCGAUGGAGGCAUGAACAACAUAGACUAGCCGAAACAGAAUGAAGUAAUGAAACGGAGAAAGUCGAACGGCUAUGGGUUUUACCACCAUGUUGGUUUUCUAAGCCUAUUGUUAUAUUUCAUUUUUUUUGGAACUUUUAUCAACUAUAAAAACUAUUCAAAAUUUCCUUUUUUAUUUGUUUUAUUCUGCCAAAGUAAACAUAACGGCCGCUUAACUUAUUUGGUGCACAGGGAUUGUGAAAGAAAAAAAAAUCUACACAUAUGAUAAAAUAUAUGAUUCCAGAGUUGAGUGAUGUAUCUCUAGCAUUGGAGUUUAUGGUGGUUUACGAAGGCAUGUAUCUCAUCGACCUGAACAACACAUACUUUUACAUAGCAUCAGAAUUCACAAUGCUUUGCAAAGACUUAAUAAUAUCUAGUGAUGUAGCUUACCUAGGAUGCCAACAAGGCUGCAUAAAAAAAUUCCAUUAUCCAUGACCUGAAGAGUAGAAGGAACGUUAGACUUCGAAAGCAUAUUUUUCCUGUUACAUAUGCAGAGUAUUAACAUUCAAAUUAGUGUAUCACCACACUUAAAAGGUCUCAACGGCUCUACAUAAUAUGCGGUCAUCUUUUGAUCUUGUGACUCGACAGCUAGGGCUAGCUCGUCCCGCCGAGGCUCCAUCGAUGAGCCCGUGGAUCCAUCUCCCUUUGGAAUGCCAGUGGGGGGAGGAUAUCCCGGUGCCUUGGCUCCGACUAGAAGUUUAAGUCCUGGUUUUUUCAUCACAGGGGCGACGUUGGGCGGAUGGUGGCGCUUCAUCUUAGAGCUGUUUUCCCGGGUUCCAAUCCUCCUCAAAUACGUCCGUUGGGAUGGAGUCGACUGAGUUCAAGAGUAAAAUCAUGCCAUCUCCUUCAGGAAGCGGGGUAAGGGUUUCUCACCAUGUGUGCAAAACGAUGAGAUUUGGUGUCAAAAACGUUAGAUCAAAUCGAGGAUCCAAAGGUGACACUUGCAGCUCUUGUGCAUUGGUUUUUAGGGCACGAGCAUCAAGAGUUCCCAGUUGUCAUCGACAAGGUUAGGCCGGCUCCUGUAAAAUAGUGGCGACCGUGGUGUGUCAUUGGCUCAUUUUGAAUGUAACAGUGGUCGUUCAGUGGUCCAAGGACCUCGAUGUACAUCCCUUUUUUGAGGUGCUUUGUACUUGUUAUGAACCUUUAUAAUAAAUCCGGAUCCUUUUUUAUGAAAAAAAUACCCUACAUAAUUCACCGCACAAUAAGUUCACAAUUCUCGACUCUACAUAAUUAACAUAGUUGUGUCUCCAAGUAAUACAUGAAGCUAUAACGAAGUACUGACCGAAAGUAAUGGCACAAAGUUCACAUCGUGAUACUACACACUAGUUAACUAAUUAGAUAUUUCAUUGCUCCUCUGAUGAUUUUCCUUUCUUCUUAUCUGGACCAAAUAUCAGAAAGGUUUCGGCUGCUGAAACUAAGAAACAUGAUAUCAGAUUUUGCCAUUGCUCUUGCUGCUCGAACCUGUAGGUUAAAAGGAACACAACUUUCAAUGAUAGAAAGUGCCAAAACAGCGGAGUAAAAUGAUCGAAAGGUGUCAAUAACAGAGAAUUAUGUAUGAUAAAUGAAACUUGCUUACGUUUUUCAUGAUGUAGCAAACUUAGAGUUCCUUCGUGUACCUUACACAAAUUCACGCCAAACUCCUCAAGUGCCAUCUAGAGGUGGGACUUUGGGGAUAGGCCGUGUUUUGAGCAAGAAUGUUGUAGACGUGUGGUGAAUGGAUGUAGCGAAGCUGGCAUGGCGCACUCGAUCGAAGUGGUGGAUGUGGUUGUCUGCCACAUGGACGUCGCCCGCUUAAUAUCGAUGUGUCUGUUAUCCAUCAUCGAACUAGAAGACGACGUCUAGCUAUAGCUACAUGUGUAGUUAGAUAUUUUUGUUUAAACUUUCAGAUUUUACCAAUGUAAAGGAAUUCCAAUAUUUUAUCUUAUAAAUUAAGUGUGGUGGGUACUUUCGGUUAUUGAAAUUGUGAGAACAUCAUCACACACCACUUCUUAGGUAUAAUUAUCUAUGACUCUAAACAUAUUCCAUACCGUGUGUCAAUUGUAAAUCGCACAUGACACAUCCAAAAGUUAUGUGUGGGAUGAUUUACAUAUCACAAAUGAUUUUAUAAAUACAACUUUGUGCUAUGUUGAACACAUGAUUCAUUUAAAUGAAACGUGUGCGAUAGUUCAGUUCAUCGCACACACUUCUUCAAGUAAAACUGUGUGCACGGAAGGGCACACAAUCCCCCCCCCCCCAAUCAUCCGCGAUGUGUUGGCUAUCACACACGUUUCAUUUUCAGGCACAUGGUUUUAUUUUAUAACGUGCGUGAUGCUUUCAUGGCACAUAAUUUGAUGCUAGGGUGUGUGAUAGAACCGAUCCACAUUAGUGUGUGAUGGAGAUGGGGAGGGUGCCAAGGCGGCGCCUGGCCGGCGCAGCGAUGGGUAGCGUCGCGAGAUCGAGGAAAGGAAGAGAUGUGGCGAAUGGAGGCCCGCAUCAAGAUCCCAGGACACAGCCAUGGUAGCAAUUGGUCGGGCCUUGCCAGACUAGAGCGAGCUGACAAGGUCAGCGGAAGGAACGAAAUGAAGCGGUGCAUCGUGCGUUUUGGUGGAAUCUGGCGGUAUUGGUGUGACUGAAACUGCAGUGGUGCGACGAGGUGUGCCUGACUGUAGGAGGUAGGAGUUGGGUGUGAAACUUCCCCGACGCCAAAAAAUUGGAGGAAUAGAGUGCACUCUAUAGUUUCUCCUCUUUCCCCUAUAUUUUGAGGUGGUUUUUAGAGGGCCCUCUUAACAAAUUUAGGGACACAGGGGGCUUCUAGAAAAUAUGAAGGAGUGGGUUUUCCUAUUUUGACAAUUUUCUGGAGGAUAUGGUUGGCUGGUCUAACAACCAUAUCCUCUAGGUGAUCUAGAUGCAUUUGGUUUAUGGCCAAGGAUUGCUUGAAGCCAUUCAAGUGUUGGCGGUAUAUUGUUGCUUCGAAACUGCCGAUCCAGAAAAUUAGGAGGCCCCCGCGUCGCCUAUCCCAGGCGGGUGGCGAUCCACGCCACCACCACUACAGCCUCACCAAUAGCUCCAUCCUCCCCCUCCUCGUCUCCUCCCUCCCUCCCUGGCUUCCCUCUACUCGGAGGUUUGUGUGGUACAGUCUGGGUCAGCUCUGUACCAACGAAUGGUACUAUUUGAGGUGGAUUUCAACUAUCGAGGCAUCAACUCAUAGCUGGAAUGUGUGGCUAUUUGAGGUGGCUCAGCCGCCAGCAUAAUAGCCUGCCCUCACCCUCGUCUCAUAUUGGAUCUGGGAUGAGCGCACGAUAUUGACGUUAUGGCGUUCUACGGGUGCAAGGCACCUUGAUCUGCUCUUGGUGGCCGACGCCUGGUGCCUUGCUGUACAGUGCACCCCCGCAAGAUCUGGCCACUUAUCAUGCUGGCCGGUGUGCCCUGGGUGCUGGGUAUGGCCACUCCUGCCAUGUGAUAUGUGGUGGUCAUCACAGGGUCUUGGUAAGGGUUUCUCUCUUUAGAUCCGAUGAUUGUUGCUGAUGACUCGAUUUGGUGAGGUCGCGGGAUGCAGCCUGAACACCCUUUUGUGUGGUUUGGCGGCUCUCACUUCGGGCAGUCUGCUUUUGGUGGUGAGAUCAAUCUAUAACGCAGGGGAUAUGGUUGUGUAGCGGCAUUGGUGGGAUUUCUAGCGCAACACAUGUAGCUACUUGGAUCGUGGAAAAGUGGUGGCAACAACACAUGAUUGACAUUGAUAUGGUGGUGCUUCUCAAGUACUCUAGUCUCGAGCUCCAGGGUGAAAACCCUAAGUCUUGCCAAAGUUGGUUAUACCUGGUGAGGGAGUCCUGGAUUAGGGGGUCCUCGGACAGCCGGACUAUAUCCUUUAGCCGGACUGUUGGACUAUGAAGAUACAAGAUUGAAGACUUCGUCCCGUGUCCGGAUGGGACUCUCCUUGGCGUGGAAGGCAAGCUUGGCAAUUCGGAUAUGUAGAUCUCCUCCCUUGUAAUCGACUCUGUGUAACCCUAGCCCCCUCCGGUGUCUAUUAAACCGGAGGGUUUAGUCUGUAGGACGGACGAUCAGAAUCAUAGGCUAGCUUCUAGGGUUUAGCCUCUACGAUCUCGUGGUAGAUCAACUCUUGUAAUACUCAUAUCAUCAAGAUCAAUCAAGCAGGAAGUAGGGUAUUACCUCCAUCGAGAGGGCCCGAACCUGGGUAAACAUCGUGUCCCCCGCCUCCUGUUACCAUCCGCCUUAGACGCACAGUUCGGGACCCCCUACCCGAGAUCCGCCAGUUUUGACACCGACAUUGGUGCUUUCAUUGAGAGUUCCACUGUGCCGUCAUCAUAAGGCUCGAUGGCUCGUCUUGUUGUCAAGGACAACAUCACCUCGGGGGGAGCCCUGGCUGUAGGCCAAACCCUCCGAUUAGGCGGCUUCGUCAUGACCGCCCGUUCGGCCGUUGCGCCGACGAUGACAUCUCAGGUCAUCAAAAACAACCUCCACGUCAGCUCGGGAUUCGCCGAGCAGAUGGAUCCAAUGGAGCUCUCUUCCUUGAACGAGCUCUUGGAUCGCAUCGCCACCUUGGGUGUCGCUACGGACUAUGAUUGGAUCGGGUUUAAACCCGACCAAAGGGAGAUCAAUUCUUCGUCGGUCACCCAUCAGAUAGCGGUGGUGGAGGAGCAACGCAGCAAUUCUUCCUCUAUCUUGAGGACGAACUAUGUCCGGAUUCCCGAACUCUCCGAGUCGGAUACCCGUCUACGGGAGGACAUUGCCCAAGCUUUGAACCUAGAAUCAGACAGCGGGCCAGAUCUAUUGGGCAACAUCCCGGAGCCCGAACUGCCAAGCUCAGAAGCUCCUCCGCCCAUGGGUCUCAGAUCGGGUCAGGGUUCGGACCUAAAUCUACCCACCCACCCAGAUAUAAGUGAUCUUUCCCACAUUAGACAAGAGCCCCAAGAGACAGUACAUCACUAUUGGGCCAGAUUGCUCCUUGUAAUGAGCAAGGUUAAGGACUGUCGCGAGGAAGACGCAAUUUCAUUCUUUUGCAAAAAUUUGACGGACAAGGGAAUCCUCAACGCCAUAAGUCGCCGUGACAUAGCACACUUCGCCGACUUGGCGGCCAUAGUACAGAAGUACUGUGCGAUGGAAAGCGCCUAGAAAACCCAAACAAAAUUCUGGGAUCCUCCGGCCCUCAUCAAACCCCCCGUCCGAACUAAAAGGGUGUACUCUCGUAAGUCACCCGAUCCAAUUACAAAGAAACCAAAGCCCACUACAGGGCGUGGAACUGUAUUGGAGGGAUGGCUCAAUGGGCCAUGCGAAAUUCACAGCACAGCGGAUACCAUGCCAACACAUAAUCUUAGAGCAUGUUGGAUACUCCGGCAGGUGGCCAAGAGCGGCGAGGAUAUUCUCAUCAACAAUACAACAGAGCACCAUCCCGUGGAAAAUAACAAUACAAUAUUGACAGUCUUCGAGACCUUCGCCUCAAAUAAUAGGCGUAAGCGUGCACUCCGCAGCCUUGCCGAAGUCUGCCACGUAGCAGCAAUAAAUCCAUGGAGCGACACGGCUAUAACCUUCAAUGCCAGUGACGAACCCAAAUUCCGAACAGCCCGAGCACCAGCUGCCUUGGUCCUGAGUCCAAUUGUGGACGGCUUCCGGCUUACUAAAGUGCUCAUGGACGGUGGUAGCGGAUUAAACCUCACCUAUGAGGAAACCCUUCGAAAAAUGGAAAUAGACAAGAGCCAUUGAGCAAAGCAGCACGACCUUCAGAGGAAUUAUCCCUAGUCGGGAGGCACGAUGUGCAGGAAAAAUCACACUAGACGUGGUAUUCGGCACGCCGGAGAAUUAUAGGUUCGAAGAAAUCACAUUCCAAGUGGCCCCGUUCAGUAGUGGAUACCACGCCUUUUUAGGGCGGGAGGCGUUCACGAUCUUCCAAGCUAUACCCCAUUACGGGUACAUGAAGCUCAAAAUGCCCUGGCCCAAUGGAAUCAUCACUCUAGCUAGUGAUCCGGACCUAGCACUCCGUGCCAAAAAUAAAACCGCCGCACUAGCCCUCGAGGCGUUAUCCGAAGCCCUUGCGGCCGAAGAACUAACUGCUCUACGCUCCACAGUGGACAGGGGCGACGUGAUACUCGACAAAAGACCCAAGUCCAUGUCUUUUAAACCAGCGGACGAAAUAGUAAAAUUCCAAGUCCACCCAACGGACCCUGCAAAAACAGCAUCCAUCGGGGCACAGUUAAACCCCACAGUAGAUGCCGCACUGCGGGAGUUCUUGCGCGAGAAUUGGGACAUCUUCGCCUGGCAUCCUUCAGACAUGCCAGGAAUCCCACGCAGGCUGGCCGAGCAUAGCCUUAACAUUCUAAAGGGGUUCAACCCGGUCAAGCAGACUCUUCGGCGUUUCUCUGAGCCUAAGCGACAAGCCAUGGGAGAGGAGCUAGCCAAGUUACUUGAGGCCUGAUUCAUUAGAGAAAUAAUACAUCCGGACUGGCUAGCAAACCUGGUGAUGGUACCAAAGAAGGACAAAUCAUGACCCCUAUGUGUCGAUUUCAAGGACCUUAACAAGGCUUGCCCCAAGGAUUCCUUCCCUCUCCCCCGCAUCGAUCAAAUUAUCGACGCUAUCGCAGGACACGACUCAUUGUGUUGCCUAGACGCAUACUCCGGAUACCAUCAAAUUAAGAUGGCGGAGUCCAAUCAAGCCGCAACGGCAUUUAUCACUCCAUACGGCCCCUUCUGUUUUAACACCAUGCCUUUCGGGCUCAAAAACGCCGGUGCAACCUAUCAACGCAUGAUUCAGACAUGCUUGGAAACACAAAUUGGCAAAACAGUAGAGGCAUAUGUAGACGACGUGGUCAUCAAAAUCAUACACGUCGAAUCUUUAAUAGACGACUUGAGGCUCACGUUCGACAAUCUUCGAACAUAUGACAUCAAGCUCAAUCUAGAAAAAUGCGUUUUCGGCAUGCCCGCCGGAAAGCUCUUGGGCUUCAUCGUCUCCAGUAGAGGAAUUGAAGCAAACCCGGCUAAAAUCCGAGCUCUGUCACAGUUGACUAUCCCAACAGACCUCAAGCAAAUCUAGAAAUUAACUGGAUGUGUGGCUGCCUUAAGCCGCUUUAUCUCCCGAUUAGGAGAAAAGGCACUACCCCUUUAUCGUCUUCUUCGACGCACCGAACACUUCGAGUGGACAGAUGCGGCCACGGCCGGACUGGAAGAAAUAAAAGCCGUAUUGGCCACCAACCCAAUCUUGGCCGUGCCAAAUGUCGGCGAACCAAUGCUGUUAUAUAUAGCGGCAACACACCAAGUUGUAAGCGCAGUGCUCGUCGUCGAACGAGAGACGGAUGGACAUAAGUUCCCGCUUCAAAAGCCGGUAUACUAUGUAUCCACUGUCCUCACUCCAUGCAAAUCACGGUACCCACAUUAUCAAAAGAUAGCAUACGCGGUCCUCAUGGCAUCCCGAAAAUUACGACACUGCUUUCAAUAGUGUUCAAUUACGGUGGCCUCUGAAGUACCACUCAAUGACAUAAUAAAUAACCACGAUGCCACGGGCCGGAUUGCUAAAUGGGCUAUCGAGCUCCUCCCGUUCGACAUAACAUACAAACCACGGCGAGCCAUUAAGUCACAAGUACUGGCUGAUUUCGUGGCCGAAUAGACAGAAGCCGAACUCCCUAAAGAGUACAGCACGUACUCCAAUUGGAUCAUGCACUUUGACGGCUCUAAGAUGCUGGCUGGUCUGGGGCACGCGUCGUCCUGACAUCCCCCACCAGAGAUACAGUCCAAUACGUACUCCAAAUAUUAUACACGGACUCCAACAAUGCAGCAGAAUAUGAGGCCCUGUUGCAUGGUCUCCGGAUAGCAGUCUCCAUGGGCAUUCAAUGCCUAGAGGUGCGUGGGGAUUCGAACCUCGCAAUAUCUCAAAUAAAUGGAGACUUUGACGCCAAGGACCCAAAAAUGGCGGCUUACUGCAACGCCGUCCUCAAAAUGUCAGCUCGGUUCGAGGGGCUUGAAUUCCACCAUGUGGUCAGGGAAAACAAUCAAGAGGCGGAUAUCCUCGCCCACAUCGGCGCUAAGCUCGACCCUGUCCCACCUAAUAUCUUCUUGGAAAGGCUGUUUAAGCCAUCCGAGGUAUGGGAAGGAGAGACCGGCAACAACAGUCCGGACCUGGCCACAACACCAGAUACCGAACACUCUGACAUAAUCGGAGGCUCUGCCACCGACAUAACGCCUUCGGCCCACGUGAUUAUGGCUGUCAUCGGCCCCGUGGACAAAACCAAUCUUGGCCUACCUAAUUAGGCAAGAACUCCCUCAGGACCCAAACGAGGCACGUUGCAUUGUACGGCGGUCUAAAGCCUACAAGGUCCACGAGGGUGAGCUUUAUAAGAAAAGCGCUACCGGAGUACUUCAAAGAUGCAUCUCCGAAGAGGAAGGACGUCAGCUUUUGGCAGAAAUUCAUGCUGGACUUGGCGACCACCAUGCCGCAGCUCGGGCCCUUGUAAGCAAGGCCUUCCGUACUGGUUUUUACUGGCUGACGGCCCGAGCAGACGCACUGGACCUCGUUCAACAUUGCGUCGGUUGCCAGCUUUUCGCAAACCAAAGCCAUGUGCCACCUACCGCUCUCCAAACAAUCCCCAUUACUUGGCCCUUUGCGGUCUGGGGGCUUGAUAAGGUCGGACCCCUUAAAGGAGGAAGCCAUAAGAAAAAAUACCUAUUGUUCAUGGUGGAUAAAUUCACCAAAUGGUAGAAGCCAAACGAGUUAAAACGGCCGAAUCCGGACCAGUGAUAGACUUCAUAUCCGGGGUUGUGCACCGUUAUGGCGUCCCCCACAGCAUCAUCACCGAUAACGGCUCCAACUUUACAGCUGACGAGGUAAAAAUUUGGUGCGGCAACAUGGGCAUCAAGCUCGAUUAUGCCUCUGUCUAUCACCCCCAAACAAACGGUCAGGUUGAGCGGGCAAAUGGUCUCAUUAUGAGCGGCAUUAAACCCAGACUAGUGCGAUCCUUGAAGGAAUCAGAUACGCACUGGGUCAAGGAGCUCGACUCCGUACUAUGGGGGCUGCGGACCACGCCGAAUCGCACUACUGGAUACACACCAUUCUUUAUGGUGUACGGCGCAGAGGCGGUAAUGCCCUGCGACAUAAUUCAUGACUCACCUCGAGUGCGCAUGUAUGAAGAGAAAGAAGCCGAGCUUGAUCGGCAGGACAGUUUGGACACCCUGGAGGAGGAGCGUGACGUGGCAAAAGCCCGCUCCGCAUUCUAUCAGCAACAGGCUCGACGGUAUCAAAGCAGAGAAGUACGGGCCAAAACGUAUAACGUCGGCGAACUCGUUCUACGCCUACCGGAGAAGAAAAAGAACAAGCUCAAGCCCAAAUGGGAAGGUCCCUUCAUCAUCGAUAAAGUUCUGACAGGUGGAGCAUACCGUCUGCGUGAUGCAUCGGACAAUCGACUCGAGCCAAACCCGUGGAACGCAGCCAGACUCCGAAGAUUCUACGCCUAGUGCCGGACUCUGUGUUCGUCUCCUUACCUCCGCCCUUUUAUACAUAUAUAUAUAUAUAUCCGCUAUCUGUCUUUCUUUCUUUCCUUCUUCCCUUUUUCUUCAUGGCAUUAAAAGCUCAAAGUAUGUCUUGACUACACAAUCUUGACGCGCCAUGCGUGCUCAUUAUACCUGGGGGCUUCUUAUACAGAAGCUUAAUAUAAUUAUACUCAGGGCUUUAUGCCCCCCGCACAUGUGUUACUUCUCCACAUGUACCUUUUCUUCGCCAUUAUAUGCAUCGAUAUGACUUAAAUUUUGGCCAAGCUGGGUUGCCUGGCUCUUGUGUUUAUGACCUAUGAUCCCGUUAAUUCGGCUAGGGCAUAAGGGGAGCACCUCUGCGAUUGUUAUUGCCGGGUCAGCCGGAUGUGUACCUCAGACUGGGUGAAGCCGAAAGCUAGCGUUCUUAAGGGAAUAUUCGGUCGGUGAACAAAAGAUGACUUUUACUUAUUGUAAUACAUGCCCCCAGAUGUUUAUAUCUUGCGUCUCUUUUCGCAGUUCGGACAUGCACAUUAAUGCAUGCGUACCCAGGGAAAGAAACCCUUAACGGAACUAUUCUCCCUGGAAGAUGUUUCUUACUAUCCAUGUAAUAUAAAUAGCUAGUUGGGUACUUGUCUGUUCAAGCAUUUAUGACCCCUACGCCUGGUUUUCACGCGUACCCCGGUUUUUACAUAAUUGAGCGGGUAUUCGGAUACACUCCGGACUGUCGGGUCCGGAGGUCGAAGCGAAAAGGUCCACCAUGACAAAUGAUUUACAAUCCGGCUAGGGACAAAAUAUGUCAUUCAAAGUACACAGUCACUUAGACUGACUAAUUCUUCUUCUAUACCAUCCAACAGGCUGUCUAGCCUACAAUCCUGUUGGGAAUACUUUGCGGCUAAUUUUACCUGGUCAUACACCAGACUAACGGGGAUCUCUUUCCCAUCAGACCCUACAGGUCCGACCUCGGCCAUGUGGUUCGGGUCAGCCUUGGUAUACCGCGUCUUCACCAUGGCUUAGGCUUCCCUUGCACCUUGUCGGCAGGCCGAUAUCUUCCAUAAUCGGAAGCGCCGCCGCGCUCCCUUGAGCACCUCUACGAGCUCCCCCAUGCCUCCGAGCAGGGAGGCGGAUGGCCACAAGGCCUGGGCAAUGCCCUGCAUCACCUGCCGAACUUGUUCAUGCAGUUGUGAGAGUUCUUGCAGAAGAUCGCCUGCAGAUCCGGGCAUCUCCUCUUCGGGACGACCCGUCGGCAUACCUACAGAUAUAACUCUGUUAGCCGGUUUCUUCGCUGAACUCUAUAAAAGUUCGUUCAAGCACUUACUAAAUAUGCCGCGUCGAAGCCUCUUGUUCUCCUUUACGGAGUCCGCAAGCUGGGCUCGAACAUCUUUCAGUUCAACGCCCAACCGGGUAUUGGCAUCUUGGAGAUCAUUUUCUCCCGCCUAACAUGCGUAAGCACACGCUUGCCAGCCUUUAGCUGUCGUUGAGCAUGUUGCUCAUCCCCUCGCACGACCCCCGGAUUCACUCCGGGGUCAUCUGCAUAAUCUAUUGUUAGAUUUGCAUGCAUGCCGAAUACUAACUGGUACAUGUCAUUCUUUUUGAUAGAAACAAGUGUUACCAGAUGGGGCCUUCUCGGACUCCUUCAUUGUGGCAACUGCGGCCCGUAGCUGGGCUUUGCACUCCUCCAGCUCUUGAGACAAUUCGGUAUUCUUGUCCGUAAGAACCUACGCAUAUAAUGAUCCUCAAAUCAGUUGUGCCAACUGUUCCAAGUCUCAGGGGCUACUGGUGUACAUAAUUAUCAGAUUUUCUUACCCGUAUAUCCUUUACAUACUGGUCCGUCGCUCUGGCCAGGCCAUUUUGAGCAGCUCGGAUGUACGCGUCUCCCAAGUUGAAGGCAUCGAACGCCUCCUGAGAGAAACAAGCGUCGCGGAGUACGGCGCGGCGACGCUUGUGAUUCAUGGCACUCUCCACUUCGGAAUUCGUAGCGGACAGCCUAUCCGCAUCCUCUGUAGGAGGAACGUCCAGUGUUGGCCCCACGUUAGCUUCUGCCUCUAAGUCCGGCUCUGUAGCUCGGCUGGUGGAGGCGUGGCCGCCAGGCUCUCCGGAUAUAGUCCAACGAGCGUUUUUUCUGCUAGGAAACAUGGACGUUGUUACAUUUUAAAAGACGACAACCACGGAGCGGGGUUCUUUUUCGUACCUCUGCGACGACAUCUCAGUCCUGACCGCCUUCCUUUUAAGCCUACCCGGUUUCGGUGCCCCUUGUUGGUGAGUCACUGCGGGUUUGGCAUGGCGUCCCGAAGACCUUCCCUGUAAGACACCAUAUGUGUGCAGUAGGUGAAGUGCGAAAAAGGGAUCCUUCUUGGAGGUUGGGAUUCCGGUUUUACUUACAUGCGACGCAGGGAGUAGUCCAGGAUAAUCGGCUAUGAUGGCCACCAAGGCACCGCCAUAGCUUAAUUGAUAGAACGUCCUAUCGAUGAGCUCCACAAAUGUGUCCGGAUCUUCUUCGAGUCCGGGGUCGAGGGCCCGGUCAGGGUCCUCUGGUUGUGGAGGCGGGUUGUGGACCUCCCUCACAGCUUUUCGCAGUUUCUGCUAUGAAAUAGCAAGGUAAAUACCUAUGACGAAAAAUGCGGUAAGGUUAGGAGUAAAAGGUAGCAGCUCACCCAGCUUGGGGGGUUGUACAUGGAGAAUCCAUCGCGUGGCUUAAUGCGGAUGAACUCCUCUUCCUCUCCUUUAUAUAAAUCGGACAGUAUUUUCGCUAAAGCAGCGACGGAGUCCGGUCCCUUACGACCGCAACAGGUGGCAUCGUCUUCUCCAUUGAAGUGCCACAUGGGGUGUCCCCGAUACUGAAGUGGCUGCACCCCCCGCAUUAUACAUAUUGACAUAACCUCGAUUAUUGUCAAUCCUGAUUUGGCCAGCGUCUUUAUCCGGUCCAUCAGGUAAAGGACUUCACCGUUAUCUUCCUCCUGGGGGCUCCGAGGGCGCCAGCUGCGGCGUUUCUUCAAGGGGGUGUUACUAAACUCGGGAAGGCCCAUCCGAAUAGGGUCCGGAAGGGGGACGUCCUCCAUAUAAAACCACUCUGAAGGCCAGUCUUCGGACGUCUUCUUCGGAGUACCGAACAGGUAUCCGGUCCCGGCAAUGCGCCAUAUCUCGGCUCCGCCCACUUGAUAUAUUGACCCCUCCUGUGUACGGGGUACGAGGCAGAAUAGCCUCUUCCAUAGCUCGAAAUGAGCUUCGCAGCCCAAAAACAGCUCGCAAAGGGCGACGUAGCCAGCGAUGUGUAAUAUGGAGGCGGGAGUAAAAUUAUGCAGCUGGAGGCCGUAGAACUCUAGGAGCCCGCGGAGGAAGGGAUGGAUUGGAAAUUCGAGUCCCCUCAAUAAGUAAGGGACAAGGCAUACCCGCUCCCCCAUGGAUGGGUUGGGAAAGCUCUUUGCUUGCUCCCCGCCAUUGUAAGUGGCUAAUCCGGCUCGGACGGGGACCAUAUACGCAGGAGGGAGAAACCCCUGGGUCUGUAACUCUACUAAUUAGCUGUGGGCAAUAGAACACUUCUUCCAAUUGCCCGGCUUAGGGCUACAGGAGCGAGAGGAGGAGCUGCGAUGGCCAGCCAUGAUGGGAUGGAUUUUUUCGGGCGCUCUCCGAUGGAUGCUCGCUGUGGGAGGAUGGUGUGAUCUGGAUCUGAGGAUCCCUGUCUCUUUAAAUAGACGGUUUACUUACAUGGUUAGGGUGGCAAGUGUAAAAAUGCCCCGACUUCUCGCAUUUGCUCGACACAUGGAGGAUAGCCUUUAUUAGGCACAGAAGCCGAGGAGUGCAACAUUCAUGGGAAGCCGGACACUACUCUACAGGUACUCAGAAUUUGGAGAAGAACCCGCCUUGCAAUGCCGAAGACAAUCUGCGCGCCGGACUCAUCGUCAUUGAAGCCUGGUUCGGGGGCUACUGAGGGAGUCCUGGAUUAGGGGGUCCUCGGACAGCCGGACUGUUGGACUAUGAAGAUACAAGAUUGAAAACUUCGUCCCAUGUCCGGAUGGGACUCUCCUUGGCGUGGAAGGCAAGCUUGGCAAUUCGGAUAUGUAGAUCUCCUCCCUUGUAACCGACUCUGUGUAACCCUAGCCCCCUCCGGUGUCUGUAUAAACCGGAGGGUUUAGUCUGUAGGACGGACGAUCAGAAUCAUAGGCUAGCUUCUAGGGUUUAGCCUCUACGAUCUCGUGGUAGAUCAACUCUUGUAAUACUCAUAUCAUGAAGAUCAAUCAAGCAUGAAGUAGGGUAUUACCUCCAUCGAGAGGGCCCGAACCUGGGUAAACAUCGUGCCCCCCGCCUCCUAUUACCAUCCGCCUUAGACGCACAGUUCGGGACCCCCUACCCGAGAUCCGCCGGUUUUGACACCGACACCUGGCAAGCACUGGUGGGAUUUCUAGCCCAACACAUGUAGCUACUUGGAUCCUGGAAAAGUGGCGGUGACAACACAUGAUUGACAUUGAUCUGGUGGUGCUUCUCAAGUACUCUAGUCUCGAGUUCUAGAGUGGAAACCCUAAGUCUGGCCAAAGGUUGUUAUACCUAGCAAGCAUUGGUGGGAUUUCUAGACCAACACAUGUAGCUACUUGGAUCCUUGAAAAGUGGUGGCGACAACGCAUGAUUUACGUUGAUUUGGUGGUGCUUCUCCUGUACUCUAGUUUCGAGCUCCAGGGUGAAAACCCUAAGUCUUGCCAAAGUUGGUUAUACCUGGCAAGCAUUGGUGGGAUUUCUAGCUGAACACAUGUAGCUACUUGGAUCCUGGAAAAGUGGUGGCGACAAUGCAUGAUUGACAUUGAUUUGGUGGUGCUUAUCAAGUACUCUAGUCUCGAGCUCCAGGGUGAAAACCCGACGUCUUGCCAAAGUUGGUUAUACCUGGCAAGCAUUGGUGGGAUUUCUAGCCCAACACAUGUAGCUAAUUGGAUCCUGGAAAAGUGGCGGCGACAACUCAUGAUUGAUAUUGAUUUGGUGGUGCUUCUCAAGUACUCUAGUCUCGAGCUCCAGGGUGAAAACCCUAAGUCUUGCCAAAGUUGGUUAUACCUGGCAAUGAUGAUGUCUUUGCACCGUUGCCUUGUUGAAGGCUUUGCUCGGAUAUGCUCAGACUUUUAUCCAGGGGGAAAACCUAGACUCCGGCCUUUGGCGGUUCGAUGCGGUGACGGCGACACUUGUGUGCCAUUUCCUUCCUGAAGGUGUUGCAUUUGAAGAACCUCGUUGUCCUUGUGUUGUCAAAAGAUGGCUGGUGUGGAUAUGAUUGUUGUUGUAGUUUGCCGACCGUUGUGUUGAUCGCUUUAGAGUAUUUCUCCGCUCAGGCAUAACUUUGAUAUUUUCUGACUUUGCUCUUGCCGGUGUUUUUUUUUGUAUGUGUGCGUUAGUGUUGGCUGUGUGCAUCCUAACUAUGCAGAGGCCGGGUAUGUGGUCAUUGUGUUGGUAUCCGCUUGAUGCUUCAUUUCGAGUCAAUAAAAUCCAUCCUUUGUGGAAAAUAUGCAUUUGGUUUAUACUGCCUUCGUAAAGAAAUAUAAGAGCGUUUGCAUCAUUAUUUUUAUACAUGUUUUACAGAGGUAGUACAAUAUAUGACACAAUCUUAAACACACUGACCUGUGCGCUCGUUGCUGACGGCCGGACGGGAAGUGUUUUGUGGCAAGGCUCUGCUAUGACGCUACGGUUGAGCACUGGAAAUCAUUAGCAGAAAACUGUUUGGAUUGCUUACAAAAUUAAUCACGCAGCUGAGGAGGCCUCUCAGCAGGUCAUGCAUGCACUUGAAGUGAGGCUCGAAUUAUGGACCUUCAAGCAUCUACUCAUUUUAGAGUUUUAUAAGCGCACACAUCCACUAGUCCAGAUAUCACAAUGGCCAGGUCAUUAUUAGUCAUUUUCACGCUGAUGUGUAUUUCCAAUUGUCGUGAACCCGGCGAAAGAGCCAUGCAGCGCAUUCUCCUACUACCUUCUGCUCACCGGGAUGUCGACAUGUCAUCCUUGGGCAACGUCAAGCUGGAUUGGCCUCGGCGUUCAACCUACAAUAGGCCGGCUACGGGAGGGAAAUGAAGAACCGAUGUGCGGCACUUGCUGCUUCCGCCGAGACCUGCCCUGCCCUAGUACAAUGCUGACAUGUCCUGCCCCGCCCGCAGCGUGCCGUGCAAUAAUGUCACCCCAUGCGCCGACGAGCACGUCCGUCGGUGCACGGGGUAUUGCUUGUGCGACAGCGUUACACUUGCAAGAUUACUAUUUGGUUUUCUCCAUUAUCUCACCUCACUGACCAUGCUAGAUGAAACAUGCAUCCCCGAGUCCACGAAUAAACACAUAGCUGGUGCCCACGGCCUAACUAGACAAACGUGUAUAUAUAGAGAUAGGGGGAGGGGAGAUGGCAUGCCGCGGGCACACAAAAUUUUUAGGCUUGUUUGUGUAAGCCUCCAAGACAUGGAAAUGAUGGCGGUGCAUGCUAUGCAUGCUGGUGGCCGGUAGCGGAGGCCCCGUAUGCAUGAUGGUGGCUCUAUGCAUGAUGGUGGUGCUCAAAUUGCAUGCCCGUUGUUUCUCCUCCUGUAACAUCGGCUCGUUUUCUUAGGGAAAGUAUCAGGAGAUACCAGUCUUUACAUGCUAUCAUGCUAUAAACUUGUAAAAUUCAAAUUUAAAUAUGUCCACAAAUUCUGAAAAAAAAAUCAUGGCAGUUCACAACACAUAAACAACUCGAGUAAAUAGCAUAAAACUACUACUUUACAGGCUAGGGUUUCAAAAAACUAUCGGUUUUUAAUAUUUCUCAGAUAACUACUAAGUCGGUGGUCGGCUGUUUAAAAAAACCCAAAUCGUCGAGUUUUUAUCAGUUAAUCAACGAUUAUGACAAUUGGGGCCCACAUGUAAGAUAACCGUUUGUUUGACCGUUAACUUACAUGUGGGUCCCACAUGUAAGUUUUGUAAAAAGCAAUCGGGUCCCUACAAGUUUUCUGAAAAAGAAAUCAGCUCCCUAUGAGUUUUCUGAAAGCAAUCAGGUCCCCGUGGCAGCCAGGAGCUCGAUCCCGCUCGGCAGGGCAGCGCUGCCUCCUCCGGCCGGCGAGCCACGCCCGCAACGGCGGAAUCCACGCCGUGCACCACCUGAGGCCGGCGAGCCGCACCCGCAGCGGUUGGGUCCAUGUUGGGCAUCACCUGCGACCGGCAAGCCGCGCCCGCAGCGGGUGCCCCGUCGUGACUCGCCUGCAGCCGCCGCCAUCCCCUGCCGCGAGCUCCUCAAGCUCGACGCGGACGGCCUGCAUCGUUGCUGGAGUGCGCACCUCUCGUCGCCGCGCAGGAGGCCGGCCUUGUUGCCACCAGGAGCUCCGGCGAGCACCUACCACGAUCGUUGGGAGGCUCGGGAGGAGAGGGAGUGUCGUCGUCGGCUUGGGAUGGGAGGAGGGUCGCCGGCUUGGGGNNNNNNNNNNNNNNNNNNNNNNNNNNNNNNNNNNNNNNNNNNNNNNNNNNNNNNNNNNNNNNNNNNNNNNNNNNNNNNNNNNNNNNNNNNNNNNNNNNNNNNNNNNNNNNNNNNNNNNNNNNNNNNNNNNNNNNNNNNNNNNNNNNNNNNNNNNNNNNNNNNNNNNNNNNNNNNNNNNNNNNNNNNNNNNNNNNNNNNNNNNNNNNNNNNNNNNNNNNNNNNNNNNNNNNNNNNNNNNNNNNNNNNNNNNNNNNNNNNNNNNNNNNNNNNNNNNNNNNNNNNNNNNNNNNNNNNNNNNNNNNNNNNNNNNNNNNNNNNNNNNNNNNNNNNNAGGGGAAGGGGCUCGCCGGCUCGGGAUGGGAGAGGUCCGGCACAGGAGGCACAGAGGAGGGAAGAGAAGAGAUAGAGAGAAAGAAGAAAGAGAUGAGGAAGAGGAAACUUACAUGUGGGCCCCACAUGUAAGUUAACGGUCAAACUAACGGUUUGUUUAGGUGCGGGCCCAACCUGUCAUAAUGGUGAUCAACUGAUAAAGACUCGACGAUUUGGGUUUUUUGAAACAGCCGACCACCUACUUGGUAGUUACCGGAGAAAAAUUAAAAACCAGUAGUUUUUUGGAACCCUAGCCUAUAAAGUAGUAGUUUUAUGCUAUUUACUCAAACAACUCCUAAACAAUUCAGAUCGAAAUUCAAAAUACACAAGGAGAAACAAAAAAAUUCAGAUGUUAAUAGUGUCGUUUCUCUAUGUGUGUGUCGAAUUUUGAUCUGAAUUUUUCAGGGGUUGUCAACAUGUGUGUUAUGAACAUCCCUAUUUUUUUUAGAUUUUUUUGAUAAGUUGAAAUUUUAAUUUUACAAGUUGGUAGCAUGGUACCAUUCGAGGCUUGGUAUCAUCUGAUAUUUCCCCCGUUUUCUUGCUUCAUGUCGUCUUCCUUCUCUAGCCUGCUACACUGCAUGCGGGCCCUACCGCCAGCUCAGAGUUCUACCCUAACUAUUGCCCCCCAUUUGCAGCAUCGUUGUUCCAAUUAAGCUCAACAACACAGCACCUGAAUGCACUAGGGAUGUGUACUCUGGAUGAAGACACUCCUUUGUGUGACAAUUCUCAACUCUACAUAUAAUUGAGUCUUUAAGUAACACACGACGCAUAUAAUAAGAUACUAGCCAUAAUAGAUUUCAUUGCUCCUCCAAUAAUUUUUCUUUUUUGUCUGGACCAAAUAUCAAAAAGGCGGUGGCAGCAAGAACUAAGAAAUAGGGGAAAUUCGGUUGGUGAUCGAAUAUUCGAAGACUGUCACAAUUUCAUGAAUUCGGUUUGUGCCAACAACGAAUGCGGAUAAAUUAGAUGUAUACUCCUAGUCAGGCCUCGUUUCCACCUCCUAUGACACAGUUUCCUCCUCUAGGGGACACACCACUUGACAUGUCAACCGUGUCAAUGUGAAGAACCUAUUGACUGUGGAAUCUCUUGUAGGCCCCAUCAUCGACCAGACGGGAGAGAACAACUGUAGUUCUCGACUGUGGCACAUCAUUAAAUGUUCUCCUAUUCACACACCACACCGGGCUUGCCUUGAGUUCCGGCGACUGACUGUUACUUCUGGCAUGACCAACUCAAGACGCCGAUCACCUAUAACUACUACCCACCCUAGCAUUCCCCCUAGUACUCACCUUCCCCGCCCACUCUACUCACCUGCCAUCAAAUCCCCUCGAACGCUUUCCCUAGCCCUCUCUACUCGCAUGCAAUUAAAUAGCUCACUAAAGUCAGUUGCUAGGGGAAAUGACUAAAAGAAAGAAUUAAACUAAGUACUAAAGAGAACUGAAAAUAAAUACUAAACUGAACAGAGAAAAUAAACUGGAGAAAUAUGUGAUGUUUUAGAUGAGAACGCUGGCAUUUAGGUGCGGUCUCGUUUGGCCCCAGCGCGGAAUGGAGUUAAGCUUUUUGACCAACCGCACAUGCAGCUAAGUCAAUACCAGUAUUAUAGGAUGCGUGCAAUCUACAAAUGGCGGGGGAGUCCCUCACAUAACAUUGUCUCUCAAGUAGCACCAUGUUGAGACAACUCAAUCGCCCUACUUCCCAUCCCAUACCUAUGGUGGCUAACGGAAAGACAUUAAGGUCACGAAGGCCAGACCGAAGGCUAUGGACAACUGUGACUCGUAGAAUAGUUGUGUUCGCCUCAAGAUAUCAACGUUUGUCACCUGGAGGUUCUCAGUUUGCACAACUAUCUAUCACCUUCAUGCGUGGCCUAAGGAGUUGAAUGUCUCCAACUACAUCAAUGGGCCAGACAUCUGCAAUCACUAUAUUACCAUAAUGGUAAAUAAGACAUGAAGAAGACACACAUAAAUAAAAGACACGUAUCAAAUAACUGCUUACUAGACGAUCAACCCAUAGCCAAAAAUUACAUAAAUAAUAUCACAUAUAAAGGGGGUUCAAGAGUUGUUACAACCCAUCACGGAGACCGUGAUGGGGGAGGAGAAGAGGUGUUGAUGGUGGUGAUGGAGGCAGGGGCGGAUAAUGAUGAAUGAUAGUGAAGUGGCGGCGGCCCAUUAUCGCGCCCAACGACGGCGGCUCCCUUCCGGUAUUCCUCCAAGGUUGCAGAAAUGGAGAUGGAGGCUUUCCACUGCCCCCAAGUGCUCAUGAUGUGGACGGCGGUAGGACGUGGAGAGAUUAACUGUGGAUGGCUCGUGGUUGAGGAUGAGAAUAAUGGCGGUGGCUAGGGCUGAUGGUGUAUAUAUAAUAGCUGUCCCAAAGCCUCCUCUGUUGAUGUAGCAGUUGUCCUUUGAUCCAAGGGCUAUAGCGGAGCCAAAUCCUUUCCCAAAACAUCCCUUGAAGGCCAAGAAACUCGUAGGGACAAUGGUGGACAAAAUUUGCAAAGGUCCAUCUGAAAAGGCAACUUUAGGAGUUGUCCGAGCUUAGCACGAGCACUGGUAUGACCACACGCUAUCGUACCAGACGCCGUUGCUUCGGACUCCUAUAGAAAAAUGGUCGUCAUUUCUUUAUAGGAACUUGGAAUUUGACAUUUUUAGGCUCGUUGGAAUCGUAUGAAAGACCCCGAUUCACCUAUGGUUUUAGAUCUUGAUUUGGAGCAGUUUGAAAAUUUUACCUUUUUUACUCUCCGAUAUGCCUGGACGUCCUCCGUUUAAGUUCCUUUCAUCGUGCUAAGUCCAUGAGAAGUUCUCAUCACCUACAAAACACACAAAGACAAAGAAAACUAAUAAAAAACAAUAAAUAAUAAAUAUUAUGUAAUGCUCCUAGUAAAAAGAGUAAAUAUUAGAAAUCAUGCAUGUGGACAUGUAAUUGGCUCAAUGGGACAUGAUAUACAGAGAUAAUAGGCAACUAAUGAGCUCUAAAAUGUGUAGAAUAUGGAGCAAUCAAUAAGCUCCUCAAGACUCUCAAGAAUUGGCACCACUUGCAAUUCCUGCCUUCUUUUAUUAUUAUGACCAAAUAAGUUUGUCCCUGUCCUUUGAAAUAUUUAUUAAAUCUUUUGAACUUGAAAUAAGAAUGCCAAUAGGAUCACAACUUUUAAUAGGUUCACACCAAAUUUCCUGAACAAGAGAAAGUAACUGCUCAUUAUUGAACCAAUUCAAAUUAAAAUGAAAAGUUCUUUUCUUGGGAAGAAGUGCUCUAGAUAUCCCACAAUCCAUGACCAGAGGGUUAUGAUCAAAUAAUUCUCUAAGAAGUUUUCUAACACAGACCAAAGGAAAUAGAUCCUCCCAAGUAGGGGACAUCAAGACUGUCGGGGAUAUACCCCACAGUGUAACCCGGCCGGGUGUAUGACCCAGUUGGACUUGGCAUUUCAUUUGUAAGCCGCCCGAAGAUUGGCGACUCACUGGCGACUCAUCUUGACCUGGCGGUUUACGGACAACCCGCCUAAUAUUGCGACUCACUGGUGACCCGGCGGGCAGGUCAGACGGACGACAAGGCCCAAGGCCCAGACGACCGGCUCAUGUUAUGGUGGGCCGGUUUAAGAGAAAGCAUAAGGUAUAUUCUCCUACAAAGGAAGCAAGACUAGGACUCCACUUGUAAUAGAGUAAUCCUAAUCCUACUAGGACUAGUCAUGUAACCCGCCCCUUCAACAUAUAUAAGGAGGGGCAGGGCACCCAAAGAGGGAUGAUAACCCACAAGUAUAGGGGAUCGCAACAGUUUUCGAGGGUAGAGUAUUCAACCCAAAUUUAUUGAUUUGACACAAGGGGAGCCAAAGAAUAUUCUCAAGUAUUAGCAGUUGAGUUGUCAAUUCAACCACACCUGGAUAACUUAAUAUAUGCAGCAAAGUAUUUAGUAGCAAAGUAAUAUGGAAGUAACGGUAACGGUAGCAAAAGUAAUAUUUUUGGGUUUUGUAGUGAUUGUAACAGUAGCAACGGAAAAGUAAAUAAGCAAAGAGCAAUAUAUCAAAAGCUCGUAGGCAUUGGAUCGGUGAUGGAGAAUUAUGCCGGAUGCGGUUCAUCAUGUAACAAUCAUAACAUAGGGUGACACAGAACUAGCUCCAAUUCAUCAAUGUAAUGUAGGCAUGUAUUCCGAAUAUAGUCAUACGUGCUUAUGGAAAAGAACUUGCAUGACAUCUUUUGUCCUACCCUCCCGUGGCAGCGGGGUCCUAACGGAAACUAAGGGAUAUUAAGGCCUCCUUUUAAUAGAGUACCGGAACAAAGCAUUAACACAUAGUGAAUACAUGGACUCCUCAAACUACGGUCAUCACCGGGAGUGGUCCCGAUUAUUGUCACUUCGGGGUUGCCGGAUCAUAACACAUAGUAGGUGACUAUAGACUUGCAAGAUAGGAUCAAGAACUCACAUAUAUUCAUGAAAACAUAAUAGGUUCAGAUCUGAAAUCAUGGCACUCGGGCCCUAGUGACAAGCAUUAAGCAUAGCAAAGUCAUAGCAACAUCAAUCUCAGAACAUAGUGGAUACUAGGGAUCAAACCCUAACAAAACUAACUCGAUUACAUGAUAGAUCUCAUCCAACCCAUCACCGUCCAGCAAGCCUACGAUGGAAUUACUCACGCACGACGGUGAGCAUCAUGAAAUUGGUAAUGGAGGAUGGUUGAUGAUGACGACGGCGACGGAUUCCCCUCUCCGGAGCCCCGAACGGACUCCAGAUCAGCCCUCCCGAGAGGUUUUAGGGCUUGGCGGCGGCUCCGUAUCGUAAAACGUGAUGAAUCCUUCUCUCUGCUUUUUUUCUCCCCGAAAGUGAAUAUAUGGAGUUGGAGUUGAGGUCGGUGGAGCGUCACGGGGCCCACGAGGCAGGGGGCGUGCCCAGGGGGGCAGGCGCGCCCCCCACCCUCGUGGACAGGGCCUGGGGCCCCUGACGUGGAUUCUUCUUCCAGUAUUUUUAAUAUUUUCCAAAAAUAUGUUCCGUCGAGUUUCAGGUCAUUCCAAGAACUUUUGUUUCUGCACAUAAAUAACACCAUGGAAAGUCUGCUGAAAACAGCGUCAGUCCGGGUUAGUUCCAUUCAAAUCAUGCAAGUUAGAGUCCAAAACAAGGGCAAAAGUGUUUGGAAAAGUAGAUACGACGGAGACGUAUCAAGGGACGAGAAAUAAUCUUAAGGCUAGACACAACUAGGAGAGCCGGUUUACGGCGACUCCCUCGUGAUGAUAAUGAGACCUAGCCACAAACAGCAUGUAGGGUUGUUACCGGAUGAUGUUUCCCGGGGCCCGAAGGUGUCUAAACCCUUGUCUUGUGUUGCGUCUCUCGAUUCCGCUCAACCCCUCUCAAGCUACCACAUAGAUGUGUUGGCCUCACGACUAAGUCCUCACACUAGGACAUCUGCAGUGACAAUUCCAUGACAGUUGGCGCCCACCGUGGGGCUCGCGCACGGUGGUGUUGAGUUCUUGAAGGGAUUUUUCUAGGAUUUUGAGAAGCUCGCAAUUUUUUGGAUCAAGAAAGUCGGCUCAGAAGGAUCUACGUCAAAUCAGUUACAAUUGAAAGGAUUUCCGUGGUGUUCUAAAUCGAAUCAGAGUUAAAGGUGUGCCGCCCGACGCCGCGAAGACAUCGAGUUGGUGAGACCGAGAGAUAAACCAAAACUAGAUUAAUUUUGGAGCACUGGCAGCUGUCAAUAGUUGGAAUUGGAUCAGAAAAGGGAAAAGAUGAUCAUGACCCGAAAGAGGAUACGACGAUGAUGCGGUUUUCCCCUCGCGGGCGCGCCUCGCCGCCGUGACUCGCUCCGCCUCCGGCUUCCAAUCCGUCGGCCGUCUCUACUCCGAGUCGGCCUACUCCCGGCUGAGAACCGCUCGCACCUGGACUCCGUCUUGCAUCGACCGAGGCCCGCCGCCGUGGCUCCGCGUUACUGGCUUCAAGCCGCGUCAUCACCUCCGAGCCGUGCGUCGUGUCCGCCUCCUCCGAGCCGUUGUCGUGUCUACCUCCUCCGAGUCGCCCCGCGCCCUCACCUACGAGCCGCCCGCGUCUGCUACCACGAGUCGCUGGCACUGCCCCCGCGGCCUCGCCAAGUCACCAAGUUGCUGCUGCCACCGUCUCGAGCCGCCUCAGUUCGCCGCUCGUCCCAAGCCGCCUUGUCAGGUCAAGACCGACGCCGCAGUCCGCUUCAGCCAUAGCCGUGGGCCUCCCUCGCCUCAUCUUCGGUCACGAGCCGCCCGCCGCCGUCGCUGCAUCUCAUUCCAGCGUUGAGCUGCCAGCGUCUGCUGCAAGUCGCCACUUCUGUUAGAGUUGUGUCGAAUAUAAUGUACAAGGUAGGUUAUAGUUGGACUAUGAGUUGUGUUGUGUUUACAUAGGAUGUGGAGUCGUGUCCUAGUAGGACACUUGUAUCCUAGGCCUCUCAUAUAUAGCGGGGGUAGACACACAUGUAAUCUAUGCCAACAUAAUAGCACAGGAACGCAGGGGAAGCCGGCGGCAUGUGCCGGCGUCCAGGGUGACUUGGUGCGGUAUUGUAGCGGUGUCAUGGGGAGGAGCGCCCAUAGUCAGACCCCGGGGAUGUAGCUAUAUCGGUGAACCUUGUUAACAAAUCUUGGUGCCAUGCUCGUGUGAUUGCUUGGUCCUCGGAUGAUCAACAGUAUGCCUCAGAUUUAUUCUAACAAGUGGUAUCAGAGCAAGGUUCAAAGAAGGCCGAUGGAUCAUUGAUCAAGAGGUGAAACUACGGAGGCCGCGGGAUUGAAGAUCGAGUUAUGUGGUUUCAUCGGAAUCGGUUGCAUGCGUCUGGACGUAUUUGCUGGUGCGAUCGGAAAGACGAAACGUAUCCAAUGGAGUCAAUCGACACGCAGCACAACGCACGCAGAAGAUGACAAGCGCACGCAACAACAGGCAACAUCACACAAGUGCGUGGCAGCAGCUGGUGACCUAAGAGGCGGCGGGGGCGAUCUGAUCUUUUUUUUGGUAAGGGUUGACCGAUCAAGGAGUGCGGGGGGCGCUCAAGGCCCAGCAUGGUUCAGCGAGGCUGUCAAGGCCCAGCGCGGAGCGAGAGCUUGAGGCCCAGGUCUAUGGAGCUGAAGCGGAAGGUUGCGUGAUGUACUGGUACGGACACGUGCAAAGGAGAUUUGUUUGAGACAAAAAGAGAAAAGGCUACAGGACCACGUGUGUGUGUGCAUGAGAGCAGUUUGGUUGGAUCAAGUUUUGUCCUUUGUCUGCUAUAAGGUACAUGGAGAAGCAACAACAAACAGCGACAGGAAAGAAGAAGAAUUGUGCAGUUUGCAUGGAAGUUUUUUUAGGUUGGUUUGCUGUGAUGGCUUGGAACACGUGGGCAGGUGGCGGAGGCGCGCGGACAAGCGUGUCAUAUGGGAUGUGCAUACAAGGCUUGUGGAGUCUGGUGCAUGCCGUGCAGCCGGACAAGUUCGGCUGGGUCGGACUAGAUAGUCUGACGGGUCGACGCAAGUCGGUUGAAACAGAAGACGGUGGUGGGAUUAGCGACGAUGACAUAGGAGCGUGAUGCUGAUGGUGACCGACUUCUGGGCAUGGAAACACGCGGCACGGGACUGAGUGCUCGUGUGGCUUCGACAAGACUAUGGCGCGUGGUUGAUUCAAGGCGGUGCACAUGAGAGUUUGAAGUCGACGGGGCGCGAGGGUGGACUGAUCAUCUACCAUGGAGUCAUGUUGAAGGUGGAGCUGGAGUCUGGAAGACUUCACUUAGUGCUGAUUGAGGGGCUACGGCGUAAGUGCACAGAGAGUCGAAGCCUAUUCAGCGGAGAAAAGCGAGUGACGUGCAGUUUGGACUGGAGCCUAGUGGUGUGAUGGAAGCAUGAAACUCGUCAUCGGUCGGUGAUGAUCGGUGGUACUCUGCAGUGGGUGUUGAGUGGUGUGGGUUCGCGACCCUUGAGACUCGACCGGGACAGCGGAAGCUCGACGCGGUAAUAGCGGCGAGGCUUGCGGUAUGCACGGGCAUGGAGACGGGCCAGGGCUCUGGUGGUCAUACAUGUGGUGAGACAAUUGUGAAUUUGACUCGGGAUGACUACAAGCAAUGGUGACAUUCCUUCAAGUUCCAGACAGGCGGUCAAGAAAGGAGCGGUGAUGUUGAGUUUAGGUAACUCUUAUGUGUGACACCCAAUAUGUGAGUUGUUCACUUUCACGCAGGUCAGUGAUCAGUGUGUGAUGGCGUUGGACGGAUACACUGGAAGUUGGGAGCACAAACUAGAGUAACAAGGAACUUAAUUUUGCUCGAGUGUUGACUGUGGUCAAGAAAAGAAGGGACUACAAGUUGCAGGUGGAGUCACAUGGAGUUUUGGAGUAGCAGCGAUACUCAUAGGAUAUCCUCAAGUCCAAUGUACAUGGAAGUUUGACGCAUGGACAAAUCCAGGGUGGUGGAGUAUAUUCGCCAAGGUGGAGUUUGUUAGAGUUGUGUCGAAUAUAAUGUACAAGGUAGGUUACAGUUGGACUAUGAGUUGUGCUGUGUUUACAUAGGAUGUGGAGUCAUGUCCUAGUAGGACACUUGUAUCCUAGGACUCUCAUAUAUAGCGGGGGUAGACACAAGAUGUAAUCUAUGCCAACAUAAUAGCAUAGGAACGCAGGGGAAGCCGGCGGCAUGUGCCGGCGUCCAGGGCGACCUGGUGCGGUAUUGUAGCGGUGUCAUGCGGAGGAGCACCCAUAGUCAGGCCCCGGGGAUGUAGCCAUAUCGGUGAACCUCGUUAACAAAUCUCGUUGUCGUGCUCGUGUGAUUGCUUGGUCCUCGGAUGAUCAACGGUAUACCUCGGAUUUAUUCUAACAGCUUCAAGGCCCCCAUCUGCUAGCAGCACUGAUGGUUCGCCUCGUUAAGCCGGGUCAAACCCUCUGCUGCAUCGCGCCGUUGCUGAAACCGCACCCGCGACCGUCCGAGUCGCCGUCCCCGAAGCUGCCCUCUGCUCCAAGUCACCGCAGCCUCGGCGCCGCCGUGUCUCCGCCGUCACUCUGCACCUUUGCGCGGCACCGCUCCGCCCUCCACCGCUGCUGCCUCGAGCAGCUACCGCAUUUGCAGUUCCGCCGAGCCGGCCGCCUCCGCCACUGCGGCCUCUGCUCGACCCGCUUUCUCCUUCACACUGUCCCAGCUGCAUUUCGCGCCCAUGGCCGUCCGGCUGCUGCAGGCCUCCGGCCGCCUGCUCACGCAUUGACUGUCCAAAGGGGGUGCGCGCAGCUGUCCAACUCACCUCCGCACUGAAUAUUCAUGUGGCCUACUACCCCCGAAGUUGAAAGCAAAUCAGUCCAAAAGCUCAUUAAAAAAGUGAAGGAUAAGGAGGGCGGUGGCCGUUGUAUCAGAAGUUAAAAGCUACAAGUACUAUUGCAUGGAAAAGCAAGAGGAGAUGUAUUUAUCCACUAUCAGCAUCUGGGUCAUGCCAGGCGCUGCCUCCGCCGUCACGUCAAGCUGCUGUGGCUCAAGCCGCCGCCCGCGACUCAGCUCGAGUCUCCCAGCCUCACGUCAAAGUGUUCAGCUGAUUGCUAUCGUGGGGAUAUCAAGAUUUUUAAAUAGAACUGGUGUUAAAAAAGGAGCUACGGCAACCUCUGCAAUAGCUGAUCAUCAGAGUAUUAUGUAUACACCCGAUGGACUAUACUAUUGUCAGUUUAUUGACGGAUAUUACAUACGGAUCUUCCGACGUCCGGACAAAUCAAGUGAUAUCCAUCUAAAUCUAUUUUCUUGGUAUAUACUGUUUUUUUAUCAAGGGAACAAUUACUUUGGUCCGUAUAUUUUGAUAUGCAGGACAAUUAUUCAUUACAAACGUGGUUUAUACCAUGGGUACGGAGCACGCGCAAUGUCCUGCCCGUUGUUCGUCCGUGCCACAUUACACGGUGAAUGGACGCGUGCAAGACGCCGCCCUUACGGCCCGGUUUACAUCAACUUGCCGGGACCGCGCCUGCGAUUGACUCGCUCGUCUGUACUGGCUUACAACGCCGUGACCGACUCAUCUGCUCUUGCCGCCUCUGAUACGGUGGACGUCUUUACCGUCCGUCUCUCGUCAUCCGGUCUACAUCAACACACCGUGCCGCACGUGUGUGCACAAGCUGCUUAAUGAGCCGGAUGGCUCAAUGGGCAGUCGACCUCAACUUUAUGUGGAUUCACAUCGAGUUAUCAACACCAAGGAUAUACAAUGAGUAUGGUGAAGAUUAUCAACUCGCCACCUUGCCUCCAGCUUCGACAUAUUCCAACGUUCUGCUGUUCAGCUAUAUGCCGGUUUAUAUCACGGUCAAGUAUGGAGAAUCUGAAGCCAAGUCCCCGAGCCGUCUUAAUACUCGGGGGCUACAAUGGCAUGACUCGGUAGAAUUGGCCGAUUUCAAUGAACUCAAGAACUCCGGGUCAUUGGAGGGAAAAUUAACCCGGCACCGGAGAUUACUGCUAUAUCGAUGAAAAUUUAAGGGCCGUCAGAAAGUUUCUGGCUCAAAAUGGAAGUUCCGGUUCAAGGGAAAUAUGUCUCCUACAAAGAGCUGAAGCUCUUAAUAUCCGGUUCAAGGGAAAUCUGUCUCUCACAAAGCUUUGAAGCUCUCAAUAUCCGAUUUGAAAUUCCGAUUUCAAAAGAAUUCAUCUCUCGGAAGUUCGAGUUCUCAGAAAAAAUUACAGGGACCAAAGAGAGUUUGUUGCACAACACAACUCAAACAUAGGCACCCAGCGAGCACAAUUCAGAAAUAUAUCAGUUGGGGGCUUCCGGCUUAUUGAGCUAAGCUAUGAUGACCCUUUUGAUCCGGCUUAUACGCCAUGCUUACAAAAACACUUGGGGGCUUGCUACCCAGGUCAACAGGGACCAAAGAGAGUCUCCUGCAAAAGCACAACUCAAACAUAGGCGCCCAUUGAGCACAGCUCAAAAAUAUUGCUUGGGGGCUCCUUGUUCUAAAAAACAAAGAGUUUUUAUAACCCUAGUAAUAGGCUUAAAACCCAGGCUUGGAAGUGUAAGUGCAUCUAGUGCCCCUUAGUGAUUUUGGUGUAUUGAAGACUGAUAGGUUAAGGGACUAAUGUGUUUAUGAGUGUACACAGGUCUAUAGGUCUAUGAGGAGUUUGAUAUUUACACAGAAAGUUGACCCCUAAAAAUGAAUAUCUUCGACUGAAGAUUUUGGUUUUCUGAAGACUUUCUGAAGACUUUGAAAGUGAAGAAAUUGGUGUGACCUUGAAGACUUGGAAUUCAUACGAGGAACAUGAAGCGUGAAGACUUUUGUUUUCGUAGUUUCAUUUUCACUUUCUUGAGUCAUAGGAAACACCGUACUGUUAAAGGGGGUCGAGGAAAUACUAAGGGAAAAUUUCCAUGUGAUGCUCAACUCAAAAUCCUACACCUACUAAUCCCUUCGAGUGAAGCCAUUGGAAAUCUCUUAUAUUUCAGUCAAUUUCUUCAGUGACAGAGACGAAGUUCUUCUGGUCUCUGAGGAAUUUGUUCUGACUGAGGAGUUAGGAAUUCGCCAGUGCGGAUUGCCUACACAGUGAGGAACAUGAUAGCCCUAAGGAAAUUGAGCCUCAAAAUUCCGACCGUUGCUAUGCUAUGCGCCAGCUGUCCCAAAAUAUCUACUCACCUAACGGUCAUAUCAUUCAAGGGCAUUUAUGUCUUAUCAUGUCGGGCUGCUCCCUAGGCUAUAAAUAGCCGCCCCCUACAACCACUAGCUGGUUGGUUGCUCCGAGAGAAACUGACACUUGUCAUUGGAGAGCAUCCCAUCCUCCGAGGACUUUGAGCGAAAAUCAUCAAGUGAGGAAAACCCAAAUCCAAACACCUACAAACCCAAAGUGAUUGAGCAUCACUGAAGAGAUUGAUCCUGCGUGGAUCCGACGCUUGUUACCUUUGAAGACUGUGCAUCUUCCAGACGGUUAGGCGUCAUGGUCUAGAGCAUCCAAGAGGAAAUUGUGGAUAGCCGAGUGACCGAGUUUGUGAUGGUUUGGAAGUCAGCUGAAGACUUACCACGAGUGAUUGGGCGAGGUCUGUGUGACCUUAGCUCAAGGAGAAUACGGUGAGGACUGUGUGUCCGGGACUGUGUGUCCUCAGGUUUAAAUACCUAGCCACUCCAACCAGACGUACAACUGUCACAGCAGUUGGAACUGGUCUACCAAAUCAUUGUCUUCACCAAGCCUACUGGUUCUAUUUCCUCAGAUCUUCCAUUUCCUCAUUACUGUGUUGUGCACUUGUUCAUAUCUGCUUUGAAGACUUUGACUGAAGACUUUCUCAAUUUCCUCAGUUCAAUUUCUUCAGUCUGAUUGUCUUCAUCCUGUGUUAUCCUGUGUUUACGCUUUCUGUACUCUAUGCUUGUCUUCAUUUCUUCAUGAUGACCAUGCUUGUGUUCUGUUAUGUUUACAUCUGAGUACUUAUUCUGCUGCAAGUAGUUCUUCACUCAGGAAUUUCCUCACCCGCAAAUUCCUCAGUGAAGAAUUCAUAAAAAUCGCCCAUUCACCCCCCUAGUCGAUAUAACGCACUUUCAAUUGGUAUCAGAGCAAGGUACUCCCUUGUUCUGUUUUAUUUUGGUUUAACCGCAUGGAGUUUUAGUUAUGUCGACUGCAGGUAUGAUCAAGGUCUCUGCUGGGUGUCCUACCUUCGAUGGGACGGACUACCCCUACUCGAAGAAUAAGAUGCGAAUGCAUCUUGAGGCAAUUGAUAACGAUCUCUGGUAUGUUGUGCAAAAUGGUGUUCCCUCAAUCACACCCUCUCUGAAUGCUGCUGAUGUGAAGAGAUUCAAGCAACUCGAUUCUCAAGCGAAGAACAUCAUAUGUGGCCAUCUGAGCAAAGGACAGUAUGGUAGAGUGAGUGCUUUGGAAACUGCUAAGCUUAUCUGGGAUAGGCUGUCCAAAGUCAAUGAAGGAGUCUCAACACAACGUGACUCUUGAGUUGACGUUCUUCGCAAUCUCUUCAACCGCUUCAAAAGACUCGACAACCAAAAUGUUCAACAAACCUUCGAUCGCCUCACUGACAUCUCAAAUGAGCUUCAAGCACUUGGUGCCACUGACAUCACCGACCAUGAGGUGGUGAAGAAACUGCUGAGAUCGCUUGAUUCCUCAUUUGAUACUCUGGCACUGAUGAUACAAGAACGUGGAGAUUACAAGUCACUUGAUCCCGCUGAUAUUCUCAAGAGGCUAAACACUCAUGAGUUCCAGCUUGCUGAGAAGAGAGAUCUCUAUGGUUCGAGCUAUGGCAGAUCACGUGCCCUGAAGGCCAAGGCAGUUUCUGAAUCUGAAGAUGAAGAUUCUGGCAGCAGCCUUGGUGACCCCGAAGAACAGAGCCAGGAACUAGCACAGCUCGUGAAGAAAUUUCAGAAGUUCUCAAGACAUGGUCGCUUUGGAAAAUCCUCAAGGAGCAAUGAUUCAUCAUCCAGUGACAACAAGAAGAGGCUAUGCCACAAAUGCAAGAAACCUGGUCACUACAUUCAAGAUUGUCCUCAGUGGGAAAAGGAAUCAAAGAAGAAGAAAUAUAAGGAUUACAGUUCUGAUGAUGCGAAGAAGAAGAAGAAAUCUUCAAAGUCUUCAUCAUCAAAAUCCUCAAAGUCUUCAUCUCACAAGAAGAGCAGCUCCAAGAAGGCUCGGGCAUUCACAGGCAAGGAAAUGGACUCAGAGGCUGAAUCUGAGGAACAUGAGGAAGAGGAGGCAUCUGAGGAGUCUGAGUCUAGUGUGGCGAGUCUAGCUCUCGCUACUGCAUUGUCAGCAAGUCUAUCUUCAACUCUGAAGAAAAUGGCUUCACCAACAAGGCCGAUGAAGGUGAUGAUGACUACGCUCCCACCUAUUGCUUCAUGGCAAAGGGUGCCAAGGUACUCAAAUAUACCUCCUCUGAAUCAAGUGAGGAUGAAUCUGAUGAAAACCUCAAGCCCAGCUAUUCUAAACUUGCUAAGAUUGCUGUGAAACAACAAAAGGCUUUUGAAAAGGUUCAAAACAUGCUAGACAAAAGUGAUGAUAUGUUGGGUGAAGAAAUGGAUCGCACUAAAACCUGGACUGAAAAUCUCCAGAGACUUCAGUCUAGGUUUGACAAUCUUCAAGGUCAUCAUAACACUCUUAUCUGAUCAUGAGAAGCUUUCUUAUGAAUUUCUUCAAAGAAAGCAAGAUCUUGAAAAGCUAAGGGUGAGUUAUGAAGAUCUUCAGAAGGAGCGUGAUUCAUUACUUGCUCAACAAAUCAGCGCUACUCAGGAAGAAUUUGUUCCUCCGUGUUUGAAGUGAAUUGAACAUGAAUCUGCUAAUUCUUCAUCUGAAUGUUCAAAUGCUUCUAAUGCUACAAAUUCUUCACCUGUCUCUGCUAUCACUAAUUCCUCAUCUAAGGACAUUGCUAGUAUCACUGAUGAUGCAUGGCUGAAGGAAUUGUACAUGAAAGUCAUGUACAAAAGCCUCAAAGGGCAUCAGACUCUUUGUGAUGUGCUUAGAAAGCAGAUCCUCAACAGGAGCCCUAGGAAAGAGGGUAUUGCCUUUGAGAGGAAAAUCAAUGCUGAUGGAACAUAUUGGAAGCCUGAGCAGUACCCCAAAACCUCGUGGGUUGCUGCAAAGGGACCUCCAGUAGAUCCAUCUAAUCUAUGUGGCUAUACAUGUGAUUCUCCUCAUUCUUCCGAUGAGUCAUUUGACUCCAACUAUAAACUGUUCAAAAAUCAGAAUGGUGAAGUAUUUGCUAGAUAUGUUGGCACUAACUGCAGGAACGGCUCCCCUAUGAAGAAAAUCUGGGUUCCCAAAAGGUACCUUGAAAAUCUUCAGGUGAAUGUCAUCAUGACACCACCUGUGAAGAAUAGGAACCCCAGAUCAAAUUCUUCAUAUGGACCAAAUUCUUCAUAUGGAUCCAAGUCCUCUUACGGACCAAACUCCUCACAUGGAUCAAAUUCCUCAAAAGGAUCAAAGUCCUCAUAUGAAUAUCAUCAUGCUAACACCUCUGUUUCACAGGGAAGAGCUAAGGGCUAUGAAUAUGAGCAUUAUUCUUCUAAUCAUUAUGUUCAUAAGUCCUCAAAGAAUUUCUCUGCUUAUUCAUAUGCUUAUCCUAACUCCUCGCAUGUGAAAAGAAAUGGACUGGCUUCUAUGCCACCUUUCUCGUAUGGAUCUCGUAGAGUGAUGAACUCUUUGCCACCCCUUCAGAUGUGGGUGGUGAAGAAAAAGAACUAAUCUCUUCUGCAGGGUCAGGUCUCCAGACGUGCUUAAUCGUCUGAAGAAUUUGCUGGAGACCUGAAAUUGCCUGAAUGGACGCAGGCUAAUCAUGAAGAAAUGAACCCUCAUUUCUCACGUCCUCAUACCGUUUUAUCUGUUCUAUUGGUUGAUGAAAUUGAUCUGAUGAAUUAAUGUCAUAUUCUUCACAGAUGAAGUAUAUGAGUACGUAAGAUGCACUAAUUCAUCUGUAGGAUGAUCAACCCAAAGCAAAUGAGUGGGUCCUCGAUAGUGGAUGUACAAAUCACAUGACUGGUGACAAGAAUCUAUUGAUGGAUGUUCCCUUAUCUCCAUCGCAUCUGAAGCAUAUCAUCUUCGCUGACAAAGGCAAAAGUCAGGUAUUGGGUCUAGGUAAGGUUGCGAUCUCAAAGGAUCGACACAUGGACAAAGUCAUGCUUGUCGAGUCCUUAGGAUACAACCUCAUGUCUGUCUCAAUGCUUUGUGAUCUUGAUAUGGUUGUUAUCUUUGGCAAGUAUGGUUGUGUUGUGAUCAUGGAAGCUGACAAUUCCAAAGUCUUCGAAGGCUUUAGAAGAGGAGACUUGUAUAUUAUUGAUUUCACUACAGGACCUCAACCAGCUGUAUGUCUACUUGCAAAAGCUUCAGAAGGCUGGCUAUGGCAUCGACGACUUGGUCAUGCUAGCAUGAGGAAUCUGCACACGCUCACGAAGAAGAAGCAUGUCAUUAGCAUUGAGAAUGUCAAAUUCCUCAAGGUUCACUUGUGUGGAGCCUGUGAAGAUGGAAAGAUGACCAAGGCCAAGCAUCCAGCAAAGACAAUCAUGACUACCACUCGACCAUUUGAAUUGCUUCACAUGGAUCUCUUUGGUCCUAAUCAUUAUUCUGCUGUUACAAAUGAUGCAUCUCUAUAUGUCUUUGUUAUUGUUGAUGAUUACUCUCGUUACACAUGGGUGCAUAUUGUCACUUACAAACAUGAGGUGCAGGAAGUCUUCAAACGAUAUUCUUCGAGGGCUUCAACCAACUUUGGUGUGAAGAUCAAGCACAUCAAAUGUGACAAUGGAACUGAGUUCAAGAAUUCUGGUCUUGAUGACUAUCUUGAUGAACUCGGUAUUGCUCAUGACUUAUCUGCUCCUUAUACUCCUCAGCAAAAUGGUGCCGUGGAGCACAAGAACAGGACUCUUGUUGAGAUGGCUCGCACUAUGCUUGAUGAAUACAAGAUGCCUCAUCGUUUCUGGAGUGAGUCAAUUGAUACUGCAUGCCACAUCAUCAACAGGGUAUAUCUUCACAAAUUCUUCAAGAAGACUGCUUAUGAACUCCUCACUGACAAGAAACCCAAUGUGAGUUAUUUCAAAGUCUUUGGUGCUAAAUGUUGGAUUAGAGAUCCUCAUCACAACUCAAAAUUUGCACCGAAAGCGCAUGAAGGUUUUAUGCUUGGUUACGAAAAGGACUUGCACACCUACAGAGUCUUCAACAACGUUCUUCACAAAGUUGUUGAAACUGUAGAUGUGCGGUUCAAUGAAACUAAUGGCUCGCAAAGAGAGCACCUACCUUCUGUGUUAGAUGAACAGUCACCUGAGGAAUCUAUCAAGUUCAAAGCUACUGAGGAUGUCAUUCCCACCGAAGAAUAUGUUGAAGAAAUCAUUCCAGAACGUGAAGAACAUCAUGCUGAUGCACCUGAAGAAAAUAGUGCUGAAGAAAAUGCUGAUCAAAUUCCUCGACGACAACCCGCUCAUCCUCGCGUUGCAAACGAAGUGCAGAUUGAGAAAAUCAUCAGCGACAUCAACAUUCCAGGUCCUCUCACACGCUCAAAAGCUUCACAUUUGUCUAACUUUUGUGGGCACUUUGCUUUCAUCUCUAUCACAGAUCCCACUAAGGUAGAUGAAGCAUUUCUGGAGCCUGAGUGGAUUCAAGCUAUGCAAGAAGAAUUACAUCAGUUCGAGCUCAACAAUGUCUGGGAAUUGGUUAAUCGCCCAGAUCCUCGCAAGCACAAUAUCAUUGGCACAAAGUGGAUCUACCGCAACAAGCAAGAUCAAAAUGGCCUUGUGGUGAGGAAUAAGGCACGGCUUGUAGCUCAAGGCUACACACAGGUUGAAGGAAUUGAUUUCGAUGAAACUUUUGCACCUGUUGCUAGACUUGAGGCUAUUCGCAUAUUACUUGCUUAUGCUAACCAUCAUGAUAUCACUUUAUAUCAAAUGGAUGUGAAAAGUGCAUUCCUCAAUGGUAAGCUUGAGGAAGAAGUAUAUGUUGCUCAACCCCCAGGUUUUGAAGAUCCAAAACAUCCUGACAAAGUCUUCAGACUCAAUAAGGCCCUCUAUGGCCUCAAGCAGGCCCCUCGGGUGUGGUAUGAUACUUUGAAGGAAUUCCUCAUGAAGAAAGGCUUCAAACCCGGUUCACUUGAUCCUACUAUUUUCACUAAAUCUUAUGAUGGUGAAUUGUUUGUGUGCCAAAUUUAUGUUGAUGAUAUUAUCUUUGGCUGUACUGACCAACGUUACAGUGAUGAAUUUGCCUAUAUGAUGAGUGAAGAAUAUCAAAUGUCUAUGAUGGGAGAAUUGAAAUUCUUCUUAGGUCUUCAAAUUCGUCAACAGCGCAAUGGCAUAUUCAUAUCUCAGGAGAAAUACCUCAAGGAUGUACUGAGGAAAUUCGGCAUGCAAGAUUGCAAAGGGGUCAAAAUUCCAAUGCCCACAAAUGGCCAUCUAUGCAAUGAAAAUGGUAUUGACUUUGAUCAAAAGGUAUACCGCUCCAUGAUUUGUUCUUUAUUGUAUUUAUGUGCAUCUAGGCCAGAUAUUAUGCUUAGUGUUUGCAUGUGUGCCCGAUUUCAAGCGACACCGAAUGAAUCACACCAUAAGGCUGUGAAGCAUAUUCUUCGAUAUCUAGCUCACACACCAACACUUGGAUUAUGGUAUCCCAAGGGCUCGGUUUUUGAUCUAAUUGGAUAUUCAGACUCUGACUAUGCUGGUGAUCGUGUGGACCGCAAGUCAACAUUAGGCACAUGCCAUUUCCUCGGAUGAUCUUUGGUCUGUUGGUCCUCGAAGAAACAGAACUGCGUAUCACUGUCUACUGCUGAAGGUGAGUACAUUGCUGCUGGUUCUUGUUGUGCUCAAUUGCUAUGGAUGAAGCAAACUCUCAAGGACUACGGCGUUAACAUGAAGAAUGUGCCUCUCUACUUUGACAAUGAGAGUGCAAUCAAGAUUGCUCACAACCCAGUUCAGCACUCGAAGACAAAGCACAUUCAGAUUCAUCAUCAUUUUCUUCGUGAUCAUGUAUGGAAGGGCGACAUCUCUAUUGAGCUUGUAAGGACUGAAGAACAGCUAGCCGAUAUCUUCACUAAGCCCUUGGAUGAGAAGACAUUUAGCAAGUUGAGGUGUGAGCUAAAUAUCCUAGAAUCUUCGAAUGUUCUUUGAAAAGGACACACAUCCUAACACUUAUGCAAAAUUGAUGACUUAGAUGUGCAACAUGCGAAGAAAAGUUUUUCUUCAAUCAAUGAAGACUAACACUUGAAGUGUGAAGAAAUUAACGAAGAAUUUGAUUCUCAGAGCCCUACGACAAUUGUACGCGGUGUCUGAAAUCAUCAUUCUUACACGGUGGGUUACGCCACCACCAAAAGUUGAAAAUCUUCAAUUGAGUUUUUCCUUAGUUUUGAAAUUCCUCAGUUGUUCAUUUUCUUCAACUUUGCAUUGUCUUCACCAUUUCCGUUGUUUUUCUUCAAUGCCUAUUUAUAUAUAUGGAGUUAUGUCCUCUACAGCAUUCACUUAUUGCUAAUUAUUCAAGUUGCUUUUUCUGCUAAGUGAAUGUGAUCGGACCCUUUCCCCUCUAUGCUAAACUCAACCCAGUCUAUUCACAAAUUCUUCAUGUGCUUUCUAUUUGAAACUCGUUCAAAAUCUUCACUGUGUCCUUGUCAGCUGAAGAAUUUGCGAACGGAACUUUAAAACUUAUCUUAUCUAAAUUUUCGGCUUUGCCGCUCAAACCGUUCCGCAUACUGUGAGAUGUUUAUCUAUUCACCCACGAUCUCACACGAUCGCCACCUCUCAGUACGUGGGUGACACAUGUCAAGCGAAUGAGAAGGGUCAGGGGCACGUUCGUCCAAUUUCUUCGGGCGAACAGUUUUUCACUCCGUCUAUAAAUACCCCUUCCCUUCCCCUCUUCACCUUUACUCUGACCUCUCUCCCGCUCGAGCUUCCCAAAACCUAGUGCCGCCGCUACUUCAUCGCCGUCGGUGCCUCGACCUCGUCACCGUCGUACUCGCGCCGGCUGCGGAUUUCUUCACUCCGCCGCCGCCGUAGCUGCCUUCCUCUGCCGAGUUAGGGCGUGGAAGAUCUGAACUGACGAACUUCACAUCUACACUUCCCAGUUCGCCAUGUUCUUCAUCCAGGGUAAUUAAAAGUUACUUUUACUGCCCUCUUUGAUUCAAAUGUUUACUACAAAAUCUUCAAAGGUGUUUAUUCCUCAAAUUCUUCACACUCUAAACACCUCACAUGUCAUCUGUUCUUGAUCCGUUUCUCUAAGCAACAUUUUUUUAAGAUUCCUCAAUUGUGUGGAUUUUCGAUCUAUGCAACUCUGGAACCUAUGACAAAGAACGCUUAGUGAAAUUCUUCAAGACACAUAUGGUAAAAUUCCUCAAACUCGUUCUUUUUGAAAAACCUUCUGAGAACGCAUAUGACCUCUCCAAAUUCUUCGCAACUAUACUCUGUUCACAGGUACUCAUGUCCGCUGCUGAAUCACUAGGUUCUCAUCAACUUAACUCAUUUGCAGCGUUCCUCGAAGAAAAGUUGCAUACCUCUUCAGAAAAUUCUAUUGUUCAUAUUCCUCAGCUGAAGAAAAUGGCUGAUGGUAAGAAGCCACAGAAAGGAGGAAAUAGGCCCGAGGUCAACACAGCAUUUGAGAUCCCUGAGGACAUCUAUGCUGGAUACUGCACACCCCCUGAGGAGGAUAAAAAUCAGCGCAAGGUGCGCAUUCAAAAGAUUGAGAGGAGAUGGGCACGGGAAUGGAGGGAGUACAGAUAUGUCACUCCCAAGUAUAUGAAGAAAUUCGCUCUAAAUCCUCCAUGCCCAAGACCUCCAUUGGCACCUGGCCAAGAAGCUGAUCCCACCAGCCUCAAGUGCGGUGAGGACUAUCGUGAUGAAUGGGCCAAGCGCCAGGCCAAGCUAGCCAAAAUAGCUAAGGAAACUGUGAGGAAAUUUAAUGAAGACUCUGCUGCUGCUGCUACCACUGCUGAGGCCUCCAGUGUCAAGCCGAAGAAGGCCAUGGCAAAGAAGCCUGCUCAUAAGCCAAGUGCUUCAUCCUCAAUGCCCUCACGGCCAAGUUCCUCGGCAAUGCCCUCACGGCCAGAUUCUUCAAAGCCCUCAUGGCCAACUCCUCAAGCUACUCCAGCUCCUCCGCCAAAGUCCUCAGCUCCUCCGACAAAAUCCUUAGCACCUGUGCAUCUCGCCAUGUGCCAAAGGACAACAGGCAUCUCUAUUGCCUCAGGAGCUUCUGCUAGUUCUUCAGCUCCACCAAAUUCUUCAACUGGCACCUCUCUGCUGAAGAAAAAGGCCACUGCUGGAUGAGGCACUCGACCAAGUCCUCACAAGAAGCAUGUUGCCUUUCAAGUGCCAUCUGAUGAAGACAAAGCUGAUGAUGAAGAACUUGCCAAAAUCAUCAGAGACAGGCAGCUCAAGGCCGCUAGAGCCAAAGGCACAAAUGUGCCUCUACUUUUGGAUCCAAAAUUGAUCCUUGAUUACAUUGAUCUCUGGCACAAGGACCCCAACACUCUUAUGCCUGAUUUCAAGCUGACUCCUGGCCAGAGUCAUAUGCUGACUGCCUUCAUUCAAGAAGAAAAAUGGAAAUUUGAAAAGGCAAGGCAGUUGAAGAAAGCGCAGUACAAGAAGGAGCGCUUCAUGAAGAAAAACGUUGUCUCCAUGACAACUAAAGAACUUGUCACUAUUCAAUCUAAGAUCAAGAAGCUCAGUGAUGAAUUUGACGUAUACCACGCUGGAUUGGAGCCAAAGUCAGAUUUGUGAAUUUGACUGAAAAGUUCACUUCCAAUGUUGCAGCCCCAACGCAACAAGAAAAGCCUCAGGCUGAGGCUUCUGCUCAGCCGACUGAAGAACAUGCCAGCACCGCUGAUGACAUUCAGGCUGCUGAAGAAACUCAGAGUACCAGGGCUGAUGACUGCAUUCCAGCCGCUGAAGAAAUUGCCAGGGCAACCACUAGUGUUGCGCCUGAAGAAAUUGAAGAAGUCAGGGCAACUGCAUCUGUUGUGCCUGAAGUAAUUGAACCAAAUUCCUCUGCUCCUCCUGCACCUAUCUCAACUCCGAUCCUUCCGUCUGUAUCAGACGUGAAGAAAACCAAGGCUGCAGAGCGUGCAACAGUGAAGAAAAGGAAAGCAUCAACUUCAUCAGAUUCUUCAGCUCCGAAGAAGAUGAAGCCAUUGACCAGCUCUUUUGCGAAUCCAAUUGAUGCUAUUCCGGUCUCAUCUAUGCCAUCAAAGGACCUUGUUCCUUUUUAUGAAGAAUAUGUGAUUCCUAGUGAAUCAGAUGAAGAAAUUCCUUUUGCUGCUUUGUCAGAGCAGUUGGAUGAAGAAAUUGAAGCGGAUGCAAUACCUUCAACCCCAACAGUCUCAUCGCCCAUGCCUCAGUUCACUGCUGAAGCGGCCGGUGUUGAGGAAAAGAGUGAAGAAGAAGAUGUGGACAUUGGGUGUACAAUACCCGUGCUGAAUGAUGACUUUUGGGAAAGUCAGCACCCCAACUCUCCUCUGUUCACACCACUGCAACAAAUUCCUCAGUCACCUGUCAAUACUGACGUACAAAUGGGAUCUGAAGAACCUCGUGCAACCCCGUCUGUCCAUGAAGAGAUUCCAGCCACUUGUGCUGAAGAAAAUGUUAAUGAAUAAUUAAAGACCCAGGCUGUCACUGAAGAAGAACCUGAAAUUCCUCAGCCUGUGGAGCCUGAGAUUGCGAUUCCUGAGGUGGUGAUGCAAUUGACUGAUACUCCUCAGCCCAAGCCAAAGGAUCGCUUCUCGAAACAGGAGAAAUUCAAGGCUGAUGACUUCUUCGGCGAGCAUGUUUUCUUCACUAACUUCAACCCUUAUGACUCUGCUCAUCUUAGAAGGAAGCGUUUCUGGACUGCCAGCCAAGCAAACUUUUAUUCUUCACUUCUCUUCAACAAGGACAAAGUCUUCGACCACGAGCAUAUUCCACACGUCGACAUGGAAUCAAUGCCUUGCUUUACCCCAGUCCUCAGUGUGCUUCAUGAUGCAGGAUUACUCAACUUCUGCACGGAUAUUUGCGAUUGGAAUGAAGAGCUCAUUCUUCAAUUCUAUGCAACCCUGCACAUCACAGGCGAUGCUGAUGAUAUCAACUCUUGGGUGUUGGAUUGGAUGACCGAAAACACUCAUUAUAAGGCACCGGACUCUGAAUUACUUCAUGCACUGCCCAUUAGUCCACCCCUUGAAGGAGCUCGCUGCCUAUACCAGGAGCCUGAACUCACUGCUCAUUACAUGCAAGUGCUUAUGAAGCCUCUGAAGCCCGGUCAAGCCCCAAGGACCAAAUUCCUCAUGAAGGAAUUGUUGUAUGUACCAAGAACAGUCUAUCGCAUUCUGACGAAGACUAUGAGUCCAAUCAAAGGCCACGACUCAUCUGAUGAGGAAAUUGUUGGCAUCAUGAAGAAUCUGCAAUUCAACAUCUUCCUGUCAAUUAUCAUGAUUUCUUCAUGAGGACUCUGGCAAAUGUUGCACUCUCUCCGUUUGAGUUGAAGCCUUACACACCUUGGAUUAUGAGAUUCAUCAGAACAAGGUCUUCACUCAACUACAAGGCUGACACUCUCAACCAUGGCAGCUACUUUCCCCCCAUUGAAGUCCUCAAAAGGACAUUUUCCUCAGCUGAUGAAAAGGGCAAGGCUGCUGCUGUUAUAGAUGAAGGCAUUCGUCCAUUGGAUGGUCAGUUCCACAAAGCUGCAUCUAUUCUACCAAUGAUGACUCUGCCACUCAUGACUCUGCUGCAAAUGCAUCCAAGCCAAAUCCUCAAGCCACAGCUCCAAGAGUGAUGACUGACCGUGAGCUUCUUCUCAGUCUUCACCAGAAGGUGGAUCGAAACCAUAAAUGGGUUUAGCAUCAAUUUGGUUCUAUUCUUCACAACAUGACUGCUACACAUAAUGCAGUGAAGAAAAACCAUUACUACCUCCAUGAAGUCUUCGGUCGCACCUGGGCUAUUCUGUCACAUCUAUAUGGUGAAGAAGAUCUGAAGCAAAUGGGUCUCAAGGAGGAUUUUGACUGGUCUGCACCUCCACCGAAGAAAUACAAGAAGGUCAAGGUUCCUUCCUUGGUGGCCAGCUCCUAUUCUUCAUCACGCGAUACCGACGAGCAUGAAGACUUGGACGACACUGCAGCAUGCCCUACAAGAACAAACGACCCCAACAACGCUGGCGUUCCUCCAUCUACUUGAUAUUCUUCAAGGGCGUUAGUCCUCAUUUUUGAUCAUUUUGGUCAUUUGAUGACAAAGGGGGAGAAAUUUGAGUUAGUCUUCAAGCGGGUCCACCUAUAUGGGCGUUUUUUUUUGCUAAGUUACAACUCUAGUUCUUUUGAAGUCAUUGCUGGAUCGAGUUGUAAACUUAAACUCUAUGGUGGUCUGAUACUUUCGUUGAGAUUUUCUACAUGCUUAUUCCUCGUUAAUGUUAAUGCACACAUGCUGAAUUACAUCAGUCACCAUAUUUCAUCAUGCAUUUCAAAUUCUUCAUAUUAUAUGUCAAAUGCGUGUAUGAUUUACAAGAUAUAGGGGGAGAUCUCCAUGAUUCUAAUCUUCAAGUGUGCAUGGCUUCAAAAGCAGAUUCCUCACUAUGCACAUCUUCAAGGGGAGUUCUUCUAUAUCUUGCAAUCAAAUUCCUCAAUAUCAGUAUUUACACUUCAUAUGAUUAUCCCCGUUGAAAACUUAACCUAUAUUGUCAUCAAUCACCAAAAAGGGGGAGAUUGUAAGUGCAUCUAAUGCCCCUUAGUGAUUUUGGUGUAUUGAAGACUUAUAAGUUAAGGGACUAAUGUGUUUAUGAGCGUACACAGGUCUAUAAGUCUAUGAGGAGUUUGAUAUUUACAGAGAAAGUCGACCCCUAAAAAUGAAUAUCUUCGACUGAAGAUUUUGGUUUUCUGAAGACUUUGAAAGUGAAGAAAUUGGUGUGACCUUGAAGACUUGGUAUUCAUACGAGGAACAUGAAGCGUGAAGACUUUUUUUCGUAGUUUCAUUUUCACUUUCUUGAGUCAUAGGAAACACCGUACUGUUAAAGGGGGUCGAGGAAAUACUAAGAAAAAAAUUCCAUGUGAUGCUCAACUCAAAAUCCUACACCUACUAAUCCCUUCGAGUGAAGCCAUUGGAAAUAUCUUACAGUUCAGUCAAUUUCUUAAGUGACAGAGACGAAGUUCUUCUGGUCUCUGAGGAAUUUGUUCUGACUGAGGAGUUAGGAAUUCGCCAGUGCUGAUUGCCUACAUAGUGAGGAACAUGAUAGCCCUGAGGAAAUUGAGCCUCAAAAUUCCGACCGUUGUUGUGCUAUGCGCCAGCUGUCCCAAAAUAUCUACUCACCUAACGGUCAUAUCAUUCAAGGGCAUUUAUGUCUUAUCAUGUCGGGCUGCUCCCUAGGCUAUAAAUAGCCGCCCCCUACAACCACUUGUUGGCUGCUCUGAGAGAAACUGACACUUGUUAUUGGAGAGCAUCCCAUCCUCCGAGGACUUUGAGCGAAAAUCAUUAAGUGAGGAAAACCCAAACCCAAACACCUACAAACCCAAAGUGAUUGAGCAUCACUGAAGAGGUUGAUCCUGCGUGGAUCCGACGCUUCUUACCUUUGAAGACUGUGCAUCUUCCAGACGGUUAGGCGUCAUGGUCUAGAGUAUCCAAGAGGAAAUUGUGGAUCGCCGAGUGACCGAGUUUGUGAUGGUUUGGAAGUCACCUGAAGACUUACCACAAGUGAUUGGGCGAGGUAUGUGUGACCUUAGCUCAAGGAGAAUACGGCGAGGACUGUGUGUCUGGGACUGUGUGUCCUCAGGUUUAAAUACCUAGCCGCUCCAACCAGACGUACAAUUGUCACAGCAGUUGGAACUGGUCUACCAAAUCAUUAUCUUCACCAAGCCUACUGGUUCUAUUUCCUCAACUCUUCCAUUUCCUCAUUACUAUGUUGUGCACUUGUUCAUAUCUGUUUUGAAGACUUUGACUAAAGACUUUCUCAAUUUACUCAGUUUAAUUUCUUCAGUCUGAUUGUCUUCAUCCUGUGUUAUCCUAUGUUUACGCUUUCUGUACUUUGUGCUUGUCUUCAAUUCUUCAUGAUGACCAUGCUUGUGUUCUGUUAUGUUUACAUCUGAGUACUUAUCACUACAAAAAAAUACACUUCCGUGAUGAUACGUGUUUGUCACAGUAGGUCGCGUUUUUUGUCAUGCAUGUACAUCCAUGACAAAUUUAUGACAGAAUCAAGAUAGUCAUACCUGUGAUGUCGUAGAAGUGUUCCAUGACAUUACCAAAAUUAUCAUCACGGAAGUGUCCACUUCCAUGACGAUAAAUCGCGCGUCACAGAAGUGCUUUCGUCAAGGGUGACCGACACGUGGCAUCCACCGUAACGGAACGCCGUUAAGCUAUCAGGUCGGGUUUUGGAUCCGAUAACCCGUUAACAGCCCCGACCAAUGGGGAUUUUCCACGUGUAAAAUCAUCAUUGGCUAGAGGAAACACGUGUCGGCUCAUCGUUGGGACAGAUGUCAUCCACUCACUGGACAGAAGGCGCCUAUGAUACGUCGGCACGUGGCACGGCCCAACAGUGGCCCAUUCCUGUGAAAAGGCCGGCCCGUUUGACUUGGUCAAAAGCUGGCGGUCCGGCCCAUGGAAAGCCUGUUAACGGCUUGUUCGCAUAUAGCCCAUUUACAGCCCGCUAACCCAAGGCCGGUUACACCCUAUCCGAAUUAGGCUCAGUAGCGUCAUCUGGGCCAUCCAAUAUGAUUCCAGCCCGUUUUCACUUCUGGCCCAUGUAUAGCCCAUGACGUCUUUCGGCCCAUAUGAGGCCCUUUGUAACUCUUGGCCCAUUAGCGGCCCGUGCUGAAACUGGCCCGUAAUGAACAGUGUAUUACUUUACACCCAUUAACGGCCCAUGGUGAAACUGGCCCGUAAUGAACAGUGUAUCACUUUAUACCCAUUAACGGCCCAUUAUUCCGUUGGGCCGUUUCCAGCCCAAGUUAACUUUCGGCCUUCUGAGGGCCCAUUUAUUCUUGGGCUCAUUUGCAGCAUUCGGUUACUUAUAGCCCGUUACUGUCAUUUUCUGCUUGUGGGCCAAAUUCAGCCCGUCGUUACAGUCGGCCCGUUUGUGGACCGUUAGUCUGUUGGGCCAUUUUCAUAGCAUCACCAAAUACGGCCUAUUAACGGCCCGUUAUGGUCAGCCCAUAAACCGUACGAUUUCCAUUAAAGGCCCGUCUACGACCCAUUAAAGGCUCGUACAAGACCCAUAAAUGAGUCGGCGGCCCAUGGAUCCUACGAGACGUAGAAGGCCCAUGGAUCCUACGAGACGUAGAAGGCCCAUGGAUUCUACGAGACGUACAAGGCCCAUGGAUCCUACGAGACGUAGAAGGCCCAUGGAUCCUACGAGACGUAGAAGGCCCAUGGAUCCUACGAGACGUAGAAGACCCAUGGAUCCGACGGCCCGUGAAGGGCCAUGGUCGGGCGAGUUGGCCCCCGUUUGAACGAUAUAGCAUAUUCAAAGAAUUAUCCUACUCAAUACUAUCACCUCUAAAAAGCAUACACUAUACAACAAAGAGAUCAAGGCAUAGAAAGGUAGAAUAAUCCUACACUAUACAAUAAAGAAAUUACAGCCGAUUAUACCCACUGGACAUUAUGGUUCGGCACAGGUGAUAAUAAAGCAUACACAAACAGCAAAUUACAUACACUGGGCAAAUACAGCUCAUACAUCAUGGACGCGCAUCAACUUAACUCCAUUUGAACUAUAAUCUCUUCAGAAAAUAGGAUUGGCCGGAUUCAGAUAGCACAAAUUUCAGUCUGCAAAAUCUCCAAUUCCUUCAUGGUUACCUCAGUGUCUUGUUUCAUUUUGUUGACUCCUGCAUCUAAUACCUGCAUGUCCAGUCUCAACUUGUUGAUUAUACGUUGACAAUCAUGUACACGUUGUCUUGCCACCUCUAGUUGAUGCUCGAGAACAUCAACACAUUCCAAUUCCAAUCCAUAAUCAUUCGGUAACGGCUAUGCCGCACUGCUCGCAGAUCUUUGUGUUGAUGUCACUUCAUCCUGAAAUGUUUCUGUAAGUACACAUGACUAGGGCAAAAAUAUAGUUACAACAGUGAAGCGAACAAGACACUAUUUUGUACUACAUGGCAAAACAGGACUAACAAUAAUGUUACACGUCACUUUAAAAAAAAUUGUUACACGUCAUGAAGCAUAAGCAGGUGAUAUUUUAAAAAUUAUAAAAAAGAUAGUCUGUGCAGCCUGCAUACAGAAAUCCCUCUUAGCUCACCAGAGGAGCAUGAUGUUGGGGCCCAAUCGAAAACACAGACAAGUUACAAAUUUAGACAGCACGUUGCGUAUAAGUAAGCAAGCAGUUGGCCAUUUUGUGCCUCAAUUAAAGUCUUAGGGAGCAUAAUGAACAGCAGAAGGUUUCAUACAAACAUACUACAGUAGGCAAAACUAUGCAAUAAUUAGCGUAGUAUAAACUAGAUUGUGAGUCUCAUGCAAUAAUAGUUGGUUAAUAGACUUCAAAGCUUCAGGCACACUUCGGCAGAGUAAUUAAAUGGUAAUGCCUUUAAUUAAGUCAACUAAUAGUGAUACAAGUACCGAACAUCAGGCAUGAUUAUUUGGGCAUCUCAUUACAAAUAAAGCAAUUGAAAAGAGAAAAUUAACUAUGCCUGAAACAAACAAGGAAUUGAACUGUUGAGUUGCAUACAGUGACUUACCUUAGCAGGUUGAAGAGGCUCAGCGCAGCUCCUACUUCUCUUGCAAGGCUCCUUCCUAACAUCUUGUACAUGGAAAUCCUCAAUCUUAUCUUCAUUGCACCCCCUUUGCAAGGUGACACAAACUAGUUACUCGUCUCCUUGGAAGAUAAAUAUGCAUACUUUCCAGUCCGUGAACACAAAAGGAUGAGAUUAUAACAAAACAACACCACAUAAUGAAGCCGCAUCUCUUGCACUUGCACACAAUGAAAUGAGCAUUUACUAUGUCUGCACUAUGUAAAAACUAGGCAUACCUUCGAACUGGAUCUCCAGGUACUCUUGGAGAGCCUACUGUAGUGUACAGCCAAACCUUUAUGUCACCUAUGAGUUAGACAAGGCCCCACUACAGCAGCCCUUAGUGUUUAAAUCGUUGACAAGCUCUGUUAGAGUGUUAGGUCAAUAACAGCAAGUAAUCAAAGCAAACAGUCCUAGUAUGGCUGGCUGAUGCAAACAAGCAAUUGAACAGAUGUGUGAGCAAAUCUUACAUAUCAAGAAAAGAAGCAAAGAAGGAGGCUUAAAGACCAUCACUUGACUGACCAGAUUUAAGGGGCAUUUAAACAUCAUGUGCAACGUAUGAACUAACAUAAACAUUGCAUAUUCCAGAGUCUACAAUGGAAUGCACAUGUAUUAGGUUAUGCCAUGUAUGAUGAUGCCUAAAUGUACAGAUAGCAGGCAGGAGUGAUUCAUCAUUGCACGCAUAAUUGAAUUGCAGGUUAAGGGCCAGUUCGAUUCCGCCUUUUCAGGGCAUAUUGUCAAAAUAAGCCAUAAAAGAUGUAAAGAAGUCAUUUUUGAGUUAUGGGCUUGGGCUUAACUAAUUUCGCUUCGGAGGGGGGUGUUUCGGGUAGAACCUCACUAAAAAUUGAAGGGAAGGGGAAUAGUGAAAUGACUCUCUUGUCUGCCUAUAUUACACUCAAAAUGCAACUGCUGACGCCCGUGUCACACCUGGCCCUCAAUUAAAACAAACACGCAAGCAUUCAUUGCCCUGCCCGCUUGCAUCUCCUCUCCCCUUUCCCUCUACCUCGAUCCCCUGCCUGCAGAACUAGGGUCCUCCAGCGAGCCGUCGCCACUGGUCCCAUCUGGCCUGGUCCUCGACGAUGCUAUGUCCAGCUAGGCUACAUGGCCGGCGGGUGGGGGCAAAUCUCCCUGGCUGCUCCUCCCUCUGGCGCCGCCCCUCAUUCUCAUGGUCUCCAGCAGCUGCUCCACUGUGGUUCGUCCAACGCACUACUCCGGCGGGCACUGCACAACUAUGGCUGAUGCCACACUGCGGCAGAAGGCAUCUUAUUCCCCCUCCCCUCCUCCCAGGCCAUGGCCUUGAGGUGCUGUUGAAGGAUGAGCUCAUCCAACAAGGUGAGGAUCUCCUCUGAUUUUUUGCCAAAUUUUCAUUCUGAUCCACUAUACGAUGAAUUGCUAUGAGCUGCUUCUGCUGCUGCUAUAUGAUGCACUGCUAUGAGCUGCUCCUGCUGCUGCUAUAUGAUGAAUUGCUAUGAGCUGCUGCUGCUGCUGCUGUAUGAUGAGUUGCUAUGAGCUGCUGCUGCUAUAUGAUGAANNNNNNNNNNNNNNNNNNNNNNNNNNNNNNNNNNNNNNNNNNNNNNNNNNNNNNNNNNNNNNNNNNNNNNNNNNNNNNNNNNNNNNNNNNNNNNNNNNNNNNNNNNNNNNNNNNNNNNNNNNNNNNNNNNNNNNNNNNNNNNNNNNNNNNNNNNNNNNNNNNNNNNNNNNNNNNNNNNNNNNNNNNNNNNUCCUGCUGCUGCUAUAUGAUGAAUUGCUACAAGCUACUCCUGCUGCUGCUAUAUGAUGAAUUGCUAUGAGCUGCUCCUGCUGCUGCUAUAUGAUGAAUUGCUAUGAGCUGCUCCUGCUGCUGCUAUAUGAUGAAUUGCUAUGAGCUGCUGCUGGUAUAUGAUGAAUUGCAGACUGCUGCUGCUGUAUGAUGAGUUGCUAUGAGCUGCUGCUGCUAUAUGAUACUUUCAGGUGGUGCUACUAUACGAUAAUAACCAGCCACUAGGACCAUCGAAUUUCAAUAAAUAAUUGUUCUUCAUUUAAAUGUUGGUCAUGCGUUCUUUGUUUAAAUUAGGCAAUGGGAUCUCUAUGGAGAACAUUGACCAAAGUAGAUUGUGCCAAGUAGAUGGUAUCUUUGUAUUUGCAUUUUGAGCAAAUAGUGAUGGUUUGUUUUCCUAUCAUAUUAAUUACUGCACUAGGUUCAAUUUGUGAUGUUUGCAAGUCAAAUUAAUUUCCAUAUGGGCAGCAAAAUGAAAAAAAUAUAAUGUAAUCUAGACUUUCCACUGAUCAUACCAAAGAUAAGCUAAAAACGCAAUGAAAAGAACUGGUUGGCUUAUUAUAUGGAGCUUAUAUUCACAGGUGCUUAUUUUCUUAGGAUAACUCGUAAUAACUGUCCCUAAGAAACUUGGCAAAUAGAACUGGCAUACAAAUAACAUGUCACGAUGAUUGCAAUGGAGGAGUGACGUACCAUAGCACACUGUAUAGGCUCACCGCUGCCUCUCCUUUUUUUGCGAUGUUCCAUGAAAUUGCCACAUACAUCUUGUACUUUUUCAUUGUGUAACCCUAUCUGCAAGUUGACACGGCUAAUUUCAGACAUCUCUACAUGAUACUACAUUGCAUAUCCCUUGCGCAUAUUUAAACCACCAAUUAAUGAUUGUGUGCGUACCAUAAACUAGCCAUGACUCUGUAUGCUGGACUAGCAGGCACUCUAAGGGAGCCUAAUGUAGUGCACUGGAAUUCCUACAUGCCACCUACGAUUUUGUGUAAUGUACUACCCCUGUUCCUAAAUAUAUGUCUUUGUAGAGAUUCCAGUAUGGACCACAUACAGAUGUAUAUAGAUGCAUUUUCGAGUGUAGAUUCACUCAUUUUGCUCCGUAUGUAGCCUAUAGUGGAAUCUCCAAAAAGACUUAUAUUUAGGAACGGAGGUACGAGGUAGUAUCAUGUAUGACAUCUACAUAUCUAAUUUAGCAGCCAGUAGUAGAAAUCAUUGUGUGCACAAAGGGAUUACUGGUCAAAAAUCCUAGCAAAGCAGGCUGGCAGGCACAGAACAAUACAAGAGAGAGAGAGAGAGAGACACGCUUACAAGAUCAUAGCAAUGCCUCAGUCCAGGAUCUUGGUUGGCCAAGCUAUUAGAUCCAGAAGAAACAUCGUCCUUGUAGUUUUUGCCAGCUGCAUAACAGGUAACAGCGACCGGUUAGUAUAUUUGAAGUACAUCGGGCAGGUGAUGCUGGACGGGUUUAAAGGUGACAAGUACCUAGGCCGUGGUGGGUGCUUGGCAUCUCUCCAGACGGUGGGAAUCAGGUUAGAAACGUCGAGGGUGAUGACGCUGCGCUGGCUAUCGGGGUCCGGUAAGGAGAUCCAGAACCGUCGAGUAGGGUGUUUUUGGAGUGGCUCCGGUAGGGCGGACUACGGUGUGGGCGAAGCGGAUCUGUGGCCGUGGACGAGGGCGUAGGUGAAGCUGCUCCGGUGGUUGGGUUAAGGAUGGUGUCGACGACGCGGAUCUGCGGCUGUGGACGGGGCAUCAGAAGUUGCUCUAGUGGUUGGGUUAAGGAUGGUGUCGACGAUGCGGAUCUGCAGCCGUGGACGGGGCGUCAGAAGCUGCUUCGGUGGUUGGGUUAAGGUUGGUGUCGACGAUGCGGAUCUGCGGCCGUGGACGGGGCGUCAGAAGCUGCUCCGGUGGUUGGGUUAAGGGUGGUGUCGACGAUGCGGAUCAGCGGCCGUGGACGGGGCGUCAGAAGCUGCUCCGGUAGGUUGGAUGAGGGUACGAGGAAGCGGAUCUGAGGCCGUGGACUUGUGAGUUGGCAAAGCGGCCCCGGUAGGGUUGAGAAUGGUAUAGGCGAAGCUACUCCGGUAGGGUUGACGAUGGUGUCGGCGAAGCGGCUCCGGUAGGGUUGAGGAAGGUGUCGGCGAAGAGGAUCAGAGGCCGUCGACGGGGCGUCGGUGGGGCGGCUCUGGGGGUGUGGACGAAGCGUCUCCGGUGGGGAGUACGAAUGAGCCGCUGGAGAUGCGCGCGAUUGACGAGAGUACCGGCGAAGCAGAUCCGGCACUGUGGACAAGGCCGGCACUGAAUGGGCUGUGGUACAGUGGUGGAUGAGCAGUCUACUUGUUUCUAGGGGAGGUGGGAGGGGUAGAUGCGGCCGCAGAAGCAGAUCCGGCGAGGUGGACGCCGCUGGCAGUGAAUGGGCUAUGGUACGCCGGUGGAUGAGCAGUCUAGGGUUUCGAGAGGGGAGGGGAGAAAGGGCAAUGAAGUACGGACGGCGUGAUGUAAGAUGCUCUGGUGCUGUGGAGUUAGUCGUUUUUGCGAGAGGAGGAGAGGAAAUGGGGGUGCCGUGUAGUGGGGGAACCAGAAGUUACCAAAGCAGCCCCGACCUAUCAUGUAGAUGAGGGCGGUAUUGUAACUGUUGGUCUCCGUGCACCAAGGACAAAAGGGGGAUUUCGCAUGCUAAAGACUAAGGUGGCGGAAAUUUUAGAAGGAGGCGGGAGAUUUUGCCGCCCGCGGGAUCGUUCGUAUCCAGUUUCAACUAAUUUUGGACCGUGCUAGCGGGAAGGUCAUGCUAGACUAUGUACACGGGGCACGCGUCAGCAGUUAAUAACUGGUGUGAAGUCCACCCCAGAAAAAAAGACAAUAACUCGGGAUGAUGCGCCGAUAACUUGGACGUUCACACGGGCGCAACCAAUCGUACGGGUGUAGUGGCGCGUUCACAAAAAAAGGAUCAAACGCUCAGCCUAUGUAUUUCUCGUGUAAAUAGAUAAUUUAGUGCCAUUGGUUAUUUACUUUAAACAUAAUGCAUUGACGUGUUAGUGUAGAGGCGCACAAAAAGAAAUGGAUAUUGCAGUCAGCUACUUAAAAGUGUUACCUCAUAUGAUUACAUAGCCUCCAUUUCAUAAAUUGCGUACCCGUUGAAUUCAUAUAUGAAUAUUACAUAUAUUACUUCAAAAUAGAAACUUAAAUCAUCCAAGACUAAUGAAUUUGAAUGCAAGAUUAACAAUGGUGCAUAUACAUGAUAGCUACAUUGGUUGUUUGAAGAAACAUCACUGUAACUUUGGCAUGCACAACUGAAAAGGUUUAUUUAAAUAGAAAAAAUGUGAUAUGUGAGUGUCCAAUCUUUAUAGCGUUGAAUCGAUAUUGUACUUUUGGCCACGAUACGAAGUAGAUAUUGACUUAUGUUCAAGCGAUGCACGUCCACGAUCGCUAGAUAGUGAUACGUGAAUGAAUUGUGCAAUCUCUCUCACACGCAUACAUAUCUCAUUUCCCUGUGGGCAUCGGAAUCACACACGCGCACUUCGUGUAUUUCUCUCCCUCCACCAGGGUUAAAUUCGUCUUUCUACCCCGUCCUACAAGUCUCUCACACAGAAACACACACGCUCUCUAUGUCUAACACACCCACCCCUUUAAUUCCGCCCACCCACAGCCACUAAUGUCUCAAAGUAUAAUAAUGUCUCUCACACAUAUGCUAUCUACCUAUCCCUUAAUAUAGCUAGAUAUGUGUCACACAAACUCCUUCUCCCUACUAGCAAGAUGCCCAUGCGUUGCACGGAACAUCAAGAUGCAUUUGUAUGAGAAGUUUAUCUUGUGGGAGAAAAGGAUGAAUGAGGGAAUGCCUUAUUUGCAAAUGCGGAGAGGGGUGUGGGUAUCUUUUUGCAAAAUUGCCAUAGUUUCCUUCCUGUCCGUUGGAUAUAAAUCGGAUGGCCUAUAUUGCAGGAUGGCAGGAACACCAUCAUCACCGACUCUGUUUUUUAUAAGAGUAGAGAUAUGUGAGUGUCACUGCCCCCCCCCCCACACACACCCACACUUCCCAACACCAAAGGAGUAGGGUGACACCUCGAUCUUGAUACUAAUCUAUCGACUGGCUUCUCUCUCAAACAUACACACACACACUACCGGGCACUGAAGGAGUAGGGUGGCACAUCGAUCUUGAUAAUAAUCUAUCUACUCCUCUUUCAAACACACACNNNNNNNNNNNNNNNNNNNNNNNNNNNNNNNNNNNNNNNNNNNNNNNNNNNNNNNNNNNNNNNNNNNNNNNNNNNNNNNNNNNNNNNNNNNNNNNNNNNNNNNNNNNNNNNNNNNNNNNNNNNNNNNNNNNNNNNNNNNNNNNNNNNNNNNNNNNNNNNNNNNNNNNNNNNNNNNNNNNNNNNNNNNNNNNNNNNNNNNNNNNNNNNNNNNNNNNNNNNNNNNNNNNNNNNNNNNNNNNNNNNNNNNNNNNNNNNNNNNNNNNNNNNNNNNNNNNNNNNNUAUAAGAGUAGAGAUAUGUGAGUGUCACUGCCCCCCCCCCACACACACCCACACUUCCCAACACCAAAGGAGUAGGGUGACACCUCGAUCUUGAUACUAAUCUAUCGACUGGCUUCUCUCUCAAACAUACACACACACACUACCGGGCACUGAAGGAGUAGGGUGGCACAUCGAUCUUGAUAAUAAUCUAUCUACUCCUCUUUCAAACACACACACACACACACACUCGCUAGUUGUGCCUCUGUGCCUACCGCGCACACUCUCGAUACGUCUUUCUCUCCCUCCCCCCAACAAUGACAGCAGAAGGGUGACUACUCGAUCUGAUCAUAUCCAUUUUGAUGACAAGUAUUUCCGGACGGAGGGAGUAUUUGUCUUUUUAGAGAUUUCAACAAGUGACUAUGACCGGACCUUACCAACAUACUCAAAAAAGUAGUCCAUAAUUUUGAUGUUACCCCUCUUUUCUUGGCGGUGCAGUGCCAUCUGGAUACCUCAUAAAUAAAUCAAGGACAAAUCUGACCCCUUCUUGAAAAGACAUACGGAGCAAAAUGAGUGAAUCUACACUCUAAAAUAUGUCUACAUACACAUCCGUAUGUGGUAGUCCAUUUGAAAUCUGAAAAAGACAAAUAUUUAGGAACGAAUGGAGUAUAUAUAAGAGUAGACAUGGAGAUAUAUCUCCAGCAUGGUCUACAACAAAAAUGUGCUGGGCUGGUUAGCGCCGGAUGCUCACAACACGAUGCAUGAGUUCGAAUUCUGUGUUUUAACUUUAUAUUUUUAUACUAUAUAUUACUCUACUUAUUUAAUAUAUACUUCUUUCGCUACUGUACUGACAGUGGAACCCACAGAGUACUUAGAAUACAAGAUUAAGGAUGGACUUGUUUCUUUUUAACUUCCUGUACGAAGCUGUAGCCACCCUGCAAGUCACGUGUACACUGUACAUGCAAUUAACUUUUUAUAGAGGGACAAUCAUACAGGCAAUUAACUCAAAUAGAUUGGAUGUCACUCUAUUAUUUCCAGCAUAAAGAGCAUCUCCAACGGCAGCCGGCAAAUUUCCUCCCGCUUCCUUAAGCGGAGGACGACAUCAAACGCCAGCGGCAUACAUUUUUACAACUAUAACCAACCAGAUGAAAUUCGUGCAAACACGGACUGAUUUCAUAUAAGCAUGAAGGAUUUCGUAUAAAAAAGCCGGAUCUUCAUAUAAACAUGAUGGAUUUCAUUACAUUUACAUGAACUAAGAGGUGCCAAUCCGGCUCUCUGGUAUAAUUAAUACUCCCUCCGUCCGGAAAUACUUGUCCUAGAAAUGGAUGUAUCUAGACUUAUUUUAGUUCUAAAUGGCCGCCCGCGGAUCCCUUUGUCUUCCUCAUGUCCGUCAGAGACUUGCGGGGUCGACGAAGGUCCUCGGAAGAGACGAAGCAGCAAAGAAACCACCUGAAUCCGCGGUCGUCGCCUCGGCGGUGGCCUUCAUGGGUCCCAAGUGGCGGCGGCCUCCCAUGUUCUACUUCUCCUCGAUGAUGGCGGCGGACACGGAGAAGCUGGCCACCGACUCGUCGCUCUCCACGCACCCGGCUUCUGUCUCUUCCUACAUGGCGCUGCCGUAGGCACGGGAGGCGCGCCCACAGACACGGGAGGCGCGGCCACCGCAGACACUGGUGGCGCGGUACGACGCGGCAGCGACGGCGCCCAUACCGGCGUGCUAGCCGCCGUGCCGGCGUGGAGCAACUCGCCACUCCUCAUCGAGCUGAACUGGAGUGGCGAGUUGCUGAACCACGCGCUUGCCUGGGGCGGAAACUGGCUCCGUCGGGCCAAGCGAGGUUGGUGAAAGCACCGAGCGGCCUCGCCCGUAUCCGGAGGGCUCGGCGGGCCACCCAGCCGGGUAAUAUGCCGGAGAACGGCUCAUCGGAAGCCAUCGGAAGAGUGGAGAAAAUGGUGAAGGAGGAGAUGGGGGAGCGGCGGAGGGGUGCGAUUCUUGCCCGCUGUUUGUCUAGCCUCGUGUAAAUAGAGGGCGGACGGUAGGAGCUUGGCCGGUGUUUGGCCUCGUUUAAACUGAGGGCGGACAGGAGGAGCUCGGCCGGUGUUGCGUUUAAUUCCGGCCCGCUCAUGAACGGACGUGUGGCAGGAGUAGGUUUCUCGGUUUGCAUGCGGGUUUAACGGAGGGGUUUAAUGGAGGCGCCGGGCGUGCAGCGGGCGGCGCAGUACUAUUCGAUUUGACAGCAGUAAUGAGCCGUCAAAUCACAAAGGCCCUCGCCUCUCGUGAAACCAACCGAGCUAGACUGCCCCGCCCUCUAGCCUUUUAAAAAAUGUAUAUACUCCACUUUUGUACAGUAGUAGUAUCGAUGGAUUGCGCCAUGGAGCAAAACUUGAAAUUAAAAAAAAGGUGGUACAUAUAGAGAGCGCUCGUCGUCAAAUUAUGCAUAUAGUACUAUUAAAAAGGCUUGUCACAAUAAUGGUGUCCAGCACAAGUGCACAACCCACCCCUCAAAUAAAACUAAGCACCCUGGAAUUCUUUGACAAAACUAAGCACCCUGAAAUUCUUUGACAACUAAUAAACUGCUGGGUAUAUGAUGUUGGCCAUAUAUAUUGUAUGUAUAUAAUGUGAAGAAAUGAGUGGUAGUACUAUACCAAGUAAAAGAUGAAAUGUCAGAAAUACUAGUAUGUACGUACUGAAGAGUUAAAGUAACAAGAAGAAACAUAACAUAGUUCUGCUGGGGGCUCAGCACAACACACCCCUCAAAUUAAAUUAACCACACCUGAAAUUAAACUUUGCAACUAUUCUGGUAGACACUGCAUUAGAACCACCAUGAGCAACAACACUGCCACCUUACUCGGAGUCCUCGUCCACGUCCUCGACUUCGUCGUUGUCCCUCUUCCUCUUGGCCGAUACUUCUUUGCUUGAACCGCACACUUGGCUGUUGCUCUUCAUCCAACCCUUGUAGAUAUUGAAGCAAAGGUAACCAUCCAUUGCAGCAUAGUGGAUGUGGUCUAUAUCUAGUACAUUCCGCUGCCAUGCAUGACGAUGAAACGUGUAUGGAGGUUUCUCCAGUUUACCGUAUGAAGGAUGAACCAUGGCUCCUGCCAGGGUCAGCAUUGAAGGCUGACGAGAGGACACCAGCCGAUUCUUCUGGAGGUCGAAGGUGUUGCCUACAAUGAGGCCUAUCCGACGCAUGACUUCUUUGUCGUUACCAAAGCCUACAGUAACGAAUUUGACUAGGUUGCUCUCGAGGAAGUCCGUAAAAUCCUGGCACUCAACGUCGGCAUGGCAUAUGUGGUAGACCAAGCAUAAGUCAUGCACGCAAACCUGGAUCACGGCAGGCUUCUUCCUCUCUUCGUCCUUUAGAUCCUUCUCUCGUCCCAGGACUGUGGUGUACUCAACAUCUAGCCCAGCGACCCACUCAUCAUCUGAGUCUUCGAACAUGCGUUUGAAGCGAGAAAGGCAUCCUUUCACCGUCGCGGAAGAACGGGUGUAGAUGACGCCGAACUCAUCGCUGGUGAUGGUUCUAACCUUGUACUCACCGCCGAUCGGGGAGAUUUGGGACGCCAUGGAUUUGGGAGGAGGGUUAGGAUUAGUGGAGCUGCCGUAAUGUGAAUGGACGGGACGACUAAGAGCAAACCGUCGUAGUAUUGAAGGACGUGCGGGGACGAGUAGGAGCGAACUGCCAGCGUGCGAACGGCAGGGUAGUGGCUUUCCAUUCUCCCAUGAUACGGGCUUCCGAGAGCCCUUGGAUAUGAGAUCGAACGGUUGCAUGGCGUGAUUCUAGACCUAUGGGUGAAUAUCCUAUCCUGGAGGGUUAUUCUGCAAAUUUUCAGCAACUUAGCAUGCGACCGUUUGAUCUCAGAUCCAAGGGCUGCCAGCAGCCCGUAUCGUGGUCGCGCCUACCACGACCGUCGUGUCGCUCGUGCGGUCGCGCCCUUGGAGAUUUAACACGGUGCGUUAGGCUAUCUGAUGUUGGCAUGUCAUACAUAGUCAUCACUUAGUCACUCAUACUACAACAAGGUUUUGGCUAUAAGGUUGGCUAUAAGUGUAUUUUUUUUACUUCUCUCUAUCUCUUUCUUUGUACUCCCUCCGUCCCAUAAUAUAAGAACGUUUUUGACACUAGUGUAGUGCCAAAAAUGUUCUUAUAUUAUGGGACACAGGGAGUACAAGUAUUUAUUGCAUUUGCCAAGGAGUGACCUCUUCCAAUGAAAUGGUGUUGCUAAGUUUGCUUCAUUUAAUUAGCUAUAGACUCAAAAUUGUCUUUUCACCUAGGUACACGCGCUUAGCACCGUUUCUUCCUUGGGUCACCAAACUAGUCUCUCUCUUCUUGAUUAACUUGCCACAUCAGACUUUAUGCCUAUGUGGCAAGCUUAAGCACCUGUAGGAGCAAGUAAGUACAAUAGUGCGCUUUACAUGGCAUUUUUGCAUAUGUGGAGGAAAGAGAGGCAAGGAAAAAGUGGAGAAGUGGGCUCUCAUGCAAGAUCCAGCCUCUAAUACAUGGUGGAGCAUUGGGAGAGGCACCUGUAUGGAGGUGGUCAGGAAUCGGGAGACUCACGCCGGUCGUAGCGCCGCAGUUAAAAUGAUAAUGGCAAGUCAAAUCAUGGGGCCCCACCUGUCCAGCAGUAACUCGCUGUCAAAUCACACAGCCCUACCUUUGCAACAGCCUACUCCCUCGUCUUCUCGCAUCUCUGUCGAACCGACUAAGCGGAACUGCCCCGCCUACCGCGCAGGAAAAGUCCGCGCAGUAUACUCCCUCCGUCUAGGUGACCAAGGUGGAGAGGAAAAUGAGAGAACUUAAUGUUUAGUAUUUGCUAAGGCUGGUUGUAAUGGUACUAGCCUUAGCAAUUUUGAUGAGGUGUCAUAGAAUUAAAUGAAGAAAGAGAGAGAGCUGAGUACUAUGUGUCAUACAUGGCAAUAAAUAAAGUACUACAUGAUACUAAUAUAUGAUACAUGGCGCAGGAGUACUAAGUAUUAUUAAUACAGUUUUGCUAGAACUCAUCUAGAUGAGAUAUAAUUUGGUCUCAUUCAUCUUCUAUAGCCAUUGGAUUUGAUGCUAUAUAAGAUGCGUGUGUGCUGACGUGGGUUGUAUUUGUUCUUGUGCAACGAACUGACCACUGCAUGUCAUGUUUGAUAGUCUCAAGUCAUUAAAAGCAUACAAGCCUGACAUCUCUUCUUGGUUGAUUCCUCUAUUAUGUCAAAAAAUAAGAAACAACGUGAGAGUUAAUGCACCACGCCUAUGUGUUUACUAUUUGGUUUUCGUAAGAUGACUUAAUACUCACCUAGACGGAGGGAGUAUUCGAUUUGACAGCGGGCAGUGCAGUUCCCGAUAUGGCUUUAAUGCAGACGAGGGAGGGAGUAGCGGUUCCCGAUAUGUUGAACGGCCAAUGCAUCCUCCUUCAAUUAAUGCAUGAGGGAAGUAAUGGGAGGAGGUCCGGGAAAAGAGGCUGCACGAUGUGAAUGCAACGCAGUUUGCCCUCAUUGCCCUCAUAUAAAGGCGCCCCUCCAUUCCAAUGCAUCUACCACAUCGUACGCACCUAAGCAUUUGCCUAAGCACCUACACUAAGCGCAAAAGAGCUCACUCCAGACCCAUGGCGGCGAUGCGCGUGAGCAGCCAGCGGCUGUGCCAGAUGGUCCAAGAUGCCGGCCUGCGGCAUGGCGCCGAGGAUCGUCUCCAGACGGUGUUGGAGACCGGCUGGUGGAUGGCCGCCGUCGACGCCAACUACGACUCUCAGUUGGACCAGAUGAUCGUCGCCACCAGCAACAAGUUCACGAUCCUCAAGAAGCUCGCGGACGACAUCGCCAUACUCCUCCAGCCCGCGCGCCCGGGCUCUUCAUUGCCUGCCACCCUAAUCGGCCUCCAUGGUCGGAACCUCUUUCGAGCACUGGUGGCCCUGCGACUGCCCGCCGACGCCACGAAGAAUGUCCACCUGGAGGUCGCGCUCGCCGCAAGGCGCCUCGCCCUGCAAGAAUUCGUUGACCUACACAUCCACGUGUACGAGCAAAUCGUGUACAUAGGUAUCUACAAGGCCAGUGAGGACGCUACGAUGUUGGCCUUCCUCAACCGGCUGGAAGCCUUGGAUGCCUUUGCUGAGAAGCACCUCGACCUCGCCACAAAAGUCGCCGCUCCUUAGCCGCCGGUCGGUGGCCCGGCGCACUAAGUUGAGGAGGAGGAGGUCGUACGUUCGUGGAUCCAUCUUUCUUCUUGCCUUCUGUAACCACCACUACGAUCGCAUCAUCGUGGCCUUAAUUCUUAUUGUGCUAUUGCAUUCUCGUUCGUGUCGCACCCCCACACGCCCGGGAAUCGGGAGUACAACACGGCCCGUCCGGCACGACAUGUAGCUUAGGGAAGGCGUGUUGCCUAGCAUUUUCACUUUCAUGUGGGACCGCCGUUGAGCAAACCGACACCCCGCCCGCCGCCGGGUUGGAAAACAGAAACGCGGGGAAGAUCUAGCUGUAGCACGAAAGCCAAGAAAUUUGGUGUCAGACGGGGCUCGUUGAUAGAGUAGGAGCAUUCCGUACUAGUACUACUCCUACUAGUACCAAGUUUGUACUCCUAAUACUAUAUUACUAGUACUACCACUAUACAACUAGUAGGUACGUGCAUGGCACAACAUCGUAGGAACAAAAAACGGGAAGAUCUUGUUUUGGGUGAUUUAUCUUUUUUCCAAUCAAUGUAGUAUGAAUAAUAUGAUGUGGGGGGCACCCAUGAAGCUUAUGUGGCUUGGUUGCAUGGCUACGGAAGGUUAGAGAAAAAUAAAUAGAUAAUGUAUUUAGAGUGCACUCCACUAAAUAGAUAUACUUUGGAUCCAUUGCAACGGACCGGCACAUCUAUAUCUAUACCCCCUAUAUAGUGUGUGAAAAACUUUGAAAGUUGGUCGUUGGAUGAAGCCAAUCCGACGGUACAAAGAUGGCAAAUUCGAGCACUAUUGGCCGUUGGAUAUCAUCCACCAGAUUCUGCCACAUGUAUAAUCUAGAAGACUCCAUGGUUGAACUUAAUUCAUGACUAACUUUGCCACAACUAAGCUUAGGCAAAGUUAUUAGUUCUUCAAAAUGAGAGUCACAAGUUGGCAAGCCUAAGGGAAUCUUGCCACAUUUUUGUGUGUAUGUCAUGUGGGGACUUAGUGUGGCUUGCCUAAGGUGUGGCUUGAACCAAACACUCACCUAAGUUAAUCAAACUUGCCUAACCUUACAUUCCACCAGAUUUUGCCACAUGUUAGAAUCCAGAAAGCUCCACAUGUAGAAGCAUAAUGCACAAACCACCAGAAUCUCAUGCGUGCAAUGCACGUGUACCUUACUAGUACUAGUUGGUAGUAGUAAGAAACAAAUUCCAGUUUUGGCACGAGCUCAUACUGCGGGAGCACCACAAGGCCUGCCACAGGAGUUACAUUUCCCUCUCGGGGCCCACGGGACCGAACUUCGGUGGCUUAGUGCCCGGCCUAUGAGUCAAUGACAUGUGGACCUUAAAUGCGACUGGCCCACAUGUCAUUCUCAUGGUGGUGGCGUGGUUCGCGACUCACUCGUUCAAGAUGUACCAGCCGGUGGUGGCGUGGCCGUGGCGAGGGUGCCACAGCUGGGCGUCGGGGCGUUACGAGGCGUAGAUGGCCACACCGGCGGAUACUACUUGUAGUACAUAAGUACUCCAGCUGAGGAUUGAUGCCCGGGACGAAAUGUGUCACAGCCGCCUGAUGAAAAUUCGAUGGUGCGGGAGUACGGAUCGGAGCACAGCAGCGGAGCAGGCAAACCGCGUCCAAUCGGGUGUGUCUGUGGUAGAAAGUUGAUGGUCGCCGCAGUUCGGCUGGCCCGCAUGUCAUGCACACAAAGGCAGAGGAGCGGUGGGGCCGAGAGGGAUGAGGGGCACGUCGGGGGGAUGAGGAUCCCCUGACGCGAACAAUCCUACCAUUCUGUCACAGACAUGUGGGACCCAUAAGCGUGGGUCCCACCUGUUAGCGAAGGAAAGGCAGGGCAAGGCAGUGAUAGCCACGUCAGAGGAUCCAUGUCCACGUCGGGGGACGUUGUGCCGUGGGUUGGAGCGGCGUCGUGGGAAUCGCGUGUGGGUGUGGCAGUGGUAGAAACAAGAAACGUGAUGGUCGCCGUGGUUCAACUUCCAUGGACAAGCUGUCAUGUCUGCUGACACAUGUAUAUCAAAACUAGAGUGUUUAUAUUUCAAGCACGUGAACAAGUAUUAUUCUACUACUUUGGAUCCAUUGCAACGCACGGGCCAGCACAUUGGUAGUAGUAGUGUCCACCUCUAUCUCUAGAGGCCUUCCCUCGUUCAUCCUUUUCUCUCACAAGAUAAACUACUCAUACAAAUGCAUCUUGAUGUUCCGUGGAACGCACGAGGAUGUUUCCUUGGGGGUCUCUCCAGCGCGGCGUGGUUGUAGUUGCAAGUUGACGCCCCUUGAGAUGCCGACGUUGAGGGGCACUCGGAUUUCCUCCGAUGAGCAGGUAAGAUGAGUUUGAUCACGUAGUAAAUGCAUUCUAAAGACUACUUCCGUGUCCAUUUCCUAAUUCUCCCCCUGCCCACUGUUUCGCAGGUUAGGCUCGGUGCGAGUGGAGAUUGGUUUGCAUAUGUACGGGAGGGUACCAACAUCAAUUUGCACAACAUUUACAACGGUGACACCGUUCCCGUAGAACCUUUGUCCAACAUUGGGAUCAGCCAUGCAACGGGCCACCGCAUGAACUGGUACGAUGGAACCACGGUGAGAUUGAAUAAGAUAGCACGAACCUUGCACAUGGCGGUCAAAGGCAGACCAUGUUGUCUGCGGCCGAUUUGUUGCCCUACGAGUAGGAAGACGCUGUGCUCCUUUCUAACCGCAUCUUCACGGUGACAAACCAGGGGACUUAUCUUGUACGUUUUAUAUGUUUGAAAUUCAAAUUUAGAGCUCCCCAUCACAUGUUGAGAUUACAAUGUCCAUUAAAUCGUUGCGUGCAUGUAUAGUAAAGAAACAAAUCUCGAGUUUGGCACGAGUUCGUGCUACGGGAGCACCACAAGCCCUGGCGCAGGAGUUACAUUUCCCUCUCAGGGCCGUCGGGACUGAGCUUCAGCGCCUUACUACACCUACCUUUGAGUCAAUAACAUGUGGACCCGAUAGGUGACUGGUCCACAUGUAAUGCUCCCGUAGGCAGAGGGGCAGUGGGGCCAAGAGGGGUGAGCCGCAGGUCGGGGGACAUGUGGUUUCAUGGGUUCGAGCGGUGUCGUGGGAAUCGCGGGUGGCUGUGGUAGAAACUUGAUGCUCGCCGCAUUUUAGGUGGCCCACAUGUCAUGCACACAAAGGCAGAGGGGCGGUGCGGCCGAGAGGGGUGAGGCGCACGUCGAGGGGCGUGGUGCCGUGGGUUGGAGAGGCGUCGUGGGAAUCGCGAGAUGAAACGUGAUGGUCGCCGUAGUUGAACUUCCAUGGACAAGUUGUCAUGUCUACGGACACAUGCACUGCAUACCGGUCACUGGAAGGAGUAGCAGAGAAAGCUAUAUAUGCGGAUAAAUAGUUCCUUAUAGUCAAGCGGACCCACGCUACUACUCUGUUCCAAAGACAUGCACACCAUCGAAAUAGUCCAUCUAUAUCAAUAUACACCGAGAGGGAAUAUUUUUUUUUACAAGAGAGGAAAUAGUUCAUCCAUCCAUAAUGCCCUCCUGCUGGUGCAGCCUUUUCUUCUUCUUCUUCUUCUUCUUCUUCUCAUUCUCUGUGGGAGACGGCUUCGCAACAAGCUCUUUGGACCUUGCAGCUAUCUCGAAACUCACACGGGCAUCGAGGGCAGCAUAUUUUAUCCGCUUGUACGUCAAGGGAUAAUUCUCCCAUCCAGACGACCUUAAUGCCACCGUCUCGUCACCCUUCUGAAGAUUUGUACCGAGCACAAAAUUUGCUACGUCGAAUAGGGAUGGUGUCUGUUUAUCACAAUCUUCUAUAGGAAUUUUGAUUCUGGUUUGUAGGUCAGCGAUGCUUUUCAAAUCAAGGUUGUACGGCUCCAGCUUCUGUUUGUCCCCUUCGAUGGCUGCCCCACAGAAGUAUACGUCCUCCCGAGACAAGAAAUCGUGAAGCUCACCUGGUAUGGAGGGCGAGUGUAUGAUGUGGUACACCAAAACAUCAUCUUCGAAGCACAGCUGAAGGACGGCGACGCGCUGGAUCUUCCCAGGGGCACGCUCCGUGUACUCUGUGUCGAGACCGAUGACCCUCGUCUCUACCUUUUCGAGGGAGUUGGAUACAUUGUUGAUCCACUGCUGAACAACCCUUGGGUGGACGGUGACAGUGGCAACUAUGCGCAUCGAGCCUUCGACGAGGACAUGUUGGACGCUAAAAACCUGCAUCUCGAUCUCUUUCGCCAUUUGGAACCGCUGGAACGGAGGGCUAUGGUUUGGAGAAUUAGGAUUAGAUGGCUAGUCUAACUAAAUUAGUAGAUGAUUAUUUAAAGAAGUUAAAACAAUGUGAACGCAGUGGGGUUUGGAUGCAAAUGAAGACGAAGGGGAGGUGAAGAAGGCGAGGAGAAUCGGUUCCCGAUGGAGAAGUAAAUGGGAGAAGUGGCGUGCAGGCAGUUGAUUAGACGACUAGGUAGACUAAACGAAAAGGCUAUGCGGGUAGACUGAUGAGUCGUACCUGUUCGUGUACGUGCCCAUCCUUCCUGAUAGGUGGGACCUAUGCAAACAGAUAAAAAAAUGUGUCGUAGUUUUUUUUGAGCGCGUGAGUGGGAGACACAACAUUCUCUGGUUAAGGAAUACUCCCUCCAUUUAGGUGAGUAUAAGUCACCUUAUGAAAAUCAAGUUUUCCCAAAACCUUUAGGCGUGGAGCAUUAACUUCCUGCUCGAUCCCCUCCCAGCCUCGUUAGCCAGCGAUCUCUUCCUCUGCUGCCACGUUCUACCUUUCCAUUUUUCUCUUCUCAAGUGUGGAACGAUCUGCAUGCCGUCCUUGAUGCACCAGAACGACCACUGCAUGCAUCGCGGCAGGGCGUUGAUUGGGCAUGCACGAGAAUUUGGUUCUGCUCGCAAUAUGGAUGGUACCUGAACGAUGAAGUGAACAGACAUGCUAGCACGGGAGACCUAUUUCCGCUAUACAAUACUGGAGUACUCAUGUUCCUACUAGUAGUAGUAGUAGUAGUAGUAGUACAACUAUGGUACACUUGAUGGUUAAAAUACUAUUCAUCCAGUCCUCACAGUGAAGUGACAACACCCUGAGCCUGACACUAGUCCAGGCGGCGUGUUUGGGUUACCAAAGUCAGCCUCACCCUGAACACUGUGCAGUCUGUCACCACCGCUGUACAGCACAUUGGCGCCUCGCCUCGUCUCCCUCUCCGCUCCCAUAGCACCACUCCAUCUCCAUGCCCUUCUCCGUCUCCGUCUCCAUCUCACUGUGCCCCCGUGUACCGUCGCCUCACUCGCCUCCCCCAGUACCACUAUUCCCUCGCUAGCCGCUCCAGCACCGACAUCCUUCUCCCCCGUAAAUCAAGCCCCCUUCCAAACUCCACCAUGGCCGAACGCGAACCGCGCAGCAUCCAUAUGAGCCGCGAUUGGAGCAAUCUCCCCAGUGACAUCCUUGACCUCUGUUGUUCGUGUAUGGAUAUGUUGAGCGCCCUGCGGCUGGCUGCAUGCUUGAGGGACAUGCACACAGCCAUCGUCGAAGCAAGGCCUAAGCUUUUCAAGACACCCUGCUUGCUGCUAUCUGGUCUUGCGAGAUUGGCUCACCAUGAUACGGAGGCGUGCAUGAUGCCCCUUGACUUCAAUCUGAUCUCCAUUAGCCGAAACUUCUUUGCAGGUAUGUAGUGGGUCGCCGUACAUCAUUUCCCUCGACAUCGAUCCGAUCACCAUCGCCCGAAACUUCUUGGCAGGUAUGUACUGGGUCGGCAUGAACUCCCACUGGAUGGCUGCCUUCAGAGAAGACGGUAAAAAGUUGGUGCUCGUGAACUUCCAGACCUCCCAUGAGAUUAUCCUUCCUCCGUUGGAUUAUAUAGAGUAUUACCAUCGCGGUCCAAGUCAUCUAGAUUACUACGUCAGUUGGACGGACCUUGUUUUGCAGAAGAUUGUAAUCUGCCAAGUGCCCACAUGACAUGCGAAUUACGCAGACUUCAAGCUAAUUGUCUUGUUUGACCGCGGACUCGCCUAUCUUUACGCCGGUGCCUUCUUUAGCUGGAGACAACUCGGCUCGCAGUGGAUCAUCGUCAAAGCUGAUACACACUUCUGUGAUGCUAUUGAACACAAUGGCAUCAUCUACCCGAUCGACAAAGCAGAUGGCACCACGUAUUGCUGGGACGGCGUGUGUAAGUUGUUUCCAUCUCAUGUUAAUGAUGACGCCAUGACACUGUUUGAACUUUUUGUGAUGAUUGGCAUAUCCCUGUUUGAGCAGAAUUUGAGUAGAACUAUGGCAAUGUAUUAGAGACGCCGUAAAUCAGCUAUAUUUGGAAUGAGUUAAUUCAUGCGAUUGUGACCAUGUCAUUACAGCCAAUUUGUACCCUGAAUAAUCAAACGGUUAGGAAUAUAUGGAUAUUAUCCUUAUUUUACAGUAAUCUAUAUACUACUACUAAAUAUGAGUGUGUAUCAAUGGCCAUGUUAGUUUCCUCAUUUUCAUGAUGUAGAGACAUGCACCACACUGUUGGUUUCAUCUAACCAUACAUUAGGGAAGUAAAUGUGCAUAUGGAGAACUCUAUAUUUGGAAGUAGUGAAAUCCUGCAAUGCUUACCAUGUGUACAUACCUAUAUUCGCCCUUCACCAAUCAAUGGCUAGAAUAAUAUCCUCACAAAAAAUUUGCUCACAGAACACGAGUAUACAACAAUGCAUGGUCUGUUAGUUACCUUGAAGAAUUUGUUUGUGAGGACAGAACAUGAUUACUCCCUUCGUUCCCAAAUAUUUGUCUUUCUAGAGAUUUUAACAAGUGACUACAUACGGAGCAAAAAGAGUGAAUCUACACACUAAAAUAUGUCUACAUACAUCGAUAUGUUGUGUCUAUUUGAAAUGCCUAGAAAGGCAAAUAUUUGGGAACGGAGGGAGUACAUAACAUGCAUGACAUGGUAGUUUCCUGUGAAGAAUCGAUUGCGAGAUAACAUGAGUAUAACCAUGCAUGGCACUUCUAUAUUUUUGAACCCAGUAUACAUUUCCCUGUAUUAUCCUCCCAGUUCCAAUAGGGACAUAUCAAUGAUGUUUCAUGCAUUAUCCUACUCAUACUCUGAACAAUGCUGAUCUUACAUUAAGAAUGCCUGUCCUUUUUGAUAUGAUGCAGUGUCCCUACAGUUACUGCCAUUUGUAAUCACACCACCUUUGCCAAAAACAGGGAAGCACAACUGGUUCCUCACUCGAUCAGACGACGGCAAAAGACUGAUGAUCAUUCGGACACAUGAGCCGGAAAAGUUAUAUUGCAAAAACCCCAUUGUAUACAAGCACCGUGUAAUACGUGAGUAUCCGGACAGUGGCUGUUACGUCUAUGAGCAGGAUACCAGCUUGUUGGGGCCUUUAGGGUUUUUUAGUUGGAGGCGGGUAAACAGCCUUGGUUCACACUCUCUGUUUCUCGGACUCAAUUAUCCAAUUAACCAGGAGAUCACCGUUGGCGAGGACCUUGAUGGCAGAGAGGCUCUGUUUGCUAUGGAAAACUGUGUCUACACGGCGAGCCCUAGGAGUUCGGGAGCAAACUCCCCUGAUUGUCAAUGAUACAGCCUGUAGCCAAAAGAAGGUGAGAAUGACAAAGGCAUCCGGAUUAACUUUGAUCCUUGGAUGUCUCAAUUACGACAGGCAGUGAUGUGGUUCAAGCCUUCAGGUUGAUAGGUAAUUGGGAUGUUGCAUCGAAAGGGUGGAGUACCGGUGUCUCCGGAUCACUGGUCGCUGAAGCGGGGCUGCAAAUUAUGAUGGUGUUGGAUCAUCUCUUUGAAUGACUUUGUUGUCUUUGCUGCUGGUUCUGGAUGGGUAGUUCUUUCUUUUGUUAUGCAUAUUCCUUGUCAUUUGGUCAUCCUCGUCUAUGUCACUCUUACUAUGUAAUAGUUGCUUCUGUUUAGAAUGUCAUUCUCGUCUGGAUCACGAGAGUCUGAGCGUUGCAGAUGGGUGCGUUUUGGUGGAGUAGCAAGACUUCUUAUGAACUAUCAUGUCUUGCUAUUUAUGUCAGUAGUAGUCACUAGUCAGUGUUUGAAUGUUGUAUAUAUCGUUGUUUCGAACUGUUUAUUGUCUCGAACUACUGGUGGGCUAAAUGAGGGCAUCACCAUUCUCCAGUGUUCAGAGUAUAUCUCCUUUUUUCAAGUUAUAUAAUUUGAGCUCAGCGUCUUUUCGAUGAUGUACACUUGUUUGGGCCAGUGAGGUGUCGUUGAAUAUGGGCCGAGUAGUAACGCAAUGCCAAACAGCUCAAUUAUGACUCUCAGGCCAGGCUCUCAAAAGAUCCUGAAAAAAAGGUCGGGCUCUCCAAAAAAGAAAGAAUAAGGACUCUUAGGCCGACAUGUGGGUGCCACCGGUGUUUUCGUGCGCUUGCGCGCCGAGAGCAUAUUGGCGCGUGCUCGAAAUUCAUGCUACCUUUUCAUCCCCAGUCUCCCGCCCCUCCCCCACCUCUGAAAUCUCGAUUCCUACUCCAGUCCCCCCUAAUCCCCCUCAUGUACUCCCUGUACUCAAGCGCACUAUCAUGUCGCCGGUCAACGCGGAUCUCCGAGCCGGAGAUCCUGAGGUCCGUCCUGCCUUCGGUCGCUGUGUGAUGUCGCUCAACAGUGGCAUGGCGGCGCUUGACGACCAGUUUGCCGGCAAAGUGUUGAUGGUAACCAUCAACGGCGAUCGGCCUCCCGUCUCGCCGGACGACCUUGUCAAAGCUCUUGGCAUUGCGCAUGGCAUCCAAAUAAGUGACUUGCUCGUCGAAGUCUGUCCGCCACCGGCUGAUUUCUUCGUCAGGUUCCGGACAACUUUCGACUGCAGUCGUGUGUUCGAAUCUUCCCAGCGUUUGUUCUGCGAUGGCGCGCUGGUGAGCUUUGAUCGGUGUCACCCAGCAUGGGGCUCGGUGCCCUCUGAGCUUGAGUUUUUAACAAAGCUUACCUUCCACGGCAUGCCUCGACGUGCUUGGAACAGCGAGUCCAUGACCGAGCUUAUCAACGACCUUGGAGGUGAGCUCGUAAGUAUGUUUGUUCCUCCAGACAGCUGGGCUCUGACGGUUAUGGCAUGGAUGAAGAAGCCGUCCACCAUACCGAAGGUGAUUGGUAUUGAGAUACCGGUGCAGGAACCGGGGUUGUACUAUUCGUCGCCACCAAGGCCGCCGCGGACCACGUUAGGGAUGUACCUGUAUCGAGUGUUCGUGCAUGUCGAAGAAGUGGUCAAUCCAUCAAUCGAAGUCCUGCCGCCGCCGCUGGUGCCAGGGUCCGUCGAUGACGUCCAUUACAGGAGUCAACAUCAGACUUUCCUCGUGUUGCUCGGAACGAUGGAUGGCACAGGGCCUACUCCAUCGCGCGGCGGAGGCCACUGCUUCUUUGGGAGAAGAGGCAGGGCUGGCUGCCUGGAUGUGCUCUAAUUUGAGGUAACAACUGAAUCUUGUCAGAUACUAGUUAAAUCCGGGCUAUGGGUGUGAAGCACUGAUAUGCCAGUACAUUUGAUUGUGACCUAUUCUAAUUUUGUACAUGAACUUUUUUUAGAAAUGGUUGUACGUCAACUUAAUGUGCUAGCAGAACUUAUUGUGUUGUAUGUCUGUUUUCUUUGCACAACAUUCAAGAUAUUUCCCCAUCAUUGAUAAAGACGAUGAACCGUUAUGUACGACUUCGUUGGUUUCAACAUAGCCCUUCCCGUAGCGAUCCACUGCUUCCAUCCUGAUUGUGCCGCCUGCGUGAAAUUUUUGUAUGCAAGUUCAGUGUGCUAUGAUGUUCUAUAUGAUUGUGUCAACUAUAUAAGUUUUUACUGAGCAUCGACCGAUGGGUCUCUCUCUCUAUCUCUCUCUCUCUCACACACACACACACGCAUGCACACACACACGCACACGCACAAGUGGGACCCGUUGAAUUAUUUAUUUGCUCGUGACAGCUUUUAAUUAGGUUCCACUGUAAUCUAACUUUUUUCUUAAGUUAUUAAUUGAGCUCAGUGACUUUAAAAAGUUGUACAGAAGCCUUGUUUGGGCCUUUCCGGCGUCGCUGAAUGUGGGCUGAGUAACCAUGUUAGGUUGUACUGUACUACACAGGCCUUUUUUUAACAUCAGCAAUGCAACUGGGCCGACAGUUGUACACAAUAUCUGGGUCAACUUGUUAUUCUCCGCCCCGCUGGGCUGCAAACUUUCCUAGGAGGUAUGCAUUAGGCUUAACAAGAAAAUGGACUUUAAGAAAUAAUAAAUGGGAUGUAAUUAUAAUAACUGGACAGUUACUAUGCACCAAAAACGUAAUUAGUUUGAAAAAUAUAUUAUUUUUGGAAUUUGAAAAUUUUAAUUUCAUUACUUAUUGCGCGCGCAAUAUUUCGUUGGAUUUUAACGUAAUACAACUUUAUUUUGAAAUUAUAUUUAACCUGACUAGAAAUUACGGAUAAAAAUAUUUCGGAUCCCAUCAAAAUGUGGGAAUUUUUUUUUGAAUUCUGUUUUGAGCGGUUGUUUGAAAUUAUUAAUCGUUGUCCUAGCUAGAAGUUGGGUUGUACUUUUAACAAACUGUAAAUGGGCUGUAGUAAAUUCCAUUAGAAUUAAAAAAAUGGGCUGUACAUUCUUACAAAUCGCAAAUGGGCUAUAUGUUCUCUGCCAAAUCCGAGCUGUGGGCCUACUAAGUUGACGCGUACCAAGGGCUUUGUCAACUUAGUCAAUAUAAACGAUUCUAGCUGCAGUGAUCGUACGAUGUCCAUCCAACGGCCGUAGUGCUUCUUCAACCUCUGGUCUUCUUGCUCCAGCCGCCCAAAGCAGCGCCGGUCGUGUCGCGUGCUCCUGCCUCACAUGGCCGGCUGUGAUGCCGCGGGGGCCUCACCGCCCCGUACUACUCCCACCGCUGGCCAGGCCAUCCCUCUACUCACCCACACCCCCUGUUAUUCUGUGGUGACGGCAGCCUCACACCGCAGUCAAACCAGUGAACCCUCGUACUCCUCUCCGCGCGGGCUUCCACUGCUGCGUCUUCCCCGGCUCCGCGUCGUCCCCUUCCUAGGCCUCGCCGUCGUCCAGACCACCGCCCUGGUGCUCUCGGCGCGGCGUGGUCAACGUGAUCAACGACCGACUUCCAUCGGAAGAGUGUUGUACAUGGAGAGGCUGACAGUUGGGUCCAGGCGGCCGCAAGGAAGUGCCUCCUUAUUACGCGCAAAAUAAUUAUUCCUCCACCUGACAGCAGGGACCCACCGGACGGGCCACCUUAUUUCGCGAAAAAAAACGUUUCCCCCUGACUGCUGGGACCCGCCGGACGGGCCAGUGUAUUUCGCGAAAAAACGUCCCCCCCCCCCCGCGCUGUCAGCUCGGACCCACNNNNNNNNNNNNNNNNNNNNNNNNNNNNNNNNNNNNNNNNNNNNNNNNNNNNNNNNNNNNNNNNNNNNNNNNNNNNNNNNNNNNNNNNNNNNNNNNNNNNNNNNNNNNNNNNNNNNNNNNNNNNNNNNNNNNNNNNNNNNNNNNNNNNNNNNNNNNNNNNNNNNNNNNNNNNNNNNNNNNNNNNNNNNNNNNNNNNNNNNNNNNNNNNNNNNNNNNNNNNNNNNNNNNNNNNNNNNNNNNNNNNNNNNNNNNNNNNNNNNNNNNNNNNNNNNNNNNNNNNNNNNNNNNNNNNNNNNNNNNNNNNNNNNNNNNNNNNNNNNNNNNNNNNNNNNNNNNNNNNNNNNNNNNNNNNNNNNNNNNNNNNNNNNNNNNNNNNNNNNNNNAAAAAAAUGAAUACUCCCCCUGCUAGCUGGGACCCACCAUGGUGGGAGGCUGACUUGUGGGCCUACUAAGUUGACUAGGACGGGGGCCUUUGUCAACUUUAGUCAAUAUGAACGAUUCUAGCUCCAGUGACCGUACGAUGUCCAUCCAACGGCCGUAGUGCUUCUUCAACCUCUGGUCUUCUUGCUCCAGCCGCCCAAAGCAGCGCCAGUCGUGCCGCAUGCUCCUGCCUCCUGUGGCCGGCUGUGCUGCCCCGGCGGCCUCACCGCCCCCUACUAUUCCCACCGCUGGCCAGGCCCUGCGGCGAUGGCAGCCUCACACCGCAGCCGAACCAGUGAACCCUCGUACUCCUCUCCGCGCGGGCUUCCACUGCCGCGUCUUCCCUGGCUCCCCGUCGUCCCCUUCCUAGGCCUCGCCGUCGUCCACCGCCCUGGUGCUCUCGGCGCGGCGUCGUCAACGUGGUCAAGGAACGACUUCCAUCGGACGUACUACUGUACGUGGAGAGGCUGACAGCUGGGUCCACGGCCGCAGCAAGGAAGUGCCUCCUUAUUACGCAGAAAAUAAUGAUUCCUCCACCUGACAGCUGGGACCCACCGGACGGGCCACUGUAUUUCGCAAAAAAAUGUUUCCCCCUGACUGCUGGGACCCACCAACUACAUCUUCGCACGCAAGGAAGUGCGUCCAGGCGAAAAAAAACGAUUCGCCCCCCUGACUGCUGGGACCCACUAGCUACAUCUUCGCAGGCAAGGAAGUGCCUGACAGUCGGGACCCACCUGGUCGAAGCGUACGUAGCGUUGUCAUUCUGGUCGCGAAUGUGUACGUACAUAUAUACUGGUGGAUGUAGAGGUGCGCACGUGUCGUAGUAGAGGCGCGUACGUGUCGUAGUAGAGGCGCGCACGUAGCAUGUACACGUACGUACAGCGGCCAGGGUGCAAGAAAGAAAAUACGGCCACGUAUGUGUACAUACGGGCGGGGUCUCGAAUGCCUACUCGCGCAUACGUACGGCCAGGGCUCGUGUACAUGGCUGGGUCGGAACGAAGAAAAAGCGUCGUCGUCGUGUUCAUGGGGAGGCAACGGAAUGCGUCGUGUUCAUGGGGAGGCAACGGAAUGCGUCGUGUUCAUCGGGAGGCAACGGAACGCGUGGGAGCCUACCGGCUGGGUCGGAACGGAAUGCGUGGUCAUGUCCAUCGGGAGGGCUUGGACGGAACAGGCGAUGGAAACGAGGUCUGGCGUACCGCACAACGAAGGAAACGGACCUCCUACGUUCGGAACGGGGUCCUGUUGAUCGGGAGGGGUCUGGCGUACCGCAAAACGGAGGAAACGGACCUCCUACGGUCGAAACAGGGGUCCUGUUGAUCGGGAGGGGUGUGGCGUACCGCAAAACGGACGAAACGGACCUCCUACGGUCGAAACGGGGGUCCUGUUGAUCGGGAGCGGUGUGGCGUACUGCAAAACGGACGNNNNNNNNNNNNNNNNNNNNNNNNNNNNNNNNNNNNNNNNNNNNNNNNNNNNNNNNNNNNNNNNNNNNNNNNNNNNNNNNNNNNNNNNNNNNNNNNNNNNNNNNNNNNNNNNNNNNNNNNNNNNNNNNNNNNNNNNNNNNNNNNNNNNNNNNNNNNNNNNNNNNNNNNNNNNNNNNNNNNNNNNNNNNNNNNNNNNNNNNNNNNNNNNNNNNNNNNNNNNNNNNNNNNNNNNNNNNNNNNNNNNNNNNNNNNNNNNNNNNNNNNNNNNNNNNNNNNNNNNNNNNNNNNNNNNNNNNNNNNNNNNNNNNNNNNNNNNNNNNNNNNNNNNNNNNNNNNNNNNNNNNNNNNNNNNNNNNNNNNNNNNNNNNNNNNNNNNNNNNNNNNNNNNNNNNNNNNNNNNNNNNNNNNNNNNNNNNNNNNNNNNNNNNNNNNNNNNNNNNNNNNNNNNNNNNNNNNNNNNNNNNNNNNNNNNNNNNNNNNNNNNNNNNNNNNNNNNNNNNNNNNNNNNNNNNNNNNNNNNNNNNNNNNNNNNNNNNNNNNNNNNNNNNNNNNNNNNNNNNNNNNNNNNNNNNNNNNNNNNNNNNNNNNNNNNNNNNNNNNNNNNNNNNNNNNNNNNNNNNCCCCCGGCAACGCUCACUGUUCAUCCUAGAGGCAGCAUCGAUCGGCUUCAGUUAGCAGCAUAGCGAAGGAAUCGCUCGAUCGGCAGUUAACAACCAUCGAUCGAUCGCUCGGGUUCAGUAACGCGUAGCCUGCAGUGCAAUCGCUCGGGUUCAGUUAGAGCCCAACGCCUCGCUCGGGUUCAGUUAGAGCCAACGCCUCGCACACACGCGUGUACGUGUACGAGAGAAACGCGCAUCGCUCGGCCCCCGACCUCCCACCAUAACCGGGAACUCCCCGAAAUUUUCCUCCCCCUCGCUUCUACCACGGUUUUUUCCGUCAUGGACGGCCCAAAGAAUGUCAUGCAGCUGUGUCUCCGGCCCGCCCAGGACGAAAAGCCCAUUUUCUGUCAUGAUUUUUGGUCAUAGAAGUAGGAGCCCACCACAUCUAUGAUGAUACCGGGUUUUGUCACAAUUAUCGUCAUAGAAGUGUCAUAUGUAUGACAGGAAAAAAAUUCGUUCGGCCCAAAAUGUCACGGAUGUGUCUUUUUUACUAGUGUAUUCCGCUGCAAGUAGUUCUUCACUCAGGAAUUUCCUCACCCGCAAAUUCCUCAGUGAAGAAUUCAUAAAAAUCGCUUAUUCAUCCCCCCUCUAGUCGAUAUAACGCACUUUCAGGAAGCCAGGUGUAUUCACCUAAAACCCCGGGUUAUCCUGCCUGUAUGCCAGAUGCUUCUCCAUCAGGUAAUCGUGAUUGACCCGCCGAACUCUUAACAGUCAAUCUUUUAAACACGACCCUGAACUCGUUAAGGUUAAAACGCCGGUUUGUCAUGUGAGGGCACGGUUUACGGAAAGCAAGGAGAAGCUCAGGCUGAUAAAGCCGCCUUCCUUGAAACUUGGAUAAAUCGGCCUGUGAUGCACGAUGCUACUCUGACCCCGCGUACUCCUGAUAAGUCUAUCUUUAAAUACGAACUGAACUUAUCUGGGUUAAAAUGUCGAUUGGGUAAUGUGAGUGCCGGCUCACGGAAAGCGCGUACCUUCCAGUGGCUAAUGCUAGUUUCAUUGAAGAAGAUAUUUUGGCUUGGCGGCCUAUGAAAGCCUUGGAUUUUCUGUUGUUUGAUUUGAACGCCUUUUUGAGAUUUUUUCUCUUGUGACAUAGUAAUACAUGUUGAAAACCAAUAAGGCUUAUAAUGCCUUCUGAGUCAUAUAUGACAUUAACCGGUGUUCAUUAACCCGGCCUGGCUUUGGACAUUAAGUCGCCAGCAUAUUUUGGAUUGCGCCAUUGGAAUUCAGGCGCUUAUAAAUCAUGAAGUUAUUACCCUCACUGGGCAUGGCAAUAUAAGCCAACAGUAUACAUCAAUUCUACAGGUAUGAUUUUCCUGGUUAUAUGAAUAUGCGAGGUUUGAUAACCCGCCCUGGCUUUAAACUUUAAGUUGCCAGUAUGUUUAGGCUUGAAUGGCCUUAAUACUAGUCUUUUCCAUAAUUGCAUAAGAUUAUAUUUGGGUUGUUACCCACCCUGGCUUUUGACGUUAAGUCGCCGGGGCAUAUGUUGUUUAAACUUUGUGCAGGAUUUGCAGAACUAUGACAUAUAAAUUCAAGCUCAUCAUCAAAAUUGAUGUUUCAAAAGGAUUAUCCAUUCUGGAUUCUCAAAGGCUAUAAGCCGACGAGUUAUAAAAAUUCUGUCUUACAAUGAAUGCUCAUUAAGUCGCCAUCGGCCAAGAGCCGCCGAGUAUUUAAACUCCGGAUUUACUUAUCAACUGAUAAGGUAUUCACAUCUUUCAUGGCCAAAAUUGGCUAGAUUUUCAUAAUGAUAUUAAAUGAUUGAGGUUUUCAAAGUCGCUUCAGCGCAAUGGCUAUUAUUUUAUCAUGGAUAUAAUUUAUUCUACAAUGGAAGGAAUAGUCCCGAGUCGUUGUAGGCUUACGACCCAACACUUGGGGGCUACAUUAUUCAAGUUGAGAUUAUAUCAAAUAUGCAUGUCCCAUGUCACUGCCAGCAUGCACCAUGGCACUUGGGGGCUAAUGCAAAGUCAUUUUUACUGGCCUUAUUGAAGACCCGACUCAUCAUAUCAUAAUGAGCCGGCCCUUGGGGGCUACCAGUUGCUUCUGGCAAAAAAUUUAAGGUACACAAGCUUUAAUCCAUUAUAUUGAAAGGCUUAUUGCUCAGUUGAUAGAGUACAAAGCUCUUAACUUUAUGGACGUGGGUUCGAGCCCCAUGGUGAGGGUUACAUCAUAUGAUAUUAUUUUCAAUGAAGUAUGUAUAAAGUCCCAGCUCAGUAUUAUCUUACUAAGCCGACCCUUGGGGGCUACACGUUGCUGUUCAAAUCUACAUGAUCAUAUCUACAAAGUCCCUGCUCAUUAUUGCUUAAUGACCCGGCCCUUGGGGGCUACACGGGUUGAAGUUUUUGUGAGCAUAAGACAAUUACAAGUCCCAGGUUGAUGCAAGCAUGACAACCCGGCACUUGGGGGCUACAUAUGUGGAAUAUUUAGUUUUGACUAAGUGAUUGAGAUAAAAAAACCUGGAUUUCUUCAAGGUUGCAACAUUUAUAUUAAAGCAAGUCUUAAGUUGUUACUAUGCUUCCUUCUUAAGACUUGGGGGCUACAGGUGAUAUGCAUAUAAAGGAGGAAUAUCUUAAAUUCCCAGUUUUGAGCAAAUCAGGAAGAUUAAUUGUGUGACCCGGCGUUGGCAACAAUCAUGACCCGGUGUCUAUAACAGUCAUGACCUGGAGUCAUCAGUUUUUAUAACCCGGUGAUUUUGGAAAUCAUAACUCAGCAAGUUCUACAAGCCGGCUGAAUAUCAGUUGAAUAUUUCAAAACCAAUAUUUUGUCAAGUCAGAGCAUUGAAGGCCGAUUCAAAUGGAUUAUUUAUUCAUUCACAAUAUUUCUUCUACAAGCAAAUUGAUUGUGAAGCCAGUCUAUUGACCCGGAUUUUCUAGAAGGAAAUGACAAGGACUUAAGGAUGAUCAGGUGCCGGCUUACAAGAAUUUUUAACCCGGAGCACAACCUGUCAAGUUUGUUCUUGUGUUUAUUUUGCAGGAUCAGUUUAACAUGGAUAAAUCCAAAUUAAACUGGGGGCUAACGUCGGGGAUAUACCCCCACAGUUUAACCCGGCCGGAUGUAUGACCCGGCCGGACUUGGCGUUUCAUUUGUAAGCCGCCCGGAGAUUGGCGACUCACCUUGACCUGGCGGUUUAUGGACAACCCGCCUAAUAUUGCGACUCACUGGUGACCCGGCGGGCGGGUCAGACGGACGACAAGGCCCAAGGCCCAGACGACCGGCUCAUCUUAUGGUGGGCCGGUUUAAGAGAAAGCAUAAGGAAUAUUCUCCUACAAAGGAAGCAAGACUAGGACUCCACUUGUAAUAGAGUAAUCCUAAUCCUACUAUGACUAGUCAUGUAACCCGCCCCUUCAACAUAUAUAAGGAGGGGCAGGGCACCCCAAGAGGGACGAGAAAUAAUCUUAAGGCUAGACACAACUAGGAGAGCCGGUUUACGGCAACUCCCUCGUGAUGAUAAUGAGACCUAGCCACAAACAGCAUGUAGGGUUGUUACCGGAUGAUGUUUCCCGGGGCUCGAACCUGUCUAAACUCUUGUCUUGUGUUGUGUCUCUUGAUUCCGCUCAACCCCUCUCAAGCUACCACAUAGGCGCGUUGGCCUCACGACUAAGUCCUCACACUAGGACAUCUGCCAUGACAAUUCCACGACAAAGACCCUAUCAAGCUUUUCUAAAGUGGGAGCAUCCUGGUUGUUUUUCAAGUAUAAAUCCAACCAACCCUGUAAAUCUAUCUCAAACACAAAGUAUUAAUAAUGGCAUUAAACAUGUCGGAGCUAUGAGAUUAAGGAUUUUUUUUUCUCUAGUCGCUAUGCCUUAGCACAUUGAGGUCACCACUAACCGCAUGUCGCACCUCUAAAUUUGCAAAAGGAGGCCAAUUUAGAGAAGAAUUUUAUUUUAUGCUCCUCAUGAGCAGAAGUGUAUACUACCAUAAAUGCUAUAUCACAAUCUAGUAGAAUAGGGUGCAAAUUAAGCUGAAUCACAUAUUGUCCUUUCUUCAUAGAUUGGACAUUAAAGAUAUCAGUUUUCAGACCACAUUCAAUGCCUCUAGAUUUACCAUUGGAAGGUAUCCAAUACUUAGAAAAAAACAUUAUGAGGAUCAAGUUUCCUAAAAGGUAGGGGGUGCUUGCUCUUCACGGUCUCUUGAAGACCAACAAAAUCUAGAGGAUUCUUCUCAAUAAUGUUAGAAAGGUGUGAUUUCAUAACUUUCUUUUUAGUACCUCUACAAUUCCAAAAACAACCUAUCAUUUGUAUUUAUUAGGUAUUUACCUAAAUCUACCAGAUCUGCUAGGAGGCAGAGCGGAGCUGGAAGUAGCCUUUUGGCUCCUAGUACACGGUAUACCCAAUUUCAAAGCAGGGGAAAUAAUCACAUUUCUAGAAUACUACUCUUCUUCCUCCUGGAUUUCAUAAGAGUAAAGGCUUUGUCCUCUACCUCAACAGGAUCAAUCUAAGUUAAACACAAAGGGACCACAUUCCCUCUAUUGUCAUGAAUAUGUAAGGAAUUAAAAAUUAUCUUCAUGGUUUUUCAUUAUCAUAUUAUUCCUGGCCAAUUCCAUUUCUCUGAGUGCAAUGUUCUCAAAAUCAUCUAAAGGAAUGUCUACAUCCAUUCUAGAAGCUUUACAUAGGAUAUCCAUAUCAAAUAAAGAAGCAAUGGAAUAAACAUAAGUUGUGUUGUCAAUAUUACCCUCCAAAUUCCUGUUCUUGGUUAAUUUAGCAGCUUUGACAAACACAUGUUGCACUUUGUCCUGCUAGUUACGAGUGCUCAUCCUUCUAGGAACUUCAGAAGUAGUUGCAGCCCCCAAGAGAGUGAAUAGGUGAAUCUUUAGGAGAUUCCAACCACUAGAAGAGAUGGCCAGUCAUUGUAACUCAACUCAUGUUGGAACCCAGAUAACUUCACAGUAGAAACAUAGCCAUAUCACUUCUUCAUAGGAAAAAGAGUAGAGGGUGCAGAUUCACAAGUAAGAGCCCAAGUGUUGUCAGGAAUAGCAGGAAUCUUCUAAUUAUAGCUAAAUUGUUUUCCAAAAAUCCAUGAAUUCUUGGAGAUAUCAGGAAUGUAAGCAUAGUUAUUAAUAACCAGUCUGUGAUCAGUAGGUGUAGGCAGAGUUAUAGAUAGUAGAUUGUGCUCUCUUGCCAUGGUAUCAAUCAAUAACUCAUUAUGCUUAAAACUUCCCUGACUAGGCUCCAUCUGAUGAUCACUUUACCCUGCAGAGGGACAAAAACAUUGAGUUUGACCCACAUUAACUGACCCAGAGAAUGUCUUUUGCCUUCCACCCACAUUUUUAGAAGAUUCGGUAUGGGUUUCACUUCCAGCAUCAGUUCUGGCCACUUUUCCUAAAGAGGAAUCAUUAACUCCAAAAGAAGUAUUAGACAUAUCCAUUUGAGCAAGGACCAAAACCACAUAUCCCACUUCACAGAAGAAAUCAUAAAAAACAUCACCCAGAACCCCUUUAGCUACAUAAAAAAAUGUAGUAUCCUUACAACCCAAUGAAUUUCUAGCACACUCAACCUUAUGCACAGUAUCAUAGUCUAUUUCCAUAGUUACUCCUACCAAAGAGCCAAGCUACUAUAACAUCACAUCUUUUUUCUGCAGGCAUGUUUCUAACUCUUACCCUAAGCCUUAUUAAGAGGUCAUUCGCUCCCACAUUAGGAGACCAAGCAGAUAGUCGCAACACUAUUCCUCAGGAUUUGGAAAGCGCAUAAAAAAUUCCAUAUGUUGUCCAUAAUAAAGCGCACAUUCUACUUCCUAAGGAUUUGGAAUGAUUGGGGAAAAUGCAUUUAGCAGUACAACGUCAUGUAGGAGCAAAGAAAUUAUUAAAAUAGUUUUUAUCUCUUUAAUAGUAGCAACACACUUAAUAACAGUAAUCACAACAUAGCUACAAUUUUUUCCGCAUGUUUACCAGCACACACAUCAGGAAUGUAAACGAAACCCAAGCCAGGAGACUGAAUAUCGCAAACAGACGAUACACACUCCCAAGGAAGCAUAGCUUGAAAAAUCUAUCUAAUGUGACGGUAGGGCAGCUAGCAGUGAAAUGACCUUUACGGUUGCAGUUCAGGCAGGACCAGUACCUGAGUUGAUAUUACCGCCUCCUCCAGAUAUUGGCGCUUCGAGGUUGCGAUUCCCCGCCACCUUUGUCGCCCCUUGCUGCUGUCACGCCUUCCCAUCCGUCUUCACGACACAGAGGAACCACCCAAGCCGCCAGAGCUUGGCAUGUUGUCGGAUGCUUCCGGUGGAUCUCGCUUCCAGACCAUGUGGGGGUCAUGUUGGGAACCACGACCACGGUCCGAGUUGCCCCGAUGAAAGUUGUGGUUGUUGCCGUGCCCCCCACCGGUGCGUUGAUUGUCUAUGGAACCGCCCCGCUCCCGCCUUGUCCACCAUCUAAGCAGGCACACGAGGAGAGCUGAGAAGUGCAGACACAAUAAGCUGACGGAACGAUCGACAAUCACCAGCAAAUUAACCCUUCCACCACCCAAACGAGUAUCCCAAUGGUGGAGGCGCAGAUCUAGGAUUUUCCCAGAAAUGGACAAAACAUGAAUGGAUACAAGUGUGAUUCGGACGGGGUGGAUCGAUAAGGCCCACCCUGCACCCUCACGUUGUCUCCGUUUGGAACCCUAGGCCCUGAUGGCGGCCAGACAUACCCGCUCGUGCAGCUCUUAGGAUACCCGAGGCCUCCGAUUUUGGACAACCCUCACAUCUACUCGUAGAGCUAGCGUGCACUUCCGUGGCUUUUGUUGCGGCACAUGGUAUCGGCGCCACAGCAUCUAACCGUCGGUCAACCUUUACCAAACAUAUGUAUCACGCAUCCGAUCUCAACUACCUUGCCCUCCCUUAGCUAACUAGCAUCCACCAAAGGGCUGUCGUCAACACGGGGGCAAUGGAGGACUAGCCGGAGAGCAUCACGAUAGAGGCUGAGCACGCCGUCGUGAAACGGGAGCUUGGCCUUCAUGCGGAGAUCCGAUCUAAACGUGACAACCCAGAGAGGUUCCACAUGGUGGGCCAUCUCCGUCUGCGAAUUUGAGAAGUUAAUUGAUGGCCAUAUAGUGGGCNNNNNNNNNNNNNNNNNNNNNNNNNNNNNNNNNNNNNNNNNNNNNNNNNNNNNNNNNNNNNNNNNNNNNNNNNNNNNNNNNNNNNNNNNNNNNNNNNNNNNNNNNNNNNNNNNNNNNNNNNNNNNNNNNNNNNNNNNNNNNNNNNNNNNNNNNNNNNNNNNNNNNNNNNNNNNNNNNNNNNNNNNNNNNNNNNNNNNNNNNNNNNNNNNNNNNNNNNNNNNNNNNNNNNNNNNNNNNNNNNNNNNNNNNNNNNNNNNNNNNNNNNNNNNNCCACCUACCAAAGGCGGCUGGGAGAAGUUGGGGCAGCGAUGGCCGGCUGGGGCGGCGACGGUCACAUCCGUCCGCACGCAGUGACUAGGGACAACGCUCCAGGGUGAAAACCUAGAUUUUGGCCUUGGGUGGUUGGAUCCAGUGACAUCGAGGCUUGGGCGUUGCUCGCUUCCUCAAGUCGUUGAUAUUGAAGAACUCGUUGUCCAUGUGGCGUAAUGGGAUGGUUGGUGUGAGUAUGGUCGUUGUUGUAAUUUGCUGAUCGCGGGUUUGAUCGUUUUUUUUCUCGUCUACCCAUAGUUUUGGUCUUAUAUGAUUUUGCUAUUUGCUGGCGUGUUUUUGUGUGUGUGCGUGUUAUGUUGGCUGUGGGCAUUCUACCUGUGCGGGUGUGUGCUCAUUAUAUUUGUAUCCUCUUGAUGCCUCAUUUUGAGCCAAUAAAAUUCACCCUUUGUAAAAGAAAAUGAUGGUCUUAGUUCAUUUUCUUGGAAUGACCUUAUUCCCCUUUAGUUAAUUUUCUUGAUUUUAUUUAUACUUUUUUUGCGGGUGCUCGAUUUUAUACAUUUAACAGUUAGGUAGUUGUACAUGAGACUUCUCUUUGAAACCAAAUAUUAGACGUCUUGAUUCACUGAUCCCACCACACGAACUGAAACUUACAACAAAUGACAUAAACUCUCACAUUACACUGAUCGCAUUCACAUCUCCUCAACCUGGUUCGUCGGCCAAGUGACGGCGAUGGGGCUCGUGACCGUGUGCUCGCCGUCGCUCCACUCAAUCGACCCAAACGUGUACUUCUCCGUGACGCUCCCGCCGAUUUCCCGCGCGAAGGUGACCACAUACCCCUGCGUCUUCUGCGUCGCACUGAACCGCAACGUCUCGGGGCUCACCGUGACGAGCACGCCGUCCGGGGCGGUAAUCUUGGCCCGGUACGUAGUCGUGGCGUCGCUGCCGACGUUGCGCACGACGCGGCGCUGUGUGACAACCGCCUUUUUUUUGUUCGAGGUGAACACCACGGAGAAGGCCGGGUAGUUGUGGUCGCCCACGGAGGAGCCCGCGCGCGUCGAGCAGCUGGAGGACGAGCCGAACACGGCGAUCUGCUUGGCGGUGUAGCCGAGCGCGCACAGGAAGGUGAUGUAGUCCUCCGUGCCGGCGUCGUACACAAGGCCCGGGUCGACGGCGCUGUUGGGGUCGAUGUGUCCGGCCCCGCGCGUGAACGGCGUGGACGCCUCUCCGGUGGACAUGUCACCGAUCACGCCGCCGGCGCUGUCCAUGUUGCUUGCGGUGGUCAUCAGGGCGGACUUGAUCGUGGCGGGACUCCACUCUGGCCUCGCCUGCCGGAGCAGCGCCACGAUGCCGCUCACAUGCGGGCAUGACAUGGACGUGCCGGAUAUGAUGUUGUACUUCACUCGCCUCGUGUCAAAGUCAAGCUCCGAGGGCGAGUUGGCGCCCGUCCAAGCGGCGAGGAUGUCCACGCCAGGCGCGGUCACGUCUGGCUUGAGGAUCUCCGGCGCGCGGAAGUUCGGCCCGCGGCUCGAGAAGGACGCCAUUCUAGGGGAAGGAGGCGUCGAGCCGACCACGGUGCCGCGGAAGACGAUCGUCGCGGUAGGGGAAGUUUGCGUGCGUAUGUACUUCUUGAUCUUCUCGGCGGCAGCGAAUGGGACGUCCGUGGCGGGGUGGACAUGGGGGCUGGUGAUGACCUGCUCGCCGUCUUCUUUGGCGCCGGUAAGGAUUGCUCCGGCGCCACCUGCGAGCUUGACGGCUUGUCCUUUCGCUGCUUGGGCAGUUACACCCAGUUCGCAGAAAACAAUCUUCCCGGCUACCUUGGCGGGUUUCAGCUUCCCCUCUUCGCACACUUUGGAGCCCACGUCCCCUCCGUAGACCACUGGUAAGUUGGUCGCGACGAGUGGCUCGCCAGCGUAUAGAGUAGUGCCCGUGAAGGUCUCGCCGUUGCCGAGAACGACGUCGCCCGGGAAUCGGCGGUUGAGCGUGGACGCGCCGACCGUCAAGAUCCACGGCGCGAUGUUCACGGCGGUGGAGUCCCCGGGCCCAGAGUUCCCCGCGGAGGCGGAGACGACGAUGCCCUUGCUGACGGCGCGGAACGCGCCCACCGCAGUUGUAUCGCUGUAAAAGUUGUCGGCCAGGCCGGUGUCGCCGAGCGAGACGGAGAUAACGUCGACACGGUCUGUGAUGGCCUCGUCAAAUGCGGCGAGGAUGUCAGAGCUCGCGCACCCUUCCUCCCAGCACGCUUUGUAGACGGCAAUGCGCGCGCCCGGGGCCAUGCCGACGGCUUUUCCUCUGGCGUAGUCGAAGAAGCCGGCGUCCGCGGCAGGUGAGCCGCCGGCGGUGGAGGAGGUGUGGGUGCCAUGGCCGUUGGUGUCGAGCGGCGACAACGAGUCCUCGCCGAGGGCACGACCGCGUGCGGCCUCCAGCCCCUUGUGGAAGAACUUGGCGCCGACGAGUUUGUUGUUGCAGAGCGCGGAGGCGUUGAACGACGGACCCGAGACGCACGCACCGCGGAACUUGCUGGGCGGCGGCGGCAGCGAGGGGUCGGCGGCGAAGGAUUUGCGGCCUUCCGGGUAGACGCCGGUGUCGAUCACCCCGAUGAUGACGUCUGUGGCGCCGUUGGACACCUUGAGCAGCCCGUAGGACGGCGAGAGGCCGAGGAAGGAUGGCGUGAGGGUGGUGUGCAGCUGCUGCAUCACGUCGGGCACGACGGCGAGCACGGAGCCCGAGGAGGCGAGCUGCGCGGCCUGGCGGCCCGUGAGCUGCGCCGCGAAGCCCGUGGCGGCGUGCGCGUAGGAGUAGAGCACCCUAGGCGCCGGGCUGGACAGCUCGACGGGGAGUUGAUCGCGCAAGAACGCACCAUACGCCCGCGUGGCCAGCAGGCCGCGGCGCGGCAGCCGUGGCGCGUGCGCGGCCGCGACGUGCACGAUGUAGGAGGACUGGGCCUCCGCCGUCUCGCUCACCACCUCCGGGGCCGCCAUCGCCGCCGCGGCGACGAAGAAGCCAAGCAGGACGCACAGGGCAGCGAAUGGUCUGAGGAGCUCCAUUGUCGCUGCAAGAGGUGUACGCGGUCAGUGGUGCGGUGGCAGCAGGGACGGGGAGCAUGAAUAAAAGUAGGCAGCGCCGGCCACCGUGGCAGCACGCGGAGGGAGUAGCUGCCGCUCCAAACAAUUGGCGGGAUCGCAAUUUGUUAAUGUUUCCACGAGAUAAACUGCGACAUAUUCUAGCACUGCAUUAUUGCCAGAGGCCGGCAACGAGACUCGGGUGCUGCUUAGGUUAUCUACAUUCUUCUUUCAAAAUUGUUGUUGUCUCGUUCCUUGAACGGACGCCAAAAAGAAAAUGCACGUUGCCUCCAAUUUUCUUGGUGGCUCGUUUCCUUGUAAGAACGCAUGACGCCUCCAUUAUGUCCUUGGCAAGAAAAUAUGGGGCAUUGCUCCAAUAGCAUGUUGUCCUUAAACUGAUUGUAGUACCUGUCAACUGAUCAACAGGUUCUUUUUUGCGAGGGAACAAGUAUUGAAUUAGUAGAGGUUUGUACACAUUUGGCGUAUGAGUGAAGGCAUCAAAUUUGUCAACUAUACUCUUGUGAACUGUCGUUGUGAGUUGAGGAGCCCUAGCAUUGGAGGGACAGGAAUCAUAUCAGUGAUGGAUCUUCUUCUUUUUUUGCAGGAAGAUGGAUCUUUUUUUUUUGACCAAUCACAAUGAUGGAUCUGGUGAAAGAGAGGGCAAAGAAAACCACUUUAGCUAUACGUAAGUCGCCUGAAUUUUGUAUUUGGGUCUGUCAAGUUUUGAAGCGUUGAUGUUUGCUUUGAGAUUCGGUGCUAUUUUCUUUCUGGCGUGGUUGUUUCGCUGGUUUGGAUUGUGUUUCAUCGAAUGACCCCAUACUUGGUCAAUCGAUUCGUUCAUGGGCUGAGCCCGUUAACCGUUAUGAACUUUUGACCCGUUUUCGGCUCAGCCCAGCCGUUGUACAACGUCGAGAUUCGAGAGAGGCCGACUCCUCGGGUUUGUCUCUUUCCUUUAUCUCCUCGGGUUACUCACCUCCCUUUCAGUCUCAUCCUCUUUGUUCCCCUUCGCCUCUCUGUUCUUCUCCCUCUGUAGCUAGGUUUGUGUUUUUUUUCUAUCACCACAUUCGUUUCUUUUUGUAUUGUGUGAUCGAGUUGCUGUUUUUGUAUUGUGUGAUCCUGCCCAGCUGUUCUUGUAGUAGUAGUAGCUAUUGUUCUGCGACCAUGGAUCCCUGCUAGAAUUUUGUAGUAGUUGUUGUUCAUCCGCCAUGGAUCUAAGCAAUGAAUUGGUAGUCUUUGUUAUUUAUGUUGCAUAGCUUUUUGUAGUAUUAUUUGUUGUUGUUUCAUCCGCCAUGGAUCCCUGUCUCUUGUAUUCAGAUACAUGUAUGAGAUUUGUAUGUUGCUGAAGAAUCAUUUGUGCAAGUUUUGGUUAUUAUUGAUGCAAAUUUCAGUAGCCUGAAUAUUAGAAGUUGUAACCUGAUUAGUAUCAUGAUAUGGUAGUAAAUUAUAAAAUAAAUGGUUGUCAUCAUAGCAAAAUUUCUGGAAUGGCAUCCAAAAUAGUUGUGCCCUGCAUUUAAUAUUAGUUUUUAGGUGUUUCUAACCUUGUUCGUAGUAUGGUUUCAUCCAUAGUGAAUUACUUCUUGCUGAUCUUGUAUUUCUGCAAUUUCUACGCCAUGCAUAUGCAAUUUUUCAGAUAAUUAGUGCUGUGAUAUAGUAGUGAAUAAGAAUAGUUAUGGCUCCCGCCAUUUAUUUCAGAGUAGGUGCCAUGGCAAUUCAUUUUUGUACCCAUUGCAGCAUAAAUGACAUUUAGUGAGGUUCCUACUAUGUUGCUCUACUUGUGUAAUUGUUGCUACACUCUGAAUUUGUUCUUGCAGAAGUUUGUAAUGUGCAAGUUCUGAAUUUCUAAUUUGCAAUUAAUUAUUAUUAUAUUUAACAUAUGCAAGCCUGUGUAGAAAUGCAUGCCAAGGUAUGCAAUUUAUGUACCCUGCAUGUGUAAUUGAAGACUCUUACUGACAAUAGUACUUUCUGGAUUUUGUAGAUAAUAGUAAAAAAUAGUAACAAUAGUAACAAUAGUACCCUACAUAUAGCUAGCUGCAACUUAGAGUUGGAAUGAGUGACAUGGCAACAAAAGUUAUGUCUAUUUUUGUUUUUGAUUUUUGAAUUUAUCUUCAGGGAGGGUAGUAGGCUUCCCAAAAUCCAUUCAUGUAAAGAGAAGCUUAUUCCAAUUUUGUUUUUGAGUUUCGGAUUUGUCUGUAGGGAGGAUAGUAGGCUUCCCAAAAUUCAUUCCUGCAUAGAGAAACUUCAUUCAAUUUUGUUUUUUGCUUUUGUAUUAAUCUUCAGGGAGGGUAGUAGACUUCCCAUAAUUCAUUUUUUUAUGGAGACAUUUCUUUCAAUUUUGUUUUUGCCUUUUGAAUUUAUCUUCAGGUAGGGUAAUUCAUUCUGCUCUAGUAAAAUUUCUGCUAGCUAGCAUUCCCGUACUUCUAGUAUUGCUAAGUGCAAUACUAGUCCUAUGAAUUUGCUCAUUCAGAUAUAUGUGAUCCAGACAUUGAAUUCAAAGGUGCAGAAAAGCAAUUACAAAAAGUUUCUGCAUAUGACCUGCCUAUCUUCAAGUAAUGUUUGAACUGUUGUAAAUUAGAAAUUACUUAUCUGAGAGUAUAGCUUAUUCCAUGGUUAAUUAUUUCUUACUAAUGUUCUUUGUGUGCCAAUGUUCCAAGCUGAACCUGCAAUUUUGAAAAUCAUAGUAGUAAUGGCUAUUGAUCUUUCUGUAAAAUUGAGUUAUGGGGGUAUGAUCUGACUGUGAUACAUCAGAUUACUUCUAUAGUUAAACUUAUGAUAAGUAUAGUAAUGAAUUUUAAUAUGUGAACUGUAUUCCUACAAUUUUGAAAUCUGCAUGAUACCAAUUUCAAAGGGACAAUAAUUGUAGGCUUCUAGUUGAGUGAUCAAGCAUUUCUCUUUAGGUAAAGUUCUGUCCCUAAGAUUCUGCCUAUCUGCUAUGGAUUUGAUUACAUUUUCAAAUCAUUCAUUUUGUAGUAUCCCUAUGUCAAACUAGAGGUUUCCUACAACACCUCUGUUGCGAUUCAUCCAUAUGAAUUUAAAAUAGGGAGAAGAUCAAUUUAAAAUUGAUAAACCUGCUACUCAAUUGGAUGAGAAAGCUUGUAGGUCACUCUUCCCACUUCUUCCUUUUCUUUCUCUUACUCAUGAUUUCUUUCUGCUCUCUGUUUGUUCAGACCGGAGCUCAUAGUUUGUUUCUAGUGGAGAUCCAUGGUGGAGAAAGUGAGAAACCUUGUAGUCACGUGUGUUUUUGUUUUGGUGGGUUUUGCUGUGAUGGGUUAACAGGUCCAGUCCAUGGGUGUGUUUCUAUGUGAUGCUCACAAAGGCUGAAGCAGAGUUGGGCUAGGUUGUUUCUUCAAAAUUGAUUGACUCAUAAUUUGGGUCAGUCAACUAUGUUUGAACAGAAAUUCUAUUUGUCCGUUUGAUCAGAAAUUAAUGGUAGAUCCAUAAUUGACUGACUGCAAAUUCUUUUUCAGUUGACUGGCUCCUAGCCAGUCCCAAAGAAAGCAGACUUAAUGAUGCCGCCCAGAAACUUCCGCCAUCAAUAUAAGUCUAUGACACAUUUGCUAAUCUUCGGUUGCCUGUUUUUUUGGUGUUUUAAGCGAUUUGGACACGACCCGAGACCGAGCUGGACAUUGGGACAACACGUCUGAAUGCAGUGUCGCCGGCGAAGGCGACCAGAAGAUGGGAAAGACAAGACUGGUGGAGGGGAGUCCAAGGGUUAACCGGUGUGGGUGGUGGUGGAGGUGGUGGGUGUUUUUCAACUCCGUGAAAGUGGGUUCAGAGCAAUGGUCAAGGCAACAACGGCUCGGGGGAGGGCUACCAAAAUUUUGCGAAAAUAAUUUGUAAUUUAGAAAAUCUAAGUUAAUGAUCAAUAGAUUCGGAUAAGUAAUUUAGAAAGGAUAUUCUCAUACUCUCACAAUACAAGAACAAGUAUAUGCGAAAUCUACCCUUUCAUAAUUUGUAAUUAAUUUGUGUCUUGUUUGUUGGAUUGGGUCUACAAUUGUUUUAGUGGAAUGUAUACAUAGGAUAGGGUAGGAUCGGGGGGGUGCAGUGAGGCUAGGCAACAACGACACCGCACGGCGGGUAGGUCGAUGGAGGCGGAUGGGGGUGAGGAGAGGGCAGAUGACUAUAUUGAUGAGGGUGAAUGGAGUUGAUGUUUCUUUUUUCAGUUAACUAAAGAAUAGGCUGCCCCUAACUACAGGGGGUUGUUGCAAACUUAAAAUUUCAUGAGAGAAGAGUCAUCAUCGCAAAUUGCCUGUAUAAAUGAUGAAUUUGCUCACACAUGUUUUACAAAGAAGAAAUCAAUAACAAAACUACAUAGACGGUGCAACAUACGGUAUACAAAUCAAGACAAUGCUUCUUUAGGAAAGAACUACAUAUGCACGCUUGUAGGUGAAGAGAGGUACAACCACCAUGAGUAGGCAACAACCUUAGGGCAUCUCCAACGCUGACCCGCAAACCUCCCGCAACCGUCCGGACUGCGCGGUCCGAACCGCCGAAGCAUCCAACGCCGACCUGUAUCGGUCCGCGGGGCGGUCCGGACGCGAUUUGUCCCACAAACCGUAGACGAAAGUGGGGGAAGUUUGUGGGAGUCCGGACCGAUCCCAAAUUUGCUUCUGAGCAUCAUGGCCCACCAAAAAGUCUGCUCCCCCCUCCCGCGCGUUGUCGGUUAGCGCCGCUCCAGAGCGCCAGCGCCCGCAUUCAUGCUCGGCCAGAGCGGACGCGGCCACUCACUACUGCCGCCGGCUUUGAAGCAACGCGCCGCCCAUGCCGCUUCCCGGUGCAGGUGACUGCCGCGUGUUCAAACGACACGACGGCCGUCCAUCCGUCCGUCCGUCUGCCGCCCACAUUGAUGGCACGUGGUUGCCAAGGCAUCUCCUUCGGGGCCACCCAUCUAUCACUUUGCCGCCCACCGAUGCUAUAUAAACCGCUGCCACGGUGCCCCGGCCAUAGGCACAGUCAUCCCUCUCCGCAUCACUCAUCGUCAUGAAUCCCUCUGCCGCCAAAGCUCUCUGAGACGGGCUGAUGUCGGAGCAGAAGAAGGCCAUGGCAGGACGCACAGGGCCACAAAUGGUCUGAGGAGCUCCAUUGUCGUUGCAACAGGUGGACGCGGUCAGCGGUGCGGUGGCAACAGGGACGAGGAGCACGAAUAAGUAGGCAGCGCGGCUGCGCCGGCCACCGCGGCAGCACGGGGAGGAAGUUUUUUCGACAAAGGGUGGACUUUAUUGGCUCAAAAUGGAGCAUCAAGAGGAUACAUAACACAAUGAGCACACACCCGGCCUCUGCAUAACUAGGAUGCACACAGCCAACCCAGCACACUCACGUGAAAACAUACCCGCAACUAGCAAAGUCAUAAGACCAAAAGCUAUGUGCGGGCGAGAAAAAAGGAGGAAAAAAACGAUCAGAUCAGUGAUCGACAAACUACAACUGAGACCAUAUUUGCACCAACCAUUGACACCACAUGAUGACGAGGAACUUCAACAGUAACGCCUUCACGAAGGAAGCGACACUCAAGCGCCGCCGUCACCGGAUCUAACUGUUGGAAAUAUGCCCUAGAGGCAAUAAUAAAUUGGUUAUUAUUAUAUUUCCUUGUUCAUGAUAAACGUUUAUUAUCCAUGCUAGAAUUGUAUUGAUAGGAAACUCAGAUACAUGUGUGGAUACAUAGACAACACCAUGUCCCUAGUAGGCCUCUAGUUGACUAGCUCGUUGAUCAAUAGAUGGUUACGGUUUCCUGACCAUGGACAUUGGAUGUCGUUGAUAACGGGAUCACAUCAUUAGGAGAAUGAUGUGAUGGACAAGACCCAAUCCUAAGCCUAGCACAAGAUCGUGUAGUUCGUUUGCUCAGAGCUUUUCUAAUGUCAAGUAUCAUUUCCUUAGACCAUGAGAUUGUGCAACCCCCGGAUACCGUAGGAAUGCUUUGGGUGUACCAAACGUCACAACAUAACUGGGUGACUAUAAAGGUGCACUACAGGUAUCUCCGAAAGUGUCUGUUGGGUUGGCACGAAUCGAGAUUGGGAUUUGUCACUCCGUGUAAACGGAGAGGUAUCUCUUGGCCCACUCGGUAGGACAUCAUCAUAAUGUGCACAAUGUGACCAAGGAGUUGAUCACGGGAUGAUCUGUUACGGAACGAGUAAAGAGACUUGCCGGUAACGAGAUUGAACAAGGUAUCGGGAUACCGAUGAUCGAAUCUCGGGCAAGUAACAUAUCGAUUGACAAAGGGAAUUGUAUACGGGAUUGAUUGAAUCCUCGACAUCGUGGUUCAUCCGAUGAGAUCAUCGAGGAGCAUGUGGGAGCCAACAUGGGUAUCCAGAUCCCGCUGUUGGUUAUUGACCGGAGAGUCAUCUCGGUCAUGUCUGCGUGUCUCCCGAACCCGUAGGGUCUACACACUUAAGGUUCGGUGACGCUAGGGUUAUAGAGAUAUUAGUAUGCGGUAACCCGAAAGUUGUUCGGAGUCCCGGACGAGAUCCCGGACGUCACGAGGAGUUCCGGAAUGGUCCGGAGGUAAAGAUUUAUAUAUGGGAAGUCUUAUUUUGGUCGCCGGAAAAGUUUCGCACUUUAUCGGUAUUGUACCGGGAGUGCCGAAAGGGGUCCGGGGGUCCACCAGCCCCGGGGGGGCACAUGGGCUGUAGGGGGUGCGCCUUGGCCUAUAUGGGCCAAGGGAACCAGCCCCAAGAGGCCCAUGCGCCAAGAGAUAAGAUAAAAGGAGAGUCCUAAAGGGGGAAGGCACCUCCGAGGUGCCUUGGGGGGGAAGGACUCCUCCCUGGCCGCACCCUUCCUUGGAGGAAGGGCCAAGGCUGCGCCCCCCCCCCCUCUCCCUUGUCCCUAUAUAUAGUGGGGGGAAGGGAGGGCAGCAAUACCUAAGCCCUGGCGCCUCCCUCUCCCUCCCGUGACACACCUCCCUCCUCCCGCAGCGCUUGGCGAAGCCCUGUUGGAAUCCCGCUACUUCCACCACCACGCCGUCGUGCUGCUGGAUCUCCAUCAACCUCUCCUCCCCCCUUGCUGGAUCAAGAAGGAGGAGACGUCGCUGCUCCGUACGUGUGUUGAACGCGGAGGUGCCGUCCGUUCGGCGCUAGGAUCAUCGGUGAUUUGGAUCACGACGAGUACGACUCCAUCAACCCCGUUCUCUUGAACGCUUCCGCUCGCGAUCUACAAGGGUAUGUAGAUGCACUCCCCUUCCCCUCGUUGCUAGAUUACUCCAUAGAUUGAUCUUGGUGAUGCGUAGAAAAUUUUGAAUUUCUGCUACGUUCCCCAACACUAACCACAAAGGCCAGAAUCUAAGUUUUCACCCUGAAGAAUCAGUCCGAGCAAAUCCGAGCAAUGCCUCCAACAAGGUAACGACAUAAAAACAUCGCCAUUGCCAGGUGUAACCACUCGGGUCUGACCUAGGCUUUCGCCCCGGAGCUCGAGACCUGGUGCGUGCAGCACCACCAUCCAAGUCACAAAAGUGUUGUCGCCACCGCUUGUCCGCAAUCCCAGCAGCUACAAUUGGACCGCCGCCACUCCACAACUUACCCUCUGCGUCAAGUCAUCAUCCAUAAUUUGUAUCACACCACUGAAGUCAUCAACCAGAUCAAGAGAUAAAACUUCCCGAACUCUUUUCGAUGACCUGCGCAGUCGUGGAUCCGUAGGAAGUCUCUGGAGAACAAUCUACGAACACCACCAUCUGACCGAUCUGAUCUAGAUCAGCACCACCAACCGAAAAACGUAGCGUGGCCGUUCGGCUGGCACACGCGGAAGGCCAGCACAUCGCCGCAGCCCCACAUGCCCAGCGCAAUGACCCUACAGCCGCCGUCGACACCUCGUGCCAUCCCGACGUCAGAUCCUUGUAGUCAUGGACGCAGAUCGGGGAAGUCGUCGCGGCGCCACAAGGGUAGCCCCAAGGCCAGCCGAGGAGGACAUCAGCCCCAACCCCGGGUCCAGCGCCAGCAGGAGAGACGCGCCGGCAACAGGACAGACCUCGCCGGGCCAAGAUCUGGCGUGGAAAUCGGACGGGGAAGGGAGCAGGGCGAGGUCGGGCGGGGUGGGGAGAAGGUCGCCGCCAGAGACGCGCCGGCGGAGGGCGGAUCAGCCGUCGGAGGGCACAGAGGCCGGCGGACGGGCGUGACGGCAGGGAGGCCGCAGCCGGAGGAGGCGCCCCGCCGCCACCAUCCUGGGAGCCGGCGUGGGCUUCGCCGGCCACUCCUCCGGUGGCGGCGAGGUGGUUGAGGGGCUGGGAAGGGGUUGUGGCGGCUGGUUGCUGGGGUUCCCCUGCUGCCGCCAGAGAUGGCGACGCGAGGGACGCGGAGGAAGUAGCUGCCGUUCCAAACAAUUGGCGGGAACCGAAACCGAUUAUGAUGUUAAUGUUUCCAUUCGGUAAACUCCCACAUAUUCUAGCACUGCAUUAUUGCCAGAGGCCGGCAGCAAGGCUCUCGUGUGCUGCUUAAGUUAUCCCACAUUUUUCUUUCUAAAUUGUUGUUGUCUCCUUCCUUGUACGGACGCGCGAUGCUGCCAAAAAGAAAAUGCACGUUGCCUCCAUUUUCUUGGUGGCUCGUUUCCUUGUAACAACGCAUGACGCCUCCAUUAUGUUUUUUGCGAGAAAAUAUGGGGCAUUGCUCCAAUAGCAUCUUGUCCUUAAACUUAAUGUAGUGCCUGUCAACUGAGCAAUAAGUAUUGAAUUAGUAGAGGUUAGUUGCCGUUAGUUGUGCACAUUUGGCGUAUGAGUGAAGGCAUCAAAUUUGCCAAACUGUACUAUUCUGAACUGUAGCUGUGAGUUGAGGAGCCCUAGCAUUGGAGGGACAGGAAUCAGAUCCUUGAUGAAUCUUUUUUUUUUGUGACCAAUGACAAUGAUGGAUCUGAUGAAACACAUAAAGAAGGCAAAGAAACCUGGAUUAAUAUGAUGCCUCACAGAAACUUCCGCCAUAAAUACAAGUCUAUGACACAUUUGCUAAUCUUCGGUUGCCUGAAAAUCUUUGGCGUUUUAGACAUUUUGGACACGACUCAAGACCGAGCCGGACAUGGGGACGACACGUCCGAACACAAUGUCGCUGGCGAAGGCAACCAAAAGAUGGGAAAGACAUGAAUGUAUACGUAGGAUACGGCAGUGCAGCGAGGCUAUGCAGCAGCGACACCGCACGGAUUGGACUUGAUGUUUUUUUUUCUGUUAACUGAAGAAUAUGUUGCCCCUAACUAUAAGGGGUUGUUACAAACUUAAAAUUUCAUGAGAGAAGAGUCAUCAUUGCAAACUGCCUUUAUAAUUGAUGAAUUUGCUCACACAUGUUUUCUAGGAAAGAACUACAUAUGCACGUUUGUAGGUGAAGAGAGGUACAACCACCAUGAGUAGGCGACAACCUUAUCACUCCGCUUACUAAAUCGAUGGGUACAAAAGUUAAGUCUUCAACUAUGAGUUUUCGAGUGAGGACACUAUGAACAUCUUGGCUCCGGAAGGUCUUCGCAUUCCUGCAGUGUCAAUCUUGGUGCUGGUGGUGCUUCUUCCCAUUGGCGAGAGCCAUCGGUGAGCAGUGGUUGGUGAGGAGCGGCGAAGGUGAUCACAAUCGUGUUGUCAGUCUUCUUGGACGGUGUUGCGGGCCGCACCACCUUCGUGCCUUGCCGGUGACUUUGAGGGGCGGUUGGCGACUCUAGAGUCAUGCCGCGGGGUACGAGCCGAGGGCAGGGUGGCAAGGGUGAGAGGGGGAUGGGAAUCCAUUCCCGUGUUCGGGCUGGGCGUCGAAGGGCAGCGCCAACAUAUGCGGAGACAUGGGGGCGGGAGUAUGACUUGCUUCCCAUUCCUCGUUUUGUUUUGUGAGGGCAUUUGACCGUCCCCUCAAAUUUCAGCAGAAGGGAGCAAGUUUGAAGAGUAGCUCAAAUUUGUUCAGGACAUAACGAUUCGAGGGAACGACUUAUUGCACUAUGUCCCUAUGAUAUGAGUUUUCUCCCGUUGCAACAUGUUUUACCCUAUCUACACCCCCAUUCCACUAUUCAAGCAUAGCAACAGUAGGCCGACGCCUAAAAGGAAUACCAAAGUUAAAGCCAACAAAGCCACGCACAAUACAUUCUGGCGCUUGACAUAUGUCAAAAAUUAAAUUAUCUGCAUUGAUAAUUUUUUAUUUACCAAUGUGGUAGUUGUAUUGACUUGAAUACGAGUCUUUCUUUUGAAAUCAAAAAGUAAGAAUCUUGAUUAACUGAUAGGAAGUGAAACUUACAGCAAAUGAGAUAAAUUCUCGCAUAAUCGCACGUACUAUGUUGUACACACCCCACGGCGAUCACAUUCACAUCUCCGCAACCUUGCUCGUCGGCCAGGUGAUGGCGAUGGGGCUCGUCACCGAGUGCUCGCCGUCGCUCCACUCAAUCGACCCGAACGUGUACUUCUCCGUGACACUACCGGUGGUCCGUUGCGCAAAUGUGACCACGUACUCCUGCGUUUUCUCCGUCGAGCUGAACCGCAGCGUCUCAGGGCUCACCGUGACGCGCACGCCGUCCGGGGCGGUGACCUUGGCCGUAUAGGCAGCCGCGGUGUCGCUGCCGACGUUGCGCACGACGCGGCGUUGCGUGACGGCCGCCACUUUGUUGGAGGUGAACACCACCGAGAAGGCCGGGUAGUUGUGGUCGCCCACGGAGCCCGCGCGCUUCGAACAACUGAUGGACGAGCCGAAGACGGCGACCUGCUUGGCGGUGUAGCCCAGCGCGCACAGGAAGGUGAUGUAGUCCUCCGUGCCGGCGUCGUAGACGAGGCCUGGGUCGACGGCCCUGUUGGGGUCGAUGUGCCCGGCCCCUCGCGCGAACGGCGUGGACGCGUCGCUGGUGGACAUGUCACCAAUGACGCCGCCGGAGCUGUCCGCGUUGUACGCGGUGGUCAUGAGCGCGGACUUGAUCGCCGCCGGGCUCCACUCUGGCCUCGCCUGCCGGAGCAGCGCGGCGAUGCCGCUCACGUGCGGGCAUGACAUGGACGUGCCCGAUAUGAUGUUGUACUUCACCCGCCUCGUGUCGCUGUCGAGCUCUGUGGGCGAGUUGGCGCCUGUCCAAGCGGCGAGGAUGUCCACGCCGGGCGCAGUCACGUCCGGCUUGAAGAUCUCCGGCGCACGGAAGUUCGGCCCGCGGCUCGAGAAGGCCGCCAUUCUAGGGGAAGGAGGCGUCGGGCCGACCACGGUGCCGCGGAAGAUGAUCGUCGCGGUAGGGGAUGUUUGCGCGCGUAUGUACUUGAAGAUCUUCUCGGCGUCGACAAAUGACACAGCCGUGGCGGGGUGGACAUGCGGGCUGGUGAUGGACUGCUCACCGAAUGAUUUUGUGCUGGCGAGGAUCGCUCCGGCGCCACCGGCGAGCUUGACGGCAAGUGGUUUCGCUGCUCGGGCAUUUACACCCGACUCGCACAAAACAAUCUUCCCAGCGACCUUGGUGGCGUUCAACUUCCCCUCUUCGCACACUUUGGAGCCCACGUCCCCUCCGUAGACCAGUGGUAUCUUGUUCGCGCCGAGCGGCUCGCCGGCGUAAAGAGUCGUGCCCGUGAAGGUCUCGCCGUUGCCGAGAACGACGUCGCCCGGGAAUUGGCGGUUGAGUGUGGAUGCGCCGACCGUCAAGAACCAUGGCGCUAUGUUGCAUGCGGUGGAAUCUCCGGGGCCGGAGUUUCCCGCGGAGGCCGAGACGACGAUGCCCUUGCUGACGGCGCGGAACGCGCCCACGGCGGUGUUAUCACUAUAAAAGUUCGGGGCCGUGCCGACGGCGCCGAGGGAGACAGAGAGAACGUCGACAUUGUCCGCAAUGGCCUCAUCAAACGCGGCGAGGAUGUCAGAGCUCGCGCACCCUUCCUCCCCGCACGCUUUAUAGACGGCAAUGCGCGCGCCCGGGGCCAUGCCGACGGCUUUUCCUCUGGCAUAGUCGAAGAAGCCGGCGCCCGCGACAGGAGAGCCACCGGCGGUGGAGGAGGUGUGGGUGCCGUGGCCGUUGGUGUCGAGCGGCGACUUCGAGUCCGCGCCGAGCGCACGGCCGCGUAGAGCCUCCUGCCCCCGCUGGAAGAACUUGGCGCCCACGAGCUUGUUGUUGCAGAGCGCGGAGCCGUUGAACGACGGACCCGAGACGCACCUGCCACGGAACUUGCUCGGCGGGGGCGGCAGCGACGCGUCGGCCGCGAAGGACGGGCGUCCUUCGGGGUACACGCCGGUGUCGAUGACCCCGAUGACGACGUCGGUUGCCCCGUUGGACGCCUUGAGCAGCCCGGAGGACGGCGAGAGGCCGAGGAAGGACGGCGUCAGCGUGGUGUGCAGCUCCUGCAUCGUGUCGGGCACGACGGCGAGCACGGAGCCCGAGGACGCGAGGCGCGCGGCCUGGCGCCCCGUGAGCCGCGCCGCGAAGCCCGUGGCGGCGUGCGCGUAGGAGUAGAGCACGCUCGGCGCCGGGCUGGACAUCUCCACCGGUAUGCGCUCCCGCAAGAACGAGCCGUACGCGCGGGUUGUCAGCAGGCCGCGACGCGGCAGCGGUGGCGCGUGGGCGGCCGCGACGUGCACGAUGUAGGAGGACUGGGCCUCAGCCGUCCCCAUCUCCACCUCCGACUCCGUGGCCGCCGCCGCGGCGACGGCGGCGAGCAGGGCGCACAGGGCCGCGAGCGCGAGCGGUCUGAGGAGGUCCAUGGUCGCUGCGAGAGGUGCGGUGGCAGCAGGGACGGGGCGCGCGUAUAAGUAGGCGCCGGCCACCGCGUCAGGACGCGUAGGGGAGCAGCUGCCGUGCCGAUCCAAGUCGCCGCGGAGGGUCGCUCGUGGACGGCACGGAGAGAGACCCGACAUAAUACUCUAGCGCUGCAUUAUUGCGAGGCUCAGUCAUCAUCCUUCUUUCUAAAUUGGUGUUGGCUUGUCGCAAUAAUGCAGUACGAACGCACGACGCGUCCAUUUCGUUUUAGGCGGGAAAAAGAAUCAAGCAUCGUGUCCUUAAACCGAACAGUUUUGCUAAGUCUUAGUUGACUGAAACUUCGUUAUGUCUCCGUCAAUGCUAUCUUUCUUUGAUUUUGCAUAGAGAUUCGUACAAGAAAAAUAUUCAGUUUUUUCUUUUACAUACUAUAUCACUUGACUAAGACAUAGGUAAGUCUCAGUCGACUGAGAUCUAGCCACAUCCUAAUCCGAAUACAGUAGUUUGACUCGCACAUCCUAAUCCGAAUACAGUAGUUCGACUCGCACGUCCAUUUAUGAAGCAGUAUAUAUAUUGAACUGAAUUAAAUAAAGGUUAGUUCAAUACAUGUGCCCGCCGGUCGUUGGCGUAUGACUCCCUUUGUGGUGUGCCGUCUGCUGUACUGUCUCUAUACGGGAAUUCCCUCUAUACGUUGUUCAGCUUGCGACGUACGUACGUAAUAAAGCAGGUGCAUGAGUCGGAAUAGACAGUCAUCAGUACCCAUCGUCGCACAAAACUUUGUGUGACGGAUAGAUUUGCUCGAACGUGUUUUUUGCGGCCAGCAACUAAAAGACACGGACGGUGCAGUGGAGGAUGCGUUACGACACAAACCACAUCCAUACAAUGCUUUUCAAUCACCGCAACUUCCGUCCUUUAGUGGCCAAGGAAUUCCAACCGUGCCUCCAACACCAGGCCGCCUCAGUAUUCAUAUCAUCAGACAAAAGAAGCGCCGUUCGUCCAGUGAAAAACGUGUGAUGGAUGGAUGUUGAUUUGCUCGGACAUGUUUGUAACCCACAUACGUACUCCGCAUUCGAACCGUGCAGCCAAAUAGGAGCCUCCACGGUUAAUUUGUGUACAUUGAGCCGCAUGUGAUCAUAGACUUGCAUGCCCUACUCUUUCUCUUAAUUAUGUGGCUCAUUGCGCGACCCGUCCGAUACGGCUCCAUUUUCGUCUUUGAUAGUUGGGCAACUUUCUUCUUCUUAAUUAAUCGAUGAAUCAAAUAUUUUGCCUCCGUUUCAAAAAAAGAAGAAACAGAAGCAAAGGUAGGUGAUGAUGUAAUUGGACGCAUGCAUGGACCGUAGUGUACACUCGAAGACUCAGAGGGUGCUUGGAUACGUUUUAGUCCCAUGACUAAAAGUAGUGGGACUAAAACUUGCUAGCCUCAUCCAUGCUUGGAUCCAAACACUAAAGAGACUAAAAUCAAGUUAAUGAGCAUUUAUUAUCCUCCAAACCCUCCAAUCCAGAACUUGCAUGUGUUAAAGGAGAGGAGUUAGAUGAGGAGAGAGAGGACUAAUCCACAUUUUAGUAGGGGUACCCCUGACUAAAAAAAAUUAGUCUCAAGACUAGUUUUAGCCCCUCUUUAGUUAGGGGUGCUUGGAACUUUAGCCUCUUAAAGAGACUAUUUUUAGUCAGACUAAAAUAAGUCCCUUGGAUCCAAGCACCCUAUCAUAUGACGACACGUUAAGAAUCGUCCAAUUACAGGGUCAUAAUCAUGCACUUGACAGCCUUUUGAUGUGGAAGCAAAAGGCGUCAGUUUUGACACUGUACUGACACAACUUCUUGAACUGAGAUGGCGCCGUGGCUUUCGGUAGAGAGCAGAUUGCAAUCCUUUUUCUUUUGUGGGGAAUCGGUGCGAAAUGACGGAAACAAAGGAUAAUGUUAGUAUUUGAACGAAACUUGUAAUCACGUUGAUAGUGGGCAAAACCUUUUUGUAGAAAGUUUGGGACGCCUCGUAGAGGCGCAUGUUUAUAGGGAGAUGCCUAUUGGCAUACGAGAAGGCGUCUCUAUGGACAUCCAUACGGCGCAUUGUUCACUAAUCUACAUGUAACUACUAUAACCUAGUACGCCCUAAGUAAACUAAUAUAAAAGCUUUUAGAUCACUACUUUAAUGAUCUAGUGAUCUAAAAGUUUUUAUAUUAGUUUACGAAGGGAGUAGAUGGUUAGCUAAUGACGACCUGCAUGGGACACAUUCGUUGAUUCCUGACACUCUGGCUUGUACAAAGCUGCUUCUUGUGUGUCUUGCAUUUCUUGUAUAAUUUUGAGAAUAAUGGUCUUCAUCACGAGCGUAAUGAAUAACUCCUCCAAAAGCCCUGUAAAAAUAUAUGAGCGGAAUAGGAUUUGAUAUGUUGUUGAAACUUCUUUAAAACCAGUGGGAACAAUAAGGAGAAAACUAUACCACAUAUAAUGAUUAUUAUCUUCUCCAUAACUUAUAUGAGAACAACCUUUAAAGAAGGAGAGAAAACUCGUUGGUGAGUUUGGAGAACAAUAAAUAACUUUGCAUACUUCUAUUUAAAGAAACAGUGCAGAAUAAUUUGAAAGUAUUGCAUAGAUUGCCUCAUAGAACCUUUUAUGGGAAACUUCGAGAGAAAGUUUAUAAAGGAAAAAUGUGCGAUCAAUAUGUCAUUGAAAACUCCUUUAAAAUCUAGUGAAAAAUAAAAAGAAGAGAAUGAUAUAUGACAUAUGAUGGCAAUUGUCUCUUUGAUAACAUUAUAUGAGAAAACCUCGAAAGGAUAAAACUCAUCGGUAAGUUUAGAGGACAAUUAGUAUGCCUUGUAAACAUUUGUUAAAAACCCAGAGGGGGAAAACAGGAGGUAUGACAUAUAUUCUUGUGUUGAUAUUACAUCAUUAAAAAUAUUGAUGAGAAUCUUGAGAGUGUCGGAAAGGGUACAUGGGCAUGGUAAACAGUCACUAGUAGGAGUCUGCUAAAAAAAUAAUUAUGAUAAACAUACAGAGUCAACUCCUUAUAUGCUGGCAUUGCAUUCAGGAUAUAUAGCAUAUCAUGCUCAUUUCCCACAAUCAGCAAUCCUUCCCACAUAUAUUGGUCAUGAGGGCACCACAACACAUUGAGACUUUCCUUAGAAUACGACAACCAAUCCAGCAGACUAUCAUGUCUGUGUAGCAGAAAGUUUCACUAUUGCAGUAGUCAAAUGUUUCAUGCGAACCCUCUUCAUCCUAGCGAAUAGUCCACCAUGCUCAAUUUUUAAGGUGAAUAGGCUUGAAUCUUCAACUGCACACAAUUUAAGCUAACAUGUUAUUUUUUUAACUCUAGUUACCAAAAAAAUGAAUUUAUCAUAAUUUAAAAAUAAACCACAACUAAAAUUUAGCUAAUGCAAGACCCAAUAUGAACAAACACAUCACAUAGUUCAUUCCUUCUUGGUUCAACGAAGUCCAUAAAAAUACAUCAAUAUUCCCAGAAACUCUAAGCAACACCCCUUAUGAGCACAAUCAAAUGUUCGCACAAGCUUUCCAUAAUAGCAACCUUCUAUUUUCAUCAAGUUGUAGGCUCAAUGGCGCAAAAAAAUGAAUGAUCAACACCCACUUAGAACCCUAUGAAAGUAGAGCAAAAUGUGGCAGAAAGACAGGGUGGUGCAGCCAAAAGUUGGGUGGCUUACGAUACUCAGGUGGGUGGUCUCCGAUUCGCCGGAUGCGCUCCACAUUUGGUGGCUCUAUCUACUGAGGGCUGGCCGGCAACGUCAUGAACCUUUGUGAUAUGAUCGGGGACCAACCAAGUCACCCAGGAGCCGAGUUCAGAUCUUUUAACGAACGUGUGGCAGUGCCCAAAGCUCCGCGUCGCUAUUUAUAAGCCCCCCAAAUGACCAACAGGGAUCACAGGUUGACUAUUUUGGACUGAAAUGGUUUUAAUGAGAACAUUGCAUUUGGAUUGUGCGGGCUACUUGGAAAAAUAGACCAGGGGAGGAGGGGUAAACGUAAAUGGCAGGGGCGUAUCAUCAAGAUUGCAACCAUGUUGGGAGCAUCACCGGUUUGGGAAACAGGUCCGACUUGGCUGCUAGAGGGCAAUUCUAUGAUUGGUGUGUGACCUUCUCAUCAACAUGUCUAGUUUGCGAUACGAGCAAACCAACCUGUGGUUGGAUGGUUAGGAGGAUAGUGGUAUCUCAGCCCACUAGGGUUCAAGUCCUAGACUUGACACUGGUGCUCGCAUUUUUCUGGAUUUAUUUCAGACCUUCCCGCGAUGUUCCUUCAGUGAGAGGAGUCGUUUCCGUCGACUAUGAAGACGUCUGUGGUGAUUCUCGGAGGUGCUCAUAGAAAUAGGGUGUGUGUACCUAUGUUCAUUGGGGUGAGUGUAUGUGCAUACAUAUGAACCAUCUGUGAGUACCGUGUUAAAAGAAAAGUUUACGAUAUGCGCUUAGCACUAGAGUUUGAGACUGCGCGCUACCUAACCCUUAUCCUACUGGUACAUCCUUCUUUCUAAACUGUAGGGUCGUUCUCAGUACGAGCGCACGAUGGCCUCAUUUAGUUUUAGGCGGAGAAAAGAAUGGGUCAUGUUUGUCCUUGAACCGAAUGUAGUACUGUACUAGUUAAUCUCACAGUCAACUUAUGAAACAAUAUUGAAUUAAGGGGUUAGUUGUGUACAUGUACCGGCCGUUGGCGUAUGAGAGAAGGCAUCAAUCGACCUUGUCAACUGUCCGGUAGCACUGUUCUGUACUGUGUGAGCUUGAGACGUAUACUAGCAUCGUAGGGAAGGGACACGGAUAAGAUAACGAUGGGUCACUGUGGAAAUUACGUACGGGAUCAGAGGAUGGAUCCAGGCAACCCGUUGUCCGGAUACAUGACGACGACGCUGCGCCGAAUGUUCCGUCGUGGCCGUGAAGGACUAUCGCAGCAUCUACGGGCUACAGUUUAUGCCUGCAUCAGUCGCCAUCAUCGCACACAACUUUGUGCCAUGGAUGGAUUUGCUCGCACAUGUUAAUGUGUUACGGCGAAAACACCAGCAACAGGAGAACACGGGAGACCGAGCACGCGAUGACAAAGGGACUCUAAUGUAACGCUCCUUGACGAGCUGCUGCGAUCCAGGAUCAUGUGUGAGCACAGAUCUGGGAGGUUUUGCAACAUGAGGUAGCACAUGGAUGGGUAGGGGCUCGCGUCACGUACCUGCACGUCCUCCUCUGUCGCUUCAUUGUUUGCUCAUUGCGUGACCCGUACAAACGUACUACGACUUCAUUCUCGUCUUUAACAACAGAAAUAAAUGGUGGAUGAUGAUGAUAAUGAUUUCUUUUGAUGGAUCGUAGCGUGCACUGCCAGGCUCACAUGACAACAGCUAGAGAAUCGUCGAAUUGGAGAAUAAGCAUUUUACUUUUGCCGGCCUUUGAUGCGUGAGUAACAUAUAAAGGCGUCAGUUUUGUCAACGGCACUGCGCCGUGGCAUUGGAUAGAGAGCAGCAAUCGCAUCAAACUCGGGUUAGUGCGAAAUCACGUAGAGAGAGCAUAAAUCAUGUACAAGUCGGGUACUAUGACAAGGACACGGCAAUCAGCUGCAUGCAUUCUGCACUGAAACUCCCAUCAUUUGAAGAGAAGAAACAUCAUAUUUAGGAAGAGAAAACUCACAAUGCAAAUGCAUACUGACAUGAAACGGGAAGGAAAGUGUGGGUGGCAACAUGAUUGGAGUAGGCAACUCCCUUCUUUUUUUUACAACUCUUUCCGCUCCAAAAUAAUUAAAGUUCUAGAUCUGUCAUAAGUAAAACUUAAACAAGUUUGACCAAGUUUCUUUCUAAAAAAAUAGCAACAUCUACAAAACCAAAUUAGCUUCAUGAUAACAUCUACAAAACCAAAUUAGCUUCAUGAUAACAUAUAUUUCAAUACUUAUUGUGAUGUUUACAAUUUUUUCUAGUAAGUUGAUCAAGUUUAAAGAAAUUUAACUUAGGACAAAUCUAGAACUACAAUUAUUUUGAAAAGAAGAGAGUAUUUACCGUGAGGCAACAACCGUCCUUUACCUCGACCAUGAGGGCCCGAACCAAUGUAAAAACCCAGUGUACGAUCCCCUCUAGAACAUCUGAUUGUGCUCUCCACCCAACCGAGGCUACUGACGAUUUUCGGUACAUUGAAAAGAAUUUUCAUCAAUAGUUUUCCAACAACCAUGUUAACGUCCAUGGUAGCAUAUUCCCUAGUUUCAUUAGUAAUUUGCAGCAUAGGUUCCAACUGUAAUUCAUUUCCAUACAUUUUACAUUCACAUGACCUCUUAUUUUUUUCGGAUCUCUAAUAACAUUAAUCACAAUCAGGAAUAUAAACACGCAUCAUAGCAACAUGAUGCAACAUAGUAUGAUAAAAUAAGAGUUACAAAAGAAUUAGCAGAAGGUGCAAAAUCAACACCUUCCAAAUUCCUUAUCUUAGUGAUAUUAGAAGCCCUCUCCAUCACAUUGCCCAUGUUGGCUUAAGCAUUCCUCUGAUUAAUCUCAAUGAGAUUAGGAGGACUGGCAUGGGAUUGAACCUCAUAUUCAGAGCACACACUGAGACUGCUCACAUCACAUUCUCCCAUAUCACUGAACACGGGCUGAUUGGGCAUAUCAGCAAGGUAGGAAGAGCAAAAUAGGUACAAUCUGACAUGCAUUAAUACUAACAUUUUCCACAAUAGGAGUAGGAAUCCCCCUGCUUCGUGAUCAUAUCAUCAUUUUCCCAUUAUCCAUCUCAUUUAGGUCUUAAACUUACCCUCUCAUUUGAUCAAUCAGGGGAUAACUAUCAUCAGUGCUCUCCGUCUCAGGGCUAACUUGUUCCUCCUGUUUAUUGACAACACCAUAAUUCUUUCCACAAAAAUAUAUAUUAGGCACAAAUCGACUGCCCGAAAACAAAAGAACUUUCAGGAUUUUCAAUAUUGUCACUAGUUGCAGGCCUCAUCCUUUAGGGGGAGGGGGUAACUUUUCCACUCUAUAUAGUUACUGCAUUUUUUCUUUAUUAGGAUUCCCCACCACAACCUUAUCAACUUCAUAACAGAAAUCAUAGAACCACCCAACCCCCCUUCCACAACCAGAGAAAUUCCAUCCAUAUAACGACAACCAAUUUUAACCACUAAGGAUGGUAUAGAUUGCUAAGCAUCCAUGUCAGUAUUCAAGGACAUACCAACAAGUGAACCUAUAAGCCACUCUAUUCAUUUCUAGUAUCUAGAGGAGGAUUACCAUAAUUUACCCAAGCAAUUUCCAUAAUUCCUUUAGCACCCAUAGGAUUUAAGGAAACUACAACCGCAUAAAUAUUUCAAAGUCAUUCUAUCACUAAAACAAGCCUUAUCCACUUCCCUACCAUUACGGAAAUGCAUAACAAAAGUAGGACCAAUGGGACGAGCCGUACAUCUCCAACUAGAGACUAGAUAUACAUUAAAACCAUAUUGAAUCUCUCUGAACGAUGCCUCCCCCUUGAACCACAGUGAUUACCACAAACUAGACCUAUCCUUAAUUUGCUUUGCAACACCGAAAUAAUGAAAGUAAUAAAAUCACUGCCCUUUCGCCUGGAACCCACACAUAGGAGCUAUGCAAUUCCACACGAAAAAGCUAUAGAUUGAAGCAAUAUGACAUUUCUUGCAUCUAUCACAUGUAAUAGUGGGGGAAAGGAUAGAAGAGAAAAGGAUAAUUUGACUGGGAUUGUUUGUUAAAUUAUCAUUUGACUGGGAUUGUCUGUUAGUGAUAGAAAAGGACAAUUUUAUCACAAGUAAUAUGUGCUAAUAAUUAGUGUAACCGGAUCAUUUGACUGGGAUUGUCUGUUAAACUAUCAUGCUAGAAGAGAAAAGGAUAGAUAUGUACAUCACCCAACAAAUUGUUUACGCAUGCAAGUAGAAUACCUUUUGUCCGGUUCUUAAAAACAUAUGGUUAACUAGGCUAAGGAAACGGCUAAUAGAUAAGCAUAUCUGUAACCGGAGGCAACCGUGGGGUAGCCCAAACUUGAGUUAAAGCGUUCUCAUCUACGUAGCCUUUCCUCUGCAGAUGUCACACUCCCGGCUCUAUUCUUCUGCGCUGUAAGUAGCCUUUCGGCCACACGGUACUGAUCGCCCACCAAAAUUUUCCAUUAUAAUGGGAAGCAGCCGCUUCUGACGGCGAUUGAUCGGAGAAGGCUAGGAGAGAUCGAAGACCUUAGAAAAUACUCCAUCCAUCCCAAAAUAAGUGACUCAACUUUGCACUAACUUUAUUGAAAUGCAUGAGAGAAAAUGUAGACAACAUGUUGUAUGCUGGACUUGUUCACGACGAAAUCAUUAUUAUAUAGACAUCCAAAUAUACAUUACCGUGGGAAAUGCUCUUACCAGCCAAACACGGGCCUACACGUACGGUUCAUUCGUGUGCACAUGUGCACUGUUAUAUUGCUGCAACUCUGCCAGAGGUGUACGCAUGUGGUGUGCAUGAGGUCAUGAAGUGGCACAUGGGUAGGGCUUGCAUGUUGCAUCACGUACUUGCAUGCUGUCCUCUAUCUCUUAAUUAUUUGGCUCGUUGCGCGACCCGUACGACUCCGUUCUUGUCUUUGAUAACAGAAGCAAAGGUACGUAGGUGAUGAUGUCCUUCGAUGGAAUGGAUCGUAGUGUACACUGGAAGACUCACAUGCCGACACGUCAAGAAAUCGUCGAAUUAGAGGGUAAAUAAUCAUGCGUUUGCCAGACUUUUGAUGCGGAAGCAGAGGCGUCAGUUUUGUGACUGUACUGUGAUACAUCCACUUCAACUCAGAUGGCGUUGUGGCAUUGGAUAUAUAUUAGCAACAUAAUCAGUUUUAGGCGGGAAAAAGAGUGGAGCAUCUUUCUUGUCCUUAAACUGAACGUAGUAGUUGUUAAACUCUCACGUCAACUUAUGAAACAGUAUUGAAUAAAGGUUAGUUGUAUACAUGUGCCGGCCGUUGGCGUACGAUACUUGGCGUACUGUGAUGUACCGUACUGUACUGUCUCUUUGCGUUGAGCUUGCGACGUACCGAUGGGUCACUGUCAAAACUACCGAGGCAGAAAACUUUGUGCAAUGGACGGAUUUGCUCGCACAUGCUUUUCCACGGAGAAGAAACCAGCAACGAAAGAACGCAGACGAGUAUACGUUACACAGGCCGACACGUACGUACCACAUGCAUACAAUGCUUUUCACUGCAACCUCCAGUCCUCCAUCCUAAUGACGUGCCGAGCUAGUGCAUGAUGUGCGCGCGCGAUCCAGGUUCAUGUGCGAGCACAGAUCUGAAAUGAUUUUUACUUUUUUGUUUUUGUUUUUUAGUCGAUCUGAUCUGAUAUGGGUUUGCAGGUUGCAACGUGAGGUGGCACAUGGGUAGGGGCUCGCGUCACGUCCUCCUUUCUGCCUCUUCAUUGUUUGCGCGACCCGUACAAAUGUAGUAGUACGACUCCAUUCUCGUCUUUAAUACUCAUAACAGAAAGAAACGUUGGAUGAUGAUGAUGAUGCGCUUUGAUGGAUCGUAACGUGCACUGCCAGGCUCACAUGACGACAGCCAGAGAGGCGUCAAGUUCUGUCAAUGUCACCGCGCCGUGGCAUUGGAUAGAGAGCAGCAAUCACAUCAAACUCGGGUUAUUAGUGCGAAAUCACGUAGAGAGAGCAUAAAUCGUGUACACGUCGGGUGCUAUGACAAGGACACGGUGAUCAUUUCUAGGAAGAGAAAACUCACACUGCAAAUGCAUGAUGCAUGAAAUGGACAGGGGAACAGUACGGCAACAUGAUUGGAUUAGGCAACUCCCUUCUUUCUUUUAACAACUCUUUCCGUUCCAAAAUAAUUGAAGUUCUAAAUCUUUCAUAAGUACAACUUAAAUAAGUUUGACAAUGUUUCUAAAUUUUUUUAGCAACAUCUACAAAACCAAAUUAGCUUUGUUAGAUUCAUCGUAAAUAUAUUUCAAUAAUAUAUACGUAUUUGAUGUUGUAGAUGCUUACAAUUUUUUCUAGUAAGUUGAUCAAGUUUAAAGAAGUUCAACUUAGGAUAAAUCUAGAACUGCAAUUAUUUUGAAACGGGGAGAGUAUUUACUGUCAGGCAACAACCCCACAAUCCUUUACCUCGACUAUGAGGGACCGAACUUGGGUAAAAACACAGUGCAAAACCCUCGUGCACCCUCUACCCUACUGAGGCUACCGACGGUUUUGGUACCAUCAAAAUUAAGGAAUCCUCAUCUAAAGUUUGCAACAACCCAGUUAACAUGCAGACUAGUUUCAUUAAUAAUUUUUUUUUGAAAGAUCCAGGUAUCAUGGCAUUUCAUUGGAUAAGCAGAUAGCAGCGGUGAACAAAACAUGGGGUGGUGGUGACCCGAAGGUCAAGGAUAAAAAGGAGUAUUUAACAAAAAAAACUACCACAUUUCGUGGAACCGUGCCUACAAACUACCAUUUUACAAAUUUGUGCCGAAAACUACCACUUUUCACUAAUCUUCGACUGAAACUUACCAUGUCGGGAAAGUGCCCGAUUCGCCUCUUCUAAACGCCUUUCGGACAGGAUGGGCCCACAAGUCAGGUUGACCGUUCACUUUGACCGUUAAGUUGGCCGUUGUUACAGGUGGGGCCCACCUGUCAGCAUCAAUCUUCUUCCUCCUCUCUCUCUCUGGCAUUUCCUCGAACACCUCAUGUGCGCUCCACGCUCUUCUCCAUGGCGACGCCCCGGCGAAGCACCUCCUCCUCUCUCUCUGGCUGGGCACGCACAGGAGCUGAGGGCUCCGGCGACCUAAGCCAGGAGCAGCGGCGGGCUCCGGCGGGGAGCAGGCGCGGUAGCGAGUGGCGCGUGGGGGUGGCGGCAGCAGAAGCACACAUCAACAGUAGUAGCAGGCUGGGGAGCGGGCUAGGUGAGCGACGGACGUGGGGACGCAUGCAAGCGGCGGAGUAGGACUGCGAUCGCGGCGGCGGCCGUGGGGGGUAGUGGCAGCAGCAGCCACAGCAGGCGAGGCGGCAGAGCGGCGGGACCGCGUGGCAAACAGGGCGAAGGCCACAGAGGCAGCAGCCGCAGCGGCCGGUGCAGGGCAGGCGCGCGGCAGGGAGUGCGGGCAGCGGUGCGCGGGGCGGGGCGAGCGCGCAACUGGUGCGGCCGGAGCACGGUGACUUCGGCGAGCGCGCGGGGGAAGAGGGAGGCAGCGGCGGGGCUCACCCCCGUUUGUAGAUGAACAUGGGGUUGGCGAGGCGUGAUGGCGCCGGAGAGGAGGAGGUCUGGAGCGUGCAACGCGUUGCGCUGGCUGGAGCCGCCGCGGCCGCAAGCCUCGCGUGCAUUGCUAGCUUGUGUGCAUGCUGGCCGCGGCCUUGCGUGCGUACGCAGCCGCCACCACGUGCUGGCGUGUUCGGAGCCGUGCACGCAGCCGUCGCCGCAGCGUGUUGGCAGGCUGGCCGCCGUCGCCGUCGUGAGCGUGUGUCUGCGGAGCCGUGUGUGCAGCCGUCGCCGCGUGCUAGCCGGCUGGCCGCCGUCGACGUGAGCGUGCGUGUGCCAUGUCAACGCCUACGUGUGGGCCAACCCGUCAUAAUCAUGUUUAAUUUCAGCCAAAGCAGUCAUUAGUGUUUUUGGAAAAAAUAAUGAAAAAGUGGUAAUUUUCGGCAUAAAUUUGUAAAGUUGUAGUUUGUAGGCAUGGUUUCACGAAAUGUGGUAGUUUUUUUUGUUAAAUACUCGAUAAAAAGAGAAAGACCUAAAGAAGAAAAGCAGCCACAGCAGGCGAGGCGGCAGAGCGGCGGGGCCGCGUGGCAAACGGGGCGAAGGCCAAAGAGGCAGCAGCCGCAGCGGCCGGUGCAGGGCAGGCGCGCGGCUGGCUGGCAAGGAGUGCGGGCAGCGGUGCGCAGCCGGAGCACGAUGACUUCGGCGAGCACACGGGGGAAGAGGGAGGCAGCGGCGGGGCUCACCCCCGUUUGUAGAUGAACAGGGGGUUGACGAGGCGUGAUGGCGCCGGAGAGGAGGAGGUCUGGAGCGUGCAACGCGUUGCGCUGGCUGGAGCCGCCGCGGCCGCAAGCCUCGCGUGCACUGCUAGCUUGUGAGCAUGCUGGCCGCGGCCUUGCGUGCGUGUGUAGCCGCAGCCGCCGCCGCCGCGUGCUGGCGUGUUCGGAGCCGUGCGUGCAGCCGCCGCCGCUGCGUGCUGGCAGGCUGGCCGCCGUCGCCGCGAGCGUGUGUGUGCGGAGCCGUGCGUGCAGCCGUCGCCGCGUGCUGGCCAGCUGGCCGCCGUCGCCGUGAGCGUGCCUGUGCCAUGUCAGCGCCUACGUGCCAUGUCAGUGCCUACGUGUGGGCCAACUCUGUCAUAAUCAUGUUUAAUUUCAGCCGAAGCAGUCACUAGUGUUUUUGGGGGAAAAAUAGCGAAAAAGUGGUAGUUUUUGGCAUAAAUUUGUAAAAUGGUAGUUUGUAGGCACGGCUUCACGAAAUGUGGUAGUUUUUUGUUAAAUACUCGAUAAAAAGAGAAAAAUCUAAAGAAGAAAAACAGCCCAAAGGCUGAGUAGCUAAGGGCUACAUAUCUCACGUCUGGUCCCCAAAUGGGGGCUCUAGCCAAAUUGCGCCAGCUGCACGCCAGAGGUGGAUUGAUCUUCUGAUGGAGGCAACAACAUCGUCCAUCGUCUAUGUAAUGGAUGGAUUUGCUCGCACAUGUUUUCUUACGGAGAGGCGGAGACGGUGCAAUGGAGUAUACAGUACGUUACACAGACCAACACAUACCACAUGCAUACAAUCAAUCCUUUUCACGGUAACUUCAUGCUGAUGACGAAGGGAUUCUGGAAAGAACCAUCGUUCGUCCCAUAUAAAACCGUGAGAUGGAUGGAUGUGGAUUUGGCUCAUUGUGCGACCCGUACGACUCAAUUCUCGUCUUUGAUAACAGAAGCAAAGGUAGGUGAUGAUGUUGUCCUUGGAUGGAUGGAUCAUAGUGUGCACCGGAAGACUCACAUGAUCACACAUCGAGAAAACCGAACGAAGCAUGCUAACAAAAACAAAAGGAUGGGCUAAAUUAACGAACUAUACUGAAUAAUUCUCACUUCAAUUGACACCAGUAUUUCAUAGUAUACAAAUGAACAUAAGGUUUAUAUUUAACAAUGAAAAGUUAUGACAACAAUCAAUAAUUGAUUCAUUACAUGGAGAACUUCAUGAUCAGUAUUAUGAUGAGCAAUUUUAGGAAGAUUUUCUUUGACAGUUUCGAGAGGGGCGAUGGGGGGUUAGCAACAUCUACAACACUUGCAGUUUUCUUGCGGUGAUAACACCUUGUCCAUUCUUCUUGUGUUCCUAGAUGAACUGAUGUAUCAUCCAAUCAGUGUUUUCAGUUUCCCACCCUUUAACAUACUCUCAAAAAAAAAAAGUUUCCCACCCUCGCCAUGCACUCACAUAGACCACCAUGAUCUUUUACGAAGGACUUGCUUUGCUUCAAUUAUAACAACCUUCCAAGUACUUGUCUUGAGCCAAAAGAUGUUUGUGGGUUCAAAAAUUCUCGGUGCCACAAUCCGCUGUGCACGCUUUGCCCGACACCGUCAACGACGACGGGGGGAGGAGAUAGNNNNNNNNNNNNNNNNNNNNNNNNNNNNNNNNNNNNNNNNNNNNNNNNNNNNNNNNNNNNNNNNNNNNNNNNNNNNNNNNNNNNNNNNNNNNNNNNNNNNNNNNNNNNNNNNNNNNNNNNNNNNNNNNNNNNNNNNNNNNNNNNNNNNNNNNNNNNNNNNNNNNNNNNNNNNNNNNNNNNNNUGUUGCCCCCCUCCACCCAGUGGCGUAGCUAGGAUUUUAUGCCAGGGUGGUCCAAUUGAUAGGAAAUUUUUUACACCACAAUGAGUGGAGGAUACUUUGGUACUGCAGCAAUACAAAAAGAUUGGCAAAUCAGGGGUCAAAGAACUGAGAAUAGUCAAGGCAGGGGAAGAGAAACAAGAGUUCAGAGAUCCACGGGGAAGAAGAGAAGCAACGUAGUGUGACUAUGGCCCUGUGGGUGGAGCCGUAGAGAAGGAGAUGGGGAGAAGGGGUAGCAGAUGAGGAGGAGAAAAGAGGAGACUUACCAGAGUGGCGGGGGUGGUGAGGCUCUGGAAGAUGACUUAGCGGCGCAGUGACUUCACCGGGCUGCGCCAGAGGAGAUGAGGCCGCCGGCGCAGAACUGAGUCGUGGAAGGUGGUGCUCAAGCUGCAACUGCCGGCCACCGCCCAAAGCUCUGCUCUCAAUCGUUUAGUAUGGUUUGCACCCCUCUCCUCUGUACCCUCUUAUAUUUCUGAAAUGGUAACUAGCCCCCAAAAAAUCACUCUGUUUUUGGACUGAAGAAUUUUCCUCUUAUCCUGGUGGUUGGAACAUUGCAUAUAUAGUGCAUACCAAUAUAUCAUAUAAAAUUUAUCAAAACACACGUUAAUAAGGUCUUACAAAGCAUAUAAAAAUUCACAGUUAAAUUUCUAAAUUUGCAUAAGAGAAUACCACACCCUAUUUGUCGGGAUAACGCCUUCUCAAAGCUACAAGCAGAAUUAUGGGUGGGCCAGAUUGAACCUGGGCUACAGCUGGGCUGGUGCUACUGACCUGUGUUGCAGUACAUGGGCUGGGCAUACCUACAUAAUUGUAUUUUUUUACAGAAAACAUGGGCGGGCCACGGCCUGGUUUGGCCCUAACGUAGCUCUGCCAGUGUUCUCAAUGCCAUGAAAGUAUCGAUUAUAUCAUCAUCACUUUGGAAAAAGCAUCUCGCUCAAUGUAUGUGACUAGAUAAUCAUCCAACAGACUAUCAACCAUCUUAUUUCUUGGCUUGCUCUUGACCAAACUCAUUGCAGAAAAUGCUCUUUCAACACUUGCGGUCGACACUGGUAGCAGCAACACCAAUUUGAGAAGCAUGUACAACAAAUUAUAAACUAUAUGCCUCUUUGUUUGAGGAAGAUUAACUGAGAGAUCAACAAGAGAGUUUCUUGGCCUCUCUAUUUUGCAACAAUUCCAAAAUAAAAAGAAGUUUGAUCUGUAAAUUGUCUGUUUGAUUGAAUACAUAAUAAUCGUUAAUCAAUCAGCUCGAUACAUAAAUUCUGAGUUCCAAUUUGCAGUCAGAGUAAACUUGUUUAAAUCCUAAAGGCAAAUUAUACCUUGAAUAAAAAAAGAUGGAGAUCAUACUUCUAAUCGGAGGAGAUGAGAAGUCAGUCAGCUCCUGGCGGUCCUGCCUCCGUGACUCGGUCUAAUGUAGACACCGCGCGUCCGUGUUGCUAGCCGGCGAUGCCGGGCGCCGGCGCCUCUAACUCCCUCCUUCGCCAAUCCUCCUCUACCUGACAGCCUCCAGCCGCCGGCCGUGCCUGGCUAGGGUUCGUUGAUAGCCUUGCGCCAGUUCGAGCCGUACAAAAUAGGGCAAUACUCUGCGUCGGCGCACCGGCGGAAUGUUUCGGCCGGUCAAACCAGAGCCGCUCGAUCUGGAUGCGCAUAACCGUCAGAUCUGCCCCGCAUCUCCUAUCGUCAUCCUCCCCCACGGGGAAAAAGAGGAGAAAAAAAGCAAGCGCCGCCGCCGCUCGCGGGAUCCCACACGCUGCCCCGCACUGCUCUCGCUUGGAUCACCGCUGCCCCUGCUCGUCGCCGGCGCGCGCAGCCUCACCGCCGCCAACGAACCAAAACAUCACCCGCCUUCACCGCCGACACCGAAGCAAAAAAUGGCAGUUCCUGCAAAAUCAAAAGAUGGUGGUGGCAAUUUUUAGGAUGGUUCCAGCAAAAACAAAACAAAAACAAGGGGUGGUAGCAAAAACUCCCUGAUGCUUCGAGGAAGACUUUGGCAGUAGCAAAAACUCCGGUGGUAGCAAAUGGCAUCUCCGGUAGUAGCAAAAAUCCGAGACGGUUGUAGCAAAAAAAAAGCCAUCGCCGCCGUUGGGCAACAUCGCCGUUGGUGGAUGUAGCAAAAAAUGUCUUCAGUUCCAGCAAAAACAAAAUAUGGUUGUAGCAAAAAAGACAGGAAAAACAGAAGAUGGAUGUAGCAAAAAUCGACAAACACCGGUAGUAACAAAAAAUCGAAACGGUAGUAGCAAAAUGGUUCAUCAGUUGUAGCAAAAAUCACCUGGUAGCAAAAAUUGGGCGGGUGGGUGGUAGCAAAAACAUGGGCCAGUUCCAGCAAAAACAACACAUGGUUGUAGCAAAAAAAGAAAUCCACCAUCGCCGUGGUCGAUUGCAGCCCAUCCAUGGCGACGAGCAGUGGUUGCAGCACCGUCGUAGUUGCUGGUUUGCAACAUCUGUGGAAACCAUGUGCUGCAUGUGCCUGAGCCCAACCUCGUGGGAUACAUGGCGGACUGCACAAGGCAUGAGAGAAAAAAAGCAAAAAAGCACGGACGAGCUCACCCCUCUCAUGGAUCUAUGGAGGAAAAAUGUUGCGGGAAGCAGAGAAGGCAACAAAAACGAGCUCAAUUUCAUGGGGAUUAGGUGUGGAUUUCGGAGAGAACACACGAAGGAGGAGGAGAGAUUGAGAACUUGGGGACUGAAGAGCGAGCAGGGCGAGGAUGCCUCGUGUGAUCUCCAGAAAGAGCGAGGGGAUAAGAUGGAAGUGGUGGGGAUAGAGAUAAGCUCUGUGGGUGGUGGGCCUGGGCUGCCUAGCGACGCGAGCGAGGGGACCGGCUAUAAACGUUUACCUACAAAAUAUGAAGGAAACGACGACUGGGAGGCUGGGAGUAUGGAAUACGAAGCGAACGAGGAAGCCAGGCGCUAGCGAUCGAUCGACUGCCGUCCUUAUAUUUUGGGUUUGGGCCUUAGCCGCUGCAGACUAGUUGAUUUUUAAAUUCACAUAUAUAUAUAUAUAUAUAUAUAUAUAUAUAUAUAUAUAUAUAUAUAUAUAUAAUGAAGUAAUGGUCGGAAUUACAGGGUGAUCCAUGGACCACCCUGUGGCUACGUCACUUGCCCACCCCCUUCCCCUGAUGGACGAAACAGAGCAAAUUUUUUUCAAAUCCGCCCUUUCUGGAUUCAUGCAUAUAAAAGAUCUCUAAUGUAAAACUUAUGAAUGAAAUUAACUGUUGGGAGCAUAUGCAAUAUGCCCUCAUGUACUGAUUUUGAAUCAGUUGGUUACUACUAUCUCCUUUUCGGUUUAUAAGGCGCAUAUCUUUAGGUAGACAUAGACCAACGUGAUACAAAUUAUAUAUCACAAAAAAUAUAUCAUUUGAAAGUUCAAAUUGUAUACUCUUUAAUGGUAUUAUAAUUUUUAAACUAUACAACUUAUCUUAUUGGUCAAAUUAUAGAUCUAAGGUUACACGCAAGUCUUAUAAACCGGAAAGGAGGUAGUAGCAAACUUGCCGCCAACAAAUUACUCCUGGUUGCUGAUAUAAGUGUCUUAUGCACAGGAUUAUAUGUAUAGGGAGUCGAUUAAAUGAUAUUUUUUCCCUUUAUAAUUGCAGCUUGGAAUGUAGCGAUUUCAGACAGUGUGGCAACCAAUUGACUCCGCACUCUUGAGUUGAGGGUUUAGAGCAACUCCAACGUGCCAAACUAUUUCGUCUGUGCGUGUUCGUGUGGGUCGAAACGGACACAAAAGUCGGCUAACGAGCCGACCCAAACGGACGCGCGUUCGCUUUUUGUCCGCUUGGCGACCCAUUCCAGGCUCAAAUUUGGGCCUCGUUUGUUUUUGCACGGACACGGAACGGACACAGGCGACGACCGCUUACUGCCUGACCUGGCCCGCCAGUCGGUGGCACUUAGGCCAUUCUCUUCCUUUCAUCGAAAACCAACACGCCCCGGCGCACCACCCCGGUGCCGCCGCUGCCCAGUUCCGGUGCCCAGGCCAGCCGCCCGCACAGUCGUCCCUCCCCCUGCAACACGCCACCUACCAACGUUGCCGCCACCACCACCCCAUCGCCGCAGCUUCCCCGACAUCGCCGCCAGCACCACCUCACCCCCACCCAUGCCUGAAGCGUGAAGGAAAUAUGCCCUCGAGGCAAUAAUAAAGUUGUUAUUUAUAUUUUCUUUUAUCAUGAUAAAUGUUUAUUAUUCAUGCUAGAAUUGUAUUAACCGGAAACUUGAUACAUGUGUGAAUACAUAGACAAAACAAAGUGUCCCUGGUAUGCCUCUACUAGACUAGCUCGUUAAUAAAAGAUGGUUAAGUUUCCUGACCAUAGACAUGUGUUGUCAUUUGAUGAACGGGAUCACAUCAUUAGGAGAAUGAUGUGAUGCACAAGACCCAUUCGUUAGCUUAGCAUUAUGAUCGUUACAAUUUCAUUGCUACUGCUUUCUUCAUGACUUAUACAUGUGUGACGUCCCCGAUUCAAUCAUACACUAAUCAUACACGCAAACGUGUACGAUCAAGAUCAGGGACUCACGGGAAGAUACCACAACACAACUCUAAAAUAAAAUAAGUCAUACAAGCAUCAUAAUACAAGCCAGGGGCCUCGAGGGCUCGAAUACGAGUGCUCGAUCAUAGACGAGUCAGCGGAAGCAACAAUAUCUGAGUACAUACAUAAGUUAAACAAGUUGCCAUAAGAUGGCUAGCACAAACUGGGAUACAGAUCGAAAGAGGCGCAGGCCUCCUGCCUGGGAUCCUCCUAAACUACUCCUGGUCGUCGUCGGCGGCCUGCACGUAGUAGUAGGCACCUCCGGUGUAGUAGGGGUCGUCGUCGACGAUGGCAUCUGGCUCCUGGGCUCCAACAUCUGGUUGCGACGUCCGAGAACAAGAGGAAAAGUGGGAAAAGAGGGAGCAAAGCAACCAUGAGUACUCAUCUAGAGUACUCGCAAGCAAGGAUCUACACUACAUAUGCAUGGGUAUCAGUGUAAAGGGGCAAUAUCGGUGGACUGAACUGCAGAAUGCCAGAAUAAGAGGGGGAUAGCUAGUCCCGACGAAGACUACGCUUCUGGCAGCCUCCAUCUUGCAGCAUGUAGAAGAGAGUAGAUGGUAAGUUCACCAAGUAUCAUCGCAUAGCAUAAUCCUACCCGGUGAUCCUCCCCUCGUCGCCCUGUGUGAGAGCAAUUACCGGGUUAUAUCUGGCACUUGGAAUGGUGUGUUUUAUUAAGUAUCCGGUUCUAGUUGUCAUAAGGUCAAGGUACAACUCCGGGUCGUCCUUUUACCGAGGGACACGACUAUUCGAAUAGAUAAACUUCCUUGCAGGGGAGCACCACAUUACCCGACAUGCUCGAUCCCCUUUGGCCGGACACACUUUCCUGGGUCAUGCCCGGUCUCGAAAGAUCAACACGUCGCAGCCCUACCUAGGCACAACAGAGAGGUCAGCACGCCGGUCUAAAUCCUACCCAUUGCACACCUGCACGUUGCGUACGCGGCCGGUGAGCAGACCUAGCAACCUCCAUUACAAAGGAAGCUGCGUUACGGGGUCCAACCCGGCGCGCGCCGCUCAGUCGCUGACGUCAAGAAGGCUUCGGCUGAUACCACGACGUCGAGUGCCCAUAACUGUUCCCACGUAGUUGGUUAGUGCGUAUAGGCUAGUGGCCAGACUUAGAUCAAAUACCAAGAUCUCGUUAAGCGUGUUAAUUGAUGUAACCACGGACGCCGACCAGGGCCAGGCCCACCUCUCUCCUAGGUGGUCUCAACCUGCCCUGUCGCUCCGCCACAAAGUAACAGUCGGGGGCCGUCGGGAACUCAGGCCCACCACUACCUAGAUGGAGCCACCUGUCCUUUCAGCCCCCACAUCGGAAUCACAUGCGGGUACUCUACGAGCCGACCCGACUUUAGUCACCACCUGUAUAGUAUGUAUGUAUGCAUGUAUAUACCCGUGAUCACCUCCCGAGUAAUCAUGGUCCGAUAGUAUAGCAUAGCCGACGGACAAGAAUGUAGGGCCACUGAUGGAAUACUAGCAUCCUAUACUAAGCAUUUAGGAUUGCAGGUAAAGGUAACAACAGUAGUAGCAAAGACAUGCUAUGCAUCAGAAUAGGAUUAACGGAAAGCAGUAACAUGCUACACUACUCUAAUGCAAGCAAUAGAGAGAAGGAAUAGGUGAUAUCUGGUGAUCAAGGGGGGGGGGGCUUGCCUGGUUGCUCUGGCAAGAAGGAGGGGUCGUCAACAACGUAGUCGAUCGGGGCACCAGCAGCAGCGUCAAUCUCGUAGUCUACCGGAGAGAAAAGGGGGAAGAAACAAUGAAUACACUUCAAACAGAUGCAUAUCGAUGCAUGACAAGACAAGCAACGGUUCCAGGUGUGCCCUAACGCAGUAGGAGGUGAUGCCGGCGAAGGGGGGAAACAUCCGGGAAAGUAUUCCCGGUGUUUCGCGUUUUCGGACAAAUGAACCGGAGGGGGAAAGUUGUGUGUUCGCUAUGCUAGAGAUGUGUGGCGGACGAACGGGGUACAUAUCCUGAUUCGUCUCGUCGUUCUGAGCAACUUUCAUGUACAAAGUAUUUUCAUCUGAGUUACGGAUUAUUUUAUAUCAAUUUUUAAAGUUUUAAUUUAUUUUCUAAUUUUUUUGGUUUUAAUUUUAGUCCGAAAUUAAAAGAAUAAAAUGCUACAGGUACCGAGAGUUGUACCCAACAGAAUAUAUGUGUGGCUGGCAGGUGGGGGCAAUGGGGGUCUAGUCAGCAUUUGACCAGUCAACUGUUAACUGAUCAACAUGGUCAAACAGGACCCACAUGUCAUGGACUGGGUCAACCCAGUCAACAGUUUGACUGGUCAAACCGGACAGGGGACCCACAUGUCAUUGACUGACAACUAAUUAACCUAGUUAAUUAGUUUAACUAACAGAUUAAUUAGGUUUAAUUAAUUAAUUAAUUAAUAUCUUUAUUUAUUAUUAUUUUUAAAAAUUCUUUUUUUAAUAAACGUUCCGGGGGCUGGGCCCCACGUGUCAUUUGCCCAGGGGGCCGAUGCGGGUUAGCGGGUGCUGGGUGCGGGCGUAGCCCGAACGGGCGCGUGCCCGAGAGGGCGCGGGGUGCGCGCACCGGCGCCGGCGGCGGGNNNNNNNNNNNNNNNNNNNNNNNNNNNNNNNNNNNNNNNNNNNNNNNNNNNNNNNNNNNNNNNNNNNNNNNNNNNNNNNNNNNNNNNNNNNNNNNNNNNNNNNNNNNNNNNNNNNNNNNNNNNNNNNNNNNNNNNNNNNNNNNNNNNNNNNNNNNNNNNNNNNNNNNNNNNNNNNNNNNNNNNNNNNNNNNNNNNNNNNNNNNNNNNNNNNNNNNNNNNNNNNNNNNNNNNNNNNNNNNNNNNNNNNNNNNNNNNNNNNNNNNNNNNNNNNNNNNNNNNNNNNNNNNNNNNNNNNNNNNNNNNNNNNNNNNNNNNNNNNNNNNNNNNNNNNNNNNNNNNNNNNNNNNNNNNNNNNNNNNNNNNNNNNNNNNNNNNNNNNNNNNNNNNNNNNNNNNNNNNNNNNNNNNNNNNNNNNNNNNNNNNNNNNNNNNNNNNNNNNNNNNNNNNNNNNNNNNNNNNNNNNNNNNNNNNNNNNNNNNNNNNNNNNNNNNNNNNNNNNNNNNNNNNNNNNNNNNNNNNNNNNNNNNNNNNNNNNNNNNNNNNNNNNNNNNNNNNNNNNNNNNNNNNNNNNNNNNNNNNNNNNNNNNNNNNNNNNNNNNNNNNNNNNNNNNNNNNNNNNNNNNNNNNNNNNNNNNNNNNNNNNNNNNNNNNNNNNNNNNNNNNNNNNNNNNNNNNNNNNNNNNNNNNNNNNNNNNNNNNNNNNNNNNNNNNNNNNNNNNNNNNNNNNNNNNNNNNNNNNNNNNNNNNNNNNNNNNNNNNNNNNNNNNNNNNNNNNNNNNNNNNNNNNNNNNNNNNNNNNNNNNNNNNNNNNNNNNNNNNNNNNNNNNNNNNNNNNNNNNNNNNNNNNNNNNNNNNUCGGGCUCGGGCGCGACCAUGGGUUCAUUCCCCCGAUCUCGAUCUGGAUCGGGGAGGAGGAGGCGAACGUGGGGGGGGGAGUGGGGCGACGAGGGUUAGGGUUUGCGGGUGUGAGGGGAUAAGGGAGUGGGGUGGGCUGGCCGGUUGGGCCUUUUCCUAGUUGGGCUGGUGGCCUGCAGGGCCGGAGCCCACUGAGGGGGGGUUGCUUUUCUUUUUACUUUGUUAGUUUUGUUUCCUGUUUUUGUUCUUUUCCCUUUUUUAUUUAUUUCCUUUUUUGUUUUAAUUCAUUUUAAAAUAUUUAGGCAUCCGAUAAAAGUGUGGUUCCUUCAUCAUAAAUACCUAAGCAUUAAUUGGCACACUCCGAACAUUUUAGUUUUAAUGUUUGAAUUUUUUUAUGUUUGGCAAAAAUUCAAAUUCAAAUUUGAACAGUUUUGAUCCAACACGAGAUUGAUGUCUACUACACAACUUUCUUAUAGACGUUUUUGGGCCUCCAAGUGCAGAGGUUUGUAGGACAGUAGCAAAUUUCCCUCAAGUGGAUGACCUAAGGUUUAUCAAUCCGUGGGAGGCGUAGGAUGAAGAUGGUCUCUCUCAAGCAACCCUGCAACCAAAUAACAAAGAGUCUCUUGUGUUCCCAACACCCAAUACAAUGGUAAAUUGUAUAGGUGGACUAGUUCGGCGAAGAGAUGGUGAUACAAGUGCAAUAUGGAUGGUAGAUAUAGGUUUUUGUAAUCUGAAAAUAUAAAAACAGCAAGGUAACUAAUAAUAAAAGUGAGCACAAAUGGUAUUGCAAUGCUUUGAAACAAGGCCUAGGGUUCAUACUUUCACUAGUGCAAGUUCUCUCAACAAUAAUAAUAUAAUUGGAUCAUAUAACUAUCCCUCAACACGCAACAAAGAGUCACUCCAAAGUCACUAAUAGCGGAGAACAAACGAAGAGAUUAUGGUAGGGUACGAAACCACCUCAAACUUAUCCUUUCUGAUCGAUCUAUUCAAGAGUCCGUAGUAAAAUAACAUGAAGCUAUUCUUUCCGUUCGAUCUAUCCUAGAGUUCGUACUAGAAUAACACCUUAAGACACAAAUCAAUCAAAACCCUAAUGUCACCUAGAUACUCCAAUGUCACCUCAAGUAUCCGUGGGUAUGAUUAUACGAUAUGUAUCACACAAUCUCAGAUUCAUCUAUUCAACCAACACAAAGAACUUCAAAGAGUGCCCCAAAGUUUCUACUGGAGAGCCAAGACGAAAACGUGUGCCAACCCCUAUGCAUAGAUUCCCAAGGUCACGGAACCCGCAAGUUAAUCACCAAAACAUACAUCAAGUGGAUCACGUGAAUAUCCCAUUGUCACCACAGAUAAGCACAUGCAAGACAUACAUCAAGUGUUCUCAAAUCCUUAAAGACUCAAUCCGAUAAGAUAACUUCAAAGGGAAAACUCAAUCCAUUACAAGAGAGUAGAGUGGGAGAAACAUCAUAAGAUCCAACUAUAAUAGCAAAGCUCGUGAUACAUCAAGAUCGUACCACCUCAAGAACACGAGAGAUAGAGAUCAAACACAUAGCUACUGGUACAUACCCUCAGCCCCGAGGGUGAACUACUCCCUCCUCGUCAUGGAGAGCGCCGGGAUGAUGAAGAUGGCCACCGGUGAGGGAUCCCCCUCCGGCAGGGUGCCGGAACAGGGUCCCUAUUGGUUUUUGGUGGCUACAGAGGCUUGCGGCAGUGGAACUCCCGAUCUAGGUUAUGUUCUGGAAGUUUGGGUAUAUAUAAGAGGUUUUGGUGUCGAGAACAAGUCAGGGGGGUCUCCGGGCUGUCCACGAGGUAGGGAGGCGCGCCCAGGGGGGUGGGCGCGCCCCCCACCCUCGUGGGCAGCCCGGGACUCUUCUGGCCCAACUCUUUUACUCCAUGGCCUUUUUCUGGUCCAAAAAUAAGUUCCGUGAAGUUUCAGGUCAAUUGGACUCCGUUUGGUUUUCCUUUUCCACGAUACUCAAAAACAUGGAAAAAACAGAAACUCGCACUGGGCUCUAGGUUAAUAGGUUAGUCCCAAAAAUCAUAUAAAAGUGCUUAGUAAAGCCCAUUAAACAUCCAAAACAGAUAAUAUAAUAGCAUGGAACAAUAAAAAAUUAUAGAUACGUUGGAGACGUAUCAGAGAUUAGCAACAGUAAUCAAGGUGACAUGGCAUCAUUAGCAGAGGUUUACUAUAGCUUGAUUAUCCGGGCGUCACAAUUCUCCUCCACUACAAGAAAUCUCGUCCCGAGAUUUAAGAAGUAGAGUAAGGGGAAAGGUCUGGUUACGAAAUUCUAACGGAUCUUCUCAAUCUUGGCUGCUCUUCUCGCAGAGAUCGAUCCAUUACAUUGAUGUCUUCAUUCCACUGCUUCUGGUCAUCAUUACGAAGUCGUCAUCCUUUCUUCGGGGGUUCCUUUGUACUUACGAAUAGGUAAAGGGGCAGAUCGGCAAUGACAGAAUGCUAUAAGGGUAAUAAUCUGGGAUUAACCCAUGAAUGAGCAUAUGAGUACCUCUCGAGUUGAACAAUUAAAACACAUCGAGAGUAAAGUUCGAAGGUACAAUAAGAAGUUUCAAGCAGCCAGGCAAUCGUUCAAUGCCUAGACAGAAGGUGGAAGGGUUUCAGGGCAAGUGAAUAAGUAUUGCGUCUGAUACCAGAAUAGAUCACUAGGAAUGUGGCUCGUGAAUUGCAUACGAAGCCAAGCGCGAGGAUUAACUUUGGAAACAGGGUGUACAAGAGAGUCAGGUUUUGAUCAUGUGGAACUGGGGGUUAUGGGCCCACCAUGUGGGUUAAAAGUAGGAAGGGCGGUGACAUCUUGCACGAUCAUGUAAGAGGCAUGUCAGAGGAUAGAUUGUCGGUUAUGUCGGCAACAACAUCGGUACCCAAGGGCGAGGGACGAAGAGAACCAUUUUCCUGCUCGUUGAACGAGGCGGGCCAAUAGGCAAAGUUCUCGUCCAUCGGCGGUUACCGGAAUGUCAUCAACACUAGAAACAGGGUCUUACUGACACGGUUGUACACCAAGGUGUUUACAUAAGUAGAAGAAUAUUACUGCUUAGAUCAUAUGGAUCAUGAGGAAGAUUAAACAAAUCAAUGGAAAGGAAAAUGUGAUCAUCAGAUCAAACAGAACAAUGGAAGGAAAAUGUGUUUGACACAUAUGCCAGGGGUAUACCCUUCCCAAGGACAAGUAGAGCAUGAUAUCCAUGGCAGGAUAUAAAGUAGAAAACCCUUCAGGAAAGGGGAAAGAAAUUUCAUGGCAUUACCCAUACAACGGUGUUUGGAUAAUUGAUCAAGAAACAUUUUGCAUUGUGCUACAAAUGUGCUUACUGUAAAAUCGGAGUACCAGAGACACACUUCGAGAUAGCAUUGACAUGGUCUUCAAGCAAAGUUCAAACUCUGAAUACACGAAGAAUCCUUCAGGAACAGCUUGUAGAAUAAGUCUUACAAUUUCCUCAUGGAAGAAUGGAUAACCUUGCUAAAAAGGAUACUAUAACAAUAGGUCCUACGGCUAGGUGUGCUAGGCAUGAAUCACCUUACCGGGUCAAAUAAGGACCAACAUUAUGACUCUUGGAAAAUGUUCCAAGCAUCAUAUCCGACUGAGAUUCAGAUCUGGUUGGGGUCAGGAUACCUCAGACUCAGGAUGCCUGAGAAGAAAAAGGUGCGACACAAAUUGACGAGAAGACACCGUAAGAUUGUCGGGAAAUGAACCAUGGAAGAAAGUUCCAAAAUCAGAGUUCAUCAUUAAACCAAGGAGAUGAUGAGGAGGUGGCUGAUGGACUCAGCGACAUAUCAUCAAGAUUUCCAAAAAGAUGGAUUUCCACAAUUAGGUGAACAAGGAGAUAACAUUUGUUAGAUAAAUGAUAUAAUGAGGUAUGCUCGAGGAAAACAUACACAAUUAAACAUUGGUUGAAAGGUGCACCGGAAAUAUGGGUUUAGGUAGCAUGAUCAAUGUUAGAAUGGUGAUUCGAUAACCAAUGGUCUAAGAAUGAAAUGUCAACCAUUAACUUCAAAGCAAGAGGGUUGCUUAGAAGUUUUGGAUUCGCACAUCGUAGUUCAAUUGUCGGUUUUCGGGUUAGAAACAACAUGGGGACCAAGGAAUGAACAGAGAUGGCAAGAAGUAUCACUUGUAUCAAGAAUUCUUAAGAAGUGGUGAAAUUCUCACGACAACCUCGGCAUAAAAGAUGGUAAUACUCCAAGGUAAAGAAGAACAAAUGCUGGAUAGCAAGGAACUCAAGGUAUAACACAAAACACGGACACGUUUGUGUUGAACGGAAGGCAAUAAAGUGGUCGAUGAUAAUACAAAUCAUCGAGGGAGAGGAUGGUAUUUCUCAUCAUGAAUUCAAUUGAUAUCCUGGAAGAGCUCAGAAUGCUGAUGAUGAUCAUGACACAUUUGUCAAGAGAUUUCAUGAAGAUGUAAUCGAUCGGCGAUGACAUGAAGUCAAUGGAAUGAUGAAGAAAAAGGUUAUUGGAACCAUGGGUAUGACACAAACUCGAAAUCAAGUUUGUUGUUCAAGGAGAAAUGAUAUGACGAGGAAGAUCGACGUAAGAUUAGUUCACCGUCGAAAUUUGUGCUCCGGGAAGAAGGACCAGGUAGCACAGUUAAAAUUAGCACGAUCACAAAGUAGCCGAUCAGGCUAGGAGUGACGUGUUGGAGUACUAAACAUCUCAACAACAAAGUACACUACAGGAAUCAGCUACUUUGCCGUCUGCCGAGGCAGACGGCAAAGGCAUGGAAGGUGGACGGCAAAGGCCUUUGCCGUCUGCCGCGGACGGCAAAAGGCGCCGGCAAAGAAAGGAUCGGCAAAGACCUUAUUUUCCGUCUGCUUCCUGACGCGGACGACAAAGGAGCCUUUGCCAUCAGCGGCAGACGGCAAAGAAAGCCGACGGCAAUAAAUUCGCUGUUAGUCCGUUAGGUGGCUAACGGCAGUCUUUGCCGUCCGUGGCUGACGGCAAAGAGCAUCAGGCCUUUGCCGUCUGCCACUGUAGGCAAAUUGACCAAAUGGUCAGCUGCCAGGAAACACAGGUGGUUCCCACGUGGCUUCUUUGCCGUCCGCGGUAGACGGCAAAGAGCCCGUUGUCAUAGGUGGCAUACGGCAAAGAGCCUGCAUUGCCUCUUUUUUCUGUUUUUUCUUGUACCCAACCAUUUUCACAACAAAUAGAUGAUACAUAUAUGUUUUUCACAUGGCAAGUUCACAGUUUGACCAGAUUUGACCAAAAUUCAAAAAAACUGAAAUAAUUAUUUAGUAACACUAAUAUUUCUUGAAUAAUUAGUUUGACCAUUGUUUGACCACAGUUUGACCAGAUUUGACGAAAAGUCAAAAAAACUGAAAUAAUUAUUUAGUAACACUAAUAUUCUUGAAUAAUUAUUUAGUAACACUAAUACUUCUUGAAUAAGUAGUUUGACCAUAGUUUGACCAGAUUUAACAAAAAUUCAAAAAAAAACAGAAAUUUGAGCAUACCUUUUUUUCCUUUUAGAAUUCGAGGAUUCUAAAAAUUUACUGCUUAGAUCAUAUGGAUCAUGAGGAAGAUUAAACAAAUCAAUGGAAAGGAAAAUGUGAUCCUUAGGUCAAACAGAACAAUGGAAAGGAAAAUGUGUUUGACACAUAUGCCAGGGGUAUACCCUUCCGAAGGACAAGCAGAGCAUGAUAUCCAUGGCAGGAUAUAAAGUAGAAAACCCUUCAGGAAAGGGGAAAGAAAUUUCAUGACAUUACCCAUACAACGAUGUUUGGAUAAUUGAUCAAGAAAUUUUUUGCAUUGUGCUACAAAUGUGCUUACUGUAAAAUCGGAGUACCAGAGACACGCUUCGAGAUAGCAUUGACAUGGUCUUCAAGCAAAGUUCAAACUCUGAAUACACGAAGAAUCCUUCAGGAACAGCUUGUAGAAUAAGUCUUACAAUUUCCUCAUGGAAGAAUGGAUAACCUUGCUAAAAAGGAUACUAUAACAAGAGGUCCUACGGCUAGGUGUGCUAGGCAUGAAUCACCUUACCGGGUCAAAUAAGGACCAACAUUAUGACUCUUGGAAAAUGUUCCAACCAUCAUAUCCGACCGAGAUUCAGAUCUGGUUGGGGUCAGAAUACCUCAGACUCAGGAUGCCUGAGGAGAAAAAGGUGCGACACAAAUUGACGAGAAGACACCGUAAGAUUCUCGGGAAAUGAACCAUGGAAGAAAGUUCCGAAAUCAGAGUUCAUCAUUAAACCAAGGAGAGGAUGAGGAGGUGGCUGAUGGACUCAGCAAAAUAUCAUCAAGAUUUCUAAAAAGAUGGAUUUCCACAAUUAGGUGAACAAGGAGAUAACAUUUGUCAGAUAAAUGAUAUAAUGAGGUAUGCUCGAGGAGAACAUACACAAUUAAACAUUGGUUGAAAGGUGCACCGGAAAUAUGGGUUUAGGUAGCAUGAUCAAUGUUAGAAUGGUGAUUCGAUAACCAAUGGUCUAAGAAUGAAAUGUCAAUCAUUAACUUCAAAGCAAUAGGGUUGCUUAGAAGUUUUGGAUUCGCACAUCGUAGUGCAAUUGUCGGUUUUCGGGUUAGAAACAACAUGGGGACUAAGGAAUGAACAGAGAUGGCAAGAAGUAUCACUUGUAUCAAGAAUUCUUAAGAAGUGGUGAAAUUCUCACGACAUCCUCGGCAUAAAAGAUGGUAAUACUCCAAGGUAAAGAAGAACAAAUGCUGGAUAGCAAGGAACUCAAGGUAUAACACAAAACACGGACACGUUUGUGUUGAACGGAAGGCAAUAAAGUGGUCAAUGAUACGACAAAUCAUCGAGGGAGAGGAUGGUAUUUCUCAUCAUGAAUUCAAUUGAUAUCCUGGAAGAGCUCAGAAUGCUGAUGAUGAUCAUGACACAUUUGUCAAGAGAUUUUAUGAAGAUGUAAUCGAUCGGCGAUGACAUCAAGUCAACGGAAUGAUGAAGAAAAAGGUUAUUGGAACCAUGGGUAUGACACAAACUCGAAAUCAAGUUUGUUGUUCAAGGAGAAAUGAUAUGACGAGGAAGAUCGACGUAAGAUUAGUUCACCAUCGAAAUUUGUGCUCCGGGAAGAAGGACCAGGUAGCACAGUUAAAAUUAGCACGAUCACAAAGUAACCGAUCAGGCUAGGAGUGACGUGUUGGAGUAUUAAACAUCUCAACCACAAAGUACACUACAGGAAUUAGCUACUUUGCCGGACGGCAAAGGCAUGGAAGGUGGACGGCAAAGGCCUUUGCCGUCUGCCGCGGACGGCAAAAGGCGCCGGCAAAGAAAGGAUCGGCAAAGACCUUCUUUGCCGUCUGCUUCCUGACGCGGACGGCAAAGGAGCCUUUGCCAUCAGCGGCGGACGGCAAAGAAAGCCGACGGCAAAAAAUUCGCUGUUACUCCGUUAGGUGGCUAACGGCAGUCUUUGCCGUCCGUGGCUGACGGCAAAGAGCAUCAGGCCUUUCCCGUCUGCCACCGUACGCAAAUUGACCAAAUGGUCAGCUGCCAGGAAACACAGGUGGUUGCCACGUGGCUUCUUUCCCGUCCGCUGCGGACAGCAAAGAGCCCGUUGCCGUCGGUGGCAUACGGCAAAGAGCCUGCAUUGCCUCUUUUUUUUCUGUUUUUUCGUAUACCCAACCAUUUUCACAACAAAUAGAUGAUACAUAUAUAUUUUUCACAUGGCAAGUUCACAGUUUGACCAGAUUUGACCAAAAUUCAAAAAAACUGAAAUAAUUAUUUAGUAACACUAAUAUUCUUGAAUAAUUAUUUAGUAACACUAAACUUCUUGAAUAAGUAGUUUGACCAUAGUUUGACCAGAUUUAACAAAAAUUCAAAAAAAAAAGAAAUUUGAGCAUAACUUUUUUCCUUUUAGAACUUGAGGAUUCUAAAAAUUUGCAAACAGGCCGUAGGCCGUCAAAAUCGGAAGCGGAUUUUCGUGCUGAACAUUUUGAUAUAUUAUAUUUUUUUUCUGACAUCAUAUGCAAAAGUUAUAGCCAUUUUACAUUUUCCCUACUCUUUUUGCAAAACAUGUCCAAAUUUAAGUUUUUAAAUUUUCCUAACUAGUACAUGUAGUAACAUAACUACAUCUGGAAGGAUUUUAAUUUUUGAAGUUUUUAUCAUUUUCUUUUGCUCUUUACAAAACUGAAAAGGCGAUCCACCGGGGGAGGGGGGGUAGAGUUUGAAAAUGGGACCUUUAGUACCGGUUCGUGCCAUGAACCAGUACUAAUGCCUCAAACCCCAUUAGUACCGGUUGGUGGCUCGAACCGGGAGACCUUUAGUACCGGUUGGUGCCACGAACCGGUACUAAUGGGCAUCGCACCCUUUAGUCCCGGUUCGUGGCACCAACCGGGACUAAAGGUCCCAUUUGAACCGGGACUAAUGCCUGUACGGUGCCCUAGCCGCUCGAACCGGGACUAAUGCUCACACUAGUCCCGGUUCGUAAUGCAACCGGGAUUAAUACUCUUUUCUGGCCGAACCAAAGCCCUAUUUUCUACUAGUGUUGGUAGCACACAAAGUGUUCCUCCGGUAAACGGGAGUUGCAUAAUCUCAUAGUCAUAGGAACAUGUAUAAGUCAUGAAGGAAGCAAUAGCAACAUACUAAACGAUCGAGUGCUAAGCUAACGGAAUGGGUCAAGUCAAUCACAUCAUUCUCCUAAUGAUGUGAUCCCGUUAAUCAAAUGACAACUCAUGUCUAUGGUUAGGAAACAUAACCAUCUUUAAUUAACGAGCUAGUCAAGUAGAGGCAUACUAGUGACACUCUGUUUGUCUAUGUAUUCAGACAUGUAUUAUGUUUCCGGUUAAUAAAAUUCUACCAUGAAUAAUAAACAUUUAUUAUGAUAUAAGGAAAUAAAUAAUAACUUUAUUAUUGCCUCUAGGGCAUAUUUCCUUCAACCAUGUACCCGAUAAUUUAUGUACAAAACACCGUGGUAACUUUGACCAAUGGAAAAAGUUGUUGUUGAAAAUAUACCCCCAGUAAUUUAUGUGAUAAAAGCACGAUAAUGUAGAAAUUGCAUAACCGGUAAACACCGCGGUAACUUUGACCAAGGGGAAAAAGGUAGUUGUUGAAAAACAACCUCCAGUAACUUAUGUGAAAGUAGCAAGAUAAGUUGCAUAGCCCCUGGGUGAUAACUUUUGACCCAAUAACUUACAUACAAACACCGCGAUAACUUUUACCAAGGGGAAAUACUUGUUAAAAAACAUAACCCUGGUAACCGUUUUCGCAUCGGACCGACGGUUUGAGCCACAAAAAAGUUGAAUUUUAUAUUAGGGAAGAAGCUAGGAUGAUGUAAGCUUUUCUCCUCUAGUGCAAACAUAUGCAUGUGUAUGUGGUGAAAGGUGGAAAAACCAUUUUUAUGCCCCUAGUAAUUUAUGUGCAAAUAUUAUGAUAAAUUGCGUAGAAUAGGCGUGGUAAUUUAUGUACACCACGCGUGGUAACUUUUGACCAAAAAAAGUUGUCGGAACAUACCAACAUGGGAUCUAGUUUCGAAGAUCUCGUUGCGACGAAUCUUUUAUAUGAAAACAGUUUUUGCAUCAGAGUGACGGUUUGAGUUACAAAACAUUUUGAAUUUUUGGAAUAUGGGAGAAUAUAUGAUGACAUCAGUUUUUUUGUCAUCUAGUGCAUGUCCGUAAUUAGAGAAAGCAAAGAACGUGACUGAAGAUUGAGUCACUCUAAUACAUGCAUGCAUGUAAUUAUAUGAAAGAAAUGAGGUGUGUUGUAGUUUUGCUAUCUGCCACACAUGUGCCAAAUAUCACAGUCCAAAAGCAAAACUGACAGUAUUCAUAUAUGAAUUUGUCCUUUCCUUUUGUUUCUCCUUGUGUAUUUUGAAUUUCGAUCUGAAUUUUUUAGGGGUUGUCAACAUAUGUGUCUUGAACAUCCACGAUUUUUUUCAGAAUUGUUUGGCAUGUUUAAAUUUGAAUUUAAAAAAUUGGUAUCAUGGUAUCACAUGUGCCUUGCAUAUACUAUACUGCUGCAACUCUGCGGGUGCGAGAGGUGUCUGCAAGUGGUGUGCAUGAGGCGGCACAUGGGUAGGGCUAGCGUCAUGUACGACUUGCAUGCAUGUCCUCGUCUGUCUCUUGAUUAUUUGGCCCGUACGACCCCAUUCUCGUCUUUGAUAAUGGAAGCAAAGGUACGUAGGUGAUGAUGUGCUUGGAUGUAAUGGAUCGUAGUGUACACUGGAAGACUCGCAUGACGACACGUCAAGAAUCGUCGAAUUAGAGGGUGAUGAUCAUGCAUUUCCCCAGCUUUUGAUGCGGAAGCAAAGGCGUCGGUCCCGUGACUGUACUGUGAUACAGCAACUUCAACUCAGAUGCCCUUGUGGCGUUCAACAGAGAGCAGCAAUCUAAUCAGUUUUAGGCGGGAAAAGUUUAGUGAUAUAAUAGCAUCUACAACCGAAUUUGGCAAAUUCGGCCCCUCAAACGUCCGCGGGCACUAACCGAAGUACCGGACACUCCUCAUAUUUCCUUCUCCACAUACAAUGAAAGACUCAGCCCCUAAAUCCAUACAAAAGCAUACAUAAUAUAUAGCUAUAUACUACAUUCUAUACUACUCAAAUUUGGUCGUUGUCGGCGAUUGCCGGAGCCGCCUGCACCAGAGCCUGGGCCGCCUCCAUCUGUUGCCGACGGCGACGCUUGGCCUCCGCAGCCGACCCAUAGUGGAUGGAAUUCAAGAUGGCGUGCUGCUCCGGCCAGACGCCCACGUCCUCCUCCAUCGCCGGCGCCUCCUCCUCCCCCACAUCCAGCGUCCUGCUCCUCCUCCUCCCCCACAUCCAGCGUCCUGCUCCUCCUCCUCCCCCGACACCUCCUCCUCAACCUCCUCGAAAUCCUCCUCCGGUUCCAGAGGUAACCUCGCCUCCCUAAGGAUCCGGACCUGCUCAAGGAGGAAGAUACGGUGCAGGAUCGUGUAGUAGAGGCGGCGUGGGGGGAUGGCUAGGCUCGAGUGGCAGAGGAGGGAGGGAAGAGACGGAUGUGCUAGGGCUGGGGGCGCUGGCCGGCUACGGCUUCGGGCGGCGAGCCGGAGCAGCGCCACGCGGCGGUCACACCGUGGCGACGGUCGAGGCGCCCGUCGGACCGUCAGGUUUCCCGGCGAGUCUGUGUGGGGCCAUGCCGUCAGGCCGACAUGGCGGGCGUGCCCGGGCGUCCCCAUAUCCGCCCCAUAUUUGGGCUGGAUAUGGAGUGCCAGUCAGCCCGGGCAUUUGAGAGGCCCGUCUAGAUCAAAAAAUCGUGACCGGACGUAUGUGAUGGAUUUGAGAGGUCCGGUUGUAGAUACUCUAAAUGCUCUUAUAUUUUUUAGAGAGGGAGUUAGAAACAGUACACUCCAUAAACCGAAGGCAUCAAACUGAAUGCACUGUGAGGUGGCACAUGGGUAGGGGCACGUCCUCCUAUGUCUCUUCAUUGUUUGCGCGACCCGUACAAACGUACGACGACACCACUCUCGUCUUUAACAACAGAAGACAAGGUGGAUCGUGGCGUGCACUGCCAGGCUCACAUGACGACAGCUAUAGAGAGUCGUGGAACUAGAGAAUGGAGUAAGCAUUUUGCGUUUGGCGACCUUUGAUGCGGGUGUAAAGGCGUCAGUUCUGUCAACGUCACGGGCCGUGGCAUUGGAUAGAUCAUAGAGAUCGAGCAGCAAUCACAUCAAACUCGGGUUAGCGCGAAAUCACGUAGAGAGAGCAUGAAUCAUGCACAAGUCGGGUACUAUGACAAGGACACGGUGAUCAUUUCUAGGAAGAGAAAACUCACACUCCAAAUGCAUGAUGCAUGAAAUGGACAGGGAACAGUAUGGCAACAUGAUUGGAGUAGGCAGCUCCCUUCUUCUUCUUUUUUAACAACUCUUUCUGUUCCAAAAUAAUUAAAGUUCUAAAUCUGUCGUAAGUAAAACUUAAAGAAGUUUGACUAUGUUUCUAAUUUUUUUUAGCAACAUCUAGAAAGCCAAAUCAGCAUCCUUAGAUUCAUCUUAACAUAUAUUUCAAUAAUAUAUAUGUAUUUGAUGUUGUAGGUGCUUACAAUUUUUUCUAGUAAGUUGAUCAAGUUUAAAGAAGUUCAACUUAGGACAAAUCUAGAACUGCAAUUAUUUUGAAACAGGGAGAGUAUUUACUGUGAGGCAACAACCCCACAGUCCUUUACCUCGACUAUGAGGGCCCGAACCUGGGUAAAAACACCGUGCAAAACCCUCGUGCACUCUCUACCCUACUGAGGCUACUGACGGUUUUGGUACCAUCAAAAUUAAGGAAUCCUCAUCUAAAGUUUGCAACAACCCAAUUAACAUGCAGACUAGUUUCAUUAAUAAUUUUUUUGAAAGAUCCAGGUAUCAUGGCAUUUCAUUGGAUAAGCAGAUAGGAGCGGUGAAUCAAACAUGGGGUGGUGGUGACCCGAAGGUCAAGGAUAAAAAGGAGUAUUUAACAAAAAAAAAACUACCAUAUUUCGUGGAACCAUGCCUACAGACUACCACUUUACAAAUUUGUGCCAAAAACUACCACUUUUUCACUAAUCUUUGACUAAAAACUACCAUGUCGGGAAUGUGCCCGAUUCGCCUCUUCUAAACGCCUUUCGGACAGGAUGGGCCCACAAGUCAGGUUGACCGUUCACUUUGACCGUUAAGUUGACCGUUGUUACAGGUGGGGCCCACCUGUCAGCAUCAAUCUUCUUCCUCCUCUCUCUCUGGCAUUUUCUCGAACACCUCAUGUGCACUCCACGCUCUUCUCCAUGGUGACGCCCCGGCGAAGCACCUCCUCCUCUCUCUCUCUGGCUGGGCACGCACAGGAGCUGAGGGCUCCGGCGACCUAAGCCAGGAGCAGCGGUGGGCUCCGGCGGGAGCAGGCGCGGUAGCGAGCGGCGCGUGGGGUGGCGGCAGCAGAAGCACACAUUAGCAGUAGCAGCAAGCUGGGGAGCGGGCUAGGUGAGCGACGGACGUGGGGGCGCAUGCAAGCGGCGGAGGAGGACUGCGAUCGCGGUGGCGGCCGUGGGGGGUAGCGGCAGCAGCAGCCAUAGCAGGCGAGGCGGUAGAGCGGCAGGGCCGCGUAGCGAACGAGGCGGAGGCCACAGAGGCAGCGACCGGUGCAGGGCAGGCGAGGCGGCAGAGCGGCGGGGCCGCGUAGCGAACGAGGCGGAGGCCACAGAGGCAGUAGCCGCACCGACCGGUGCAGGGCAGGCGCGCGGCUGGGCGGUAGGGAGUGGGGGCAGUGGGGCGCAGGGUGGGGCGAGCGCGCAACUGGCGCGGCCGGAGCACGUUGACUUCGGCGAGCGCACAGGGAAGAGGGAGGCAGCGGCGGGGCUCACCCCCGUUUGUAGAUAAACAAGGGGUUGGCGAGGCGUGAUGGCACCGGAGAGGAGGAGGUCUGGAGCGUGCAACGCGUUGCGCUGGCUCGAGCCGCCACGGCCGCAAGCCUCGCGUGCACUGCUAGCUUGUGUGCAUGCUAGCCGCGGCCUUGUGUGCGUGCGCAGCCGCAGCCGCCGCCGCGUGCUGGCGUGUUCGGAGCCGUGCGCGCAGCCGCCGCCGCCGCGUGCUGGCAGGCUAGUCGCCGUCGCCGCGAGCGUGUGUGCGGAGCCGUGCGUGCAGCGGUCCGGCUGGCCGCCGUGAGCGUGCGUGUGCCAUGUCAGCGCCUACGUGUAGGCCAACCCUGUCAUAAUCAUGUUUAAUUUCAGUCGAAGCAGUCACUGGUGUUUUUGGAAAAAUUAGUGAAAAAUGAUAAUUUUCGGUACAAAUUUAUAAAGUGGUAGUUUGUAGGCACAGUUUUCACGAAAUGUGAUAGCUUUUUGAAAUACUCGAUAAAAAGAGAAAAACCUAAAGAAGAAAAAUAGCCCAGAGGCUGGGUAGCCAAGGCCAACUCCACGGCACGACCCCAAAUCGUUCGGCCCCGUCCGUUUGGGGUAAAACGGACAAACGAGACGUCCCAACGCGCGACCCCAUCCUAAAAAAAGUCCAUUUCUGGUCCGCCUCGCCCCAUCCUGGACGCAAAAUUGGUCUGUCUUUGGGUCAAAAACGGACACAAGCGGACACUUCUGCGUCGUCCUCGUCCAGGGCGUGUCCUCUGCAUGUGACCCCCUGGCCCGCCUGUCAUCCUCUCUCUUUUUUAUCUCGCAUGGCCCACCAUGCCCACCCACCAUCCUCUCUCUCCACCUUUUCUCCUCUCUCUUCCGCUCCACGCACCACCAUGCCGGUGCACGCGAGCGGCACAGCGAGCAGGCGGGGCCACGGGCAGGGCGGGGCGGGGAGCGGCGGGCCGGGGUGCAGGCGGUGCGGGACGGGGCGGCCCGCGGGACUGGGAGCGGNNNNNNNNNNNNNNNNNNNNNNNNNNNNNNNNNNNNNNNNNNNNNNNNNNNNNNNNNNNNNNNNNNNNNNNNNNNNNNNNNNNNNNNNNNNNNNNNNNNNNNNNNNNNNNNNNNNNNNNNNNNNNNNNNNNNNNNNNNNNNNNNNNNNNNNNNNNNNNNNNNNNNNNNNNNNNNNNNNNNNNNNNNNNNNNNNNNNNNNNNNNNNNNNNNNNNNNNNNNNNNNNNNNNNNNNNNNNNNNNNNNNNNNNNNNNNNNNNNNNNNNNNNNNNNNNNNNNNNNNNNNNNNNNNNNNNNNNNNNNNNNNNNNNNNNNNNNNNNNNNNNNNNNNNNNNNNNNNNNNNNNUGGCGUGCGGGCGCGGGCGAGCCUGGCAGCGGCGCCGGCACCGGCGGAGCGAGAGCGCGGGCGUGGCGUGGGCGGGUGAGGCGCGCGACCGAGGCAGACGUUUUGGGGUUGGUCUGCGCGUUGGGCGUCUCCAAGUAAACUCGGACAUGCAGGUCCGUUUUGCCACCCAUUGCCACCCCAAACGGACAAAAUCCGGACAAAAUGGACGUCCGUUUGGGGUCGUGCGGUGGAAUUGGCCUAAGGGCUACAUAUCUCAUGUCUGGUUCCCAAAUGGGACUGAGAUCAGGUGACAUGCACAUUUGCAUGUCACCGUAUGCCUUGCGGCCUGAAUUCAAAUUUAAACAUUGCAAAAAAAAAAUCUGAAAAAAUCAUGUAUGUUCACAUCACAUAUUAAGAUAACCCCUAAAAAAUUCAGAUCAAAAUUUGAAACAUACAUCGAGAAGCAAAAAAGAGAAACUCAGAUGUGAAUAGUAUACAGAGAACCAUUCACAACUAUUCAUGACAGAAUUUUCUUUUUUGCUUCUUGAUGUAUGUUUCGAAUUUUGAUCUGAAUUUUUUAGAGAUUAUCUUAAUAUGUGUUGUGAAGAUGCAUGAUUUUUUUCAGAUUUUUUCGUAAUGUUUAAAUUUGAAUUCAGGUCAAAGGUGCAUGUCACCUGAUCUCUGUCCCCCCAAAUGGGGGCUCUAGGCAAAUUGCGCCAGCUGCACGCCAGAGGUGGAUUGAUCUUCUGAUGGAGGCAACAACAUCGUCAGCGGAGGCCGUCUUGUUUCUGAACGUGCAGUUGUUUCUUUUUCUCCUAAUUUCCCAAAGUGUCAACAGGAUGACCGAAUUAACACCUUUCCUGAAGGUGGGAGAGAUGGCUUCAAUCAUUUUGGUGACGAUUUGGGUGGAGUUAGAAAGCAGUUGCCAGUUUGCUGGGCUAGUGGCGGAGCAACCAGUCCAUCGUCUAUGUAAUGAAUGGAUGGAUUUGCUCGCACAUGUUUUCUUACGGAGAGGCGGAGACGGUGCAAUGGAGGGUACAGUAUGUUACACAGACCAACACAUACCACAUGCAUACAAUCAAUGCUUUCCACUGUAACUUCAUCCUGAUGACGAAGGGAUUCUGCCGUGCCUCCAACACCUGUCCACAUCAGCAUUCAUCAUCCGGCAAAGAACCAUCGUUCGCCCUAUAUGAAGGCAAAUUUGACAAAUUUAACCUAUAAACGAAAUCAAAUCACAGAAUGAACUAUCCGUGAAACUAUUUCACGCGGCUGACCUUUUUGUGUGACGUUCGACACGAAGCCGCCACACUACACUGUGCAACGCCUUACAGAUAGGCGCUACACGGCCAGCGUCGCACCCGUGUGAUUAAAAAAUUACUAAGUCAGUGUGCAGCGCCUAGCUCCCAGGCGUUGCACUAGUGCAGCGCCUGAGAGCUAGGCGCCACGGGUCAGCCGCGUGAAAUAGUUUCAUGGACAGUUCAUUCUGUGAUUUGAUUUCGUCUAUAGGUCAAAUUUGUCAAAUUUGCCUCAUAUAAAACGGUGAGAUGGAUGGAUGCGGAUUUUGCUCAGGCAAGCAUGCAUGUUCGUUCAGGCAAGAGAAGACAAGGCAGCGUCCACAUGUUUUACUCCCUCCUUAAAUUAAUAUAAGAACGUUUAGAGUUCUAAAAUAAUGAUCUAAACGCUUUUAUAUUAAUUUACAGAGGGAGUACAAGUCAAACAGGAGCCUCCACGGUUCAUUCGUGUGCGCUGAGCACCAAGUGCACAUGCGCAUUGCUACGCUGCUGCAACUCUUCAGAGGUGUGCCACGCAGAACAGCGAGCUGUGCAGCAACAUGAGACGUCACAUGGGUAGGCUCUUGUCACGUUGUUGCAUCUCCUCUUCUGUCUCUUGAUUAUUUGGCUCAUUGUGCGACCCGUACGACUCCAUUCUCGUCUUUGAUAACAGAAGCAAAUGUAGGUGAUGAUGUUGUCCUUGGAUGGAUGGAUCAUAGUGUGCACCGGAAGACUCACAUGAUCACACAUCGAGAAAACCGAACGAAGCAUGCUAACAAAAACAAAAGGAUGGGCUAAAUUAACGAACUAUACUGAAUAAUUCUCACUUCAAUUGACACCAGUAUUUCCUAGUCUAGAGAAAUGAAUAUAAGGUUUAUAUUUAACAAUGAAAAGUCAUGACAACAAUGAAUAAUUGAUUCAUUACAUGGAGAACUUCAUGAUCAGUAUUAUGAUGAGCAUUUUUAGGAACAUUUUCUUUGACAGUUUCGAGAGGGGCGAUGGAGGGUUAGGAGCAUCUACAACACUUGAAGUUUUCUUGCGGUGAUAAGACCUUGUCCAUUCUUCUUGUGUUCCUAGAUGGACUGAUGUAUCAUCCAACCAGCCUUUUUCAGUUUCCCACCCUUUAACGUACUCUUGAAAAAAAAAAGUUUCCCACCCUCGGGAUGCACUCACAUAGACCACCAUGAUCUUUUACGAACGACUUGCUUUGCUUCAAUUAUAACAACCUUCCAAGUACUUGUCUUGAGCCAAAAGAUGUAACGGCGACGGGGGGAGGAGAUAGAUCGAAGGGCGGUUGGGGGGGGGGGGACUGUUGCCCCCCUCCACCCAGUGGCGUAGCUAGGAUUUUAUGCCAGGGUGGUCCAAUUGAUAGGUAUUUUUUUUACACCACAAUGACUGGAGGAUACUUUGGUACCGCAGCAAUACAAAAAGAUUGGCAAAUCAGGGGUCAAAGAACUGAGAAUAGUCAAGGCAGGGGAAGAGAAGCAAGAGUUCAGAGAUCCACGGGGAAGAAGAGAAGCAAUGUAGUGUGACUAUGGCCCUGUGGGUGGAGCCGUAGAGAAGCAGAUGGGGAGAAGGGGUAGCAGAUGAGGAGGAGAAAAGAGGAGAUUUACCAGAGUGGCGGGGGUGGUGAGGCUCUGGAAGAUGACUUAGCGACGCGGUGACUUCACCGGGCUGCGCCAGAGGAGAUGAGGCCGCCGACGCAGAACUGAGCCGUGGAAGGUGGUGCUCAAGCUGCAACUGCCGGCCACCGCCCAAAGCUCUGCUCUCAAUCGUUUAGUAUGGUUUGCACCCCUCUCCUCUGUACCCUCUUAUAUUUCUGAAAUGGUAACUAGCCCCCAAAAAAAUCACUGUGUUUUUGGACUGAAGAAUUUUCCUCUUAUCCUGGUGGUUGGAACUUUGCAUAAAUAGUGCAUACCAAUAUAUCGCAUAAAAUUUAUCAAAACACACAUCAAUAACUCUUACAAAGCAUAUAAAAAUUCACAGUUGAAUUUCUAAAUUUGCAUAAGAUAAUACCACACUUUAUUUGUCGGGAUAACGCCUUCUCAAUUAGUGACGGAGCUACAAGCAGAAUUAUGGGCGGGCCAGAUUGAACCUGGGCUACAGCUGGGCUGGUGCUACUGACCUGUGUUGCAGUACGUGGGCUGGGCAUACCUACAUAAUUGUAUUUUUUACAGAAAACAUGGGCGGGCAACGGCCUGGUUUGGCCCUAACGUAGCCCCGCCAGUGUUCUCAAUGCCAUGAAAGUAUCGAUUAUAUCAUCAUCACUUUGGAGAAAGCAUCUCGCUCAAUGUAUGUGACUAUGACAAUCAAACAACAGACUAUCAACCAUCUUAUUUCUUGGCUUGCUCUUGACCAAACUCAUUGCAGAAAAUGCUCUUUCAACACUUGCGGUGGUAGCAGCAACACCAAUUUGAGAAGCAAGUACACCAAAUUAUAAACUAUAUGCCUCUUUGCUUGAAGAAGAUUAAUUGAGAGAUCAACAAGAGAGUUUCUUGGCCUCUCUAUUUUGCAACAAUUCCAAAAUAAAAAGAAGUUUGAUAUGUAAAUUAUCUGUUUGAUUGAAUACAUAAUAAUCGUUAAUCAAUCAGCUCGAUACAUAAAUUCUGAGUUCCAAUUUGCAGUCAGAGUAAACUUGUUUAAAUCGUGAAGGCAAAUUAUACCUUGAAUAAAAAAGGAUGGAGAUCAUACUUCUAAUCGGAAGAGAUGAGAAGUCAGUCAGCUCCUGGCGGUCCUGCCUCGGUCACUCGGUCUAAGAGCAACUCCAGCCGCGCCCCCAACAGGCCCUCCCCAGGCGUUUUUGCCGCGCCGGCGCCGAAAAAUCGGCCCAGUCGCGCCCCCGGGGCCCUUUUUCGCCAGUUUGGGCCGAAACUGGCGCCGGCGGACCCAGGCCGAACCCGGCGUGCUGGGGGCGCACCAGGGCGCCGGGGCGAGCGGUUUUGGCGCGAAAGAGCCACGGGCAAGCCGCGUCAGCGACACGACGCCUUGUCUUCCCCCAGAGCACCUCGGUUUCCCGCGGGGAAUCAAUGGCAAGGCUGCCGCCGGUCAACCUUGCCAUUGAUUCCUCACGGGCGGCGCGGCGACGCCUCCCCUCCCGCCACGCGUACACACGGCGCGGGCUAUAAAACCCGCCGCUCCCCCUCGCCGCUGGCCACACCAGCCCGAGCCCAAACCAGCCGCCGCCGAGCUCUGCUCUCUCCCGUCUCCGUCGCGCCGAGCUCUGCUAUCUCCCCCGUCCUCCCCUUCCCUAUCUUCCGAGCGAUGGCCGAACGUUUCCCCGGUGACACUCCAGGAAGGCGAGGCGUGGCUCCUGUUCGAGGCCAACAUCCCGGCGCCGCCGGACAUGCGCGCCGGGCCGACGGGGUGGAGGCUCAGCAACGGCGGCGUCACCAUCCCCCCAGUGCCCGACGUCGACGCGUGCCCCGGUAUCUUCACCGUCGAGGUCGACUGCGUGCGGUCGACCCUAACGGAGGAGCAACGCGCCCUCCCCCAGUACGCCGCCGACAAAUACGCGGUGUGUACGGACUACUUCCAGCGGCAGCAGGCGCAGUGGCUGGCGUCCACGAACGGGGCGCCGGUGGUGGGCGGCCUCAAGAACAGCGACGGCCGCCGCGUCUGGUGGGGCGUCCCCGGCCGCACACUGCACGAGGUGAUGGAGUACCUCGAGGGCGGCAAUAACCCGCCGCUGGCAUACCCUGCCGCGGCGGCCGUCCCGCCCACCCCCACCCCCCGCGCCGGAGCGCCGGGCCGUGGGUGCCUAGGAGGUUCGGCUCCUCCUCCUCUUCCUCCUGCUCCCUCUCCCCCUCGGCCGGCGCACUCGCAGCGCCGGCAUCGUCAUCAACGAGGGCGGCUGGCGCGCCUCCUCCUCGGCUCCUCCGCGCUUCGUCAAGCUAAAGACGGAGCCGGGGCUCGCCGCCGUCAAGCCGGAGCUCGGGCUCCCCGUCGUGAAGACGGAGCCGGGGCUCCCCGUCGUGAAGGAGCCCGGGCUCGCCGGCGACGUCAAGGAGGAGGAUCUCGACGACGAAGCGGCCCUCAAAUGGGUGCGUGACUACUGGGCGCGCACGGAGAUGGAGCGUCAGCGCGCCGCCUACGCGCGGUUUGAAGCUCGGCGCCGUGGCCAGGACGAGGGAGGCGUCGUCGUCCUCGACGACAGCGACGAGGACGACGCGCCGCCACCACCGGUCCGCCAUGGAGCCGCCGGGCAGGGGUCCAGCAGGGGCGGCCGCGCCAUCAAGAAGGAGAAGGCCGCCGCCGCCGAUGACGAGGACGGCAGCGACGUCGGCGACUUCGCCGCACUCAGCGACUUGUUCGCCCCGUAGAUGCCAUUUUUUAAAAUAAUUUAUGUAACGCCGAACAUGUUGAAUAUGAAUGUCAAGUUUGCCAAAUUUAGCCAAACUUUACAGAAUUCAGAUUUUUUAAAAUAAAAAAAACGCGUCUGGGCGACCCUGGGGCGAGCGGCUGGGAACCCGCUCGCCCCCGCACCGAUUUUAGCGCCGGUUCGCCUCCAGGGGCGCAUAAAAUCGCCGCCUGGGGGGCCAACGGCUGGGGAUGCUCUAAUGUAGACAUUGCGCGUCCGUGUUGCUAGCCAGCGAUGCCGGGCGCCGGCGCCUCUAACUUCCUCCUUCGCCAAUCCUCCUCUACCUGACAGCCUCCAGCCGCCGGCCGUGCCUCGCUAGGGUUCGCUGAUAGCCUUGCGCCAGUUCGAGUCGUACAAAAUAUGAAGGAAACGACGACUGGGAGGCUGGGAUAGAAUACGAAGCGAACGAGGAAACCCAGGCGGUAGCGAUCGAUCGACUGACGUCCUUAUAUUUUGGGCUUGGGCCUUGGCCGCUGCAGACUAGUUAAUUUUUUAAUUAAUAUAUAUAUAUAUAAUGAAGUAAUGGGCCGAAUUACAGGGCCCCACCAGGCGCAGCGGCUGGCGUCCACGAACGGGGCGCCGGUGGUGGGCGGCCUCAAGAACAGCGACGGCCGCCACGUCUGGUGGGGCGUCCCCGGCCGCACACUGCACGAGGUGAUGGAGUACCUCGAGGGCGGCAAUAACCGGCCGCUGGCAUACCCUGCCGCGGCGGCCGUNNNNNNNNNNNNNNNNNNNNNNNNNNNNNNNNNNNNNNNNNNNNNNNNNNNNNNNNNNNNNNNNNNNNNNNNNNNNNNNNNNNNNNNNNNNNNNNNNNNNNNNNNNNNNNNNNNNNNNNNNNNNNNNNNNNNNNNNNNNNNNNNNNNNNNNNNNNNNNNNNNNNNNNNNNNNNNNNNNNNNNNNNNNNNNNNNNNNNNNNNNNNNNNNNNNNNNNNNNNNNNNNNNNNNNNNNNNNNNNNNNNNNNNNNNNNNNNNNNNNNNNNNNNNNNNNNNNNNNNNNNNNNNNNNNNNNNNNNNNNNNNNNNNNNNNNNNNNNNNNNNNNNNNNNNNNNNNNNNNNNNNNNNNNNNNNNNNNNNNNNNNNNNNNNNNNNNNNNNNNNNNNNNNNNNNNNNCUCCUCCUCCUCUUCCUCCUCCUCCCGCUCCCCCUCGGCCAGCGCACCCGCAGUGCCGGCAUCGUCAUCAACGAGGGCGGCCGGCGGGCCUCCUCCUCGGCUCCUCCGCGCUUCGUCAAGCCAAAGACGGAGCCGGGGCUUGCCGCCGUCAAGCAAGAGCAGGGGCUCCCCGUCGUGAAGACGGAGCCCGGGCUCGCCGGCGACGUCAAGGAGGAGGAUCUCGAUGACGAAGCGGCCCUCAAAUGGGUGCGUGACUACUGGGCGCGCACGGAGAUGGAGGGUCAGCGUGCCGCCUACGCGCGGUUUGAAGCUCGGCGCCUGGCCAGGACGAGGGAGGCGUCGUCGUCCACGACGACAGCGACGACGAGGACGCGCCGCCACCACCGGUCCGCCAUGGAGCCGCCGGGCAGGGGUCCAGCAGGGGCGGCCGCGCCAUCAAGAAGGAGAAGGCCGCCGCCGCCGCCGACGAGGACGGCAGCGACGUCGGCGACUUCGCCGCACUCAGCGACUUGUUCGCCCCGUAGAUGCCACUUUUUUAAAUAAUUUAUGUAACACCGAACAUGUUGAAUAUGAAUGUCAAGUUUACCAAAUUUAGCCAAACUUUACCGAAUUCAAGUUUUUUAAAAUAAAAAAAACGCGUCUGGGCGACCCUGGGGCGAGCGGCUGGGAACCCGCUCGCCUCCGCGCCGAUUUUAGCGCCGGUUCGCCUCCAGGGGGCGCAUAAAAUCGCCGCCUGGGGGGCCAACGGCUGGGGAUGCUCUAAUGUAGACAUUGCGCGUCCGUGUUGCUAGCCGGCGAUGCCGGGCGCUGGCGCCUCUAACUUCCUCCUUCGCCAAUCCUCCUUUACCUGACAGCCUCCAGCCGCCGGCCGUGCCUCGCUAGGGUUCGCUGAUAGCCUUGCGCCAGUUCGAGUCGUACAAAAUAUGAAGGAAACGACGACUGGGAGGCUGGGAUAGAAUACGAAGCGAACAAGGAAACCCAGGCGGUAGCGAUCGAUCGACUGACGUCCUUAUAUUUUGGGCUUGGGCCUUGGCCGCCGCAGACUAGUUGAUUUUUUAAUUCAUAUAUAUAUAUAUAUAUAUAUAUAUAAUGAAGUAAUGGGCCGAAUUACAGGGCCCCACCAGGCGCAGCGGCUGGCGUCCACGAACGGGGCGCCGGUGGUGGGCGGCCUCAAGAACAGCGACGGCCGCCGCGUCUGGUGGGGCGUCCCCGGCCGCACACUGCACGAGGUGAUGGAGUACCUCGAGGGCGGCAAUAACCAGCCGCUGGCAUNNNNNNNNNNNNNNNNNNNNNNNNNNNNNNNNNNNNNNNNNNNNNNNNNNNNNNNNNNNNNNNNNNNNNNNNNNNNNNNNNNNNNNNNNNNNNNNNNNNNNNNNNNNNNNNNNNNNNNNNNNNNNNNNNNNNNNNNNNNNNNNNNNNNNNNNNNNNNNNNNNNNNNNNNNNNNNNNNNNNNNNNNNNNNNNNNNNNNNNNNNNNNNNNNNNNNNNNNNNNNNNNNNNNNNNNNNNNNNNNNNNNGCUCCCCCUCGGCCAGCGCACCCGCAGUGCCGGCAUCGUCAUCAAUGAGGGCGGCCGGCGCGCCUCCUCCUCGGCUCCUCCGCGCUUCGUCAAGCCAAAGACGGAGCCGGGGCUCGCCGCCGCCAAGCCGGAGCCGGGGCUUGCCGCCGUCAAGCAAGAGCCGGGGCUCCCCGUUGUGAAGACGGAGUCCGGGCUCGCCGGCGACGUCAAGGAGGAGGAUCUCGAUGACGAAGCGGCCCUCAAAUGGGUGCGUGACUACUGGGCGCGCACGGAGAUGGAGGGUCAGCGCGCCGCCUACGCGCGGUUUGAAGCUCGGCGCCUGGCCAGGACGAUGGAGGCUUCGUCGUCCUCGACGACAGCGACGACGAGGACGCGCCGCCACCACCGGUCCGCCAUGGAGCCGCCGGGCAGGGGUCCAGCAGGGGCGGCCGCGCCAUCAAGAAGGAGAAGGCCGCCGCCGCCGCCGACGAGGACGGCAGCGACGUCGGCGACUUUGCCGCACUCAGCGACUUGUUCGCCCCGUAGAUGCCACUUUUUUAAAUAAUUGAUGUAACACCGAACAUGUUGAAUAUGAAUGUCAAGUUUACUAAAUUUAGCCAAACUUUACCGAAUUCAGGUUUUUUAAAAUAAAAAAAACGUGUCUGGGGCGACCCUGGGGCGAGCGGCUGGGAACCCGCUCGCCCCCGCACCGAUUUUAGCGCCGGCUCGCCUCAGGGGGCGCAUAAAAUCGCCGCCUGGGGGCCAACGGCUGGGGAUGCUCUAAUGUAGACACUGCGCGUCCUUGUUGCUAGCCGGCGAUGCCGGGCGCCGGCGCCUCUAACUUCCUCCUUCGCCACUCCUCCUCUACCUGACAGCCUCCAGCCGCCGGCUGUGCCUCGCUAGGGUUCGCUGAUAGCCUUGCACCAGUUCGAGUCGUACAAAAUAUGAAGGAAACGACGACUGGGAGGCUGUGAUAGAAUACGAAGCGAACGAGGAAAGCCAGGCGGUAGCAAUCGAUCGACUGACGUCCUUAUAUUUUGGGCUUGGGCCUUGGCCGCUGCAGACUAGUUGAUUUUUUAAUUCACAUAUAUAUAAUGAAGUAAUGGGCCGAAUUACAGGGUGNNNNNNNNNNNNNNNNNNNNNNNNNNNNNNNNNNNNNNNNNNNNNNNNNNNNNNNNNNNNNNNNNNNNNNNNNNNNNNNNNNNNNNNNNNNNNNNNNNNNNNNNNNNNNNNNNNNNNNNNNNNNNNNNNNNNNNNNNNNNNNNNNNNNNNNNNNNNNNNNNNNNNNNNNNNNNNNNNNNNNNNNNNNNNNNNNNNNNNNNNNNNNNNNNNNNNNNNNNNNNNNNCUUUCUGGAUUCAUGCAUAUAAAAGAUCUCUAAUGUAAAACUUAUGAUUGAAAUUAAUUGUUGGGAGCAUAUGCAGUAUGCCCUCAUGUACUGAUUUUGAAUUAGUUGGUUACUACUAUCUCCUUUUCGGUUUAUAAGGCGCAUAUAUUUAGGUAGACAUAGACCAACGUAAUACAAAAUAUCUAUCACAAAAAACAUAUCAUUAGAAAGUUUAAAUCAUAUACUUUCUAAUGGUAUCAUAAUUUUUAAACUAUGCAACUUAUCUUAUUGGUCAAAUUAUAGAUCUAGGGAUACACGCAAGUCUUAUAAACCGGAAAGGAGGUAGUAGCAAACUUGCCGCCAAUAAAUUACUCCUGGUUGCUGAUAUAAGUGUCGUAUGCACAAGAUUAUAUGUAUAGGUAUUAGAUUAAAUGAUCUUUUUUCCCUUUAUAAUUGCUGUUUGGAAUGUAGUGAUUUCAGACAGUGUGGCAACCAAUUGACUCGGCACUCUUGAGUUGAGGGUUCAGAGCAACUCCAACGUGCCGAACUAUUUCGUCCGCGCGUGUUCGUGUGGGUCGAAACGGACACAAAAGUCGGCUAACGAGCCGACCCAAACGGACGCGUGGGCGACCCAUUCCAGGCUCAAAUUUGGGCCUCGUUUGUUUCUGCGCGGACACGGAACGAACACGGGGGACGCCCGCUUACUCCCUUACCUGGCCCGCCAGUCGGUGGCACAUAGGCCAUUCUCUUCCUCGCACUGACAGCCAACAAGCCCCGGCGCACCACCCCGGUCGCCGCCGCUGCCCAGCCCAGGCCAGCCGCCCGCACAGUCGUCCCUCCCCCUGCAACACGCCACCUACCAACGUCGCCGCCACCACCACCCCAUCGCCGCAGCUUCCCCGACAUCGCCGCCAGCACCACCUCAACCCCACCCAUGCCUGAAGCGGACAAAGCGUGGCGACCAUGCUCGCCGGACGCCGACAGGGCUUGCCACCAGGUCCAGGGGAGGCGUGAGGCUCUUCGACGGCCAACUUCUUCGACGACGCCCGCGCUAUUCGUCAGUUUGCCCGCAAGGUACAAAUGGACUCCAGCGACGAGUUCUUUUUCCACAAUUUCCUUUGCGACCCAGAUGAUUCCUCGUCCGACGAUGAGGAGCUUGUGGCUGUUGUGUUGGUCAUCCAUGACCACCUUAGUAGGCAGCGGCCGAUGUUCCGGUGCUCGAUCCCGGGACACACUCCGGCGUUGAAUUGCAACCGAGAGAGCGGCCAUUUCCUUCUUUGGAAGGACUACUUCGAGACCCCACCCCGUUGUUCAAACACCACCUAUUCUGGCACCGUUUCCGUAUGGCUAGAUAUGUGUUCAACUGUAUCCAGGAGGGGGUUGUGGGGUACGAUUAUUAUUUGAGUGCAAGGAGGAUGACCUGGGAAAGAUUGACUUCUCCUCUUAUCAAAACUGCACUACGGCUAUUUGGAUGCUUGCAUACAAAGUUUCCGGUGAUCUCAUCGAAAAGUAUGUCUGUAUGAGCGAGUCCACGUGCCUAGAGUCCAUGUACAAGUUUUGCAAGGUUGUGAUAGUAGUGUUUGGCCUUGAGUACUUGAGAGAUCCAAAUGCUGCAGAUACAACCUGGUUGUUGGCGAUGAAUGCCAGCAGGGGCUUUUCGGGGAUGCUUGGUAGUAUAGAUUGUAUGCACUGAGAGUGGAAGAACCGCCCUUCUGCUUGGCACGGGCAUUAUAGGGGCCAUGUCGAAGCUUGCACCGUCGUACUCGAGGUCGUGGCUUCACAAGUUCUCUGGAUUUGACACUUUUUCUUCGGCAUGGCCGGAUCACACAACGAUAUCAACGUGCUUCUACGCUCUCUGUUGUUUGCAAGGCUUGCAGUAGGCAACUGCCCGAAGGUUGAUGUUGACAUCAAUGGCCACAACUACAACUAAGGAUAAUACCUAGCUGACGGUAACUAUCCCCAGUGGACUACUCUUGUGAAGACAAUCCCCAACCCUGUAGGAGAGAAGAGGAAUAGAUUUGCUCAAGAACAAGAGAGUGCUAGGAAGGAUGUGGAUCGUGCCUUUGGUGUUCUGCAAUCUCGCUGGGGCAUCGUUCGAUAUCCUGCUAGAACUUGAAGCACCAAGAAGUUGUGGGAGAUGAUGACUGCUUGUGUAAUCAUACACAAUAUGGUCGUAGAGGAUGAGUGCCCGGAACGUAUCUAUGACCAAGAGUUUCAGUUUCAGGGUGACAAUGUUGUGCCUGAGCAGAGGAGUGGCAAUGUUUGCAUAGUUCAUCCAAUUUCAUUAUCAAAUGUGUGAUUGAGAAACUCACAUGCAACUCCAAAUAUUUGGUUGAGUAUAUGUUGGCUCACGUUAGUAACCAAUAGAUGUAUAUUUUUUCAAAUGAAUUUGAGACAAAUUAAUUUUUAUUUGGCUUUGUAAACUAUGAUAUAUUUGUUUGGUUGUGAAACUCUAUAAGAUGUUUGUAUUUCUUUUGAAUUAUUAUUAUUUACGCUAAAGGCGACGGCCGGCGAGGUUGAUUAGGCCCAGCCAGGGUGGCGGCGAGGCUGGCGGAGAAGAAGGAGAAGAAGGAGCAGGCGAUGGAGAUGUGGGUCCAGACGUCGAGUAAGUUCCCGCCGGCGAUGACUGCCACCAUGUAGACGACUCUGCAGAGAAGGUAGGUAUUGGUGGCGGCGACGACGAGCGCGCUGGCGACGAGGCACCGGCCCAUAAAUGCGAGGGAGCCCCCCGCGAGGACCACGACGGCCGCCGCGGCGGUCAUCGCCUGUGCGACCCCGAGGAGCACCAGGGUGAGCGCCCCCGAGCGCAGGCGCAGCGCCUCCGCCUCCGUUGCCGCGUCCGUCUGCGACUGCAUGCAUGGGUAACCAUCCAGCAAAUUAGUAGGAGUACGUACGAUACCGAUAGUAGGUGCCAGCGAAGGGAGAUAGAUGCCGGAGUUGUGGAGUUACCUGGAAGUCUGCCGGGUUGCUGGUGGCGGCAACAAGCCCGAUCACGGCCAUCACCAAGCCCAGGACGAAGCAGGCCUUCGCCACCAUGAGCACUUGCCUCAGCGCAGGUUGAUCGCCACCGGCCAUUGGUCCCUCUUCCUCUUCCUCUUCUUGAGCAGGCAGUGCUAUCCUGAUGGAGCUAGCUAGCUAUCUCUCACGGUCACGGGUCAAGGCUGCGAGGGACGGGAGAUUCGGCCGCGGCCGGGCCGGCUUUAUAAGGAAAGCACGACAUCAAGUGAAAUGAUGAACGGCUGGCGAGACGUAGGCGUGGGCAAAGGAGAGCUCGACACGUAUAUACGUACCAUCGAUCUUUGGCAGUGCCCAGCCCGACUUCUUUGCAAUUGCAAGUUUGCAACUGCAAAUGCAUGUGCAUGUGCAUAUCGUCCUGUGACGCCGUUCGCCGAGCGUUUCACACUUUUAAUUUGCUUCCAGAGGAUGGCAUCAAUUCUUGCACCCGAACGGAGGGGAGUGGCAUGCAUGGGCCAUGGCCACGUAAGCAAGCAUCGUAGUGCUACAUAGUGAUAGUAGCAGUUGGCCGGCCUUUAAAGGAUUGAUGCAUGCAUCCAUCGACGAUGGAGACUUAAGCUAGGUGGCUGGACCGGCCGGACCUCACGCUCCUCUCCACUUCGUUUGUGGUGGAAGUUAGGUUUAUCUGUCCACACAGUUUGAUUCCAGUGCAUGGCCUUUUUUUUACUGGCAAAUGUACGUACAAACUCACAAAACAAAACAAUGGCAUAGAUAGUUACUCCCAACAGUUAUACAGCUCUCAAGGCACAUAGCAGUUGAUAAUCUCAAGAACUGAUUGUUCUAUUACUAAUUAACUCACUUCACUAGAUAUCCGUCAAAACAGUUAACUCACAACAAUUUUUUCUGCGAAUAACUCACAACAUAUCCCUCAAAAAAGUUAACUCACAACAUAUCCACUACCAAGUGCAUACAUGGCUAGCUGGAAGUAAUUCACAAACAGAGUUCCCAAGAGUACUGUAGCCUGCUCAAAAAAGAGUGUUUUAGCUACAUGCAGCAACUUACUACUUGUUCAAUAGCAGUUAGGAGAUAGAAAUACAGCUUAAUUAGCAUUGUUAAAGCAUCUCUAGCAUAUCCCCUUAAAGUGUAUCAAUGGGUAUGUUAGUAUGCAAAAACAAGACUAACAGAAAGUUCAAAUUUUGGUAAAAAAACAGUCCACUUUUUUUCGAUAAAGAGCAUUUCAUUUCAUUGACAUAUCGAGGUGAUACAAUCGUUUCAUAGAAAGCCCGGCCUCUGCAUAACUAGAUGCACACAGCCAACAUGUCCAGUCCUACUUAAAAGCAAACAUAAUAGGCUGACACAGCUAGCACAUUAAAAAGGAAAGCAAAGCCAGCCUACGAUGUGGCUGAUCCUAACCGAAGGUCACACCGCCAUCCAUGGGGGUAGAAAACCUCCCUGGCCGAACGCUCCAGCCGAGUAGACGCCAUCAUAAAAAGGUCUUUGUCCUCCGGCCUCUGCAGGAUGGACCACGUACGGAGCCAUCGCGAACAUAUAUGAAUAACCUGCAUAGGAGAUGGAACGCAUUUAUGGUUAAAAACUAUAUCAUUCCUGGUGAGCCACAGCGCCCAACAUAAGGCGGCUGCCCCCACAAGGAUGUGAGCAGAAAAUUGUUUAUCUAUUCCCCACAACCAAUUGCCAAACAUAUUCCGUGCACUACGUGGGGGGGGGGGGGUAAAGAUUCAACGCUAUCUGAACAAUGGCCCAAACCGACUGUGCAAACUUGCACUCGAAAAAUAAGUGUUUAAUGGACUCAUCAUGAUGACAGAAAACACAUUUUUUGCAACCUUGCCAGUUGCGUCUUGCCAAGUUAUCCCUAGUUAAAAUCACCCCUUUGUUAAGAAAUCAUAGGAAUAUCUUCACUUUUAGAGGGAUUUUUAGCUUCCACAAUUUCCUGUUAUCAAUCGGAACCUUGUUAUGGACCAAUGCAUCAUACAUGGAUUUUACUGAAAACUUGCCAUUCCGAUGCAAUUUCCAUCUAAAAAUGUCUGGCUCAUCCGACAGCUGUACGACCUCCAAACGGAUGAGCAGUUCAUUCCAGGCUGUCAGACGAGGUCCAAGAAGGUCCCUACGAAAAGAAAUGUCGGGAUUUGCCUGACACAAAACUUGUUUAAUCGUGACAAACUUAUGUCUAACAAUCCUAUACAAGCUUGGGUAUUGAACGCUAAGCGGAUUAGACCCCAGCCAGGUAUCUUCCCAAAACCAUACUUGGGAACCAUCCCGGACCGAGAACGAACCAAAUUGAAAAAAGAAAUCUUUAGCUUUCAUCACCCCACUCCAAAAAUGAGAAUCACCUGGUUUCCAGUAUACCUGAGAUAUUGCUUUGGAUCCCACAUAUUUAUUAGGAAUGAUUUCCUGCCAAACGCCCUCCUCAGUGAGUAGUUUGUACACCCAUUUGCUGAGAAGAGCGAUGUUUUUAAUCUCUAGGUCCUGGAUUCCAAGACCCCCUUGGCUUUUAGGUCGACAUAAUACAUUCCACCUAGCCAGACGGUAUUUCUUGGUUUUAUUAUCGCUCUGCCAAAAGAACCUUGAUCUAAAAUAAUCUAGGCGUUGCAUCACUCCUUUUGGAAGAUGAAAGAAGGAUAACAUGUAUAGAACCAUAUUAGUGAGGACCGAAUUGAUCAAAAUUAGUCGACCCCCGUAGGACAGGAGCUUGGCCUUCCAACUUGCCAAGCGUUUAUCCAGUCUCUCUUCUACAUGCUUCCAUUCGGCUAUAGUCAGGCGGCGAUAAUGAAUGGGAAUACCCAGGUAACGGAUCGAAAAUUGUCCAAGUUGACAGCCAAAGAUCUCAGCAUAAGCAGCUGCUUCUUCUGCGGCUUCACCAAAACAGAAGAGUUCGCUCUUAUGAAAGUUGAUCUUGAGACCAGAGAGUUCCUCAAAAGCACAUAACUGUAAUUUGAGGUUUUUGUUUUUUUCUAAAUCAUGAUCCAAGAACAGAAUUGUAUCAUCUGCAUAUUGUAGAAUAGAUAAGCUUCCUUCUACCAAAUGAGGUAUGACACCAGUGACUUGUCCCGCCAGCUUAGCCCUCUCAACAAGGGUAGCUAACAUAUCAGCCACGAUAUUAAACAAAAUUGGGGAAGCGGGGUCACCUUGGCGAAGCCCCUUCCUAGUCUGAAAGUAAGUGCCCACAUCGUCAUUUACCUUGAUGGCCACACUACCUCCAGACACAAAACUCUCUAUCCAUCGACACCAUGUACUGCGUAAUGUUUGCAAUAGAAAAGGCCAUUUCACUUUAUCAUAAGCUUUUUCGAAGUCGAUUUUAAUAAUUACUCUGUCUAGCUUUUUGUGGUGAAGCUCAUGUACCGUUUCAUGCAGAACAACAACACCAUCCAAUAUAUUACGUCCUUGCAUAAACGCUGUUUGGGUAGGUUUGACCACAUGGUCAGCCACCCCAUUCAGCCGGUUAGUGGCUACUUUUGUAAAGAUUUUUAAGCUUACAUUAAGAAGGCAAAUCGGUCUAUAUUGUUGAAUCCGACUGGCAUCUUUAGUCUUAGGUAGAAGAAUGAUUUCCCCAAAGUUUAAGCGGGAGAUGUCAAGUUGGUGCGCAUGCAGUUCAUUAAACAACUGAACCAAGUCCAACUUAAUCAGUUCCCAAAAGCAUUGAUAGAACUCCGCCAGAAAACCGUCCGGUCCCGGCGAUUUAUUGUGUUCCAUCUAAAACACCGCCGCACGAAUUUCCUCCUCCGAGAAUGGAGAGGUUAGGAAUUCGUUUUCCGCAGCAGAAACUUGAUGGAUAUCUUAAGUAAAAGACUCAUCCAUCAGAAGAGUUGUAUGAGCUGAAGGUCCAAAAAGAUCUUUAUAAUAAUUCGUAAUAAAGUUUUUAAGCUGUGCAUCCCGCUCGAUCCGACCCUCCUCCUGUUCUAGAGCGAAGAUACGUUUCUUCCUAUGUCUGCCAUUGGCCAACAUUUGAAGUAAUUCGUAUUAUCAUCCCCUAGGACUACAAGAGAGUCCGUCUUGCAACGCUGGUACCAUUUGAUUUCCUUUUCGCGCAAAAGACGGGCAAUCUGCUCAUUAAAAUGACUUUUUUGGUCAAUCUCCGUGGGAGUCAGAAGCCUCACCUCCGCGAUUUUAUCUAGAGUAUCAAUUAAUGUAGAAAGUCGCAACUUUUCUUUCUUAUAGAUUCCAGCAGUGUGUUUAGCCCAACCACGAAGGAAUCGGUGCAGAGCGCGAAUACGAUUGUUCCAUCGUUCAAUUGGCGUAUUACCACGAGGUUGACGUUGCCACACUUUUUUAACCAGCUCAUGAAAACCCUCUCUAGUGAGCUAUCCCAGUUCAAAUUUGAAUUGGUGAAAAUUCCAACUAGGAGCGGCCAAACCAAAAUCAGCAAGCAAAGGCGCAUGAUCCGAUAAGGAGAAAAAAUGUCACUUAGGGAAAAAGGGUAUUUCGCAGAUCCCUAAACCCAAAGAGAGAAUUCUUUAUUUAUCUUUUUUUUCCUUAUCUAACACAAAGUUCAAUUUUUGUUCCUUUUCGCUACUUACGUCCAUUUUGAUUACUAAGGAUGAUAAAUGACACCUGAAAAGACGACUUUAUCUCAGAUGCAACUUGUGACCAGGAUUAAUGUGAUGAACGGCUGACGACUGGCGAGAUGUAUGCGUAGGCAAAGGAAAGCACGGCACGUAUAUACGUACCAUCAAUCUUUGGCGGUGCCCAACUUGUCUGCAAUUGCAUGUGCAUAUCCUCCGUGACCGUGAACGCGGAGAUGCGUGGGGCCAUGAGCUAGUGCCAUGUGCUGAUGUGAAGGAACAUGAAUUACUCGAGAGAGGCACACAUGCAUCAUAUACAAUUUCUAAAGAGAAGAAUGUGUAACUGGCCUAGUAAAAUCUUAGUUGUAAAAGAGAUACUGUAGGUGGCAUGCAUGGGUCGGCAUGUUGCACACAGCCAUAAUCAGAGGGUGCAUGCGUGACGCCGUUCGCCGAGCAUUCCAGAGGAUGGCAUAUCAAUUCUUGCACCCGAACUGAGUGGCAUGCACGGGAUCAUGGCCACGUACAAAAGCAAAGCAUUCGUAGUGCUUACUACACAGUGUGGCUGUGGAAGGCCCUUAAAGGAUGCGUGCAUCAAGGACGAUGGAGACGUGAGGUUGGCCGCGUGCGUCGACGUCGUGCCUUGCCUGACCAUUGUGCCAUUUGAGUCGAUAUAGCUGGGCUCGACGGUGAGCGUACGUCCGUGAUGGAUGCUUACCGGAAACGGGAACCAGCCGAGCCAUCAUCACUAGUGACGCGUAUGAUACGUGUCGACUGAGUGAGAAACGGGCAGCUGGACGCGGUGGAGACGACGUGCUUGCAUUGUCUGCACUACCAACGGGCAGCUGCUGCUAUGACCGGCCGGCCGGCCGGACCUCACGCUCUUCUCCACUUCAGUUUGUGGUAGUAGAAGGUUAGCUGUAAUAGUUUGAUGGCAUGUUUUGUCUGAACAACGUCAUUUCGGUGCAUGACCCUUUUUUUUACUGGGAAAGGUGUACAAACUCAGAAGCAAAACAAUGGCAUAUAUAGUUACUCCCAACAGUUAUGCAGCUCUGAAUGCACAUAGCAGUUGAUAGCCUCAAGAACUGUUCUACCGCUAAUUAACUCACAACACAUCCCUCAAAAAAGUUCACUCGCAACAUAUAUCCAAUACCAAGUGCACGCAUGCAUGGCUAGAUGGAAAUAAUUCACAAACAUAGUUCCAAAGAGUACCGUACUACCUACCUGCACGCUGCAUUGUGUUGAUUGAUGGAAUUGCUCAGCCCACUCGUUGAUGGAAUUGCUCACAUCAAGUACUGAAGAAGCAGAAUACAAAGCAUUAGCGAAUGCAGCAGCAGAGAUCAUUUGGGUCAAAUCCAUGCUAAAGGAACUUGGAAUACAUCACACACAAACUGCAUGUCUUUGGUGUGACAAUCUUGGUGUUGCUUUACUUGUCUACAAAUCAUGUCUUUCAUGCGAGAAACAAGCACAUUGAAAUUGAUUAUCACUUUGUUAGAGAAAGGGCUGCUAGCAAGGGGCUAGAAUUUCGGUCUGUGCAUUCCAAAGGUCAAGUUGCUGAUGGAUUCACAAAGGCAUUGCCUACAAGAUCAUUUGAAGAAUUUUGGCAUAAUCUUAACUUAGAAAAGUUAUGAUUAAGGGAGAAUGUUAAACAAGUAUAUGGUUAGCGGCACUAACCAUGACUUAUGCGCUACACAUUGAUAGGAUAGAGAUAGAUUUCCUACGGUUUAAACUUGUUGUUUAUCUCUAUCUCUUCCUCUCGUAAACCUCUUUUGGUGGCUAACCGAAACUUGUUGUACUCCACGUCAAUAUCAAUAGAUAUACAUGGCUUAGGGAGUAGGAACGCUUCAACCUAACUUAACAGGGAGAACAAGUGGAUUAACCCGUUUAAUUUUUGUUUUUUUAUCAAUCCUCUAGUUCUUUGGGCUCGUUUUGAAUUUUUUGAGGAUUUUGUGGCCUCAUUAACAGAAAAAGGUGAGGCGGGACAAACAGAGGACAGAGCGGCAUACGUUACAAAGCCACACUUUUGUUUUGAACCUUCCAACUUGUAGUUGAAUGAAAAUCAAUUGGGCUUCAAUUGAUUUUCAUCCAACUGUCAAAUAGACAGUCGCUAAUUUAGUGUUUAAUGUUUUAUAGUGAGGGGAAGAAUUUACAUCGAAGCUAAAUAAUGUUCUCUAUACUCUGUAUUGCUAAUGAAGCGGGGAGCCAGAGAAUCAUGUCAGAUACACUAGUAGAAAAAGGGUCAUCUGUCCCGGUUGAUAAGGGCCUUUUGUCCCGGUUGUUGAACCGGGACUAAAGGGUCGUUACUAAUGCCCUAGCCCUUUAGUCCCGGUUCUUACACGAACCAGGACAGAUGGGCCUCCACGUGGCCGCUGCGGCCAGCCCAGGUAGGAGGGCCUUUGGUCCCGGUUGGUGACACCAACCGAGACCAAAAGGCAUCCACGCGUCAGUAUUUCAGUGGCUGGGGUUUUUGUUUUUUUGAAAGGGGGGAGGGUUUAGGGGGUAAUUUAGGGUGUGUAAGCUAGCUAACAGAGAGAACUGUCCUCUUUUAUUUCCGUGCUUGAUUUACCAACGCUACUGCUAUGCCUAAACAUGGCUUAGAUUAAAGUGAAGGCAACAUGUGGUGCAUGUCGAAAGUAAUAUUAAUCCUAACUUGAUCAUGUUUGGAUUAGUACUACUUUUGACAUGCACCACAUGCUUGUUGCCUUCACUUCAUUCCAAUCCAUGUUCAUUUCACCCACUGAUAUAUAAUAACUCUUCAUGCCCGCAUCAUGCAUUAUCAUAAUAACAAGUCCUACUAAUCAUCAUCAUACAACUUCUACUCGUUAUUAAUAACAAGUAAUACGAUCAUCAUCCUCAUAGUCAUCGAACCAACCCUACUUAAUUGUUCUUAGCACAUGAUCAUCAGUAUUAGGUAGGACCUAAAUACCCUCUUUAAGGUAAGAUAGCAUAAAACAAUAUAGACCCCGACUCUCCAUUAUGGAGAAUGGAGAUCAUCCUGUCUCCAAUUUUUGCGCUUCGCUUCCUUUUGCUUCCAAGAACCUCCUUGCGAUUGUCCAUACAUUUUUUCCAUUCUUUGAUUUUCAUGUCUCCACUUCUUUUAGAAAUCCGGUAUGGAUAGUUGAGAUUCGUAGGAUGACCUGGUUGUAUGUUCAAAACAUCAAGGCUACCAUUCUGAUACAUCAAAUGAGGCACACAAUCCUCCGGGAUUAUCUAUUGAAAAACAUAGUAAUAACUUCAUAGUUAGCAAUGAUGUACUAGUUUUAGAAGUAUGCAAAAGAUGCACGGAUGUCGUAAUAGUAAGAAAUCUUACCAGGGUAUCUCCAUAGUAGUUACCGUAGUUCAACAUGUGCACUAGUGGCACGUAUUGACCAUAAUGUGGAGGAGUUUUACAAUAGAUAUUGUAAUUCUCAAGAUCAAUACAAAAUCCGACCAGAUGAGUUUUCUCCUUAUAAGUUAACUCAGAGCCAUCGGUGUAGUAGGUUCUGUCUACCAUGUUCCGCACAUUGUUUGAACAAUCAAAAUAAGCUGUCAAUGAAAAUAAGUUGUCAACUAUUUUGAAAUGAACAAUAUAAAUUAGCUAAUAACUAUGUAUGAGAAACUCACAUAGCGGUAGAAUUGGAGGCGUAUCAACAAGGACCCAAAUGUCCAUAUUGUCUUGCUCGAUGUCAGGAUCACCAAGAUCCAUGGUGACAAGCAUACCCUCAUCAAAACCAUACAUCUUGCAAAAUGCUUCCCAAUUUUUGCAACCAAAAUGGGUUACGCUCUCAGAAUUAUACAGAUUUACUUCGAAAUCUAUAUCAUGAUGGGUCCUUAGGUGAAUUUUCUUUGUUUCCAUACUUUCAUGGUCUUCAAAACCUAUCCUCUCCAAGACGUAGCGUCUUGCAUGGCAUGGGAUAAGCUAGUCGAAUUGUAAAAGAUGAAAAGUACACGUUGAAAUAGUUGAAGUUGCGCUUAAUUACGAAAAAAUAACACUUGUCGUCGUUGCGUACCGUUUCAACAUCGAAGGUCUCCUCCAGCUUAAUACUGAAGCGCCGAUCUUUGUCCAGGUGAGGCCUGUCGCACAGACCUCGGUCGUCGUGGCACCAGUCGCACUCCCCCGGGAGACUUUCAUCGUCCGAGUACGACAUUUCCUAUGUUCAUAAUUCAAAUAUUAAACAUCUACAAUUAAAUAUAUGUACUAAAAAACCUAAGUUAGAUCAUUAUUAUUCAUCACGGGUUGACUAUCGGUUUGUCGAGUCUUUUCUUGAAAACUCUCAGCUCACGUGGUGUAUACAUUCGACCGUUGGUGAUUGUCGCUCCUCCUUUCAUCCCCGAGUGCAUUACACCAAAAUGUCUAGCAGACGGGAAUGAAGGAGAACCGACCCCCACGACAACACUCGGGAUUCUUCGUCCUCUCAUAUAUAUAUAUGGUGGAACUCUCCCUCACUGAUUCCUCUCAGACAUUUGCGACCGUCGGUGAUGGUAGCUCCUUCCUUUCGUUCCCGAGUGCAUUACACCAAAUUGUCUAGCACACGGGAACGAAGGAGAAGCUACCCCCACGACAACAGUCGGGAUUCUUCGUCCUCUCAUAUAUGGUGGAGACUCAAUAGACUUAAAGUCGACCCGAAAUAUCGUUUAAUUAUCUUUCUAAAACCGGUUCGUGGCUGGUCUCACCACGAGGUCGGAGGGGGUCGGUGACGGGGACGACGGCGGGGAUGAUGGAGGGGGGCUCCUAGAUUUCUGCGAAAACAAAAACCCUAUAAGCUAUCAACUAAUCAUAUGCAUACGCCUUGCAUAGUGCUCUCCAAUUUUAGCAUUCAAAGUAGGAGUAGUUUUCCAAUUUGAGCAUUCAAUAAGCAAAAUCAAAUCACAAAAUAAAGUAGUAUUCCAAUUAGGAUGCAUUCAAUUAUAAGCAAAACUACAUCAUCUCCAUGCAUCCGUACAUAGUCGAAUAUUAUCACUAAUACACCUCGAAUACUUUCAUACAUAUAUCAUCGAUAGUACAGCUAGAACCGUAGCGCCCGACGAGUAUCGGCGCGGGCGGUGGAUACCCAAAGAGAAUAAACCAUCACAGGAUCAUAGCUCCAGUGAGAUCCCUGAAGAACCUGGCAGGUAUUGUCGAACCUGCACUCCAACGCAACCAUGUAGCGACGGACGUGCUCGUCCUCCUCGCUGACACGGUGACGUACCACCUCCGCGGUGUCCGGAAGCCUCGGCACCAUCACUGGCCCACGCGACCGCCACCAAACAAGGAUCGGGUCAAUGAAGGGCUGGCUCCUCACCAACCUACGCCCCCGGAAGGUAGCACCUUCCAAAACCAGCCCGGUAGAGCCCAGUCCCGGACAUGGCCCCUCUGAUCAAGCUGGCCUCCUCCGCCGAGUCGACGACGAGGAUGCGGGAUUGGCAUCGUCGACGUCGAUGCGGGAAUAAUUGCUUUAACUAAAAAAAUAAACUAGUUCUAUUAAAUUUCUUGCUAAAAAUAAACUACUUCUAUAGUAAAAUAAACUAGUUUUAUUAAAUGAACUAAUUCAACUACUAAGCACUUACUAUAAAUAGAAUAAAGUAGUACUUACUAAAAAUAAACUAGUUUAACUAGUUCUAUUAUUUUUCUAACUAAUUCUAUUAAACACUUUCUCUUCUUAUUCUAUGAACAAAAUUACAACAGAAAAAAAUCAUAAAAAUUCUAUGAACAAGAUAAAAAUUCUAUGAACAAAAUUACAACAGAAAAAAAUUAUAAAAAUUCUAUGAAAAAUUGACAUAUUCUUCGCAUAUAUAUGAACACACAAACAUUUGCAUAUUCAACAAUAAUAUCACAAAAAAAUCUAUGAACAGAAAAAAAUUCUAACUUUUGCAUAUUCAUUUUUGAACAAAUUACAACAACUCAAUUAACUACACAUCUAAACUACACAUCUAAAUUAGGAAAAUUCAUAUGAGCUCACUAAGGGGGCAGCGAUCGACGAGGAGGCAGGGCACGGGGGCGACGGUGAGGGGCGCGGCCACGGGCGAUGAGGAGGCAGGGGGCGGCGAUGGCGACGGUGAGGGGCACGGCGACGGGCGACGAGGAGGCAGGGGGCGGAGGUGAGGGUCGCGGCGACGGGCGACGAGGAGGCAGGGGGCGCGGGGCGACGACGGCGUCUGGGCGGCGCGGGACGGCGUCGGAGGCAGGGGCGAUGACGGCGACGACGAGGCGCAGAGGGGCAGCCUGGUGGCGUCGCCGGGGCGGGGAAGACGAACUGAAUGAAAAAUUUCACAAGUGCUAGUUAUAUAGACGAAGCAUUGGUCCCGGUUCGUGACAGCAACCGGGACGAAUGCGACCUUUAGUCCCGGUUGGUGCCACCAACCGGGAACAAAGGCCUCUUUUCAGCAGCCCAAAGGGCGGGAAGCGGCGGCCUUUGGUCCCGGUUGGUGUCACCAACCGGGACUAAAGGGGGGCAUUGGUACCGGUUAGUGCCACGAACCGGUACCAAUGCACACCUUUAGUCUCGGUUGGUGCCACCAACCGGGACCAAAGGCCUUGUGCUGCUGCGCCCGCAUCGAAAGUUUAGUCCCACCUCGCUAGUUGAGAGACGCGCGCAGUGGUUUAUAAGCCCCACUGCCGCACCCCUCUCGAGCACCUCUUCAUUGCAGGCUUACGGGCCUAAUUGUCACUGCUAUGCCUGAUGGGCUUACUCGGCCUUCUGCGGGACUGAAUCCUGGCCCAUCGAUGGGUUUCUAGUCGUAUUCAGGCCGUGGUGGCCCAGUAGGUGGCAUAUUUUUUAUUUUUUGCCUGUUUUUUUGUUUUCUUUUUUCUUUAUUUAUUUUGUUUUGUUUCCACUUACAACAAAAAACUUAUUUAUUUUAUUUUAUUUUGUUUCUAAUUACUUAUUUAUUUUACUUUAUGAUAAUUCUUUUUGCUAUUAAAGUUUCUAACAAAAAAAGUUCUUUAUGAAAAUUCUUUUUGCUUUUAAUGAUUUUGAACAGAAAAUACUUCGAUAAUUUUAGUUGCAUCAAUUUUAUAUAAUUUUAGUUUCAAUAAUACUAGAGGUUUCUUAUAAUGNNNNNNNNNNNNNNNNNNNNNNNNNNNNNNNNNNNNNNNNNNNNNNNNNNNNNNNNNNNNNNNNNNNNNNNNNNNNNNNNNNNNNNNNNNNNNNNNNNNNNNNNNNNNNNNNNNNNNNNNNNNNNNNNNNNNNNNNNNNNNNNNNNNNNNNNNNNNNNNNNNNNNNNNNNNNNNNNNNNNNNNNNNNNNNNNNNNNNNNNNNNNNNNNNNNNNNNNNNAAAAAAAGUUCUUUAUGAAAAUUCUUUUUGCUUUUAAUGAUUUUGAACAGAAAAUACUUCGAUAAUUUUAGUUGCAUCAAUUUUAUAUAAUUUUAGUUUCAAUAAUACUAGAGGUUUCUAAUAAUGUUUUGAACAGAAAAUAUUUUGUUAAUUUUAGUUUCAUAAAUUUUAUUAAAGUUUAUUUUAUUUUGUUUGUACUUAUAUAUUUUAUAAAGUUUAUAUUAUUUUGUUUCUAAUUACUUAUUUAUUUUAUUUGUUAUUUUCCAUGCAACAUUUUUCAUGCAUUUACUGAUUAUUUUGAGCUAUAAGAUCCUAAAAUUGAAAAGCAUUUCAAAUGAACUCUGAAAAGGUUGAAAGUUGGCAUGGUAUCAUCAUUUCAUCCACAUAGCAUGUGCAAGAAAGUUGAGAGGGUUACGGCAAAAACUGGAUGCACUUCGUGUACAAAAUGGACAAUCUCUUUCAAAGUAUCAGGAUUUCAUACGGAAACUCGUCUGUUACAAAGGGAUUUCAUUUUUUAAAACUUAUUUGAACUCCUGACUUUUAGUGUGUUCAAAAUGCACCAUUCAAAGCCACAUCAUCAUUUUUCAAUCCUUUCUGACUUCAUUUGUUAUUUUUCAUGCAUUUACUAAUUAUUUUGAGCUAUAAGACCCUAAAAUUGAAAAGCAUUUCAAAUGAACCUGAAAUUGAAAAACCCUACAAAUGAACUCUGAAAAGGUUGAAAGUUGGCAUGGUAUCAUCAUUUCACCCACAUAGCAUGUGCUAAAAAGUUGAGAGGGUACCGGAAAAAGCUGGAUGCACUUCGUGAACAAAAUGGACAAUCUCUUUCGAAGUACCAGGGUUCCGGAGAAAAACUCAUUUGUUACAAAGGGAUUUCAUUUUCUUGAACUUAUUUGAACUCCAGACUUUUUGUGUGUUCAAAAUGCACCAUUCAAAGCCACAUCAUCAAUUUUCAACCCUUUCUGACUUCAUUUGUUAUUUUUCAUGCAGUGACGGAUUGUUUUGAGCUAAAUGACCCUGAAAUUGAAAAGCCCUACAAAUGAGCUCUAAAAAGGUUGAAAGUUGGCAUGGUAUCAUCAUUUCACCCACAUAGCGUGUGCUAAAAAGUUGAGAGGGUUACGGCAAAAGCUGGAUGCACUUCGUGAACAAAAUGGACAAUCUCUUUCGAAGUAUCAGGGUUUCGGACGAAAACUCAUCUGUUACAAAGGCAUUUCAUUUUUCUUGAACUUAUUUGAACUCCAGACUUUUUGUGUGUUCAAAAUCAACCAUUCAAAGCAGAGACUGAUUUUGAAUGGUGCAUAUUCAACACACAAAAAGUCUGUAAAGAUCGCCAACCCGAACAUAAAAAAAUGAGCAUAGAUGCGCCUAUAGAGAGAAUUCAACCUAAAUUCAUAAUAAAUUUCUAUGAAUUUCAAAGAAAUUUACUCUGAAUUUAGGUCAAAUUCCCUGUAUAAGGGCAUCUAUUUUCACUUUGAGAGGAGCUCAACAAGGCAGAGAGGGACGGGCUUAUAAACCGGUGUGAGCGCCCUUCGGUUGGCGAGGUGGGACUGAACUCUGACCGCAACGAGGACCAACCCUUUAGUCCCGGUUUGUGGCACAAACCGGGACUAAUGGUCAUGGGCCAGGGGCGAGGCGCAUUGUUCUCAGUUCAUGCGUGGAACCGGGACCAAAAGGACCAGCCGAACUUGGACCAAUGGCCCACGUGGCCCGGCCGGCCCCCUGGGCUCACGAACCGGGACAGUUGCCUCCUUUGGUCCCAGUUCGUGAGCGAAUCGGGAUUAAUGGUAUUACGAGGGCCGAACCAAUGCCCUGUUUUCUACUAGUGAUAGUAGCAACGAACUAGAGAAUGAUGUCAGAUAUUAGUAGCGAAUGACUUGAUCUCUGAGUAAUAGCCAAAGAUUAUCACUGGGCACAACACAGGUAGCAAGGGCGCUUGCCCUUUGCUGCUCUCUUCCCGCGUCCCUCUGCUACCUCUUGAGCAUGCGUUGGUUUUCCCUUGAAGAGGAAAGGGUGAUGCAACAAAGUAGCGUAAGUAUUUCCCUCAGUUUUUGAGAACCAAGGUAUCAAUCCAGCAGGAGACUACACACAAGUCGCCUCGUACCUACACAAACAAAUAAGAAUGUUGCAACCAACGCGAUAAAGGGGCUGUCAAUCCCUUCACGACCAGUUGCAAAAGUGAGAUUUGAUAGACAUAAUAAGAUAAAUAUUUUUGGUAUUUUUAUGAUAUAGAUUGAAAGUAAAGAUUGCAAAGUAAAAAUAGAUUGGAAACUGAUAUGAUGGAAAAUAGACCCGGGGGCCAUAGGUUUCACUAGUGGCUUCUCUCAAGAUAGCAUAAGUAUUACGGUGGGUGAACAAAUUACUGUCGAGCAAUUGAUAGAAAAGUGCAUAGUUAUGAGAAUAUCUAGGCAUGAUCAUGUAUAUAGGCAUCACGUCCGCGACAAGUAGACCGAAACAAUUAUGCAUCUACUACUAUUACUCCACACAUCGACCGCUAUCCAGCAUGCAUCUAGAGUAUUAAGUUCAUAAGAACAGAGUAACGCAUUAGGCAAGAUGACAUGAUGUAGAGGGAUAAACUCAAGCAAUAUGAUAUAAACCCCAUCUUUUUAUCCUCGAUGGCAACAAUACAAUACAUGCCUUGCUUCCCCUGCUGUCACUUGGAAAGGACACCGCAAGAUUGAACCCAAAGCUAAGCACAUCUCCCAUUGCAAGAAAGAUGAAUCUAGUAGGCCAAACCAAACUGAUAACUCGAAGAGACUUGCAAAGAUAACCAAUCAUACAUAAAAGAAUUCAGAGAAGAUUCAAAUAUUGUUCAUAGAUAAACUUGAUCAUAAACCCACAAUUCAUCGGAUCUCGACAAACACACCGCAAAAAGAAUUACAUCGAAUAGAUAUCCAAGAGAAUCGAGGAGAACUUUGUAUUGAGAUCCAAAGAGAGAGAAGAAGCCAUCUAGCUAAUAACUAUGGGCCCGAAGGUCUGUGGUAAAUUACUCACACAUCAUCGGAGAGGCUAUGGUGUUAUGUAGAAGCCCUCCGUGAUCGAUCCCCCCUCCGGCGGAGCGCCGGAAAAGGCCCCAAGAUGGGAUCUCAUGGGUACAGAAGGUUGCGGCGGUGGAAAUAGGGUUUCGUGGUGCUCCUGGAUGUUUUCGGGGUAUAUGGGUAUAUAUAGGAGGAAGAAGUAGGUCGGUGGAGCUGUGAGGGGCUCACGAGGGUGGGGGCGCACCCAGGGGGCAGGCGCGCAUCCCUGCCUCGUGGCCUCCUCACUUCUUUCUUGACGUCCACUCCAAGUCUCCUAGAUCAUGUUUGUUCCAAAAAUCACUCUCCCGAAGGUUUCAUUCCGUUUGGAUUCCGUUUGAUAUUCCUUUUCUGUGGAACACUGAAAUAGGAAAAAAAAACAACAAUUUGCACUGGGCCUUCGGUUAAUAGAUUAGUCCCAAAAAUAAUAUAAAAGUGUAUAAUAAAGCCCAUUAAACAUCCAAAACAGAUAAUAUAAUAGCAUGGAACAAUCAAAAAUUAUAGAUACGUUGGAGACGUAUCAAGCAUCCCCAAGCUUAAUUCCCGCUCGUCCUCGAGUAGGUAAAUGAUAAAAAACAGAAUUUUUGAUGUGGAAUGCUACCUAGCAUAAUUUUCUAAGUAAUUCUCGUUAUUGUGGCAUGAAUGUUCAGAUCCGAAAGAUUCAAGAUAAAAGUUUAAUGUUGACAUAAAAAUAAUAAUACUUCAAGCAUACUAACUAAGCAAUUAUGUCUUCUCAAAAUAACAUGGCCAAAGAAAGUUCAUCCCUACAAAAUCAUAUAGUUUGGUCAUGCUCCAUUUUCGUCACACAAGAAUGCUCUCAUCAUGCACAACCCCGAUGACAAGCCAAGCAAUUGUUUCAUACGUUAGUAAUCUCAAACUUUUUUCAACUUUCACGCAAUACAUGAGCGUGAGCCAUGGAUAUAGCACUAUAGGUGGAAUAGAGUAUGAUGAUAGGGGUUAUGUGGAGAAGACAAAAAAGGAGAAAGUCUCACAUUGACGCGGCUAAUCAACGGGCUAGGGAGAUGCCUAUCAAUUGAUGUCAAUGCAAGGAGUAGGGAUUGCCAUGCAACGGAUGCACUAGAGCUAUAAAUGUAUGAAAGCUCAACAAAAGAAACUAAGUGGGUGUGCAUCCAACUUGCUUGCUCAUGAAGACCUAGGGCAUUUGAGGAAGCCCAUUGUUGGAAUAUACAAACCAAGUUCUAUAAUGAAAAAUUCCCACUAGUCUAUGAAAGUGACAAAACAAGAGACUCUCUAUCAUAAAGAUCAUGGUGCUACUUUGAAGCACAAGUGUGGAAAAAAAGGAUAGUAGCAUUGUCCCUUUUUAUUUCUUUUCUUUUUUCUCUUUUUUUGGGCCUUUCUUUUUUUGGCCUUUCUUUUUUUAUUUGGGACAAUGCUCUAUUAAUGAUGAUCAUCACACUUCUAUUUAUUUACAACUCAAUGAUUACAACUCGAUACUAGAACAAAGUAUGACUCUAUAUGAACGCCUCCGGCGGUGUACCGGGAUGGGCAAUGAAUCAAGAGUGACAUGUAUGAUAAAUUAUGCAUGGUGGCUUUGCCACAAAUACGAUGUCAACUACAUGAUCAUGCAAGGCAAUAUGACAAUGAUGAAUCGUGUCAUAAUAAAUGAAACGGUGGAAAGUUGCAUGGCAAUAUAUCUCGGAAUGGCUAUGGAAAUGCCAUACUAGGUAGGUAUGGUGGUUGUUUUGAGGAAGAUAUAAGGAGGUUUAUGUGUGAUAGAGCGUAUCAUAUCACGGGGUUUGGAUGCACCGGUGAAGUUUGCACCAACUCUCAAGGUGAGAAAGGGAAAUGCACCGUACCGAAGAGGCUAGCAAUGAUGGAAAGGUGAGAGUGCGUAUAAUCCAUGGACUCAACAUUAGUCAUAAAGAACUCACAUACUUAUUGCAAAAAUAUACAAGUCAUCAAAAACCAAGCAUUACGCGCAUGCUCCUAGGGGGAUAGAUUGGUAGGAAAAGACCAUCGCUCGUCCACGACCGCCACUCAUAAGGAUGACAAUCAAAGAACACCUCAUGCUUCAAAUUUGUUACACAGCGGUUACGAUAAGUGCAUGCUCACUACUAGGAAAAGGCUAAUUAGUGACGCGCCUGUUUUGGCCAUUAAUGGCGCACUACAGGUGCGCCACUAUCAUCACACCACUAGUAACUAGUACUAAUGGCGCACCCCUGGUGCGCCAUUAGUAUACCAGAUAAUAGUGGCGCACCUGGAAGUGCGCCAUUAGUAUGUCAAACGGUGCGCCAUUACUAUGCCUCCCAGGGGGCCAUAUUUACCUUGUGCUCUGGGUUACUAAUGGCACACUUCUAGUAAAUGCGCCACUAGUGUGUUUAUUGCAGUGCGCCACUAAAGUGUAGUAUGAUGCGCCACUAGUAUGAAUAUUAGGAUUUUUUUUUCUUUUCUGAUAUUUGCACAGGUUACAAAAUAUAUUACUGCACAGACUAUAGACAGCACAACAUAUCAGCAGAUUUAUCGAAUACAAUAGAAGAUUAGUCUUCGAAUACAAUUCAUCAUAUUAGUCUCUGAGUUCAAAAUGCCGAACAAAGUUAGAACAUUACAAGUCUCGAGACUGCGAGUAGCGAGUUUGUCUUCACAUUACAAGUCGAUAUCGAUCAUCUAAACUAUCAUCACAUAGAAGAGAGCUGCGGUCAUCAUGAUGAGCAUCAUCACGAUGAAACUGGUCUUCAUCCGGUUCCUCCUCCGCUCCCUCCUCUCUCCCGCUAGAUAGCGCGCGUAUCUAGCUUUCGCCUCCGCCCUAGUGGUGUACCCUUUGUAACUGUUACCGCUGAAACGAUGAACCUGUCUCCAACACUCCUCCCAGUCGUCGUAGACCCCGGGAACCUUACCCUUGUACACGACACACGACGACAUCUCUAUGCACUAGACAAACAAAACGUUAGUAGCAAUUCAUAGACAAUACAUAAGCAAUAUAUAAGUAUGCAACAAAAGGAUCGGAAGAGAAAAGCAACACAUUAAUAGCACGAUUCAUGGUCCUACUAAUAAAUAGCAUCGAUUACAUAUAAGUUGAACGACUGUCCAAACCAAAGAGACAUACAAGUUCAUUAAAGUUUAAUUACAACAUGAGCUAAUCGAUAUUUCAGAACUACAUAGCAUCACUACUUUCGACUCGACUCAGGGACCGGAGUGUGGAUGAAGCCGCCGUCUUUCGUGAUGGUCAUGAAUGUGCGUUCGUUGUCAGCCUGCAUUUGUAGCGUUGUUUCUCUUUCACUGUUGGACGGUUGAUAUUUGAGGUAGAACUGCCCUGAGGUACGAAGGAGAUCUUGAUGGAUGAUUUCCGCAGACUCCGACUGGAUGCGGAAGAAUUCUUGUCUGAGGUCCGCGUCCUGGAUUGCCGACAAGCGUGCGGCCCAAUCUUUGAGACUAUUUGGCAGCAGAAGGUGAUUAUGGUCCCGUACGAUCGCCCGCAUGUGAUGGAGGGCGUAGUAGGCAUCCUUCUGACCACCAGGCGGCUGCUUGACGCAGGGGAACAUCGUUACGUGGGUGAACACGUGCUUGCCAUACCUAAAAAUUGGCCUCUUGAAGGUGCCUCCAGAUUUGGCGUAGCCAGGGAGAACAUUAUCAAGAACUUUCUUGAUAUUUGUGUAGUCUUUCUUCGACUGACGAUCCGAGUGAAAAUACGUGGCCAUGGAAUAGUUCGGGCUUAAGAGGAUGAGUGUGCAAUGUGUCUCACUUCACAAAACACGGAAUGUUAGAAAAAAAGAAUGAUAAAAAUCUAAGAAAUCAUAUGUUACGGGGCGGUGAGGGGAUGACUUACUCGGGAAAGUAAGGCACGAGGAAGUUAUCCUUAUCUGGGUUCGCCAGAAUGACGCCUUCGAGGUAUGAACUCGCGACUUGCCGGUCCCCAGCGCUGCCCAAGAUCUUGGCACGCAUGUAGAAGGGGUCGACUAUCACGAUGUCUGGGGUCUUGUCUCUAAUGAUCCGCAUCUCCAUACUCAGCGAAAAUAGCCGAAUGAAGGUGUAGUGCAGCGGAUGAAGGUUAAAAAUAGCGAAGAUGUCAUCAAACCGCAGGACGAUCAUACCCCCGAUGGUGCUAUCCACAAAGCCCUUGCCCUCUGGCACCUUGGCCACGAAAACCGGGUAUGCCACAUCAUUCUCGGAGAGACGCCGCUUCUCCAAAGAAAGAACACUGUCAUGCAGACUCCGCAUAGCACCGGUUGCAGCAUUGAGCAGAUUAGUCGGUAGCAUCGGCCUACCCGCCAGAUGCACCCUCCUCGAGAUAUCCUUAGGUGAAGGUGGCCCCUCCUGAGCACGAAUUGUACUCGAUGCCGGCUGGCUCGCACCCUUGUUAUUCUUUCUUUUCCGUCCCUUCUUCUUCUGCUGUAAUGGGAUCGAGUUCUGCUCAGAGACCGCCUUCUUGAGUGUGUUGGGGCUGAUAAUAGUUCGCACCUCGGCUAUCUGAGGCUCGGUGAAGGCGGCAGCUGGAGGUGUCUCCUGAGAACUGAACGUCAGACGACGCCUGUUGCAAUUGGGUUUCUCCGUGGUACCAGCUAGAUCGCGAUCGUCUUUUGCAGGGUUGGGUUCUUGAGAAGAGGCCCCAAGAAUUCGUCACCGUACCCAUGUUCGUUGAAGUACUUAUCAACGUUGGUAAAUGUACCGUCGCCGUCGUCCGGAUCCUGUGCCAUAUCCAUGUCCGGAUCCUAUGCCAUAUGCAUGUCCGGCAUGUCCGGUAGCGUUGCGGCAGUCUUGCCAUGGCUUGGCGCCGGCACGACUGGCGGUGUUGUCUGUGGGGUGGUGUCCCCCGCCCCCAAACGAAUCUGGCUCUUCGGCCAAAGCAGGGGCCAGCUUAAGCACGCGCUGAGGGUCAUCACAUCAUCUUCGUCGGCCCCAGGGGGUCGAAACGGAGGUAACAAGUCGUCGCAGGCCCGUAGCACCCGACCCAGUUGAACCCUAUACACGGUGGCUGGCAUCAGAUUACCGUGGAACACGCGGCUGCCCGGUUGAACGAUUCUGGCCUUGGCGACAUGGAUCAACUCGCCGUCCAUGAAGUGCAGGAGAAUGCAUGGAACAUCGACGGCGCCCUGCGAAAACAUGUAGGGCAUCAGGGAUGCCCAGUCAAAGGCAAGGAGAUGAAGUCAUCGGCCGAGAGGCUUAAUUAGUUACCGUGAUGGCGUCAAGCUCGGCUAAUGUUGAGGCACCGCCAACGGCGGGCGUGCAAGUGACGGAGGGGCCGCUUGCUGCCGAGGUGCCGGCCGACGUAUUCUUCCCACACCCGGGUGCAUUAAGCUCCAAUGUCGGCGCCGACACCGGAGACACCAAUGCCGCCUCCGCCGGAGACACCAAUGGCGCCGUCGGCGCGUUGCACGAGUUGCUGCCCGUGAAGCUGGGAAUCGGGGGCAGCCCCUGUUGGCCGCCCGCCAUCCAUGCCUGGAGCCCCUCAAUCAAGGUAGGCACAAUGGCGGUGAUCGUCGCUCCUAGUUGGUCUCGCACUUGCUCUUCGACUAUCUCCGGAAUCCGUGCCACUUGUGCCUUGAGUUCUUGAACCUCGCGCUCCUGGCUUUCCGAGCUGGUCUUUCUUUCCUUUCGCCCAGCGGUAUAGUAUUCCGACCAUUUCGUGGACAAGCCUUUACCGGCCAUAUGACCAGCUGACGACGGCUUACUAAGCUUAUCCUUGUUUUUCAUUACGUUCAACGCCCUAUUUAAAGUGGUGUCUCAAGGGGAGCUCUUAGACGACCCCGCGCUACUGCUUUCAGUGUCCUGCGGAAGGAACGUGAACCAUUUAGAAAUUUGGCUACAUUAAUUAGAAUGCAACCAUAUGGAGCUAAUUACGCGGGGGUGUAUUCCUUACCAGAACAAGCUCAAGCGCCUUGGUCUUCGGAUCUGUGGUAAGCUCCUUGGUUACCGGGUCAAUCUUGUACCGGGCCCUGACAUAGUUCCUGGUCUGCUUGUCACGGUAUUUACCGAAGAGGGGCGGUAGGCCUUGCACGGCACGCUCCGUGUCCUCCUUGUCCCAUAUAGGUUCCGCCACUCUGUAACCGCCGGGACCGAGUUUGUGGACCCCUAAGUUCAAGUCCCGCAUAUCUUUCCCCCACUGACUUGAUUCCGCGGUUGCGUUGCUCUCGCACUUGAUCUUGAACUCUAGGUAGUCGGCUUCGCUGAUCGAAGGAUUUGUCUCCUUGAUCUUCUCAUAACUAUCACCUUUUUCAAUCCUUCUCUUCACCGCUGCUCUCCAAGUAGCCAGGGCCGUGCUCAUCUUCGUGAGGGCGGCACUGUUCACUUUAUUCCCUGAGAGGCGUGUGUUUGCGAAGUCACCGGGGAACUUGUAUUGUUCGUGCAGCUUCGUGAAGAGGAGGUUGCGCAAAUUCCCUCGGUCAUGAUGCCUUAGGUUCUCGGUGUUGAUCGAGACGGUGCUCCAGAGAAUGCACCCAAGCUAUCCCGCGUACCCUUGACUAAUUCUUUGGGCGCCGUUGGAUUCCUCCUUGACGGUGCCGAGCACGUUCGGGCGCCGGUCCUUCCGUUGCCUCUUCGGUUGGCUGUCAUCUGUGCGUGCGCUGCCAUCAUCAGUGCUGGCAUCCUCGGCGGCACCAUCAGUGGUGUCAUCCUCGACGCCACUAGGGGUUGUGUAGUCGGGAUCGGUGUCUUCCGCGGCGUCCUCAUAGCGGUGAGGUUCUUCCUCCAUCUCCUGGGACAUCUCCCAGAAUUGCUUGCCCGAACCGCUGGCCUCAUCGUUGUGGGCCAUAUUUCGCUCUAAAUAGGAAAAAAGUUUGGUCAAAAAGUUGGUUAUUGUCAAGGAACAAGAUCUCUAAGUUGACCAAAUAACCUAAUUCUCGAGGAAUGUCGCCAAAAAGUUGGUUAUUGUCUAGGAACAAUUGAGAGAUGUUUGUGAUAUUGCCUAGGUGUUUUGGGAUGGAACCUGUUAGUGUGUUGUUGCUAAGGUCCAAGUCCCUUCCUAACCCCCUUCUUCUUGUCUCCUCUCACUAUCUCUCACACACACAUGGCAAGCAAGGGUGUCUGAGUGUGUGAAAAAAUACUAAACUAAUCCAAGGGCUGAAAAUUGAUCAUCUGUUUCAAAUUGCAGUUUUCUUUCUUGGGGCUUCGGUGUGCGGUACAAAACUGAAUUUUGGAAAUCUACAGAAUGAACAAGCUAAGGGCUGCAAAUUCCCGGAAGGCUUCAAGGGUGAAGACAUAAUGGCUCAGUGUUAUUUAAGGGUUGGUUUGUGAGGAAUUAUCAUGGUCUCAUCAUUUAGGGUUUGUCGACACCGAGGCAUCCUAAAAGCUAAGCUUUUAUCAUUUAGGGUUUGUCAACGCCGAGGCACCAUAAAAGCCUAAGCUUUCAUCAUUUAGGUUUUUAUCGACACCGAGGCACCCUAAAAGCCAAGGUUUUAUCAUUUAGGGUUUGUCGACGCUGAGGCAUGAUGACCCAAAAAUAUAUGGGAUCUAUCGUAGUCCUUUCGAUAAGUAAGAGUGUCGAACCCAACGGGGAGAAGAAGGAAAUGAUAAGCGGUUUUCAGCAAGGUGUUCUCUGCAAGUACUGAAAUAAGUGGUAACAGAUAAUUCUGUGAUAGGAUAAUUUGUAAGGAGCAACAAGUAACAAAAGUAAAUAAAGUGCAGCAAGGUGGCCCAAUCCUUUUUGUAGCAAAGGACAAGCCUGGACAAACUCUUAUAUAGAGAAAAGCUCUCCCGAGGACACAUGGGAAUUAUCGUCAAGCUAGUUUUCAUCACGUUCAUAUGAUUCGCGUUCGGUACUUUGAUAAUUUGAUAUGUGGGUGGACCGGUGCUUGGGUGUUGUUCUUACUUGAACAAGCAUCCCACUUAUGAUUAACCUCUAUUGCAAGCAUCCGCAACUACAACAAAAGUAUUAAGGUAAACCUAACCAUAGCAUGAAACAUAUGGAUCCAAAUCAGCCCCUUACGAAGCAACGCAUAAACUAGGGCUUAAGCUUCUGUCACUCUAGCAACCCAUCGUCUACUUAUUACUUCCCAAUGCCUUCCCCUAGGCCCAAAUAAUGGUGAAGUGUUAUGUAGUCAACGUUCACAUAACAUCACUAGAGGAUAGACAACAUACAUCUCAUCAAAAUAUCGAACGAAUACGAAAUUCACAUGACUACUAAUAGCAAGACUUCUCCCAUGUUCUCAGGAACAAAUGUAACUACUCACAAAGCAUAUUCAUGUUCAUAAUCAGAGGGGUAUUAAUAUGCAUAUAGGAUCUGAACAUAUGAUCUUCCACCAAAUAAACCAACUAGCAUCAACUACAAGGAGUAAUCAACACUACUAGCAACCUACAGGUACCAAUCCCAGACUAUGAGACAAGAAUUGGAUACAAGAAAUGAACUAGGGUUUUGAGAGGAGAUGGUGCUGGUGAAGAUGUUGAUGGAGAUUGCCCUCUCCUGAUGAGAGGACCGUUGGUGAUGACGAUGGCGAUGAUUCCCCCCUCCCGGAGGAAGUGUCCCUGGCAGAACAGCUCUGCCGGAGCCCUAGAUUGGUUCCGCCAAGGUUCCGCCUCGUGGCGGCGGAGUCUCGUCCCGAAAGGUUGCUUCUGAUUUUUCCCUGGACGAAAGACUUCAUAUAGCAGAAGAUGGCCACCGGAGAGCCAACAGGGGGCCCACGAGGCAGGGGGCGCGCCCUGGGGGGUAGUUCAGAGGCAUUUCUUGACGUCUACUAAUAUUACCAAUUCUUUGACAUUCAUCACAAGAUAAGACAAACUUACGGGCAUCCUUGAAGAGAGUAGGCCAAUAGAAACCGGAUUGCAAUACCUUAUGUGCAGUUCUAUCUCCAGCGUGGUGUCCUCCAUAAGCUUCGGAAUGACACUUGCGUAGGAUCUGUUCCUGUUCAUGCUCAGGUACACAACGUCUAAUGACACCAUCUACUCCUUCUUUAUAAAGGUGUGGGUCAUCCCAAAAGUAAUGUCUCAAAUCAUAGAAAAAUGUUUUCUUUUGCUGGUAUGUGAAACUAGGUGGUAUAAAUUUAGCCACAAUAUAAUUAAGAUAAUCAGCAUACCAUGGAGCAGUACGAGAAGUAUUUAUGACAUUUAAUUGCUCAUCAGGAAAGCUAUCAUCAAUAGGUAGUGGGCCAUCAAGAACAUUUUCUAACCUAGACAAGUUGUCUGCAACUGGGUUCUCGGCUCCUUUUCUAUCAACAGUAUGCAAAUCAAAUUCUUGUAGCAAGAGAACCCAUCUAAUAAGUCUAGGUUUAGCAUCUUUCUUUUCCAUAAGAUAUUUAGUAGCGGCAUGAUCCGUGUGAAUAGUUACUUUAGAAUCAACAAUAUAAUGUGUGAACUUAUCACAAGCAAAUGCGACUGCUAAGAAUUCCUUUUCAGUAGUAGCAUAGUUUCUUUGAGCAUUAUCUAGAGUCUUACUAGCAUAUUGAAUAACAUUUAAUUUCUUAUCAACUCCUUGCCCUAGAACAGCACCUACAGCAUAAUCACUAGCAUCACACAUAAUUUCAAAGGGUAAAUUCCAAUCAGGUGGCUGAACAAUAGGUGCAGAGAUCAAUGCUUUCUUAAGUAUUUCAAAUGCUUCUACACAAUCAUCAUCAAAGACAAAUGGUAUCUUUUUGUAAUAAAUUAGUCAGAGGCCGAGAAAUUUUUGAGAAGCCCUUAAUGAACCUCCUAUAAAACCCGGCAUGACCAAGGAAACUUCUUAUACCUUUGAUGUCCUUGGGACAUGGCAUCUUUUCAAUAGCAUCAACCUUGGCUUUAUCAACCUCAAUACCUCUUUCAGAAACUUUAUGCCCCAAGACAAUACCUUCAUUAACCAUAAAGUGGCACUUUUCCCAAUUCAAGACAAGAUUAGUGUCUUCACAUCUCUGCAAAACUCGAUCAAGGUUGCUCAAGCAAUCAUCAAAAGAUGAUACAUAGACGGAGAAGUCGUCCAUGAAAAUCUCACAAAUCUUUUCACAAAAGUCAGAGAAUAUAGCCAUCAUGCAUCUUUGAAAGGUGGCAGGUGCAUUACAUAAACCAAAAGGCAUACAUCUAUAAGCAGAAGUACCAAAAGGGCAAGUAAAAGUAGUCUUUCAUUGAUCAUUGGCUCACACAGGUAUUUGAGAGAAACCAGAAUAACCAUCUAGAAAGCAAAAAUGUGUAUGUUUGGAUAAUCUUUCUAGCAUUUGAUCGAUAAAAGGUAAGGGGUAAUGAUCUUUCUUAGUAGCCUUAUUUAAUUUGCGGAAAUCAAUUACCAUCCUAUAACCUGUAAUAAUUCUUUGCGGAAUCAAUUCAUCUUUAUCAUUAGGAACGACGAUAAUACCUCCCUUCUUAGGGACACAAUGGACAGGACUUACCCACUGACUAUCAGCAACGGGGUAAAUUAUACCUGCCUCAAGGAGCUUUAGUAUUUCUUUUCUUACCACUUCUUUCAAUUUAGGAUUCUGCCGUCGUUGAUGACCAUGAACUGGUUUGGCAUCUUCUUCCAAAUUUAUUUUAUGUUGUCAUAGAGUGGGACUAAUGCCCUUAAGAUCAUCAAGAGUAUAUCCAAUAGCAGCACGGUGCUUCUUCAGAGUUUUCAAUAAUAUUUCUUCUUCAUGCUCUGAAAGGUUAGCAUUAAUAAUAACAGGAUAUAUCUUCUUUUCAUCAAGAUAAGCAUAUUUAAGAGUAUCAGGCAACGGUUUGAGCUCAAACACGGGAUCACCCUUGGGUGGAGGAGGAUCCCCUAGGAUUUGAACAGGCAAAUUGUGUUUCAGAAUGGGUUAUUGUUUAAAGAAUACUUCAUCUAUUUCCCUUCUUUCAUUCAUAAACAUAUCAUUUUCAUGGUCUAGCAAAUAUUGUUCUAAAGGAUCACUAGGAGGUACGGCAAUAGAAGCAAGACCAAUAAUUUCAUCCUUACUAGGCAAUUCUUCUUCACGGUGUUGUCUACUAAAUUUAGAGAAAUUAAACUCAUGAGCCAUAUCACCCAAGCCUAUAGUAACAACAUCCUUUUUGCAGUCUAUCCUAGCAUUGACGGUGUUCAAGAAGGGUCUACCAAAUAUAAUGGGACAAAAGCUAUCUUGUGGGGAACCAAGAACAAGAAAAUCAGCAGGAUAUUUAGUUUUCCCACACAGGACUUCAACAUCUCUUACAAUUCCCAUUGGUGAAAUAGUAUCUCUAUUAGCAAGUUUAAUUGUGACAUCAAUAUCUUCUAUCUCAAUAGGUGCAAUAUCAUGCAUAAUUUUUUUGUAUAACUCAUAAGGUAUUGCACUAACACUAGCACCCAUAUCACACAAGCCAUGAUAACAAUGAUCUCCUAUUUUAACAGAAAUAACGGGCAUGCCUACCACAGGUCUAUGUUUAUCUUUAGCACAAGGUUUGGCAAUUCUAGCAGUUUCACCGCAUAAAUAAAUAACAUGCCCAUCAAUAUUAUCAGCCAAGAGAUCAUUAACAAUAGCAAUAUUAGGUUCAACUUUAACUUGCUCGGAAGGUGUAUAAGUUCUAAUAUUGCUUUUACGAACCACAGUUGAAGCUUUAACAUGAUCCUUUAUUCUAACAGGGAAAGGUGGUUUCUCAACAUAAGAAGUAGGAACAAUAGGAUCAUUAUAAGUGAUAGUCUUUUCUUCAACUUUAACAGGUGCAGCUACUUUUACUUCUAUGGGAGGAUGAUAUUUAAACCACUUCUCCUUAGGGAGAUCAACAUAAGUAGCAAAAGAAUCACAGAAAGAAGCUACUAGCUCCGAGUCAAGUCCAUAUUUAGUGCUAAAUUUACGGAAAACAUCGGUAUCCAUAAAAGAUUUAACACAAUCAAACUUAGGUGUCAUACAUGACUCCUUACCUUCGUCGAGAUCCCAAUCUUCAGAGUUGCGUUUAAUUCUAUACAAUAAAUUCCAUUUGAAUUCAAUAGUCUUCAUCAUAAAUGAGUCAGCACAAGAAGUAUCGAGCAUGGUGCGAUUGUUAUCAGAAAGCCGAGAAUAAAAACUUUGAAUAAUUAUUUCUCUUGAGAGCUCAUGAUUGGGGCAUGAAUAUAACAUUGAUUUAAGCCUCCCCCAAGCUUGAGCGAUGCUUUCUCCUUCGCGAGGCCAAAAAUUAUAUAUAUACUUGCGAUCACGAUGAACAAGAUGCAUAGGAUAAAAUUUCUGAUGAAAUUCCAAUUUCAAUCGUUUGUAGUUCCAUGAUCCCGUAUCAUCACAUAGCCUAUACCAUGUCGAUGCAUCUCCCUUCAAAGAUAAAGGGAAGACCUUCCUUUUAAUAACAUCACCGGGUACACCUGCAAGCUUAAAUAAUCCACAAACUUCAUCCACAUAUAUUAGGUGCUCAUCAGGAUGCUUUGUUCCAUCUCCUGCAAAAGCAUUAGCUAGCAGUUUUUCUAACAUACCCGAAGGAAUCUCAAAGUGAACAUUUGCAUUCUCAUUUUCAUUUUCAAUAGGUUCAGUAGGUUGAGGAGCAACUCUUUGCUCUACUGGUCGGGGUGAAGAUACCCCAAACAAGCCCCUCAGAGGAUUACUUUCCAUAGUAACAAGCAAUAGUAAAUUUCAGCACACUAUAUAAAUUUUUCCUUACCAAAUUCUACCUACCAAAGGCGCUUCACUCCCCGGCAACGGUGCCAGAAAAGAGUCUUGAUGACCCUCAAGUAUAGGGGAUCUAUCGUAGUCCUUUUGAUAAGUAAGAGUGUCGAACCCAACGAGGAGCAGAAGGAAAUGAUAAGCGGUUUUCAGCAAGGUGUUCUCUGCAAGUACUGAAAUAAGUGGUAACAGAUAGUUUUGUGAUAGGAUAAUUUGUAACGAGCAACAAGUAACAAAAGUAAAUAAAGUGCAGCAAGGUGGCCCAAUCCUUUUUGUAGCAAAGGACAAGCCUGGACAAACUCUUAUAUAGAGAAAAGCGCCCCCGAGGACACAUGGGAAUUAUUUUCAAGCUAGUUUUCAUCACGUUCAUAUGAUUCGUGUUUGGUACUUUGAUAAUUUGAUAUGUGGGUGGACCGGUGCUUGGGUGCUGUUCUUACUUGAACAAGCAUCCCACUUAUGAUUAACCUCUAUUGCAAGCAUCCGCGACUACAACAAAAGUAUUAAGGUAAACCUAACCAUAGCAUGAAACAUAUGGAUCGAAAUAAGCCCCUUACGAAGCAACAGAUAAACUAGGGUUUAACCUUCUGUCACUCUAGCAACCCAUCAUCUACUUAUUACUUCCCAAUGCCUUCCCCUAGGCCCAAAUAAUGGUGAAGUGUUAUGUAGUCGACGUUCACAUAACACCACUAGAGGAUAGACAACAUACAUCUCAUCAAAAUAUCGAACGAAUACCAAAUUCACAUGACUACUAAUAGCAAGACUUCUCCCAUGUUCUCAGGAACAAACGUAACUACUCACAAAGCAUUUUCAUGUUCAUAUUCAGAGGGGUAUUAAUAUGCAUAUAGGAUCUGAACAUAUGAUCUUCCACCAAAUAAACCAACUAGCAUCAACUACAAGGAGUAAUCAACACUACUAGCAACCUACAGGUACCAAUCCCAGACUAUGAGACAAGAAUUGGAUACAAGAGAUGAACUAGGGUUUUGAGAGGAGAUGGUGCUGGUUAAGAUGUUGAUGGAUAUUGCCCUCUCCCGAUGCGAGGAGCGAUGGUGAUGACGAUGGCGAUGAUUUCCCCCUCCCGGAGGGAAGUGUCCUAGAUUGGUUCCGCCAAGGUUCCGCCUCGUGGCAGCGGAGUCUCGUCCCGAAAGGUUGCUUCUGAUUUUUCCCUGGACGAAAGACUUCAUAUAGAAGAAGAUGGCCACCGGAGAGCCAACAGGGGGCCCACGAGGCAGGGGGUGCGCCCUGGGGGGUAGGGCGCCCCCCCACCCUCGUGGACUAUUGGGGAACGUAGUAAUUUCAAAAAAAAUUCUACGCACACGCAAGUUCAUGGUGAUGCAUAGUAACAAGAGGGGAGAGUGUUGUCCACGUACCCUCGUAGACCGAAAGCGGAAGCAUUAGCACAAUGCGGUUGAUGUAGUCGUACGUCUUCACGAUCCGACCGAUCAAGUACCGAACGCACGACGCCUCCAAGUUCAGCACACAUUCAGCCCGAUGACGUCCCUCGAACUCCGAUCCAGCCGAGUGUUGAGGGAGAGUUUCGUCAGCACGACGGCAUGGUGACGAUGAUGAUGUUCUACCGAUGCAGGGCUUCGCCUAAGCACCGCUACAGUAUUAUCGAGCUGGACUAUGGUGGAGGGGGGGAACCGCACACGGCUAAAAGAUCAAACGAUCAAUUGUUGUGUCUCUAGGGUGCCCCCUGCCCCUGUAUAUAAAGGAGCAAGGGGGGAGGUGCGGCCGGCCAGGAGGGGGCGCGCCAGGAGGAGUCCUACUCCCACCAGGAGUAGGACUCCCUCCCUUUUCCUAGUUGGAUUAGGAGUGGAGGGGAAAGAGGAGGGAGAAAGGAAGGAAAGGGGGGGGGGCGCCGCCCCCCUCUCCUUGUCCUAUUCGGACUAGGGGGAGGGGCGCUCGGCCCUGCCCUGGCCGCCUCUCCUCUUUUCCACAAAGGCCCACUAUGGCCCAUUAAGCCCCCGGGGGGUUCCGGUAACACCUCGGUACUCCGGUAAAAUCCCGAUUUCACCCGGAACACUUCCGAUAUCCAAAUAUAGGCUUCCAAUAUAUCAAUCUUCAUGUCUCGACCAUUUCGAGACUCCUCGUUAUGUCCGUGAUCACAUCCGGGACUCCGAACAACCUUCAGUACAUCAAAACAUAUAAACUCAUAAUAUAACUGUCAUCGAAACGUUAAGCGUGCGGACCUACGGGUUCGAGAACUAUGUAGACGUGACCGAGACACGUCUCCGGUCAAUAACCAAUAGCGGAACCUGGAUGCUCAUAUUGGCUCCCACAUAUUCUAUGAAGAUCUUUAUCGGUCAGACCGCAUAACAAUAUACAUUGUUACCUUUGUCAUCGGUAUGUUACUUGCCCGAGAUUCGAUCAUCGGUAUCUCAAUACCUACUUCAAUCUCGUUACCGGCAAGUCUCUUUACUCGUUCCGUAAUACAUCAUCCCACAACUAACUCAUUAGUUGCAAUGCUUGCAAGGCUUAAGUGAUGUGCAUUACCGAGAGGGCCCAGAGAUACCUCUCCGACAAUCGGAGUGACAAAUCCUAAUCUCGAAAUACGCCAACCCAACAAGUACCUUCGGAGAUACCUGUAGAUCCACUACAAAAAAAUACACUUCCGUGAUGAUACGUGUUUGUCACAGUAGGUCGCGUUUUUUGUCAUGCAUGUACAUCCAUGACAAAUUUAUGACAGAAUCAAGAUAGUCAUACUUGUGCUGUCGUAGAAGUGUUCCAUGACAUUACCAAAAUUAUCAUCACGGAAGUGUCCACUUCCAUGACGAUAAAUCGUGCGUCACAGAAGUGCUUUCGUCAAGGCUGACUGACACGUGGCAUCCACCGUAACGGAACGCCGUUAAGCUAUUGGGUCGGGUUUUGGAUCCGAUAACCCGUUAACAGCCCCGACCAAUGGGGAUUUUCCACGUGUAAAAUCAUCAUUGGCUGGAGGAAACACGUGUCGGCUCAUCGUUGGGACAGAUGUCAUCCACUCAUUGGACAGAAGGCGCCUAUGAUACGUCGACACGUGGCACGGCCCAACAGAGGCCCAUUCCUGUGAAAAGGCCAGCCCGUUUGACUUGGUCAAAAGGUGGCAGGCCGGCCCAUGGAAAGCCUGCUAACGGCCUGUUCGCAUAUAGCCCAUUUACAGCCGCUAACCCAAGGCCCGUUACGCCGUAUCCGAAUUAGGCCCAGUAGCGUCAUCUGCGCCAUCCAAUAUGAUUCCAGCCCAUUUUCACUUCUGGCCCAUGUAUGGCCCAUGACGUCUUUCAGCCCAUAUGAGGACCUAUGUAACUCUUGGCCUAUUAAUGGCCCGUGGUGAAACUGGCCCGUAAUGAACAGUGUAUCACUUUACACCCAUUAACGGCCCGUGGUGAAACUGGCCCGUAAUGCACAGUGUAUCACUUUAUACCCAUUAACGCCCCGUUAUUCCGUUGGGCCGUUUCCAGCCCGUGUUAUCUUUCGGCCUUCUCAGAGCCCAUUUAUUCUUGGGCUCAUUUCCAACAUUCGUUUACUUACGGCCCGUUACUGUAAUUUUCUGCUUGUGGGCCAAAUUCAGUACGUGGUUACAGUCGGCCCGUUUGUGGUCCAUUAAUACGUUGGGCCGUUUUCAUAGCGUCAUCAAAUACGGCCUAUUAACGAUGGCCCUUUAUGGUCGGCCCAUGAACGGACGAUUCCAACUCUAGCCCGUUUACGGCCAUAAUGCGGUCUGUUUGGCCCAUGUUUAGCCAAUCGAUCAUAUGGCCCGUAUAAGGCCCAUUGAUGAUAUGGCCCGCAGAAGGCCCAUUGUUUCUACGACCCAUAGAAGGCCCAUUAUUUCUACGGCCCGUAGAAGGCCCACUAUUUCUACGGCCAGUGGGAGGCCCAGUGUCACUACAGUAAAUAUUAGCCCAUGGUUAUUGUGGCCUAGUUUUAAAAAAUAGGUUAUUGCAGCCACUAGCUAACCGCGGAAAAAGAACUGCAAUGACUAGAAGAAAACAAAUAAACAAGACAACAAGGAAAUAAAUAAGCAAGCAACUAACGCUAGGCUAUCACGGCUAUUACACAUAUUACAUCCACGUGGCAUCAAAGUUCGCCACCAGUGCAAAUAUAGGGAACAAAUCAGCAUAUCAUAUACACUGGUUGUCAAAGUUGGCGACCAGCGCAAAUAAACACCACAGCAAAACAAAUCCAGAACUGAAACCACUUCAGAUGAUCUCAAGAAACAAUAUCCUGGGUACCCAUAAUGCUGGCAAGAUGCUUAGCAAGCUUAUUAACUUUCUCUUGUUUGGCGCUUAAAUCCUCCAGCGCUUGCUGUUGCACCAGAAAAUAUGCAUCUGAAUUCUGCAGGGACUUCUUCAGUCCUUCAGCUUCCUGUCGCAGCACAUCUGAUCGAUGUCUUUCAACUUGAAGUUGAGACUCAAGAAGACGAACUGAUUCAAGCUGCGAAUUCGAAGAGCUUGUGCCAGCAGUAGUGGCCAGUAACUCGAACACUACAUCAAGACAUGACUUUUGGGUUCCCUCACUGUCGUCAAGAUAGUUUUUAUCAGCUUUCUUGGAGACCAACAGGGAUGUCUCACUAUCUUGAACCUUAUCUGCAUUACUUCCUUUACCAUUGGAUAACGCGGUACUGUUCUCCAAUAUUUUGUCCGCAUUCUAAAAGAGAAACAAGAAGACACAUCACAUGUUUACCAUGUUGUAUAUGAAACUCAUUUUGGUAAAUGAGUUCAGUAGUAAAGUGGAUAGGAUAACAGCAUGAAACAAACAUAUAUCUAUGUACCAUGGUCACUUUAUGGUCUAUAUCAUUCUAGUUUUUGUUGCUAAAUCAAGAUAGAGACACAGUUCAAAUAAUAUUUGUUCAAGACAAAGCAGAAUAGACAGAAUAUAAUUGUGGGUAACUAUAGAGCAAUAACAACACUUGUAAUGUGCAUGACAUGAGAACAUAACUGUUUAUUCAAUUGAAACUGAAAUCAACAUAGAGCAGGUUACAACAGCAAACCAGUUAAAGAAACAGGUUUAAAACAUACCUGUUGCGCCAUUGGAGUUUCAAUUCCAUCCUUCAAAUUUGUAAAUAGUUGGUAUGAGUAAAUACAGUAAUGCAAGAGCAAAGGAGUAUGAACCAUAGCUACAGAACCUGACCUGAGAACAAAUCUUCUUCUCCUUUAAGCGUUGAGUUGGGAUUCGGAGUGGUGGUCCUCGUGCUUUGGGCACUGCAGUUCCCUUACUAACUGCUCGUGUUUGGGUGCUCUAUGGUGGAGACAGUGCUGUGUCAACUGGAACUGGGUUACCAUCUGCCGGGGUUGGGGUUAGAAGGGGUGUAGCUGGUUCUCUGACCAACUGGGUAGGGGUACAAUCUGCGAGAGUCUGGGUUAUGUGUGGUGGAUCUGGUCCUUGGGCAAGUACAACCGUGGUUCUAUCUGCAUCAACUGGUAGCACUAUAUUUUCUGAAGACCGUGUUGUUACUCCCUUAGAUAGUGCCAUCAUGCUCUCCAAUUCAAAUGGCUGAUAAACAAGAAAAGUAAUUGAAAGUAUAGACAUUGUAUGAUAGACAGGUGCAAUGGAUUGUGGGGAAUAAAAGAGGGCAUGAAAUAAUUCAUAUUUAUGUUGUCUAACCAAACAGGAUAGCAUGAGACAAUUUCACAUAUAUGAUGGCUAACUAAACAGGAUAGCAUGACACAAUUUCACAUUAUGAUGGCUAACUAAAAAGAUGGAAAGACAUAGUUCAAAAUAUGAGACUAUGUAAACAGGAUGACAUGACAUAACCAUAUAAUGUGUUUAUUAAAUAGGUUGGCAUGCCAUAAUUCACAUACAUUCACGGAUAGAAUGCCAUAAUUCAAAAUAUGAUGACUGUAAACACUAAACAGUAUGAGAUGAUAUAACUAUAUGAUGUCUUUAUUAAAUGGGUUGCCAUGCCAUAAUUCAGAUAGAUGAUGUGUAUGUACUAUGUAAACAUGAUGGCAUGAUAUAAUUCAAAUAUAUUAUUUAUAUAGUAAGCAAGUAAGCAGAUGGCGAUCCAUAUAUGAUGUAAAAACCAAGCAAUGCAAGACAACAUGCAUGACAUGGGUAAUAUAACCCUGCCAAGUUUGAGCAUAGACCUCAGGGGGAAAAUAGGACUGGUCAUCAGUCUCUGAAUCCUCCUCUGAGGAGCUCUCUGUAACCAGCAAGAUGUCUGCUUCAACAGGUAGCAUUGUCUGCUCUGAAUACCUUGUUUUCACUCCAAAUACUUCCAUCACCGCUUCAAAUGGCUGAUGCACAGCAAGAGUAGUUGAAUAUACAAACGUUGUCGACAAAUGGAACACGUGAUACAAAAAAAUGAUAGCAUGAUAUAAUUCACAUACAUGAUGAUUGGCUAAACAGCAUGGCAUUGCAUAAUUCACAUUUAUAAUGCAUUUGCAACAAGAUAGCAUUGUAUAAUUCACAUAUAUAAUGUCUUGCAACAAGAUGGCAAUGCAUAAUUCACAUAUAUGGUAAUUAGACACUGAACAGGUGGCAUUCACGGAAAGCAUGUCUAAACUAAUCAAAUGACAUAGCAAUGCGAGACACCAUACGCACGAUAUGAGCAACAUAACCCUGCCAAGUUAGAGCAUACACCUCGGGGGGGGGGGAUAGGACUGGUCAUCUGUCUCUAAAUCCUCCUCUGAGGAGCUAUCCGUAACCAGCGAGAUAUGAGCUUCGUCAGAUAGCAUAGUCUGCUCUGAAGACCUUGUUUUCACUCCAGAAUUUGCCAUCACCGUGUCAAAUGGCUGAUGCACACGAAGAGCAGUUGAAUGUACUAACAUUGUUGACAAAUGUAAUAUGUAACGAAAAAAAGGAUGGCCUGAUAUAAUUUACAUAUAAGAUGACUGGCUAAGCAGGAUGGCAUUGCAAAAUUCACAUAUAUGAUGCCUGGCUAAACAAGAUGGCGUUGCAUAAUUCACAUAAACGAUGAAUAAACUAAACAUAUGGCAUUCGCACAAAGGAUGUCCAAACUAAGCAGAUGACAUAUUUGAUGUAUAAAGUAAGCAAUGCAAGACACUAUAUGCAUGAUAUAACCAACAUCAGCAUGCCAAGUUAGAGCGAAGACCUCAGGGGGUAAAUAGGAGUUGUCUUCUCCUUCUGAAUCCCCCUCAGAACAGAUAUCUUCCUCUCGAUUACAAUCCAAAAUGCGUGGAGGGGGGGCUGCCUUUGCGCCUACCAUGGAGCAACGUCUGCAUGAAAUUUUAUUGCCACGCAAGGCUCGUCUAUUUUUGCUCUACAUGUUCAGUUCCAUUGUUUACAAUAACUGUCAUGCAUAGGAAUAAAACAUAGUGAGAUUAUGUAAGGAGUGCAUGCAGAAAUCCAGAGUGAUGGUAGCAACCUGUGGAUAGACCCAAAACCAACAAUAGCAGGCAGAUAAUGGCUUCAGUUAAAAAAUACAGAUAAUGGCUUCUUUACUGUUUGUUUCUCACCCAACAUGAAACUCAUAGUAGACACCGGAGAUUAACCAGAUAGUAGAUAGAUACUAUUGAUAGCGGCCCCGAUAUGUACCCCACAACCAUUUAAAAACUCAAGUUUGACCAUUAGUUUGGAGCUGACUCAGAGUCUAAUCGGUGAACAGGACGAUAAAGUAGCAUGUAAUAUUAAGCGAUGCAUAACGUAAGCAGACACGAAAGAGUGCGACCUCUCUUGUGUAGUCCUCGAGGUCAUCUGCUCGGUUGAUGAUGGUAAUGCAGUUUUCAUGGCUGCCAGCGGCGGGGAAGAAGAUCUGAGGCGGCGAAAGAUAGUCUGGAGGCCGGAUCCCUGCUGUGUUGGACCCUUCUGUCGUUGGAGCAGCUGAGCUGGGGUGGACGACGGCGCAGCAGGAGCGGGACAAACCAUUUAAGGUUUUCUUUGACAACUAUCUGUAAGAGAAGUAAUUCUGUAAGGGCUCAUUUGAAUUGGAGGAUUCCAACAAUGCAGGGAUAGGAAAUAGACAGGAAUAGGAUAGGAAUGCACGUGCAAAACAGAAAAUUUAAAAUCACAGGAUUUCUGCCAUUCUGGGUGUUUGAUUCACAACAAUUGGAAGAUCACAGGAUGCAAAGAAGCAUGGUGAGAUUAAGUCAAACCACAAGAAAAUGUACGGUUAUAAUGCUAUUAUGCUACUAUCUCUUAGUCUUGUGCUUCAUGAAUAGGAAUUUGAAAAGGAGGACAAGUGAAAAAUAAAAUUCCUGCGUUUUUUCUUUCAAGGAGACACUAAAGGAACAAAUCCGUGUGCUUAGUGGACAAUAUAUAUAACAUGUAGAGUAAAAAAGAGAUGCAACAAGUGUACAACCUCUUUGGUGAAGCCAUGUCGAUCUCAGCGUGAUUGGGUUGGCCGGUGAGGAUGCUCCGGCUGACUUUGCUGUCGGAGGAGGGGAAGAAGAUCUUAGGCGUCUGGAGAUGGAGCCCGAGGUACCGCUCCGCUGUGAUGGAGGGUUUCGUCGUUGGAGCAGCUGCGGUGAGUUGUACGACGCCGAGGCUGAAGCAGGGCAAGAGAGACAACGAACAACGUUAACCUGAGUGGAAUUCUAAUAGCAUCUCCAAUACAUGAGGUAAAAUACAUAACCACAAAGUGCUAGAUGUAAAAUACAUCAGCCGCUCAUCUCUGAACUUAACUGUCGAAACUGAACUUAACUGUCGAAACUAAACUUAACUGUCGAAACUGAACUUAACUGUCAAAACUGAAUUUUGCUGUCAAAACUGAAUUUUGCUGUCGAAACUGAACGCACUAGCAAGGUGCGGCUACACGUCGGUCGACUGACUUUUUCAUCUCUGGUCAGUCGAUUUUGCAGCCAUUGGAUACGAAAUCAAGGGCCUGCGGUUCAUCUUCAACCUCCACCCCCCUGAGCCGCCAGCCACCACCGGCCAAAUAGCAGCCCCCCUGCCCGCGGCCGGCGGUGCACCGCCCCGCCUGCCCCGAAAAGACUCCCCACCGCCGGUCCACCGCCGCCCCGGCCAUCCCUCUAGGCCCCCCCGUGCCGAGCUUUUUCUCCGGCGAUCCCCACGCCACCGCCCCGCCACUGCCGGCGACCACUGCCCCCAUCCUGAACCCUAAGAUAGAUAGUGGGGUACCUCUCCGGUGAGCCCUCUCCCCGCUACGGCUGGUUCUUCCUUCACCCCGGCGAGCCCCUCACCCCCUGAAAAUCGACUGACCCAAAAGUCGAUUCAGUCGACUGAAGUGUAGCUAAAUCGGAGCAGUAUCGCAAGCAAGAGAAAGAGCGAGAGCAGCAGCGCGAGCAACAGCAAUAGCAAGAGCAGACCAGGCAGGGGACCGAGAGCAAGAGCAGAGCAGCAGUGCGAGCGUGAGCUAAAGCAACAGCAGCUCCUACUGAUGUGGACGUCGCCGUCGUGGGAGCGACGCCGUGGAGGAAGUGGCCGGUGACGCCGCCGUGGAUGGAGCUGCGCCGUGUCGGCUCGGGCCGAGCACCGGCAGCACCGUGAGAUCGAAUCAAGAAGAAAAUGCGGCGAUUAAUGUACAACCUCUUUGGUGGCGCCGAUUAGGCCGCAGCUUCAUCCGAGGAAACGGUGAUGAUGAUGCUCUUCCGGUGGUGCAGGUGAAGACGGCGGUGUGGGAAUGGAGGUGGUGUGAAAGACGAGGGGAACGUCGGGGCAGCUCCUUGGAGGUGGAGGACGGGGUGGCUGAGCCGGCGGGACGAUGAGAUCGACGACGGAUCCUCAUCUGGUAUGGUGGAUGAGGGACGUCGAGGUGUUGCUGUGGACGACGUCGUCGGGGAAGUGGCUCCGGCUGGGUGGCGGACGGAGCAGGGUGUGGGGUUUCGUCGCGGGUUUUCGCGGCCUCGAUGUACGAAUGGGUGGGCGGACGGGAUGGCAGUGGGGAACCAUGGCUUAGAGACGUGCUUGUCCGAAAUAUGGGGUAAGUUACGAAAGUACCCCCACCGAUUUGAGGCGGUUCUUUUGGUUCAGGGGUACCACGGGCAUUUCGCGUGUCGGGAUUUCACAGGAGGUGGGAGUUUUCGCGCGCGUUGUAAUUUCGGAAUAGCAAGGCGCGGGUUGAGAUGGAGGGAGUUGUCGGAGCACAACGAGAAAAAGAUAUAUCUUAAAUAUUUCGGGCUAACAAGGCGCGGGUUGAAAUUUCCGGACAUGCCUAACAUGUACUGUACCAAAUCAAUGUGCACUACAAAUGUCAUUCAAAACUUUGAAUUCAUGUUAUGUUCAAUUAAAAUAUUUCGCUACGUGUAUAAUGCAUGCAACCUACUACUCAAAUGAACGUUUUAGUGCAUUCCAAACGUAUAUACUACCGCUUCAAUAUGAACUAAAUUUGAAUUUGUUUCUCUAUUUGAAUAAGAUCUACAGUAAUGAUUGUUGUGAAGUCAAAGCAUUUGAAUUCGUUUCUCUGUUUUAAUAAGAUCUACAAUCAUCAUUAUUGUCAAGUUAAACCAUCGUUUGUGUAUUAUCUUCACAGCACACCACAUGAUUAGUCUCGAGUUACAUAUGAACUAUGUGUACUAUAUGAACUCGAACUAUAUUUUUUGAAUCCACUUUAUUUUGAUUUCAAAUCACAUUACAUUUCUAGCUCUAGCUAGAUCUUCAUAAUCUAAACCAUGUCUCAUGUGUAUAAUGUAUUUAUCACAUUAUGUAUGGUGCCCCGCUCCCUACGCCUACAAGUAUUUAGAUGUGAGUUGCAAACACCACACAUUACCAGAAAUUCAAAUAAAAUGUGAGAAUGUUCGAUAUAUAGUAUUGUUUAGAUUGUUCGAUAUUUAGUUGUAAGCUGCAAACGCCACACAUUAUCACGAAUUCAAAUAAAAUGUGAGAUUGUUUGAUGUAUAGUAUGGUUUAGAUUUUUCGGCAUUUAGCUGUGAGUUGCAAACGCCAUGCAUUAUCACAUUAUGGUAUAACAUGUGCACAGCACGUGUAUCACCGCUAUAUUCAUGCAUGCAAUGUUUAAAACACUAUGAUCUCCUAUUCAAAUAUAUGAAUCCGCUUUCAUAUCAAAUUAUGAUCUUUGUUAGUCUCUUACACCCACACAAUCCUCUAACCUUUGUAGCUACCACUAACUUUCUCUCAUGCAUGCACACGGCCUCCUCGCCCUCCCCCUCCCUCGGCAUUCUAUCCACCGGGCACAUUGAUUUUUCUCUUUAGGUCGUUCUCCCAGAGUCUCCACAACUCCUUUCCGACACACACCGAUCGAUAAACCUCUCCAGCGAUGCCUGCCUACAACAUACACACACACCUUCAAUCUCCUCCUUUAUGUGUCCUUGCCUCGUGUCUCUCAUACGGUCAGACACACGUGUAAACUCUCGCCCCUCUUUUCAUCGAUCUCACAACCGCACACUCCUCCCCCUAUCUAGCUAGUACUUGGGCCUCUCGCACCACCUCCUAGCUCCAUUCUCUCUGUCUAUCCGUCUCGCUAGGCCUUAUUUGCCUCUAACAAAUGGACGUACAUCGACCGAUCUCUCGCUAUACAUAUAGCUAGCUAGGUCCUUAUAACUCGUUUUUACCCACACGUCAAUCGAUCUACCUCAUUAGUUGUGUCUCUCCCUUCCUCCGACAAAUAACAAUUGAUCUACCGAUCUAGUUAGGUUUGCUUACCAAACACAUGGUUCCCCUUCAUCAUCCAUGGAUGCGUCCCGACAGAUCUAUCACGCACAGGCACACAUAGAAACACAUCCCCACUCUUAUUGAUAACAUUGCAGUUCCACCCUCAGUUUGUCUAGUAGGCCUCUCCCACCAUCUUCGAGAAGCAACUCCAUCACCCAUCCAGCACUCUACCCCUCUCCCUCCCUCUCUCUCUCCUCUCUCUCUCUCUCACUGUCCCAUCAUAUUUCCCGUCCUUCAGUUAUGUAUGGAUGUCGACCGAUCUCCCUCAAGACAUAGUUGGGUCUCUCCUUCUCAACACAUAUACGAGUCGUUCUACCUCUAUAGUUAGGCCUCUGCCUACCCCUCCCCCACCCCCUCCCCCCCACACACUGAUACAUCGAGUGCUCUAGUCAUGUCUUCCUGCCACACACAAACUUGACAUGUGCCCUCUAACGUUCCGGUAGGCCAGUUGCCCUAUAUCUUUGACUUGCACACACACAAAAUUUCGAUGGCUCUCUUCAUCGAUCUCGCACCCACCCACUUGAUCCUCUCUUNNNNNNNNNNNNNNNNNNNNNNNNNNNNNNNNNNNNNNNNNNNNNNNNNNNNNNNNNNNNNNNNNNNNNNNNNNNNNNNNNNNNNNNNNNNNNNNNNNNNNNNNNNNNNNNNNNNNNNNNNNNNNNNNNNNNNNNNNNNNNNNNNNNNNNNNNNNNNNNNNNNNNNNNNNNNNNNNNNNNNNNNNNNNNNNNNNNNNNNNNNNNNNNNNNNNNNNNNNNNNNNNNNNNNNNNNNNNNNNNNNNNNNNNNNNNNNNNNNNNNNNNNNNNNNNNNNNNNNNNNNNNNNNNNNNNNNNNNNNNNNNNNNNNNNNNNNNNNNNNNNNNNNNNNNNNNNNNNNNNNNNNNNNNNNNNNNNNNNNNNNNNNNNNNNNNNNNNNNNNNNNNNNNNNNNNNNNNNNNNNNNNNNNNNNNNNNNNNNNNNNNNNNNNNNNNNNNNNNNNNNNNNNNNNNNNNNNNNNNNNNNNNNNNNNNNNNNNNNNNNNNNNNNNNNNNNNNNNNNNNNNNNNNNNNNNNNNNNNNNNNNNNNNNNNNNNNNNNNNNNNNNNNNNNNNNNNNNNNNNNNNNNNNNNNNNNNNNNNNNNNNNNNNGGUUUGUAUCUCUCACACACACCCACGUAGGUGGGGGACGUGCACGAAGAGAAGAGGUGCAUGCACGGCGCACGUACUCCCGUCUCUUUCCCAACCACACCCGCGCGGGUACACGGUGGAGCUCAUUUCUGUACGAAAAAGGCAGCCCACGUGGUAAUUUGGCACGUGUACUGGUUGUCCACUUGGUGGAGGGAGGAUCGUCUACCACGGGUGAACAAACAAAUUGUGACUUGACGUGUUAUGUUAAAAAAAGAGGCAAACCAUGUGGGGCCUACCUUAGAGGCAAGGCUCUAUACACUGGAGUACUUUUGAUGUGUCCCGUCAACUCGCAGAACGAGGAGAAGCUUGCUUAGUACGCCGUCUCCCCCGCCCACGGGCGCGGUGGUUCGCAGGAUGAGGUGAAGCUUGCUCCGCCUUACGCCCGCUCCCUCGCCCAUGCGCGCGGUGGCUCGCGGGACGAGGAGAAAAAAUUACUACUCCCUCUGUUUACUCCUCGUCCCUACUACCUUGGUUAUAGAGAUUAUAUCAUAUUGUUUGGAAUAUAUAUGUCCUUUAGUAGAUUUCAAUAUGAACUACUAGUACAUACUCCAAACACUGAUGUAUAUAGACGUAUUUUAGAGUGUAGAUUCACUCAUUUUGCUCCGUAUGUAGCACUCUCCCUCGCCCCUCGACCCUCGCGCACGUGGUGGACGUGCAGCAAUUCAUUUGGUCUCAUAUAGCCAGAACGAUAUAUACUGCACUACCAUUAUUGCUCGACUUCCCGAAGAGGCGAAGAGCCAAUCGCAAGGCUAAUAUUUUGGAGAUGCCAAGCGCAAGGUUAUAGGAGAACGAGUAGUAGGUGCCACGUCAUUUAUAAAUAAAGUUUUUUUUUCUUCAGUGGCACGUAAGCAAUAUGAUAGGUUCAUAUGGAGAGAAAAGGAAACCGGUCCACUAUAUACAUAGUCAGGACGGGCCAGCCUACACGGUUGCUUGCUGGGGUUGCUCUCUUCACACUCUCUCGCACAAAACGACUGUGGCCACAUCUCUAACAUCCCACCGGAUCACGUCCGCUUGGGGAAGGGGUGGAUGCUUAGUGUAGAUGCGGUGGCCGUCGCUGACGGCGAAAACCCACUGUCGGCACGUCCCGAUCAGGGGUCCCCGCCGUUCUCUCUCACAAAGCCGGUGAGGUUGCCUUCAUCCCUUGCUCACUGCCGCGACAUGGGCAGUUGCCGCCUCCCGCCACCCUCCUCAAGGUUGAGCUACGUCCCUCAGGUACAACUCCCUUUACAGCCGGCUUGCACCACUGCUCCAGCUGCCCACAUCACUCCCUGUGGAUAUUUCUCUACUUCUUUGCCCCGCACAUACCUCUACUGGCUUCUACGUACUGUAUUUGUGAUGAGUUUAUGUCUCAUCAACUAGUCCCAGUAAUCUUAUUCUAAUCACGCUUCUUCAAUUUCUUUGCCACAGGGAUGCUCAUCUCGAUUUUGGUGAAACUGCACAAAAUGAUCCGAUGGUCAAAAGGUUGCAAACUUCAUUUAUUCGGAAGCUCGAACGAUGCCAGCAAAUUGAAGCCUGGUCAGGGUUCAUGGUUCAAGGGCUAGGGACUGCAUGGAUCGUUUUUUUUCUUUAGCUGCCUCUGUUCCAAAAUAAGUGUCAACUUUAGUAGUAGUACAACUUUGUACUAAAGUUUGCACAAAGUUGAGACACUUAUUUUGGAACGGAGGGAGUACAUAUUUGCUAUGAUUUGUCAAUCAUUGAGAUGCAAUAGCAUGCAUGUUAGUCUCCUUUGUAUUUGAUGAAAUGUUGCAACGGGCAACCUUGGACGCAAGAUACGUAACAGAAGCUGGAAGCUUCAUAGCAUUGUACAAAUUUAUCUCCCUGAUAAAUUACAGUACGUACUAUACUAGUACUUCCUCCGUUCCUAAAUAUAAGUCUUUGUAGAUAUUUCACCAUGAACCACAUGCGGAUGUAUAUAGAUGCAUUUUAAGUGUAGAUUCAUUCAUUUUGUUCCGUAUGUAGUUGAAUCUCUACAAAGACUUAUCUACUAGUAAUAGCUAGCCCCCACUACUAGGAAUUCUCUAUCCUCUCCUUGAGCCACAUCAUCAAAAUUGAUGUAGCCGUUAGAUGAAGUAAAUUAAUCCAUAAUAGCCGUCUGAUCUAGACGUUGAGAGGCUCCGCACUAAGCCACAUGCAAGCAUGCAGAAAUACAGUGGCACAUGCAUGUGAGUGGGUUUUAAAUCACAUCAACAUGUCUGCAUGCAAGCAUGCACCGGUAGCAUGCAUGUACGUGAGCUUUUAAGUCCCAUUAACAUGUCAAAAAGAAAAAUAUAAUCCCAUUAUGCAGUAGGAGUUGGCUGAUCUUUUUUCCUUACGUGGGAUGAUCUAAAUGAUGAUGGGAGUUUAUUUAGUUUGGCUACCACAUUUGUCAUGCGGUUAUAGAGUUUUUUUUAGUUCUAUGAAAUCGAUAAUUUUGCGCAGAGAGAUAUACCGCUGUUCCGCGGCAACGCGCGGGGACUCAUCUAGUAAUAUUUGGGAACGGAGGGAGUACUAUGUAAAGAGUUAGGUGUUGCACGGUGAUAGUGUGAGGUGGGCCAUGUAAUCACUGAGCCUGUGUGUUUUCACUGCUCUUGCACGCCUCCGCUGUAAGAAUGGAGAAAAUUGUAAUCUAGUAGUAGUACCUCCUUUCGCCGAAAGCGUGGGACAUCCUGCAGUCCUACCACCUCAGUAAUAAAGACAAAUGAGCCAUCAAAUCACAUAGACCCAGCAGUAAGCUGGACGGACGAAGCAACCAUCACUCUUGCGCCAGUGAGAGAUCGCGUCUGCUCUGCCCGGGCAUGAAUGCGGCAUCGAUUCUUUGGAGCGGCGCUGACCGUUUCAGGUGGGAAGCGCGCGCGGGCGAUGGAGGGGCUUUGGGUGGGCCAGGCUGGUCAGGAGCGGGCGUGGCAGCUGUCCACAUGUCCCUACCGGACACGCCCGGAAACGAGAGGAUGCACCGACUCUCGGUGCUAAAAUCGUACUACACUACACAACAUCUCUCUGUAGGAGUAGGUCGAUCUGUCGCUCUCUCUAACACACACAUGCUGUUAAACACACACACACACACGCACGCACCUUGGUCCCAUUGCACCUUCUAACAUGACUUAUUACACCUAGACGGAGGGAGUAGUAAGUAUAUGAGAUACGGUGGCACACUGACUUAAGUCGAAUACAAGUGCCCAAAAUUUGUGUGCAUGUUAUAAUAAGGAUUCACUUAAAAUAGUACGUGAGCGAACAGAGGGAUCAAUUGGACAGUGUUCCCGAGCAGUAGCGAGAUGUGUGAGGUAAGAUACACCGCUGGCGCUUUUAAUUUUUCUUAUUAAUUUGUUUCUUUCACCCUCUAACUAGUGGGACCCAACGUACUACGAGAGAGGUAAGGUGACUAAGGCUGCAUUAUUUCUGCACCACUGUGGAUAGUCUUACCAGCAAAGCCACAUGACACGAUAUGAUUGAAAUCCCAAUGACUCCCACACACACACAAAAAACACGGCAUGCUUGUCACACGAAUGCAGGAAUGUAUAAAAGGUUAUUUCCCUCUCGUUGAACAUAACGGGAGGGUUGUGUAGCUGGUUAGCAUGUUCGCUCAUCAAACUUGAGGUCUCGGGUGGAUUCUUUGACUGGUCAAAAUGUUUUCUAGGGUUUGCACGCUUCACACUCUCUCUCCAGUAUAUAUAUACACGCUGGAGCCUCAGCGCUUGUAGUUAUAUAUACACGCUGGAGCCUCAGCGCUUGUAGUUAUAUAUACACGCUGGAGCCUCAGCGCUUGUAGUUGCUCUCUUCACACUCUCUCGCCCUCUCCCGCUGGAGCCUCAGCGCUUGUAGUUGCUCUCUUCACACUCUCCCGCCCUCUCCAGAUCUAAACAAGACUUCGUUGGCCUCUCUCUCCCCUCACUGCUGCUCAAAGAACCGGCAGGAUCCGUCCGCCGGGAAGGGAAGGAGGCUUAACGCUGUCGCCGUCAGCGAGGGACUACCGGUGCAGCUGUACACUUUCUACCCAGCGGCGGCGCGGGAGGGCCUCCGACCCCUUCUUCUUCGCCGCCGUCCCGUCGCCCACCGAACCACGCCCCAAGAACCUUAAGGUAUAAUUUACUUACUCCACAUGCAUUGCUCUAGCUGCAUGUAUACCAUGAAUCUAGGACGUGGUUCAAAGAGGAAAUGAAGGGGGAAAGUUGUAUAGCAUGAAUCUAGGACGUGGUUCAAAGAGGAAAGGAAGGGGCGAAAGUACUAGUUCAAAAAGGAAAGGAAGGGACAAGGCUAUAGAGUUUGAGCAGGACUAGAUUUGCUGCGCUCACAUAGGGAAAGGUGUCUAAAGAUAACAAAACUGGGACCAACACAAAUAUGCUCCUUGGUUGUUUGUUCUUUGUUGCAACAGACUGUGCAUGACCACAGUACAUCGGGUGAUGCACAUGGUGCUGGUGCGUCCGCUGUCCCGUGCAACUCGUUAGUUGUUGUUAAUCUAAGGCCCUGUUUGGUUAAAAACUCCCUAGUCCCUACCUUCUUGGUUCCAGGGACUAAACAUGGACUAGAGGUUAUUAAAUGACAUGCUAAAAGGCCAUGUUACCCCUAGUAAUGAACUAAUAGAGACAAGGUGCGAUGCGUGGCAGGGGCAACUGUUGGAAAAAGUCCCAAAAAGACUCCCUCGGGGUCUUCUUUCUUUAGUCCCAAAUGCCCACUUUUAGUCCCUAAAAGUUCCUCCUGUUUGGUUUAGAUGGGACCGACACGGAGUUUUUUUAGUCCCUACACCAAAAUGUCCCUGUAAACAAACACCCUCUAAUAAUGCUGCUGGAAAAUUGAUGCAAUGCCACAGUUAAAAGCAAAUUACAUGUUUAACGAAUUUUAUUGUUAAUAUAAUCUCUAUGUUAAUAUUAAUCAAUGCCACCGUUUGAGAAAUGCUACUGUCUUGCUUUCUUUCCCAUUUAGAUAAGGUAGAUGCUUCUUGUUGUUGGCUUCUGUGUCAUCCACCGUUAUUGACCACUAAUUGUUUCCUUUGCACCUCUGUGUAAACAGGGUUAUCUACUUCACCUCGUUGCCAUUGUGACCUUUUGUUGCACUACACAAAACACUAUUGUUUUAAGAGUGUUUUGUGCAGUUCAACCAAAAUGUCAUACCGACAACGUUGCUUGAUUGCUUGAUCUUAGUGGAACUGCACAAGAGGAGAUCUUACUUCCUAUCCGUUAAGGCGAAUUUGGUUCAGAUCUUCUUCUUGUGAGUUGUUUGAAUUCCGCAUCAUGAGAGGUCAGUACUAGCCUUCUUUCACAUGAUUCUGUAGUGUGCUUUCAUAUGUUGUGCUACUUGUACGAUAAUGUUGCACAAAUGGAGACAAGACUUCCAAUCUGUAUGUGCACCGUAAUAUCCCAUUGAGGUAAGAUAAGGAUAUUUCACAACUGCUGGCCUGUAUUUUGCCACUUUCAUCAGAAAAUUAAGUUUAGUACUAUACUUGUGCUCUCUAAUUGACAUGCCAAAUCUUACAUUGAAGGCGAAGCUUGUCUGUUAUUGAACCAAGUGAUGAAGGGGAAGAACAAGCGGAAGAAAAACAAAAAUCAACUCCCGGUGCUGUAAUGAAGCACCGGAUCUAUGAUGACAUAAGUAAUGAUAUAGUUUUGCAUCUUAAUUUAUUGCUAUGGCUGGAACGAGCAAUUGUUUUGCCAUUGAUUUGAUGCCACUCUUAAUGUAAUAUGUAAUUAUCUCUACUUGUGCAAAGAGGGAUCUUCUUUGAAGAUACCAUAUAUUUUAGUGGAACUGCACAAGAAGAUGUUGGAAACAUUAAAUUAAUCGAGGAGUAUAUAGUAAGCAUGGCCACCACCAUAGAUAGCAACAGAUGGUUCCGGAGAAGUGCUUCAUCUGUAUGCUCUACACAAUAAGCCUCCUGACAAACGUUGGUACUCGCCCACUGAUUUCAUCCAUAUGAUUGAGCUUUGUCAUCUCUAUUGGUGUUGUGCUACUGUUUAGAUACUGUCAUGAAAGAGUGGUAUUGUCCUUGAGAAGUGCUUCAUCUGUGCUGUUUUAAAUAUUUCCUUUCCUUUUUUGAGCAAACAGGGAUGCUAGCAUUUAGUAGUCCUCUUGUCUUUGCACAACAGGAUCAUCUUCCUCUGAAGAAGAAUAUGGAGUACGUGAAGUGACUAGUUCCGAUUAUGCCAGGAUGAAGAAGCCCUGUCUAUCUUCUCAUCAGAAGGAGCAGUUAAAGGAUGGUUACAUUACUCCCCACAAGACCAACCUAACUUCAGCUCAGAAGGACUGACAAAUCUCCAUUUUUUUGCUGUGAUGCGCGAGUACAAUGUUGUUCUAGGAUUCUUUCUGGUGAGUUCCAUUUUUCUAAAAGUGUGCUCUACAUGGACCAUGUAUGUGCCUGUUGAAACUGUCAAUUCAUAGUACAAUUUGCUUUAUACUAAUCACUUUUUUGUAUUUGUGCAAACAGGGGUGCUCAGCUUGAUUUCAACGGGAACUGCAUAAAAUGUUCAUGAAUACAUCGAAUCAUUCAUUUCCACCACAAGAAAGGAGGUGCCGAUAAGUUCAAGGUGUUGCAACAUAUAAGGGCGAAAUCAUACAAGCUACGCGCGAAUUUGGUUGAUUUUGGUGGAACUGCACAAAAAGAACAGCUGGUUUAUUUAGCACGAGGUGCCAUGUCAAUGUCUGAACUGAUGGCAAACCCUGCCCAGUCCACAAUCGUAGGCAUUUGAUAUUUUGGAAUGGGACAACCUUGUCAAAUUUUGCUCAUUGAUUUUAGCAAGACAUUCGUUUUAUAUUUUCGAAUGGGACGCCCUUUGCUGUCAGCAGCGUCGAUCAAUUUUUUCUUUAUUCUUUAGUUGUGAAGUAAAUAUUGCCUCUGACAUGUGAGCCGCUGAGAUGCAUAAUCAUCGAUUGUUUUGAAUGUUCUCUAUGAAUUUCCAGGCCUGUGUGUUUGAUUGCAAUGUACAGAAACGCUAAAAAGCUGCUCAAGCUAUCGGGACCCCGAUUCCAAGUCACAUCGAUCUAGCCGGUAACACCUCAUAUCACUUUGUGGCCUCACGCAUGGUAUUCCCACGGGUGUCGCCUUACCAUGGCCCGGGACCGUUUGCGCCUUUUGGCUCACGUAUAUGAUAGUGUCGCUAGCAUCCAUAUGACAGGGAACCCGGGCCGACAUGACUAGUCGUGAACCCAAAGUGGCACUAACUUACGGGGACAGGCAUACAUGAAUCAACAUCGAGCAUGUCGGUCAGCAGCAUGCGAAUCCGGGCUGUAGCUCUGGGCUAACAGGACUCUAACACAAUGUGCCUAGUCUGUCCCAAGCCCACCUGUACCGGGUACCACUUGGUAGACUACUAACACAACCUACAAACACCAGAAACUAGUUGCAACUCCUGGACAGAGAUCGAGGUGGUUAAUAAACCGAGAGGGGUCGAGUUACCGGAACCCAAUGUGUGGUAGUAACUGUUCAUGGAUCACAAACACAGAACUCAGUUCCUGAGGACGGCUUCAAUGAGACAACCCAACAUGUACUCCUACAAGGCCUCUCACCGUUACCUUUACCAAAUCGUGUUCACACACUUAGCUCUCACACAGUAGGACAUGUUCACAACUUUCCAAUUCAUUCCCGAUGAAUCAGACCUGACACAACUCUAAGCAAUAGCAGGCAUGACAAACAAGCAUGAAUGAGUAGGCACAUCAGGGCUCAAACAACUCCUACUCAUGCUAGUGGGUUUCAUCUAUUUACUGUGGCAAUGACAGGUCAUGCAAAGGAUAAGGGGUUCAACUACCGCAGCAAGUAACACAUGAAUCGUUGUUGUCCUAAUGCAGUAAAAGAGAGCAGGAGCAAGAGAGUGGGAUUGUAUCGGAAUUAACAAGGGGGUUUUGCUUGCCUGGCACUUCUGAAGAUAGCAUUGAGUCUUCAUUAGUGUCAACGAUCACAACGCCGGAACAUCGUCUACCGAGAGGGGACAAAUACCGGCAACAGAGAAGAAAUACAAUCAAUGCAAUGCACAAUAUGAUGCAUGAUCAUGACAUGGCAAUAUGAAUGUGUUUUGGGCUAAUGCAAGCUAGAACAGAUUGAGAUGAGUCCAUUUGAACCAAAGAUUCAAAUGCAAACCCAUUUUAUAAAGUCAUAUAAGUGCAUUAUCUUGUCUCAUCUAAACAGCAUGGUCAGGUUGCUCUAACAUGCAUGAAACUAGCACAGAUGGAUAGAUUGUAUUUUUCUGAUCAUUUUUCAUAUAUAAACCUUUUCAUUUGGAGUUACGGUUGAAUUACUAUGAUUUUUAGAAGUUUAGGCAAUUUUCUGGAUUUCCUGGCUAUUUAAAAUUAAACUACUUCCAGAAAAUGUAAUACUGCGUCAGCAAGGCGUCAGGCUGACGUCAGCUGGGUCAACAGGGUCAACCCUGACGGCUGGGACCCACAUGUCAUUGGCUCAGAGUUAACUGGAAGUUAAUCCCGUGUUGACUGGGAUUUGACCCACCGCGGGGCCCGCUGUCAGUGACUGCGUUGUGUAAUUAGCAGUGUGGUUAGGCCCUAAUGGCGUGGUUAGCCGGCGGCUUAACGACGGCGACCACACCGUGCGGCGCGCGGCUCGCCGGAGUGGCGCUAGGGCAGCGGCAGAGCGCGCUGAGGGCACUAGGGGGGAAGCCCAGGCCCGUGCGCAUCUAGGGAGGCCGCGUGGCUGCCGGGGAUGGACUGUUGCGGCGGCGGCAGGGAGGUUAGCGGCGGCCGGAGCUCGGCCGUGUACGGGCAGGGUGCUGUGGUGCACUAGCAAUCCAAAGGAGAGGCUGGCCAGCGUCGCUGGGCUACCCGGAGCUCGAUGGACAGCAGUGAAAGGUGGAACGAGCUCCGCAGCAAGCAGAGCAUCAGCCAUGGCGGACGGCGGCGCUCGGGUACGGCGGCUGGCAUGACUAGAGGGCGUAAUCGCUGCUCGGGGGGAGGGGGUCACGACGCGGGAGCUCACGGUGGUUGCAGAGGUCGUCGAAGCGGGCUCGGGGAAGGCUUGACGGCGUCAGAAUCCCGGUGGCGAUCUCCUGUGGCCGGGGAAGAAGAUGAGGACGUCGAGGGCGUUGCGGUGCUUCCCAGCUCACGUGGCUAGGUGGGGUAGAUGGGGACGGCGUGGCGGAGCUCUCGAGCACGUUGGAAGGGCGAGGGAGGGCCGGUGGUCGUGGCAACAGCGAGCGGCGACGACGGCAUACUCGGCCAUGGGGGGCAUAGAGGAGCGAGGGGAAGGGAGGUCCAGAGAGCGAGGGAGAAGUGAGAGGGGGUCGGGGAGGUGCCGUUGCACUCGUGGAGGCGUCCAGAAGCGGCGGAAGCAGGAGGUGGCCUCGCGCGCGGCGACCACACGCCCGGCGUCCCUCUGGCGUCCUUCUGGCACGAGGUGGGAGACGGUGGCGGCUCUGGUGGGCUGGGCCAGCUCCUGGGCCGUGGUGGGGCGCCAGGUAAGUCCAGGUGAGGGGCCCAGUGGCCUUCUCUCUCUCUCUUACUUAAUUGUUUCUGUUUUCUAUUUUAUUUCUCUGUUUUGAAUUACUAAAAAUACUAAUUCAUUUUGUAAAAUCCUGAAAAUAAUUGUGGGCACUUUUGAAAAUAUCUCCAAUAGCCCUCAAAUGCUUUUAAGAUUAUUUGGACAGUUAAAAUAUUUUAUAGAAUUUAAAUGUCCAAAUUCAGAUACUUAUGAUUUAAUUCAAAAAUCCAGAAUGUCCUAGAAAAGUGUGCACCAUUUUUGCCAGGGGUUUUAGCCCAAUCCAGAAAUGAUGAACAUUUUGUGAAGGGCAUUUUGGGUUCAUUGAAACCAAUUUUAGUAAACCCUAGUUGGUUUCAGGGGGGUGCUGGGGGUUCUGUCAUCCCCAUUUCAACUUUCUUUCAAGAUUAAACAUGAUGCACACAUGAGGCUAGCCUAGUGCAUUACCAGAAGCUAGGGAUGUGACAACUCACCCCCACUAAACAAAAAUCUCGUCCCGAGAUUCAAGCAUAGGGUAAGAGGAAAAGGGGACACAAAAGCUAACACAAUCUUCUCGAUCCAAUACCCUCAUCGAAGAUGUUGACUCAUUGCUUCAAAUUGAUCUUGUCGUCUUUGCUUUCGGGAUCUUCAUCCAACAUGAUGACGACAGAAGAAACUCUAUAGGAAUCGAUCUUCUUAAAGAUCGAGCAACUCACGAUCAACUCACGGGAUGAGAUGUUGAACAUCUCUCGAGUUGAGACACAAAACACAUCGAGAGGGAUGGAAGAAACAGAUGACGGAGGUUCAAUUUGGUAGGCAACAAUUCCACGCUGGAGUAGGAUGGUGCAUGGUUUCAAAGUAGCGAGGAGAUAGUUGCCACGAUUCCAUAACGGGGCACCUUAGGGAAGGUGGCUCAUAGAAAUAUCCCUUAAGUGGCAAAAAGAAUUACUUUUGAUUCAGAGAUCAUUGAAACUCUUCAUACCAGCCUAAGGCAAUUUACAAAUGAUCGUUUGAAAGAAUUCAAAAGAAUGGCACACUCAAUUUGGAAAGGAAACUAUGGUUAUAGAACAACUCGGCAAAAGGAAUGCACAUUCCGGUUGAUACCAAGGAUAUAACCUAGUGACUGGGCGUGCUUUCAAGAACUUGAGCGUUUCCAUAUUCAUCAAGGUUUUACCAACAUCCGUGCCGAGGAUCCUGGCAACACAUCAUACUACCAUGAUGAACGGUGAUGGAGGAUGCAGGUGCAAAGGAGAUAACACUUUCUCAGAUUUUUCCUUAGCAAUGCCAAAGAAACAAAUCUGGAUGAUCGACCGAGAGACAUUUAGCAUUCCGCUUCUAAUGUUCUCCUUGAUGUACUAGGUACCACGGUCAAUGCUUAAAACAUCAACAUGGCCAUCAGGUAAAGGUCGGACUUCAGAGGCACAAAAAUCCACAAGGAACAACUUGUGGAAUAAGUCAUAUGAAAUCCUCAUGGGAAGUGACCAAACGGCUUAAUCAGGAUACUACAAUAAUAGAUCUUCCGUCUAGGUGUGUCGGCCAGAACAUCAACCUUGUCGGGACCUACAUCAUAAUCUUGGAAAAGUUCCAACCGUCAUAUCUGCCUGAGAUUCAGAUCUGGCUGGUGUCCGAAUGUUCCAGACUCAUCCAGUCUAGAGAGAAGAAUGAAAAUUUGCAACACAAAUCGACGAGAUGACGUUGCGAGAUUCUCGGGAGAUGGACUACGGUAGUAAGCUCCAAAACAUGAGCUGGUUCUACUAAAUGCAUGUGAGCAAGCUGUCCCAGACAAGCAUGACCACAUAGUAGUCUUACAAUGAAACACUAACGAGUUCCGGUGGGGAACCAUCAUCGAGGAUAUCGAAGUCCUUGUGCACUUAUCGAUGAACUUCUUAUCCUUGAGCAAGUCAAUCAGUGGCUUGGUGUGCUACGGAAUUCAUAUGGAACGAAGAUGAUCAGUCUAACAGACCACAGAAUACUUUGCACGUGCAUGGCUGACUUGGGAUGAUUCCAGGGGAAACAAACAAACUUUCUCGGAUCCACGGCGGCAACUUACACCAAGUGCACGUGAAUUAGAGAGAGUCACUUCUUCCAUCCGAACACAUGCUUCAUGGACGGGACAUGAAGAUAAUGCUUAUAAAAGUUUCGAACACUAGCUUAAUGCUCAACAAAAUCAUGGACAAGAUGAAAUUGUUGUCAAUGGGCUCAGCAACAAUCCAUCCAGGCUUCCAUAUAGAUGGAAUUCCAAAAUUAGGUAAACACGGGAAUAGCAUUGGUCAGACCCAAAAGAUAUAAUGGUGUAUGCUCGAGGAAUCAACCAUGAGUAAGACAACAUUACGAACAUCGUUGGUUCUGAUUUGACUUGACGAUAGCCCAUACUCAAGUCAAAUUUUGACAAGGCAAUAGAUCCAACAACUGGUCACGAGGACCAAUCGAUGGAGAUAUCAUCUUUCUUCAACACACACACACACACACAAGGAUAUCCCUUAAGAUGAACUAAGCCAGGCAAGCUUUUAUCUUCCAACUCUCCAAGUUGUUGUUUGGCUUAACCAACUAGCUCAGGGGUAUCCAACACAGAUCCUUGGAGAAGGAGUGGUUUAUUGGAAAACCAACUUGAUCGCGAGCUCAACAUAGCGGUCAGGUGACAACCUGGUAAAACUUCCGAGAAGAUAUUCGGAAAAUCACGAACCACCGGUAUGUUAUUAAGCUCGAGAACAAUCUUGCUUUUCAGGGCAAGACGGUAUGAUCAACUGAGCAAGGGUUUGACAAAAAUCCUAACUCAUUGAUUGAAGAGUGCACCAAAAAUAAGGACUAGGUAGCACGAUCAAUCUUAGGAUGAUGAUUCAAUAACCAACACGCUAAGAAUGAUAUUAAUGUCCAUAAACUACCAAGCAACGAGUUGCUCAGAGUAUUGAUUUCACACAUCACGGUUCACCUGUCGGUAUUCCGGUUGUGACAACACGGGACCGAGGAAUGAAUAAUGAUGGCGAGAAUUAUCACUACGUCAAUAAUUCAUAAGAGGUGGUGCAAUUCUCAUGACACUCUUGACAUAAAGAUGGUAACGCUCCAAGGUAGAGCAGAGCAAAAGCUGGAUUGGCAUUUUGGUCUGCGGAAUACAACUAUUUGACCCAAUCCUCGAAAUGGAUGAGGUACUGGAGUUUGUUUCUCCUAGUCAUUCCGGAAUAGAAUGGCUUUUCAGACCACAAGAAUAAUAGGCAUCGAUAACACAAAUGCACAAUUACUCCUGACUAUCAAUUGAUAGACAGAGGUCAGAAUACAACUAAAGAGAGACAACUCAAAGGAACAUAUGGUUUUCUGGGUUGCGGAUGCAUAAAUUUAGUAUGUCAAACAAGUUCAACAUAUUUCUUCCAGAUAAUCCAUGCAGAAAGGUAGGACUAGCAGAUUCACCAUAUGAAUGGAGUACUCCUCAAGAGCGCCCUGGUUGUGAUCUUUUGGUCCAAAGAACUUCUGCCAUAAUGGUUCAUGGUAUUUGGAAGAAGGAAAUACCGCGGACCUCGAGGACUAAUGCAAAGGUUACUAAUAUCUUAAGGGAACUAGCAAAUACUAACAACAUGAAGUAGGGUGAAUCUCGGGUUCAAAACCCAGGGGUAGAAUACCUACUACUAAAUGGCAUCACGGGAUGCUUUCGAGAAUAAUGGCCAGAAUCAUCACACUGGGGAUACAAAGCAUUGCUAGAUUACUGAGUGGUCCUCUAUGACACCUAGGGUCAUAAUAAUAACUCCAACAUAUAUGUCGAGGCAACGGAGUGCCUCAACGCACCGGUUAGUGUGGUUAAACUGGCCCAAAGAAACAUCGGGAAUAGAAAGAAGGGAUUUGCAAAUGCAUCAGACUAUUUAGAAACCUGGGAUGACUCGGACAACAUAACGGCUGUAAAAGCUCAAAAAUACUUGAGACAUCCUGCAAAAUAGUGGCAUGACCACUCAACAUCACAAUAUCAAGGUUCUGAGGCCAGCUAUGAACAUACGGAAAUAGUAGAAACUGAACUAGGGCUUGAAUCCAACAAUCCUACUAGUCUAUAGAGUAGUAACACGUGAUCCUGAUAGAAAGAUGAGAAGCCUAGUUCUUAAUCCCCGUAGAAAAGAAGAGGGUGACUCAGAUCAGAAGGGCAUAAGGUAAAGGAGUAAAAAGAGCCUUACGUUCCCUUCCACAAUCAAUUCCCUUAUAUAACUAAAGCAUUUCUAGACACGACUUCGACCAGUUUGGCUUGGUAAUCCUACAGGCAGCCUGGCUCUGAUACCAAAGCUAUCGGGACCCCGAUUCCAAGUCACAUCGAUCUAGCCGGUAACACCUCAUAUCACUUUGUGGCCUCACGCACGGUAUUCCCACGGGUGUCGCCUUACCAUGGCCCGGGACCGUUUGCGCCUUUUGGCUCACGUAUAUGAUAGUGUCGCUAGCAUCCAUAUGACAGGGAACCCGGGCCGACAUGACUAGUCGUGAACCCAAAGUGGCACUAACUUACGGGGACAGGCAUACAUGAAUCAACAUCGAGCAUGUCGGUCAGCAGCGUGCGAAUCCGGGCUGUAGCUCUGGGCUAACAGGACUCUGGGAACCCGGGCUGUAGCAGGCUUGGCAGGACUCCGGAUGUCACCGCGUGACAUAUCCCCGAAGGGACAGACACAGGAAUGAAGUGAAUCACAUGCCGGCCAGUCAAGUGUUCCGGAGCAGUAGUGCUGGGCUAGCAGGACUCCGGUGAACCGGGCUGUAGCGGACUACUAUGGCUCAUGGAAGCACAAGACUACAUUUCCCCAUAAGAGAGGCUACCAAGGAUAAACAACUAGGUUGUCGGAUCCCACACAUACCAAGCAUUUCAAUCAUACACACAAUAUGCUCGAUAUGUGCAAAUACAACAUGGCAUCACAACAAGACUCUACGACUCAGAGUAUUUAUUCAUUAGGCUCCGAAGAGCGAGAUAUUACAAACAUGGGUCUCAUGACCCAACAUUCAGAGCAUACAAGCCAAAGCACAUGCGGAAGCUUAACAUGUCUGAGUACAGACAUCUACAAAUGAAAAAGGCUGAGAAGCCUGACUAUCUACCAGAUCCUGCCGAGAGCACAAGAUCGUAGUUGAGGUAUCAAGCUGAACGUCGAAGUCCACACGGAACUACUAGCGAGACCGACGUCUCUCUGCAAAACAUAAAAUAAGCAAACGUGAGUACAAAUGUACCCAGCAAGAGUUACAUCAGGACUAUCUAUAUAUGCAUCGGUAUCAACAAAGGGGGGGUGGAGUUUAACUGCAGCAAGCCAGCUUUGACUCGGUGGCUAUCCUGAACUAUGACUGCAAGUAACUCUUUUGAGGUGGUGCACACGAGUCCACAUAUUCACCCUAUCAAUACACCACUAUGGAUAUGCUCCCGUCUCCCUACGAGAACGCCAUCCAUAGCACUCACGCUUAUCUUGCGCAUUUUAGAGUAUCCACUUUCACUUGUCUAUGAACUGUUAUAGGCGACCCAGAAGUCCUUUACCGCGGACACGGCUAUUCGAAUAGAUCAUAUUAACCCUGCAGGGGUGUACUUCGUCACACACGCUCUCGCCACUUACCACCAUGUACACGUCGUGUACCUCGGCAACCUUCAAGCGGAAGCCUGGCGAGGGAGUCGGCCACGACCUGACUAACCACACAAGUCUCUAGUCCAGGUUUAUCGCCUAUUCGGGUUCCAUCCGCAAGGAGAUCCGGCCGGGGUGUCGCUCACCCAAACGAUGUGUACAGGGUUCCCAAGCCCACCUCAAUGGAUGGAUCUACGCUUGGUACACCGUGACACGGUGCCUAGUCUGUCCCAAGCCCACCUGUACCGGGUACCAGUUGGUAGACUACUAACACAACCUACAAACACCAGAAAAUAGUUGCAACUCCUGGACAGAGAUCGAGGCGGUUAAUAAGCCGAGAGGGGUCGAGUUACCGGAACCCAAUGUGUGGUAGUAACUGUUCAUGGAUCACAAACACAGAACUCAGUUCCCGAGGACGGCUUCAAUGAGACAACCCACCAUGUACUCCUACAUGGCCUCUCACCGCUACCUUUACCAAAUCGUGUUCACACACUUAGCUCUCACACAGUAGGACAUGUUCACAACUUUCCAAUUCAUUCCCGAUGAAUCAGACCUGACACAACUCUAAGCAAUAGCAGGCAUGACAAACAAGCAUGAACGAGUAGGCACAUCAGGGCUCAAACAACUCCUACUCAUGCUAGUGGGUUUCAUCUAUUUACUGUGGCAAUGACAGGUCAUGCAAAGGAUAAGGGGUUCAACUACCGCAGCAAGUAACACAUGAAUCGUUGUUGUCCUAAUGCAGUAAAAGAGAGCAUGAGUGAGAGAGUGGGAUUGUAUCGGAAUGAACAAGGGGGUUUUGCUUGCCUGGCACUUCUAAAGAUAGCAUUGAGUCUUCAUUAGUGUCAACGAUCACAACGCCGGAACAUCGUCUACCGAGAGGGGACAAAUACCGGCAACAGAGAAGAAAUACAAUCAAUGCAAUGCACAAUAUGAUGCAUGAUCAUGACAUGGCAAUAUGAAUGUGUUUUGGGCUAAUGCAAGCUAGAACAGAUUGAGAUGAGUCCAUUUGAACCAAAGAUUCAAAUGCAAACCCAUUUUAUAAAGUCAUAUAAGUGCAUUAUCUUGUCUCAUCUAAACAGCAUGGUUAGGUUGCUCUAACAUGCAUGAAACCAGCACAGAUGGAUAGAUUGUAUUUUUCUGAUCAUUUUUCAUAUAUAAACCUUUUCAUUUGGAGUUACGGUUGAAUUACUAUGAUUUUUAGAAGUUUAGGCAAUUUUCUGGAUUUCCUGGCUAUUUAAAAUUAAACUACUUACAGAAAAUGUAAUACUGCGUCAGCAAGGCGUCAGGCUGACGUCAGCAGGGUCAACAGGGUCAACCCUGAUGGCUGGGACCCACAUGUCAUUGGCUCAGAGUUAACUGGAAGUUAAUCCCGUGUUGACUGGGAUUUGACCCACCGCGGGGCCCGCUGUCAGUGACUGCGUUGUGUAAUUAGCAGUGUGGUUAGGCCCUAAUGGUGUGGUUAGCCGGCGGCUUAACGACGGCGACCACACCGUGCGGCGCGCGGCUCGCCAGAGUGGCGCUAGGGCAGCGGCAGAGCGCGCUGAGGGCACUAGGGGGAAGCCCAGGCCCGUGCGCAUCUAGGGAGGCCGCGUGGCUGUCGGGGAUGGACUGUUGCAGCGGCGGCAGCAAGGUUAGCGGCGGCCGGAGCUCGGCCGUGUACGGGCAGGGUGCUGUGGUGCACUAGCAAUCCAAGAAGAGGCUGGCCAGCGUCGCUGGGCUACCCGGAGCUCGACGGACAGCAGUGAAAGGUGGAACGAGCUCCGCAGCAAGCAGAGCAUCAGCCAUGGCGGACGGCGGCGCUCGGGUACGGCGGCUGGCAUGACUAGAGGGCGUAAUCGCUGCUCGGGGGGAGGGGGUUACGACGCGGGAGCUCACGGUGGUUGCAGAGGUCGUCGAAGCGGGCUCGGGGAAGGCUUGACGGUGUCGGAAUCCCGGCGGCGAUCUCCUGUGGCCGAGGAAGAAGAUGAGGACGUCGAGGGCGUUGCGGUGCAUCCCAGCUCACGUGGCUUGGUGGGGUAGAUGGGGACAGCGUGGCGGAGCUCUUGAGCACGUUGGAAGGGCGAGGGAGGGCCGGUGGUCGUGGCAACAGCGAGCGGCGGCGACGGCAUACUCGGCCAUGGGGGGGAACAGAGGAGCGAGGGGAAGGGAGGUCCAGAGAGCGAGGGAGAAGUGAGAGGGGGUCGGGGAGGUGCCGUGGCACUCGUGGAGGCGUCCAGAAGCGGCGGAAGCAGGAGGUGGCCUCGCGCACGGCGACCACACGCCCGGCAUCCCUCUGGCGUCCUUCUGGCGCGAGGUGGGAGACGGUGGCGGCUCUGGUGGGCUGGGCCAGCUCCUGGGCCGUGGUGGGGCGCCAGGUAAGUCCAGGUGAGGGGCCCAGUGGCCUUCUCUCUCUCUCUUACUUAAUUGUUUCUGUUUUCUAUUUUAUUUCUCCGUUUUGAAUUACUAAAAAUACUAAUUCAUUUUGUAAAAUCCUGAAAAUAAUUGUGGGCACUUUUGAAAAUAUCUCUAAUAGCCCUCAAAUGCUUUCAAGAUUAUUUGGACAGUUAAAAUAUUUUAUAGAAUUUAAAUGUCCAAAUUCAGAUACUUAUGAUUUAAUUCAAAAAUCCAGAAUGUCCUAGAAAAGUGUGCACCAUUUUUGCCAGGGGUUUUAGCCCAAUCCAGAAAUGAUGAACAUUUUGUGAAGGGCAUUUUGGGUUCAUUGAAACCAAUUUUAGUAAACCGUAGUUGGUUUCAGGGGGGUGCUGGGGGUUCUGUCAUCCCCAUUUCAACUUUCUUUCAAGAUUAAACAUGAUGCACACAUGAGGCUAGCCUAGUGCAUUACCAGAAGCUAGGGAUGUGACACAAACUCUUUGUACUCAUUCUAUUCCUUUUUACUUCGCACAUUGUGAAAGUGCAUACUUUUUUGUAUAAGAUUGGUCAAAGUAGAGAUACUUUGACUGCAGACAAAACUUGUAUGCAGACUAGAAAGGACCGGAGGGAGUACAUGUGAAACUGCUGCAAACGAGGUGAUCACCCUGGGAAUAAUGCUAGUACGUAUUGUUUUGCAUGUUCAUCCAAUGCCAGUGAUACAGGAAUUCGAACUAAUCGAAAUAAAUUCAUUCAUACACGGUCGGAUUUCAUAUAAACAUGCCGGAUUUCAUUACAUUUCGUACAUUCUUCAACUAAAAAGGGGUGCGCUGGAGGUAUAAUUAAUUAACCGAAGCUACCCACCUGUGUCCCGCUGAGCCGAACAAAAGCUUCAGUGACUUAACUGCAGGUGCAGUUGCAUAACUGACAUGUGGCCUGUUGGGCCCACGUGUCAGUCAGCCAACUACACCAGCAGUUAAGUAGAAGCAGCGUUCUUCUCCAGCGCAGCUCUCCGACUACACGUCGCCGCCAAGAAGCUAACCGGCCGUCAAUGGUCAACCCGCCUAGCUUGGCUUCAACCGGAGGGUAGCAGCGGUGGCCUUACUUGGACCCGAGCGGCAGCGACCUACCGUGUUCUAGUCUUCCUCGUUUUCUGUGUGGCGCGGCCUCGUUGGCAGCGGGGCGGGGCCUCGGCGGAGCCGGCGAUGUCCUCUGUCUCGUUGCCGGUGGGCGGCGCCUCAGCGGAGCGGUGGAAAUCCUCCCCGACGUUGCCGGCAGGGUGGGGCCUCGGCUGAGCCGGCGAUGUCCUCUGCCUCGUUGUUGGCGGGGCGGGGCCUCGGCGGAGCCAGCGGUGUCCUCUGCCUCGUUGUUGGCACCGCGGGGCCUCGGCGGAGCAGGGCCUCGUCGACGCCAGCGGAGCGGGGACUCGUCGGAGCCGGCAUUGUCCUCUGCCUCGUCCUCGGUCUCGCCAAACAGCGCCUCGCCCGCUUCAUCGCCCUCUUUGCUAGCCUCUUUGUAGGCGGCCGCAGCCUCCGCCACCCGCAUGCGGUACCGCCAGCGCUCGAGGCGGCCCUUGCGGGCGGAGCGGUACGAGUCGAGCAGCGCCUCCUGCUCCGCCCGCUCCGCGGCGAUCUGCUCCUCCGCCUGCAGGUGCUCCUGGAGGAGAUGGUGGUUGUAGGCGGCUUCGGCCUGCGCCUCCCGGAACUGCUCCUCACGCAUCUGCCUCACCCUGUCCAUAUAUUGGGCACGGGCCUCGCCGGUGGUCAUGGUGCAAUGCACCGGCGAGGAAGGCGCGGAGGAGGGGGUUGGCGCCGGAUCGUCAACUACCAUGUUCUCCAUUGGGACGUCGUCGUCCUCCGGCUGCCUGCCGGCCAGCCGGUCGGCAGCAAUGGUUGCCAUCUCCUUGUGGUCCAUCGUCCGCCCGUCCCGAAGAGCGCUGGAGCGCGAGGAAGCCAUGGUGGGCAGUAGUGGUGUGCACAGGAGAAAGGGAACGGAUGCGGAUGACUACGGCUAUGGCCGGCGCAGCAGUUUAUAUAGAAAUGGUGGGUGGGCGGAGGGACGGACGUGUGGCGCCAGAGUAGCCGCCUCGGCAACCGCGUAUCAUUAAUGUGGGCGGCAGAUGGAUGGACGGACGGCAGUUGUGUCGUUUGAAGGCGGAGCAAUUGCCUGCACCGGGAAGCGGGGCGGGCGGCGCUGACUGUUUCGCGCGGAAAGCAUGCGCCGGCGAGGAGAUGACUUUACUUGGAGAGGAUGACAAUGGGGACGUACCAGGUCCAUAGCCUCACGUACGCAAGUGCCUCCUUAUUAUAUAUAUAUAUAUAUCUAAAAAAACUAUAAUUUAUUUUGCUUCCUGCUGGUUUCCUGACAUCACGGUCCCACACCAUUGUCAACCUAUGUAGUAGUCAAUAAACGAGAGAAUUGCACAAGAAGCGGCCGACAGCUGGGACCAAGCAGCUCGAUCAGUAUUUGUGUUUUUGAGGUGUGAGCACUGCAGAGUUUUUCGAUGUUUAGCCCAGAUAUUAAUUUUUCUCCUCUGAACAACAACGAAAACAUCGCUGCAGGUACUAACUGGGCGGGCUGUGGCCCGUCUAGCCCCCGCCAGAUAUCCAGCCCAGAUUUAAAUUUUCGUCAAGCUGAAAAUGGCUAGCCCAGCUAUACUUUUUUAAGGAAUACCCAAGCAAGGUCAAGUUGUUAUUCUCCGCCCCGCUGGGCUGCAAAUCUUUCCUAGGAGGGAUGCAUUAGGCUUAACAAGAAAAUGGGCUUUAAGAAAUAAUAAAUGGGAUGUAAUUAUAAAAACUGGGCAGUAACUAUAAAAAAAGCACCAAACACGUGAUUACUUUAUAAAAUAUUAUUUUUGGAUAUUGAAAAUUUUAAUUUCAUUAAUUAUUGCGAGCGCAAUGUUUCGUUGGAUUUUUACGUAAUAUAAAUUUAUACUGAAAUUGUAUUUAAUCUGACUAGAAAUUUCGGGAUAAAAAUAUUUCGGAUCCCAUCAAAAUGUGGGAAAUUUUAUUGAAUUCUGUUUUGAACGGUUGGUUGAAAUGGGCUGUACUUUUAACAAACUGUAAAUGGGUUGUAGUAAAUUCCAUUAGAAUUCAAAAAGGGGCUACACAUUCUUACAAAUCUCAAAUGGGCUAUAAGUUCUCUGCCACACACUUCUGGCCUUACUAAGUUGACGCGUCCCCUAAAAAAACAGAGUUGACGCGUAUGCAAGGCUUUGUCAACUUAUAGUCAACACACGGUUCUAGCAGCAGUGGCCGUUGGAUGUUCAUCCAACGGAUGCCGUGCUUCUUCUUCAAUCUCGGAUAUGCUAGCUUCACCCGCCCAAAAAAUGAUUCCUCCCCCUGACAUCUGGGGCGCACCAUUUCGGAAGCUGACCUGUGGGCCUACUAAGUUGACGUACCAAGGGCUUUGUCGACUUAGUCAAUAUAAACGAUUCUAGCUGCAGUGACAGUACAAUGUCCAUCCAACGGUCGUCGUGCUUCUUCAACCUCUGGUCUUCUUGCUCCAGCCGCCCAAAUCAGCGCCAGUCGUGCCGCCUGCUCCUGCCUCCCGUGGCCGGCUGUGCUGCCGCGGAGGCCUCACCGCCCCUACUACUUCCACCGCUGGCCAGGCCAUCCCUCCACUCACCCACACCCCAUGUUAUUCUGCGGCGACGGCAGCGCAGCCGAACCAGUGAACCCUCGUACUCCUCUCCGCGUGUGCAUCCACUGUCGUGUCUUCCCCGGCUCCGCGUCGUCCCCUUCCUAGGCCUCGCCGUCGUCCACCGCCCUCGUGCUCUCGACGCGGCGUGGUCAACGUGGUCAAGGAACGACUUCCAUCGGACGUGGACUGUAUGUGGAGAGGCUGACAGCUGGGUCCACGGCAGCCACAAGGAAGUGCCUCCUUAUUACGCGGAAAAUAAUUAUUCCUCCACCUGACAGCGGGGACCCACCGGACGGGCCACCAGUAUUUUGCGAAAAAAAUAGUUUCCCCCUGACUGCUGGGACCCACCAGACGGGCCACCGUAUUUCGUGAAAAAAACGUUCCCCCCGCUGUCAGCUCGGAUCCACCGGAAGUGCCUCCUUAUUAUGCAAAAAAAAAAUGAAUACUCCCCCGGCUAGCUGGGACCCACCUUGGUGGGAGGCUGACUUGUGGGCCUACUAAGUUGACGGGGACGAAGGGCUUUGUCAACUUAGUCAAUAUGAACGAUUCUAGCUCCAGUGACCGUACGAUGUCCAUCCAACGGCCAUAGUGCUUCUUCAACCUCUGGUCUUCUUGCUCCAGCCGCCCAAAGCAGCGCCGGUCGUGCCGCAUGCUCCUGCCUCCCGUGGCCGGCUGUGCUGCCGCAGAGGCUUCACCGCCCCCUACUAUUCCCACCGCUGGCCAGGCCCUGCGGCGACGGCAGCCUCACACCGCAGCCGAACCAGUGAACCAUCGUACUCCUCUCCACGCGGGCUUCCACUGCCGCGUCUUCCCCGGCUCCGCGUCGUCCCUUCCUAGGCCUCGCCGUCGUCCACCGCCGUGGUACUCUCCGUGCGGCGUGGUCAACAUGGUCAAGGAACGACUUCCAUCGGAAGAGUACUGUACGCGGAGAGGCUAACAGCUGGGUCCACGGCCACAGCCCAAUUCUUUUGUGAUUUGCCAAGUAAGUCGCUUUGUCAGGCCUGUUGGGCUCCAAAAUUUUCAAGACGAGGAGAGCUUUCAUUCGGCUGGCCGAGAAAAUGGCCCAUCAGUAAUGAGAAAUGGGCUGUACAUUUUUAAAACACAUCAAACCGGCAAUUAGUUUCAAAUAUCUUUUUUCAUUUCAAGAUUUUAAAUUACGUUAAUUUUUAUGCGUGGAGAAUUUGUUGGAUUUUAUAUUGAUAUACAUUUAUUUUUAAAAUUAGUUUGAAUGUGAGUCGAAAUUUCGGGAUUAAAAACAGUUUGGACCGCACCGAAAUAUGCAAAAUUUCGUAUAAUUUUUUAACCAUGGCCACAAUAUGGCCUGUAAUGCUAACAAAAAGAAUAUAGGCUCCAAAAAAAACCUCAAGAAUUAGCAAAUGGGCUGUAAAUUAUUAGAAAUAACGGGGGCUGUAUGCUAUUUUCCACAGAUUUGAGGCUUUCCUAAAAAAAAGGUUGACGCACAAGCACUGACUGUUGGAUGUCCAUCCAACGGCCGUCGUGCUUCUUCAAUCUCUGCUCUUCCUGCUCCAGCCGCUCAAACAAGCGCCGGCGGGACUGCCUGCUCCCUCCUACCCGCUGCCGGCUGUGCUGCCGCGCAGGCCUCACCGGCCCACCGUACUCCCAUCGCUGGCCUAGCCAUCCCUCUACUCACCCACACCUGCUUUUAUUCUCCGGCGACGGCAGACGAACUAGUAAACCCUCAUACAGUCGUACUCCCCUCUGCGUGGGAAACAACUGCCGAGUCUUCCCUGCCUCCGUGUCGUCCCCUUCCUAGGCCUCGCCGUCGUCCACCGCCGUGGUGCUCUCGGCGCGGCGUGGUCAAUGUGGUCAACGACCGACUUCCAUCGGAAGAGUACUGUGCGUGGAGACGCUAACAGCUGGGUCCACGGCCGCAGCAAGGAAGUGCCUCCUUAUUACGCACAAAAUAAGUAUUCCUCCACUUGAGAGCGGGGACCCACCGGACGGGCCACCGUAUUUCGUGAAAAAAAUGUUUCCCCCCUGACUGCUGGGACCCACCAGCUACACCUUCGCAUGCAAGGAAGUGCGUCCGGGCAAAAAAAACAAAAUGAUUCGCCCCCCCCCCUGACUGCUGGGACCCACCAGCUACAUCUUUGCACGCAAGGAAGUGCCUGACAGUCGGGACCCACCUGGUCGAAGCGUAUGUAGCGUUGUCAUUCUGGUCGCGAACGUGUACGUACAUAUAUACUGGUGGAUGUAGAGGCGUGCACGUGUCGUAGUAGAGGCGUGUACGUGUCGUAGUAGAGGCGCGCACGUAGCAUGUACACGUACGUACAGCGGCCAGGGUGCAAGAACGAAAAUACGGCCACGUAUGUGUACAUACGGGCGGGGUCUCGAACGCCUACUCGCACAUACGUACGGCCAGGGCUCGUGUACAUGGCUGGGUCGGAACGGAGAAACAACGUCGUUAUCGUGUUCAUGGGGAGGCAACGGAAUGCGUCGUGUUCAUGGGGAGGUAACGGAAUGCGUCGUGUUCAUCGGGAGGCAGCGGAACGCGUGGGAGCCAACCGGCUGGGUCGGAACAGAAUGCGUGGUCGUGUUCAUGGGAGGGCUUGGACGGAACAGGCAAUGGAAAUGAGGCCUGGCGUACCGCACAACGGAGGAAAUGAACCUAAUACGUUCGGAAUGGGGUCCUGUUGAUCGGGAGGGGUCUGGCGUACCGCAAAACGGAGGAAACGGACCUCCUACGGUCGAAACGGGGGUCCUGUUGAUCGGGAAGGGUGUGGCGUACCGCAAAACGGACGAAACCGACCUCCUACGGUCGAAACGGGGGUCCUGUUGAUCGGGAGGGGUGUGGCGUACCGCAAAACGGACGAAACGGACCUCCUACGGUCGAAACGGGGNNNNNNNNNNNNNNNNNNNNNNNNNNNNNNNNNNNNNNNNNNNNNNNNNNNNNNNNNNNNNNNNNNNNNNNNNNNNNNNNNNNNNNNNNNNNNNNNNNNNNNNNNNNNNNNNNNNNNNNNNNNNNNNNNNNNNNNNNNNNNNNNNNNNNNNNNNNNNNNNNNNNNNNNNNNNNNNNNNNNNNNNNNNNNNNNNNNNNNNNNNNNNNNNNNNNNNNNNNNNNNNNNNNNNNNNNNNNNNNNNNNNNNNNNNNNNNNNNNNNNNNNNNNNNNNNNNNNNNNNNNNNNNNNNNNNNNNNNNNNNNNNNNNNNNNNNAGCCUCCACGGGCUCCUGUUCAUCCAGCCUCCACCGCGUGCUAGUCCACCGGCUAGUGUUCAACCACCCCUCCACGGGCACCCCUCCACCGUCUACUGUUCAUCCAGCCCUCCACACGACGGGGUCCUGUUCAACCACCCCUCCACGGGCACCCCUCCACCGUCUACUGUUCAUCCAGCCCUCCACACCACGGGGUCCUGUUCAACCACCCCUCCACGGGCACCCCUCCACCGUCUACUGUUCAUCCAGCCCUCCACCACACCACGGGUUUUGUUCAUCCAGAGGCAACGCCACCACUCACUGUUCAUCCAACCCCCCUCCCCCCGCAACGCUCACUGUUCAUCCCAGAGGCAGCAUCGAUCGGCUUCAGUUAGCAGCAGUAGCGAAGGAAUCGCUCGAUCGGGUUUACUUAACAGCCAUCGAUCGAUUGCUCGGGUUCAGUAACGCGCAGCCUGCAGUGCAAUCGCUCGGGUUCAGUUAGAGCCCAACGCCUCGCUCGGGUUCAGUUAGAGCCAACGCCUCGCACACAUGCGCGUACAUGUACGAGAGAAACGCGCAUCGCUCGGCCCCCGACCUCCCACCGUAACCGGGAACUCCUCGAAAUUUUCCCCGCCCUCGCUUCUACCACGGUUUUUUCCAUCAUGGACGGCCCAAAGAAUGUCAUGCAACUGCGUCUCCGGCCCGCCUAGGACGAAAAGCCCAUUUUCUGUCAUGAUUUUUUGUCAUAGAAGUAGGAGCCCAUCACAUCUAUGAUGAUACCGGGUUUUGUCACAAUUAUCGUCAUAGAAGUGUCAUAUGUAUGACAGCAAAAAAUUUCGUUCGGCCCAAAAUGUCACGGAUGUGUCUUUUUUUGUAGUGAGAGCACCUUUAUAAUCACCCAGUUACGUUGUGACGUUUGGUAGCACACAAAGUGUUCCUCCGGUAAACGGGAGUUGCAUAAUCUCAUAGUCAUAGGAACAUGUAUAAGUCAUGAAGAAAGCAAUAACAACAUAGUAAACGAUCGAGUGCUAAGCUAACUGAAUGGGUCAAGUCAAUCACAUCAUUCUCCUAAUGAUGUGAUCCCGUUAAUCAAAUGACAACUCAUGUCUAUGGCUAGGAAACAUAACCAUCUUUGAUCAACGAGCUAGUCAAGUAUAGGCAUACUAGUGACACUCUGUUUGUCUAUGUAUUCACACAAGUAUUAUGUUUCCGGUUAAUACAAUUCUAGCAUGAAUAAUAAACAUUUAUCAUGAUAUAAGGAAAUAAAUAAUAACUUUAUUAUUGCCUCUAGGGCAUAUUUCCUUCAGUCUCCCACUUGCACUAGAGGCAAUAAUCUAGAUUACACAGCAAUGAUUCUAACACCCAUGGAGCCUUGGUGCUGAUCAUGUUUUGCUCGUGGAAGAGGCUUAGUCAACGGGUCUGCAACAUUCAGACCCGUAUGUAUCUUGCAAAUUUCUAUGUCUCCCACCUGGACUAAAUCCCAGAUGGAAUUGAAGCGUCUCUUGAUGUGCUUGGUUCUCUUGUGAAAUCUGGAUUCCUUCGCCAAGGCAAUUGCACCAGUAUUGUCACAAAAGAUUUUCAUUGGACGCGAUGCACUAGGUAUGACACCUAGAUCGGAUAUGAACUCCUUCAUGCAGACUCCUUCAUUUGCUGCUUCUGAAGCAGCUAUGUACUCCGCUUCACACGUAGAUCCCGCCACGACACUUUGUUUAGAACUGCACCAACUGACAGCUCCACCGUUCAAUGUAAACACGUAUCCGGUUUGCGAUUUAGAAUUGUCCAGAUCAGUGUCAAAGCUUGCAUCAAUGUAACCAUUUACGAUGAGCUCUUUGUCACCUCCAUAAACGAGAAACAUAUCCUUAGUCCUUUUCAGGUAUUUCAGGAUGUUCUUGACCGCUGUCCAGUGAUCCACUCCUGGAUUACUUUGGUACCUCCCUGCUAAACUUAUAGCAAGGCACACAUCAGGUCUGGUACACAGCAUUGCAUACAUGAUAGAGCCUAUGGCUGAAGCAUAGGGAACAUCUUUCAUCUUCUCUCUAUCUUCUGCAGUGGUCAGGCAUUGAGUCUUACUCAACUUCACACCUUGUAACACAGGCAAGAACCCUUUCUUUGCUUGAUCCAUUUUGAACUUCUUCAAAACUUUUUCAAGGUAUGUGCUUUGUGAAAGUCCAAUUAAGCAUCAUUGAUGCCCAAUAUAUACGCAGCUUCACCGAGGUCUUUCAUUGAAAACUCUUAUUCAAGUAUACCUUUAUGCUAUUCAGAAAUUCUAUAUCAUUUCCAAUCAGCAAUAUGUCAUCCACAUAUAAUAUUAGAAAUGCUACAGAGCUCCCACUCACUUUCUUGUAAAUACAGGCUUCUCCGAAAGUCUGUACAAAACCAAAUGCUUUGAUCACACUAUCAAAACGUUUAUUCCAACUCUGAGAGGCUUGUACUAGUCCAUAAAUAGAUCGUUGGAGCUUGCACACUUUGUUAGCUCCCUUUGGAUCGACAAAACCUUCCGGUUGCAUCAUAGACAACUCUUCUUCCAGAAAUCCAUUCAGGAAUGUAGUUUUUACAUCCAUUUGCCAAAUUUCAUAAUCAUAAAAUGCGGCAAUUGCUAACAUGAUUCGGACAGACUUAAGCAUCGCUACGGGUGAGUAGGUAUCAUCGUAGUCAAUCCCUUGAACUUGUCAAAAACCUUUUGCAACACGUCGAGCUUUAUAGACAGUAACAUUACCGUCCGCGUCAGUCUUCUUCUUCAAGAUCCAUUUAUUCUCAAUUGCUUUUUGAUCAUCGGGCAAGUCAACCAAAGUCCACACUUUGUUCUCAUACAUGGAUACCAUCUCAAAUUUCAUGGCCUCAAGCCAUUUCGCGGAAUCUGGGCUCACCAUCGGUUCUUCAUAGUUCGUAGGUUCGUCAUGGUCUAGUAGCAUAACCUCCAGAACGGGAUUACCGUACCACUCUGGUGCGGAUCUUACUCUGGUUGACCGACGAGGUUCAGUAAUAACUUGAUCUGAAGUUGCAUGAACAUCAUUAUUAACUUACUCACUAAUUGGUGUAGGCGUAGCAGAAACCGGUUUCUGCGAUGAACUACUUUCCAAUAAGGGAGCAGGUACAAUUACCUCAUCAAGUUCUACUUUCCUCCCACUCACUUCUUUCAAGAGAAACUCCUUCUCCAGAAAGAUUCCGAAUUUAGCAACAAAAGUCUUGCCUUCGGAUCUGUGAUAGACGGUGUACCCAACAGUCUCCUUUGGGUAUCCUAUGAAGACACAUUUCUCCGAUUUGGGUUCGAGCUUAUUAGGUUGAAGCUUUUUCACAUAAGCAUCGCAGCCCCAAACUUUAAGAAACGACAACUUUGGUUUCUUGCCAAACCACAGUUCAUAAGGCGUCGUCUCAACGGAUUUUGAUGGUGCCCUAUUUAACGUGAAUGCGGCCGUCUCUAAAGCAUAACCCCAAAACGAUAGCGGUAAAUCAGUAAGAGACAUCAUAGAUCGCACCAUAUCUAGUAGAGUACGAUUACGACAUUCGGACACACCAUUACGCUGUGGUGUUCCGGGUGGCGUGAGUUGCGAAACUAUUCCGCAUUGUUUCAAAUGAAGACCAAACUCAUAACUCAAAUAUUGUCCUCCAUGAUCAGAUUGUAGAAACUUUAUUUUCUUGUUACGAUGACUUUCAACUUCACUCUGAAAUUCUUUGAACUUUUCAAAUGUUUCAGACUUAUGUUUCAUUAAGUAGAUAUACCCAUAUCUGCUUAAAUCAUCUGUGAAGGUGAGAAAAUAACGAUAUCCGCCACGAGCCUCAACAUUCAUCGGACCACAUACAUCUGUAUUGUUGGGGAACGUAGUAAUUUCAAAAAAAAUUCCUACGCACACGCAAGAUCAUGGUGAUGCAUAGCAACGAGAGGGGAGAGUGUUGUCUACGUACCCUCGUAGACCGUAAGCGGAAGCGUUAUAUCAACGCGGUUGAUGUAGUCGUACGUCUUCACGAUCCGACUGAUCCAAGUACCGAAAGCACGGCACCUCCGAGUUCUUAACUAAAUUAACCAAACCAAUAAUUUUGUAUUUGUAAAUGAGUUUAGGUGGGCAGCCCGGCAAGUAGACAUCCACAAGAAUUAACUUAUCAACUCCCCGAACAGUACUAUAAUCAAAAUAAAAUCUUUUUAAUUAGUUCUCCUUUUUUGGAAUUUUCUUAUUAUCCUUUCAUUUUUACAUAAUAUUUUACUAAAGGAUUCAAGGAAGGAAAAAAGGAUUAGGGUAUUUUUUGUGUAUAAACUGUAUAGCUAUAAAUUAUAUUUUCACAAAAUAUACCAAAAAUUCAAGGUAAUACAAGAAAUAGGAUAGGAUCCUUUACUACGUCUUUUGGGGCUAACACGUUCAGCUCGAUGACGUCCCCACCUUCUCGAUCCAGCAAGAGGGGCGAAGUAGUAGAUGAGUUCCGGCAGCACGACGGCGUGGUGACGGUGUUGGUGAAGAAUAAUCUACGCAGGUCUUCGCCUAAGCACUACGAAAAACUAUGAUGGAGGAUAAACUAGAGGGGUUGGGGUUGCCGGCACACGGCUUGGUGUUUCUUGAUGUGUCUUGGGUGCUAGCCCUACCCCUCUAUUUAUAUGUUGAGCCUUGGGGUCGAAACUUGGAGUAAAAGCCUCCACAAAGUCGGUUUCACCCUAAAGGCAAGAGUCCUUCUCGGACUCCAGGGCCAGACGCUAGGGUUCCCAGCGUCUGGACCCAGACGCCAGGGACCCUGGCGUCUGGCCCCUGGACUCCGCAAAACUUCCUUUUGCACUUUCCAAAAACCUCGUGGGCUUUCCCCUUUGGCCCAGAUAAAGUGUUCUGGUGCCCCAACAUUUCAGGAAACAUCCGGAACCCCUUCCGAUGGAUUCUGAAACCUUUCCGGAGAUCAAACACUACUAUCCACAUAUCAAUCUUUACUUCCGGACCAUUCCGGAGUUCCUCGUCAUAUCCGUGAUCUCAUCCAAAACUCCGAACAACAUUCGGUCACCAACAUACAUAACUCAUAGUACUAUAUCGUCAACGAACGUUAAGCGUGCGGACCCUACGGGUUCGAGAACUAUGUAGACAUGACCGAGACACCUCCCUGGUCAAUAACCAAUAGCGGGACCUGGAUGCCCAUAUUGGCUCCUACAUAUUCUACGAAUAUCUUUAUCGGUCAAACCGCAUAACAACAUACGUUGUUCCCUUUGUCAUCGGUAUGUUACUUGCCUGAGAUUCGAUCAUCGGUAUCUCAAUACCUAGUUCAAUCUCGUUACCGGCAAGUCUCUUUACUCGUUUCGUAAUACAUCAUCCCGCAACUAACUCAUUAGUUACAAUGCUUGCAAGGCUUAUAGUGAUGUGCAUUACUGAGUGGGCCCAGAGAUACUUCUCCGACAAUCGGAGUGACAAAUCCUAAUCUCGAAAUACGCCAACCCAACAAGUACCUUCGGAGACACCUGUAGAGCACCUUUAUAAUCAUCCAGUUACAUUGUGACGUUUGGUAGCACACAAAGUGUUCCUCCGGUAAACGGGAGUUGCAUAAUCUCAUAGUCAUAGGAACAUGUAUAAGUCAUGAAGAAAGCAAUAGCAACAUACUAAACGAUCAAGUGCUAAGCUAAUGGAAUGGGUCAAGUCAAUCACAUCAUUCUCCUAAUGAUGUGAUCCCGUUAAUCAAAUGACAACUCAUGUCAAUGGCCAGGAAACAUAACCAUCUUUGAUCAACGAGCUAGUCAAGUAGAGGCAUACUAGUGACACUCUGUUUGUCUAUGUAUUCACACAUGUAUCAUGUUUCCGGUUAAUACAAUUCUAGUAUGAAUAAUAAACAUUUAUCAUGAUAUAAGGAAAUAAAUAAUAACUUUAUUAUUGCCUCUAGGGCAUAUUUCCUUCAGUCUCCCACUUCCACUACUAGAGUCAAUAAUCUAGUUCACAUCACCAUGUGAUUUAAUACCAAUAGUUCACAUCACCAUGUGAUUAACACCCAUAGUUCACAUCGUCAUGUGACCAACACCCAAAAGGGUUUACUAGAGUCAAUAAUCUAGUUCACAUCGCUAUGUGAUUAACACCCAAAGAGUACUAAGGUGUGAUCAUGUUUUGCUUGUGAUAUAAUUUUAGUCAACGGGUCUGUCACAUUCAGAUCCGUAAGUAUUUUUGCAAAUUUCUAUGUCUACAAUGCUCUGCACGGAGCUACUCUAGCUAAUAGCUCCCACUUUCAAUAUGUAUCCAGAUUGAGACUUAGAGUCAUCUGGAUCAGUGUCAAAACUUGCAUCAACGUAACCCUUUACGACAAACCUUUUGUCACUUCCAUAAUCAAGAAACAUAUCCUUAUUCCACUAAGGAUAAUUUUGACCGCUGUCCAGUGAUCUACUCCUAGAUCACUAUUGUACUCCCUUGCCAAACUCAGUGGUAGGGUAUACAAUAGAUCUGGUACACAACAUGGCAUACUUUAUAGAACCUAUGGCUGAGGCAUAGGGAAUGACUUUCAUGCUUGUGAGAGAAGUUUAGUCAACGGGUCUGCCACAUUCAGAGCCGUAUGUAUUUUGCAAAUAUUCUAUGUCUACAAUACUCUGCACGGAGCUACUCUAGCUAAUUGCUCCCACUUUCAAUAUGUAUCCAGAUUGAGACUUAGAGUCAUCUGGAUCAGUGUCAAAACUUGCAUCGUCGCACCCUUUACGACGAACCUUUUGUUACCUCCAUAAUCGAGAAACAUAUCCUUAUUCCACUAAGGAUAAUUUUGACCGUUGUCCAGUGAUCUACUCCUAGAUCACUAUUGUACUCCCUUGCAAAACACAGUGUAGGGUAUACAAUAGAUCUGGUACACAGCAUGGCAUACUUUAUAGAACCUAUGGCUGAGGCAUAGGGAAUGACUUUCAUUCUCUUUCUAUCUUCUGCCGUGGUCGGGCUUUGAGUCUUACUCAAUUUCACACCUUGUAACACAGGCAAGAACUUUUUGUUUGACUGUUCCAUUUUGAACUACUUCAAAAUCUUGUCAAGGUAUGUACUCAUUGAAAAAACUUAUCAAGCGUUAUGAUCUAUCUCUAUAGAUCUUGAUGCUCAAUAUGUAAGCAGCUUCACCGAGGUCUUUCUUUGAAAAAACUCCUUUCAAACACUCCUUUAUGCUUUGCAGAAUAAUUCUACGUUAUUUCCGAUCAACAAUAUGUCAUUCACAUAUACUUAUCAGAAAUGUUGUAGUGCCCCCACUCACUUUCUUGUAAAUACAGGCUUCACCGCAAGUCUGUAUAAAACUAUAUGCUUUGAUCAACUCAUCAAAGCGUAUAUUCCAACUCCGAGAUGCUUGCACCAGUCCAUAGAUGGAUCGCUGGAGCUUGCACAUUUUGUUAACACCUUUAGGAUUGACAAAACCUUCUGGUUGCAUCAUAUACAACUCUUCUUUAAUAAAUCCAUUAAGGAAUGCAGUUUUGUUUAUCCAUUUGCUAGAUUUCAUAAAAUGCGGCAAUUGCUAACAUGAUUCGGACAGACUUAAGCAUAGAUACGAGUGAGAAACUCUCAUUGUAGUCAACACCUUGAACUUGUCGAAAACCUUUUCCGACAAUUCUAGCUUUGUAGAUAGUAACACUACUAUCAGCGUCCAUCUUCCUCUUGAAGAUCCAUUUAAUCUCAAUGGCUCGCCGAUCAUUUGGGCAAGUCAAUCAAAGUCCAUACUUUGUUCUCAUACAUGGAUCCCAUCUCAGAAUUCAUGGCCUCAAACCAUUUCGCAGAAUCUGGGCUCAUCAUCGCUUCCUCAUAGUUCGUAGGUUCGUCAUGGUCAAGUAACAUAACCUCCAGAAUAGGAUUAUCGUACCACUCUGGUGUGGAUCUCACUCUGGUUUACCUACGAGGUUUCGUAGUAACUUGAUCUGAAGUUUCAUGAUCAUCAUCAUUAACUUCCUCACUAAUUGGUGUAGGCAUCACUGGAACAGAUUUCUGUGAUGAACUACUUUCCAACUCGGGAGAAGGUACAAUUACCUCAUCAAGUUCUACUUUCCUCCUACUCACUUCUUUCGAGAGAAACUCCUUCUCUAGAAAGGAUCCAUUCUUAGCAACGAAUGUCUUGCCUUCGGAUCUGUGAUAGAAGGUUUACCCAACAGUCUCCUUUGGGUAUCCUAUGAAGACACAUUUCUCCCAUUUGGGUUUGAGCUUAUCAGGAUGAAACUUUUUCACAUAAGCAUCGCAACCCCAAACUUUAAGAAACGACAACUUGGGUUUCUUGCCAAACCACAGUUCAUAAGGUGUCAUCUCAACGGAUUUCGAUGGUGCCCUAUUUAACGUGAAUGCGGCUGUCUCUAAUGCAUAACCCCAAAACUAUAGUGGUAAAUCGGUAUGAAACAUCAUAGAUUGCACUAUAUCCAAUAAAGUACGGUUAUGACGUUUGGACACACCAUUACGCUGUGGUGUUCCAGAUGGUGUGAGUUGCGAAACUAUUCCGCAUUGUUUCAAAUGAAGACCAAACUCGUAAGUAAAAUAUUUUUCUCCGUGAUCAGAUCGUAGAAACUUUAUUUUCUUGUCACGAUGAUUUUCCACUUCACUCUGAAAUUCUUUGAACUUUUCAAAUGUUUCAGACUUAUGUUUCAUCAAGUAGCUAUACCCAUAUCUGCUCAAAUCAUCUGUGAAGGUCAGAAAAUAACGAUAACCAACGCGAGCCUCAACACUCAUCGGACUGCAUACAUCAGUAUGUAUUAUUUCCAAGAAGUCAGUUGCUCGCUCCAUUCUUCCGGAGAUCUGAGUCUUAGUCAUCUUGCCCAUGAGGCAUGGUUCGCAAGCAUCAAGUGAUUCAUAAUCAAAUGAUUCCAAAAACCCAUCAGCAUGGAGUUUCUUCAUGCGCUUUACACCAAUAUGACCUAAAAGGCAGUGCCACAAAUAAGUUGCACUAUCAUUAUUAACUUUGCAUCUUUUAGCUUCAAUGUUAUGAAUAUGUGUAUCACUACGAUCGAGAUCCAACAAACCAUUUUCGUUGGUGUGUAUGACCAUAGAAGGUUUUAUUCAUGUAAACAGAACAACAAUUGUUCUCUAACUUAAAUGAAUAACCGUAUUGCAAUAAACAUGAUCAAAUCAUAUUCAUGCUCAACGCAAACACCAUAUAACACCAGUAUAGGGAGUCUGCGAUGAUGAUCAUAUCAAUCUUGGAACCACUUCUAGUACACAUCGUCACUUCACCCUUAACUAGUCUCUGUUCAUUCUGCAACUCCCGUUUCGAGUUACUACUCUUAGCAAAUGAACCAGUAUCAAAUACUGAGGGGUUGCUAUAAACACUAGUAAAGUACACAUGAAUAACAUGUAUAUCAAAUAUACCUAUGUUCACUUUGCCAUCCUUCUUAUCCGCCAAUUACUUGGGAUAGUUCCGCUUCCAGUGACCAGUCCCUUUGCAGUAGAUGCACUUAGUCUCAGGCUUAGGUCCAGACUUGGGCUUCUUCACUCGAGCAGCAACUUGCUUGCCAUUCUUCUUUAAGUUCCCCUUCUUCCCUUUGCCCCUUUUCUUGAAACUAGUGGUCCUGUUAAUCAUCAACACUUGAUGCUCUUUCUUGAUUUCUACCUUCAUCGAUUUCAUCAUCAUGAAAAGCUCGGGAAUCUUUUUUGUCAUCCCUUGCAUACUAUAGUUCAUCACGAAGUUCUACUAACUUGGUGAUGGUGACUAGAGAAUUCUGUCAAUCACUAUUUUAUCUAGAAGAUUAACUCCCACUUGAUUCAAGCGAUUGUAGUACCCAGACAAUCUGAGCACAUGCUCACUGCUUGAGCUAUUCUCCUCCAUCUUUUAGCAAAAUAUUGUCAGAGGUCAAAUACCUCUCGACACGGGCAUGAGUAUGAAAUACCAAUUUCAACUCUUGGAACAUCUUAUAUGUACCGUGGCGUUUCAAAACAUUUUUGAAGUCCCAGUUCUAAGCCGUAAAGCAUGGUGCACUAAACUAUCAAGUAGUCAUCAUAUCGAGCUUUUGUCAAACAUUCAUAAUGUGUGCAUCUGCUCCUGCAAUAGGUCUGUCACCUAGCGGUGCAUCAAGGACAUAAUUCUUCUGUGCAGCAAUGAGGAUAAUCCUCAUAACAUGGAUCCAAUCCGCAUUAUUGCUACUAACAUCUUUCAACUUAGUUUUCUCUAGGAACAUAUCAAAAUAAAACAGGGGAGCUAAACGCGAGCUAUUGAUCUACAACAUAGAUAUGCUAAUACUACCAGGACUAAGUUCAUGAUAAAUUUAAGUUCAAUUAAUCAUAUUACUUAAGAACUCCCACUUAGCUAGACAUCCCUCUAAUCCUCUAAGUGAUCACAUGAUCCAAAUCAACUAAACCAUGUCCGAUCAUCACGUGAGAUGGAGUAGUUUCAAUGGUGAACAUCACUAUGUUGAUCAUAUCUACUAUAUGAUUCACGCUCGACCUUUCGGUCUCAGUGUUCCGAGGCCAUAUCUGUUAUAUGCUAGGCUCGUCAAGUUUAACCUGAGUAUUCCGCGUGUGCAACUAUUUUGCACCCAUUGUAUUUGAACGUAGAGCCUAUCACACCCGAUCAUCACGUGGUGUCUCAGCACGAAGAACUUUCGCAACGGUGCAUACUCAGGGAGAACACUUAUACCUUGAUAAUUUAGUGAGAGAUCAUCUUAUAUGCUAGCGUCAAUCAAAGCAAGAUAAGAUGCAUAAAAGAUAAACAUCACAUGCAAUCAAUAUAAGUGAUAUGAUAUGGCCAUCAUCAUCUUGUGCUUGUGAUCUCCAUCUCCGAAGCACCGUCAUGAUCACCAUCUUCACUCGCGCGAUACCUUGAUCUCCAUCGUAGCAUCGUUGUCGUCUCGCCAACUUAUGCUUCUACGACUAUCGCUACCGUUUAGUGAUAAAGUAAAGCACUACAGGGCGUUUGCAUUGCAUACAAUAAAGCGACAACCAUAUGGCUCCUGCCAGUUGCCGAUAACUUGGUUACAAAACAUGAUCAUCUCAUACAAUAAAAUAUAGCAUCAUGCCUUGACCAUAUCACAUCACAACAUGCCCUGCAAAAACAAGUUAGACGUCCUCUACUUUGUUGUUGCAAGUUUUACGUGGCUGCUACGGGCUGAGCAAGAACCGUUCUUACCUACGCAUCAAAACCACAACGAUAGUUCGUCAAGUUAGUGUUGUUUUAACCUUCUCAAGGACCGGGCGUAGCCACACUCGGUUCAACUAAAGUUGGAGAAACUGACACCCGCCAGCCACCUGUGUGCAAAGCAUGUCGGUAGAACCAGUCUCGCAUAAGCGUACGCGUAAUGUCGGUCUCGGCCGCUUCAUCCAACAAUACCGCCGAACCAAAGUAUGACAUGCUGGUAAGCAGUAUGACUUGUAUCCGGUUCAUAACUGUCAUCGAAACAUUAAGCGUGCGGACCCUACAGGUUCGAGAACUAUGUAGACAUGACCGAGACACGUCUCCGGUCAAUAACCAAUAGCGGAACCUGGAUGCUCAUAUUGGCUUCCACAUAUUCUACAAAGAUCUUUAUCGGUCAGACCGCAUAAUAACAUACGUUGUUCCCUUUGUCAUCGGUAUGUUACUUGCCCGAGAUUCGAUCGUCGGUAUCUCAAUACCUAGUUCAAUCUCGUUACCGGCAAGUCUCUUUACUCGUUCCGUAAUACAUCAUCCCACAACUAACUCAUUAGUUGCAAUGCUUGCAAGGCUUAAGUGAUGUGCAUUACCGAGAGGGCCCAGAGAUACCUCUCUGACAAUCGGAGUGACAAAUCCUAAUCUCGAAAUACGCCAACCCAACAAGUACCUUCGGAGACACCUGUAGAGCACCUUUAUAAUCACACAGUUACGUUGUGACAUUUGGUAUUACACAAAGUGUUCCUCCGGUAAACGGGAGUUGCAUAAUCUCAUAGUCAUAGGAACAUGUAUAAGUCAUGAAGAAAGCAAUAGCAACAUACUAAACGGUCGAGUGCUAAGCUAACUGAAUGGGUCAAGUCAAUCACAUCAUUCUCCUAAUGAUGUGAUCCCGUUAAUCAAAUGACAGCUCAUGUCUAUGGCUAGGAAACAUAACCAUCUUUGAUCAACGAGCUAGUCAAGUAGAGGCAUACUAGUGACACUCUGUUUGUCUAUGUAUUCACACAAGUAUUAUGUUUCCGGUUAAUACAAUUCUAGCAUGAAUAAUAAACAUUUAUCAUGAUAUAAGGAAAUAAAUAAUAACUUUAUUAUUGCCUCUAGGGCAUAUUUCCUUCAUGGACAGGUGGUGGCCCCCCUGACGUAUUUCUUCCGCUCAGUAUUUUUUAUUAUUUCCAAAAAUGACUUUCGUGGAGUUUCAGGACUGUUGGAGUUGUGCAGAAUAGGUCUCUAAUAUUUGCUCCUUUUCCAGCCCAGAAUUCCAGCUGUCGGCAUUCUCCCUCCUUAUGUAAACCUUGUAAAAUAAGAGAGAAUAGGCAUAAGUAUUGUGACAUAAUGUGUAACAGCCCAUAGUGUAAUAAAUAUCGAUAUAAAAGCAUGAUGCAAAAUGGACGUAUCAAGGCACCCUAAAUGCUAAGUUAAGUUUUCAUCAUUUAGGGUUUAUCGAUGCCGAGGCACCCUAGGUUGACUGAUAUAUAUGGGUAUCUUCUAAUAAUAUACCCUAUCAAGUAUGGCGCAAUAGUUAAAAUAAUAGCCAACAGUGACAUGCAAGUGCUGACAGAAAAAGGGAAGGAGAAUUCUAAGUUGGGCCUAAUCAUUUGGCUCUAUUGCCACCUAUGGCAGUUGCUUAUUAGUUGUUCAAAAAAAUUUAGGAGCGGGCAGUAAUGAAUAAUAUUUAAUGGGAUACCUCAAAAAGCUAAUCUAGUAUCUCCAUUUAACAGUUUUCAACUAGAAAGUGCACAAAGUGCAACAAGCAGAUUAUUUCAACCCCCCAAACAAUAAUGAUAACAUUCUUUUCCUGAACUAUAAACGACUCAUGGUUUCGUCUGUCCACACAUGAACUCAACAUAUGUGUUUAAUCCAGCAAGAAUAAAGGGACACCACAUGUCAAAAAUCUCGCAUCCAAAAUUUCACAAUUGAGCCUAACGUGACAGUGCAUAUAUAACCAGGCUUAUGGUGCAUUCUACUUUCUACCUAUCCAAACUGUAUUUGUCAGACUGAACUAAGUUAAAUGUUAUCUGCACACCCUAUCUUUUUAUCUGAUUAACACAAAAUAGACAUCUCAACACUUGCAUUUGCAAAUAUAACACCAUGAGACACUUCAACUAGGUACUUCUCGAAGGACAAACACCAAGAGACAGUAAACAUAUCAGCCGUUGAUAGAAGAUUCAGAACUAGUCCUUAGCUUGAGCUUCUGAACUAGUACUGGCAAACCUAGAAUAAUGGCUCAAAUACUGAACUGUUUGAGCUUCUGAACUAGUACUGGCAAACCUAGAAUAAUGGCUCAAAAGCUGAACCUAGAAUAGAUUAUACCAUUAGUAAUAACUAUGCAUUGCUCAUGUUGUAAAAAGGCUCAGAAAGAGAGCAACUGACAUUAGUAAUAACUAUGAGUUGAUAUCACACUUCUAUAUGUAUAACACAAGAGGCAGUUGAUCCUACUUAAUUAAGUACUAAAAUACCCCGGCCCAUGCAUUAGUCGCAAGUACCCCAUAUGUCCUAUUUUUAGCAAAGUCAUGCUAAAAUUCACGGAAAAUUUCAGCAUGACCUUUGCUGAAAAUAGGACAUAUGGAGUACCCGAAUUUGCCGGAACGGAACUUAAUCGACAUUCUGGCAAACUGAAGGGCCUCUCGAGGUACCUGCAAAAUCAUCACGACACGAUGGUCGGAGUCAAAACCCAGGAAACUAGCAAAGUUACUGACGUGUUUACACUAGUAGUGGGAAAAUCUCAUGGUAAGACCGGACUGGCAGUCCAACAUGAAGGCCGACACAUUUUCAACUCAACCAUGCAGUACAAUAUAAAUGCAAUAGUCAUGAAAUUUGAAACUAUUCAAACCAGAACCUUGUGGUGGGGAACCAGCCUGCAAUCGUACAAGAAAUGUAGUAGCAAAGAGGACCAUUUGGACAUGUCCUUUUCAAACCCUCACAAAGAUCAAAUACACCUCAAAAGUUAUUGACAAAUAAAAGUCAAAAAAAACAGAAAUUGUUUUCUGUAAAAGAUGAUCAUCAUCUUUACAAGUCUUUUUCAAUGUGAUCAAUUGAUGGAUCAACACGUAAAACAUGUCCAAUAAGAGCAUAUAAUUCAACAACUCCACUGAAAAUGAGAGCUGAAAGAUGCAGGGAGCACAAACAGCUCAGAAAAAUCAACCUCAUAAAUGCCAUAAAAGUAGUCUUGCAAACACUUCAUAUAAGAAAGCAUUUCUCUUUUUUUAGGGAUGAAAGCAUUUCUCUUUAAUAAUGAAAUAAAUCGUUAGAUAUGUUCAGAAAUAAAUGUUCCCCAGAAACACUAAUUUGAUAUAUAACUGAGCAACACAGAUCAACACUGAAAAUCAAUUGAGGCUGCUACAGCCUACAGGUGACCCAAUAUUCAUAUGUCCUUGAGAAACAUGAAGAUCAUGCUAAUGCAAAGUGUCCAAGCCAACAACUCCAACUAGUAAAAGUUCACAAACACCUUUAUCAACAAUUGAGUUACGUGGGUGAUAUUGUUCUUGCAACUUGUUAGCACUGUUCAAGGAAGCAUCAAAAAGAACAUGUCUACAACUAUCAGACCAUCACAAGUAUCAACAGAACAUGUCUACAACUAUGUAACAAAUCAUGUCUAGUUGAUCUUAUGUAAAAAAUCUGACCAUCACAAAAAUCAAAAGAACAUCUCUACACCAUCAUUCAGGCCAUCACAAGCAUAACAGAGCAAUGGUGUUUUCUUCAGUUACCUUUGAUCUGGCUGCUCGGAAUCCACUGCCUUCAGAUCCGCUGACCAAUCCACCAACCUGCUGUUCAUCAAAAGGAAAAAUAAAUGAGCAUACAUGGUGAGUAGAAGGGAUUGGGGAUUUACGGUUUCUGUAUGGGGUUAGGGAUUGGGAUAGGGAAGAUGGCUAUGGGGGGCCACAGGAAGAAGCGGCCAGGCGGAGGCUCUAGUCCCGUGACAUCCGGCGAUGGAGGGGAUGGGCGCCGCGCUGAUGGCAAAAGCGGGCGGCCAUGGGCGACGGACGGCGGGACAAGCGGGGAGGUGGGCCGGCAGGGUGAUGCGAGGCAGCAGAACUAGGCCGCAUGCGGAUGCGGGGAGGAGUGGAUCUGUCGGCCAGAGAGAACGGAGAACUAGGACAAGGACGAGGGUGACGACCUGACCUGGGUUGGAGGAGGCCAGGCGGAGGACGGUAGGGCGCGUCGCGUCCGCGCUCGCUGGCCGUCGCUCGUCGGAGGGAGGAGAGAACGGGCAGGGCGGGGCGGCGAGGAACCGGGUGGACGCGGGCCUCCUCCUCCUAGUGCUCCGGCGGCGACUCCGGCGGCGGAGCGGGCGCGGGGGUCGUCGGGUACGGGGGGUCGUCGGCGGCGGUGGAGAGCGGGCGCGGGGGGUUUGCUCGGCGGCGGUGGAGAGCGAGAGCGGGCGAGGGGGAUCUGGCGAGGGAGGGUUAGCGAGGGGGGAAGGUUAGCAAUGGCGCACCUCCUAGUGGUGUGCCAUAAGUACUUUGAUAGCAAUGGCGCACCUUCCCCUGGUGCGCCAUUACUAACCUUUUUUUGGAUUUUUAGUUGCAUCUAAUAUUUUUUUAGAAAAGGAUGAUAAAAUUUGAAAACAUUUAUGAAUGUGAAAAAUUAUCAACAAAUUUGUUAUUUAAAAAUAUUUAUGAAUAUGAAAAAAUAUCAUCAAAUUUGUUAUUUGAAAAUAUCAUCAAAUUUGUUAUUUGAAAAUAUUUGAAAAAAUAUCAUAAAAAUUUGUAUACCAAUGGCGCACCUCCUAGGGGUGCGCCAUAAGUACUUUGAUAGCAAUGGCGCACCUUCCCAUGGUGCGCCAUUACUAACCUUUUCUUUGCAUUUUUAGUUGCAUCUAAUUGUUUUUAGAAAAUGACGAUCAAAUUUGAAAACAUUUAUGAAUGUGAAAAAAUAUCAUCAAAUUUUUUAUUUGAAAAUAUUUAUGAAUAUUAAAAAAUAUCAUCAAAUUUGUUAUUUGAAAAUAUCAUCAAAUUUUGUUUUGGAUUUUUGGUUGCAUUCAUUUGUGAAUUGGUAAAACAUUUAUGAAUAUGAAAAAAUAUCAUCAAAUUUGAAAAAAUAUUCAUGAAUUCAAAAAGUUCCCAUGAAAUUUAAAAAUAUUCAUGAGUUCAAAAAAUAACUAACUUUUUUUUGGAUUUUUAGUUGCAUCUAAUAUUUUUUUAGAAAAUGACAAUCAAAUUUGAAAACAUCUAUGCAUGUGAAAAAAUAUCAUCAAAUUUGUAAUUUGAAAAUAUUUAUGAAUAUGAAAAAAUAUCAUCAAAUUUUGUUUUGGAUUUUUAGUUGCAUUCAGUUGUGAAUUGGUAAAACAUUUAUGAAUAUGAAAAAAUAUCAUCAAAUUUGAAAAAAUAUUCAUGGAUUGAAAAAGUGCCCAUGAAAUUUAAAAAUAUUCAUGAGUUCAAAAAAUAUUAAAAAAUUCAAUACUUUUUGUGAGUUAGAAAUUCAAUACCAGAAUAAACAUAAAUAAAUAUUCAUGAGGACUAGAACAGAAGAAAUAUCAUUUCAAUAUGUCAAAAUGCAAUCGAGAAAUGAAGACUACAAUUUAAAUACAAUCGAUCUUAGCUAGCUAUAUUUUCACAAUCUUCUUGCCCUUCUUUUUCGCAAAUGGAGUUCUUCUGUUGAACGGACGUCCUUUAGGUAGGGUGGUCCUGCUUCUUCUUGUGGUGUAUGGCACUUCAUCGCCGUCGUCAUGUUCCAUCUUCGGGUCGUCGUACCUGUCGAAGUCUUGCUCAUUGGCGACUCCAUCCAUUCCGAUGAUCUUCCUUUUGCCUCUCCUCACGACAACACGACUGGGCUUUGACGGGUCGGUAAUGAAGAAGCAUUGGUCCACUUGGGAAGCCAGUACCCAUGGCUCAUUUUUCGCGGUGACGUUUGUGCCCGCGGUCUUGGAUUUGGCUUCGGGUAUAACCAUGGUGGUGAAAUACCAGUCUUCUUUUAGGACGUUCUUGGCCCAUCUCACACGGAACAUCUGGACCUUCUCUCCAGCGUAGCUCAGCUCCCAGAUCUCCUCGAUCCUUCUGUAGUAUCUGUCCUUGUCAUUACCGAUGUAGGAUUCCAUCAUUACCCCGGAGUUCUGAUAACCAUCGCUCUUCAUGUCCUUGUCCUCGGUGUAGAAUGUGUAGCCGUUGAUAUCAUAUGCCUCAUAGGUCAUCAGGUUGUGCUCGGCGCCCUGUGACAAGGCGAACAUGAGUUUUUCUUCCGCGGAAGAAUCCUCAUGUAAAGGGUACGACAGAAGCAUCUCCUUGAACCAACGCGUGAAACAUGAGUUGUGCUCUUUGAUUAUAUCUCCGUCCGUCCUCUGUUGGCCUCGGUCAUUGUACGUCUUCUCAAUAAAGGUUUUGUGCUCUACCACCCAAGGAUCGACCACGUCUAUGUGUUGUAGCGCGACUAGGUUUGCUCUUUCAAAGUCGGCGAGUCGACCCUCGAAGUCGACAUGCAUUUCGCGGCGACCAUCGCGGUGACCCCAUCCAGCGAGCCUGCCGAGGUGCCUAUUGACGGGCAGACCAACAGGGUUCUCGAUGCCUAGAUAAUUCGUGCAGUAGGAGAUGCACUCUUCGGUCAGAAAGCCCCUGGCUAUGCUUCCCUCUGGAUGUGACAUGUUGCGAACGUAUCCUUUGACGACACCAUUCAUCCUUUCGAACGGCAUCAUGCUGUGCAGGAACGUCGGCCCGAGUUGGACGAUAUCCUCCACGAUAUGGACCAGCAGAUGCACCAUAACAUCGAAGAAUGCAGGCGGGAAGUACAUCUCAAGCUCGCAUAGUAUCACCACGAUCUCUUCCUGUAGCCUUCUGAGUUGCCUCACGCCAACCGACUUCCGAGAGAUGACGUCGAAAAAGUUGCAUAUGCCAAAUAGCGUUUCACGGACGUGCGCGUCCAUGAUCCCACGGAUUGCAACUGGAAAUAUCUGCGUCAUCAGCACGUGACAGUCGUGAGACUUCAUCACGCUGAACUUCUGCUUCGCUGAGUCUAGGUAUCUGCUUAUCUUCCCCGCGUAACCGUAAGGAAGUUUUACUCCUACGAGGCUAGUGAAAAACUGCUCGAUCUCCUCCUGACUUAGAGUGAAGCACGCGGGAGGGUAGUCAUUUCCGAUCUUCUUGGCCUUUUUGCCUUUGCGACGACUUUCCGUGUCCUGCUUCGCCUCAUCAUCAUCAUCAUUAGUGUGAAGCUCCUCCCUGAUGCCCAUUGAUUUCAAGUCUGCCCUUGCUUUUGGACCAUCUUUGGUCCUCUCUGGCAUGUUGAGCAAGGUACCAAGCAGACUCUCGCACAUGUUCUUCGUGAUAUGCAUGACAUCAAGGCUGUGAGGCACACGGAGGAUCUUCCAGUACGGCAAGUCCCAGAAAAUAGACCUCGUUUUCCAUACCUUCAGCAGCGGCUCUGGCGCCUUUCGCUUCUUUCCCGGCUCUGUCGCCUUUUGCUUCUUUCCCGGUAGUGGGCAAUCUUUCCAAUUUUUCAACAGCUCGUCUAUUUCCUCGCCGCUCCUUGUACGCGGGCGUCUUCGGGGUUCGUUUCACCAUCGAACAGAUCCUUGCGUUUUCUCCAUGAGUCAUCGUCGCGAAGCCACCUUCGAUGUCCCAUGAACACAGUUUUCGAAGACCCGGGAUCUCUAUCUAGCAGGCGAUACGUUGUGUCAUCCAUGCACCUGACGCAUCCAGAAAAUCCGUGGACCACCUGCCCCGCGACAUAUCCCUAACCGAGAUAGUCGUGCACCGUCGUGAGCAGUGCGGCUCUCAUAGGGAAAUAUUCUUUCUCUGCGGCGUCCCACGUAUUGGCUGGCGUUUUCCACAGCGUGUCUACCUCCUCUUUCAGCAGCCCCAGAUACAGAUUGAUGUCGUUCCCUGGUUGUUUCGGCCCUUCAAUUAGCAUACUCAUGUGAAUGUACUUCCGCUUCAUGCACAACCAUGGGGAAGGUUGUACAACCACACAAACACAGGCCAGGUGCUAUGUGUGCUUCUCUGGCUGCCAAACGGAUUGACUCCAUCGGUGCUCGCACCCAGCACGAUGUUCCUUGGAUCGUCCCCAAAUUCUGGGUGUUUGAAGUUCAACGCUUGCCACUGGCUCGCAUCCUUAGGGUGACUCAGCAUCUUGUCUUUUUUAUUUAUCUCCGGAUCAUUUCCGUCAUCUUCUCGCUUCUUCUCCUCCCUAUCCGCGUGCCAACGCAGGAGCUUUGAUACCUUAGGGUCCGCGAAAUACCGCUGCAGAUGAGGAGUGAUCGGAAAGUACGACACCACUUUUCGAGGAUCUUUCUUCCUCUUCUUGUAUCGAGUGACGCCGCACACCGGACAUAUGGUAGACUCCGCGUGCUCGUCCCGAUUAUGAUGCAAUUGUUCAUGCACACAUGGUAUUUCACGUGCGGUAAAUCCAGAGGACACAUGAUUUUCUUUGCCUCCUCGAAACUGGUCGGGCACUUGUUCCCCUUGGGAAGACGUUCGUGCCAGAAUGACAUGUUCUCGUCGAAGCAUGCGUCGGUCAUUUUGUGUUUAACCUUCAUCUCCAGAGCCAUGAGCGUUACUUUCAGGCGGGUAUCCUCGGGCCUGCAUCCUUCAUACAAUGGAGUAACUGUGUCUAUCUCCAGUUCAUCCAUCUUGGCUUUCUCUCGGGCGGCUGCUCUCGCGUUAUCCGUCUGCUUGAGAAGCAGCUCUUGAAUAUGAGGGUCCUGCACCCAGCCCAUCGAUGGUCCAUCGUCGUCUGCUCCGGCAUCUUCAUCUUCAUGAUCAUGCCCUUCGUCUUGAUCUUCCUCAUCAUCAUGUCCGGCAUCUUCUACAUGAUGACUGUGUACUGCAUCACCGUCAUGAUCAUGUCCUAGAGAUUCUUCGUCUUCUCGCCCGCCCUCGCCGCGGUUGUCUUGCUGCCCAUCCUCAUUUCUUGCCCGCCCCCCAUGGACGACUUCAUAGUCAUCUUCAUCACCUUGCCACCGAUAGCCAUCCAUGAAACCACGCAAGAGCAGGUGGUCCUGCACCUGUCCGGAAUCCGGGUCCGUAAUAACGCUCUUCAGCUUGCAUCUUCGACACGGACAUCUUAUCUCCGUCUCGUUCUUUUGAAGCAUCUCGGCCUUCGCGGAGCUCAAAAAACUAUUCACGAUGCCUUCGGUCAUCGUGCGGACCAUGGUCGCCUGCGGGGUAGAGCAAAACGAUAUUUUAGAACCAAAAAAAAUUUGGCAUGACUUUGCCUAAAAAUAGGACCAAAAAGAAUGCAUAGUGCCAAAUUCUCGCCGAAACGGAAAUGAAUCAACAUUCCGGCAAAAUAUUGGCAACUAUCGCAUUUCAAAUACCGGUACCUGCAAACACAAACAUAUGCAACACCACAAACAUACGUAGAUCUAGGCCAUAAAAAGUGCAUGUGCACAUUGUUGGAGGGAGAAAAAAGUAGAUCUACAACAUAAAGAAGCUUUCCCCUUACUUACCUAUCAAAAAAGGAAAUUUAACCACUUAAUUUGGGUGAAUCUAUGGUGCAAAUGAAGUGAGGAGGAGGAGGCAGCCGAGACAAUCUUGGAGGAGGAGGUGAAGAGAAUGAAGUGGGGAAAGUGAGUGUGGUAGGUGGCUAUCUAAAAUAUCUAGCUGCUCUCAGGUUACCAAUGGCGCACCACCUAAUAAUGCGCCAUUAGUAACCCUGCGCACCUGUUAUGUGGUGCGCCAUUACUAGUUUUGCAAAUAAAUGGUUAGUAGUGGUGCACCGUCGUGAACUAGUAAUGGCGCACUAUACCUUGGUGCGCCAUUACUAGUUUUGAAAAAAAAAAGUAAAAAUUUUUUGUUAGUAGUGGCGCACAGAGUGUGUGGUGCGCCAUUACUAGUUAAAACUAGUAACGGCGCACUAUGCCCUGGUGCGCCAUUACUAGUUUUGGAAAAAAAUUGUUAGUAGUGGCGCACCGUGGGUGUGGUGCGCCAUUAGUGAUAUGGACACUAAUGGUGCACCUACACAUGGUGCGCCACUGCUAUAUAGCAGUGGCGCACCACAUAUGUGGUGCGCCAUUAAUGUCCAUAUUAGCUAUAGCCCUUUUCCUAGUAGUGGCUACGGGACUUGCAAACUUCAACACAAGUAUUUAUCAAAUUCAUAACUACUCAACUAGCACGACUCUAAUAUUACCAUCUUCAUAUCUCAAAACAAUUAUCAAGUACCAAACUUCUCAUAGUAUUCAAUGCACUUUUAUGAAAGUUUUUAUUAUACCCAUCUUGGAUGUCUAUCAUAUUAGGACUAAUUUUAUAGCCAAAGCAAAUUACCAUGCUGUUCUAAAAUACUCUCAAAAUAAUAUAAGUGAAGCAUGAGAGAUCAAUAAUUUCUAUAAAAUAAAGCCACCACCGUGCUUAAAAGAUAUAAGUGAAGCACUUGAGCAAAAUUAUCUAGCUCAAAAGAUAUAAGUGAAGCACAUAGAGUAUUCUAAUAAAUUCUGAUUCAUGUGUGUCUCUCCCAAAAGGUGUGUACAGCAAGGAUGAUUGUGGUAAACUAAAACCAAAGACUCAACUCAUACAAGACGCUCCAAGCAAAACACAUAUCAUGUGGUGAAUAAAAAUAUAGCCUCAAGUGAAGUUACCGGUAGACGAAGACGAACGAGGGGAUGUCUUCGGGGGCAUCCCCAAGAUUAGGCUUUUGGUUGUCCUUGAAUUUUACCUUGGGGUGCCUUGGGCAUCCCCAAUAUUAGGCUCUUGCCACUCCUCAUUCCAUAAUCCAUGAAAUCUUUACCCAAAACUUGAAAACUUCACAACACAAAACUCAACAGAAAAAUCUCAUCAGCUCCGUUGGCGAAAGAAAACAAACCACCACUUCAAGUUACUGUAAUGAACUCAUUGUUUAUUUAUAUUGGUGUUAAACCUACUGUAUUCCAACUUCUCUAUGGUUUAUACCCUCCGAUACUAGCCAUAGAUUCAUCAAAAUAAGCAAACAACACACGAAAAACAGAAUCUGUCAAAAACGGAACAGUCUGUAGUAAUCUGGAUCAAAUGUAUACUUAUGGAACUCCAAAAAUUCUGAAAUACAUUGCUGGACGUGAGGAAUUUGUCUAUUAAUCAUCUGGAAAAAGAAUCAACCUAAAAGAACUCUCCAGUAAAAAAUGGCAGCUAAUCUCGUGAGUGUUAAAGUUUUUGUUUUUUACAGCAUGAUCAUAAAGACUUAACCCAAGUCUUCCCUAAGGUUCUACUUGGAACAAACACUAAUUUAGAACAUAAAAACACAUCUAAACAGAGUCUAGAUGAAUUAUUUAUUACUAAACAGGACCAAAAAAGCAAGAAACAAAAAUAAAAUUGGGUUGCCUCCCAACAAGCGCUACCGUUUAACGCCCCUAGCUAGGCAUAAGAUUUCAACGAUGCUCAUACGGAAGAUAAUAAUUGAAACACAAAGAGAGCAUCAUGAAACAUGUGACAAACACAUCUAAGUCUAACAUACUUCCUAUGCAUAGGAAUCUUAAAGGCAAACAAAUUAUCAAGGCAAGCAAAAACUAGCAUAUGAAAGGAAGCGGAAAGAAACAAUAGCAAUCUCAGCGUAAUGAGAGGUAAUUUAGUAACAUGAAAAUUUCUAGAACCAAAUUUUCCUCUCUCAUAAUAAUUACAUGUGGGAUCAUAUUCAAAUUCAACAAUAUAGCGUUCACAUAAAAUUUUCUCUACAUGAUCCACAUGCAUGCAAAGUUGACACUCUUCCAAAAUAGUGGGAAUAUCAUUAACUAAAGUCAUGACCUCUCCAAACCCACUUUUAUCAAAAAAUUCAUAAGAUUGAACAUGCUCCAAAUAUGUCACUCCGAUUGUCGGAGAGGUAUCUCUGGGCCCACUCGGUAAUGCACAUCACUAUAAGCCUUGCAAGCAUUGUACCUAAUGAGUUAGUUGCGGAAUGAUGUAUUAUGGAACGAGUAAAGAGACUUGUCGGUAAUGAGAUUGAACUAGGUAUUGAGAUACCGACGAUCGAAUCUCGGGCAAGUAACAUACCGAUGACAAAGGGAACAACGUAUGUUGUUAUGCGGUUUGACCGAUAAAGAUCUUCGUAGAGUAUGUAGGAGCCAAUAUGAGCAUCCAGGUUCCGCUAUUGGUUAUUGACCGGAGACGUGUCUCAGUCAUGUCUACAUAGUUCUCAAACCCGUAGGGUCCACACGCUUAAACUUCGAUGACGAUUUGUUGGGUUGGCGUAUUUCGAGAGCGGGGACAUGACGAGGAGUCUCGAAAUGGUCGAGACGUAAAGAUCGAUAUAUUGGACUACUAUAUUCGGACAUCGGAAAGGUUCCGAGUGAUUCGGGUAUUUUCGGAGUACCGGGGAGUUACGGGAAUUCACAGGAGAAGUAUUGGGCCUUAUUGGGCCAUACGGGAAUAGAGGAGAGAGGCCAAAAGGAAGGAGGCGCGCACCCCCCCCCCUCUGGUCCGAAUUGGACAAGGGGUGCAGCCCCCUUUUCCUUCUCCCUCUCCCCCUCUUUCCUUCUCUCCUACUCCGGAAAGGAAUGGGGAAUCCUACUAGGACUUGGGAGUCCUAGUAGGAAUUCCCACACUUGACGCGCCCCCUCUGGGGCCGGCCUCUCCCUCCCUCCUUUAUAUACGGGGGCAGGGGGCACCUCUAGACACAACAAUUGAUCUCUUGAUCUCUUAGCCGUGUGCAGUGCCCCCUCCACCAUAUUCCACCUCGAUAAUAUCGUAGAGGUGCUUAGGCGAAGCCCUGCGUCGGUAGCAUGAUCAUCACCGACACCACGCCGUCGUGCUGACGGAACUCUCCCUCAAAGCUUGGCUGGAUCGGAGUUCGAGGGACGUCAUCGAGCUGAACGUGUGCUGAACUCGGAGGUGCCGUAUGUUCGGCACUUGGAUCGGUCGGAUCAUGAAUACGUACGACUACAUCAACCGCGUUGUGCUAACUCUUCCGCUUUCGGUCUACGAGGGUACGUGGACACACUCUCCCCUCUCGUGGCUAUGCAUCACCAUGAUCCUGUGUGUGCGUAGGAAAUUUUUGAAAUUACUACGUUCCCCAACAGUGGCAUCCGAGCCUAGUUUUAUGCGUAGAUGUUAUAUGCACGAGUAGUACACAAGUGAGUUGUGGUCGAUACAAGUCAUACUGCUUACCAGCAUGUCAUACUUUGGUUCGGCGGUAUUGUUGGAUGAAGCGGCCCGAACCGACAUUACGCGUACGCUUACGCGAGACUGGUUCUACCGACGUGCUUUGCACACAGGUGGCUGGCGGGUGUCAGUUUCUCCAACUUUAGUUGAACCGAGUGUGGCUACGCCCGGUCCUUGAGAAGGUUAAAAUAGCACUAACUUGACGAACUAUCGUUGCGGUUUUGAUGCGUAGGUAAGAACGGUUCUUGCUCAGCCCGUAGCAGCCAUGUAAAACUUGCAACAACAAAGUAGAGGACGUCUAACUUAUUUUUGCAAGGCAUGUUGUGAUGUGAUAUGGUCAAGGCAUGAUGCUAUAUUUUAUUGUAUGAGAUGAUCAUGUUUUGUAACCGAGUUAUUGGCAACUGGCAGGAGCCAUAUGGUUGUCGCUUUAUUGUAUGCAAUGCAAUCGCCCUGUAAUUGCUUUACUUUAUCACUAAGCGGUAGCGAUAGUCGUAGAAGCAAUAGUUGGCGAGACGACAACGAUGCUACGAUGGAGAUCAAGGUGUCGCGCCGGUGACGAUGGUGAUCAUGACGGUGCUUCGGAGAUGGAGAUCACAAGCACAAGAUGAUGAUGGCCAUAUCAUAUCACUUAUAUUGAUUGCAUGUGAUUUUUAUCCUUUAUGCAUCUUAUUUUGCUUAGUUCGACGGUAGCUUUAUAAGAUGAUCUCUCACUAAAUUUCAAGGUACAAGUGUUCUCCCUGAGUAUGCACCGUUGCCAAAGUUCGUCGUGCCGAGACACCACGUGAUGAUCGGGUGUGAUAAGCUCUACGUUCAUCUACAACGGGUGCAAGCCAGUUUUGCACACGCGGAAUACUCGGGUUAAACUUGACGAGCCUAGCAUAUGCAGAUAUGGCCUCGGAACACUGGAGACCGAAAGAUCGAGCGUGAAUCAUAUAGAAGAUAUGAUCAACAUAGUGAUGUUCGCCAUUGAAAACUACUCCAUCUCACGUGAUGAUUGGACAUGGUUUAGUUGAUAUGGAUCACGUGAUCACAUAGAUGAUUAGAGGGAUGUCUAUCUAAGUGGGAGUUCUUAAGUAAUUUGAUUAACUGAACUUUAAUUUAUCAUGAACUUAGUCCUGGUAGUAUUAGCAUAUCUAUGUUGUAGAUCAAUAGCUCGCGUUUAGCUCCCUUGUUUUAUUUUUGAUAUGUUCCUAGAGAAAACUAAGUUGAAAGAUGUUAGUACCAAUGAUGCGGAUUGGAUCCGUGAUCUGAGGAUUAUCCUCAUUGCUGCACAGAAGAAUUAUGUCCUUGAUGCAUCGCUAGGUGACAGACCGAUUGCAGGAGCACAUGCAGACGUUAUGAACAUUUGGCAAGCUCAAUAUGAUGACUACUUGAUAGUUUAGUGCACCAUGCUUAACGGCUUAGAAUCGGGACUUCAAAGAUGUUUUGAACGUCAUGGACCAUAUGAGAUGUUCCAGGAGUUGAAGUUAAUAUUUGAAGCAAAUACCCGAGUUGACAGAUAUGAAGUCUCCAACAAGUUCUAUAGCUAAAAGAUGGAGGAGAAUAGCUCAAGCAGUGACCAUGUGCUCAGAUUGUCUGGGUACUACAAUCGCUUGAAUCAAGUGGGAGUUAAUCUUCUAGAUAAAAUAGUGAUUGACUGAAUUCUCUAGUCACCAUCACCAAGUUAGUAGAACUUCGUGAUGAACUAUAGUAUGCAAGGGAUGACGAAAACGAGUCCUGAGCUUUUCAUGAUGAUGAAAUCGAUGAAGGUAGAAAUCAAGAAAGAGCAUCAAGUGUUGAUGAUUAACAAGACCACUAGUUUCAAGAAAAGGGGCAAAGGGAAGAAGGGGAACUUUAAGAAGAACGGCAAGCAAGUUGUUGCUCGAGUGAAGAAGCCCAAGUCUGGACCUAAGCAUGAGACUAAGUGCAUCUACUGCAAAGGGACUGGUCACUGGAAGCGGAACUACCCCAAGUAAUUGGCGGAUAAGAAGGAUGGCAAAGUGAACAUAAGUAUAUUUGAUAUACAUGUUAUUGAUGUGUACUUUACUAGUGUUUAUAGCAACCCCUCGGUAUUUGAUACUGGUUCAGAUGCUAAGAGUAGUAACUCGAAACGGGAGUUGCAGAAUGAACAGAAACUAGUUAAGGGUGAAGUGACGAUGUGUGUUGGAAGUAGUUCCAAGAUUGAUAUGAUCAUCAUCGCACACUUCCUAUACUUUCGGGAUUAGUGUUGAACCUAAAUAAAUGUUAUUUAAUGUUUGCGUUGAGCAUGAAUAUGAUUUGAUCGUGUUUAUUGCAAUACGGUUAUUCAUUUAAGUUAGGGAAUAAUUGUUGAUCUGUUUACAUGAAUAAAAGCUUCUAUGGUCAUACACCCAAUGAAAAUGGUUUGUUGGAUCUCGAUCGUAGUGAUACACAUAUUCAUAAUAUUGAAGCCAAAAGAUCAAAGUUAAUAAUGAUAGUGCAACUUAUUUGUGGCACUGCCGUUUAGGUCAUAUUGGUGUAAAGCGCAUGAAGAAACUCCAUGCUGAUGGGCUUUUGGAAUCACUUGAUGCUUGCGAACCAUGCCUCAUGGGCAAGAUGACUAAGACUCCGUUCUCCGGAACAAUGGAGCGAGCAACUAACUUAUUGGAAAUAAUACAUACUGAUGUAUGCGGUCCAAUGAGUGUUGAGGCUUGCGGCAGGUAUCAUUAUUUUCUGACCUUCACAGAUGAUUUGAGCAGAUAUGGGUAUAUCUACUUGAUGAAACUAAGCCUGAAACAUUAGAAAAGUUCAAAGAAUUUCAGAGUGAAGUGGAAAAUCAUCGUGACAAGAAAAUAAAGUUUCUACGAUCUGAUCGCGGAGACAAAUAUUUGAGUUACAAGUUUGGUCUUCAAUUAAAACAAUGUGGAAUAGUUUCACAAAUUCGUGCCACCUGGAACACCACAGCAUAAUGGUGUGUCCGAACGUCAUAACCGUACUUUAUUGGAUAUAGUGCAAUCUAUGAUGUUUCUUACCGAUUUACCACUAUAGUUUUGGGGUUAUGCAUUAGAGACAGCUGCAUUCACGUUAAAAAGGGCACCAUCUAAAUCCAUUGAGACGACACCGUAUGAAUUGUGGUCUGGCAAGAAACCAAAGUUGUCAUUUCUUAAAGUUUGGGGUUGCGAUGCUUAUAAGGAAAAGUUUCAUCCUGAUAAGCUCAAACCCAAAUCGGAGAAAUGUGUCUUCAUAGGAUACCCAAAGGAGACAGUUGGGUAAACCUUCUAUCACAGAUCCGAAGGCAAGAUUUUCGUUGCUAAGAAUGGAUCCUUUCUAGAGAAGGAGUUUCUCUCGAAAGAAGUGAGUGGGAGGAAAGUAGAACUUGAUGAGGUAACUGUACCUGCUCCCUUAUUGGAAAGUAGUUCAUCACAUAAAUCUAUUCCUGUGACUACUACACCAAUUAGUGAGGAAGCUAAUGAUGAUGAUCAUGUAACUUCAGAUCAAGUUACUACCGAACCUCGUAGGUAAACUAGAGUGAGAUCCGCACCAGAGUGGUACGGUAAUCCUGUUCUGGAGGUCAUGUUACUUGACCAUGACGAACCUACGAACUAUGAGGAAGCGAUGAUGAGGCCAGAUUCCGCGAAAUGGCUUAAGGCCAUGAAAUCUAAGAUGAGAUCCAUGUAUGAGAACAAAGUGUGGACUUUGGUUGACUUGCCCGAUGAUCGGCAAGAGAUAGAAAAUAAAUGGAUCUUCAAGAGGAAGAUGGACGCUGAUAGUAGUGUUACUAUCUACAAAGCUAGAAUUGUCGCAAAAGGUUUUCGACAAGUUCAAGGUGUUGACUACGAUGAGAGUUUCUCACUCGUAUCUAUGCUUAUGUCUGUCCGAAUCAUGUUAGCAAUUGCCGCAUUUUAUGAAAUCUGGCAAAUGGAUAAACAAAUUGCAUUUCUUAAUGGAUUUAUUAAAGAAGAGUUGUAUAUGAUGCAACCAGAAGGUUUUUUCGAUCCUAAAGGUGCUGACAAAAUGUGCAAGCUCCAGCGAUCCAUCUAUGGAUUGGUGCAAGCAUCUCGGAGUUGGAAUAUACGCUUUGAUGAGUUGAUCAAAGCAUAUAGUUUUAUACAGACUUGCGGUGAAGCCUGUAUUUACAAGAAAGUGAGUGGGAGCACUACAACAUUUCUGAUAAAUAUAUGUGAAUGACAUAAUGUUGAUCAGAAAUAAUGUAGAAUUUUCUGGAAAGCAUAAAGGAGUAUUUGAAAGGAGUUUUUCAAAGAAAGACCUCGGUGAAGCUGCUUACAUAUUGAGCAUCCAGAUCUAUAGAGAUAGAUCAAGACGCUUGAUAUGUUUUUUCAAUGAGUACAUACCUUGACAAGAUUUUGAAAUAGUUCAAAAUGGAACAGUCAAAGAAAGAGUUCUUGCAUGUGUUACAAGGUGUGAAAUUAAGUAAGACUCAAAACCCGACCACGCCAGAAGACAGAAAGAGAAUGAAAGUCAUUCCCUAUGCCUCAGCCAUAGGUUCUAUAAAGUAUGCCAUGUUGUGUACCAGAUCUAUUGUAUACCCUACCACUGAGUUUGGCAAGGGAGUACAAUAGUGAUCUAGGAGUAGAUCACUGGACAGCGGUCAAAAUUAUCCUUAGUGGAAUAAGGAUAUGUUUCUUGAUUAUGGAAGUGACAAAAGGUUUGUCGUAAAGGGUUACGUUGAUGCAAGUUUUGACACUGAUCCAGAUGACUCUAAGUCUCAAUCUGGAUACAUAUUGAAAGUGGGAGCUAUUAGCUAGAGUAGCUCCGUGCAGAGCAUUGUAGACAUAGAAAUUUGCAAAAAUACUUACGGAUCUGAAUGUGACAGACCCGUUGACUAAAAUUAUAUCACAAGCAAAACAUGAUCACACCUUAGUACUCUUUGGGUGUUAAUCACAUAGCGAUGUGAACUAGAUUACUGACUCUAGUAAACCCUUUGGGUGUUGGUCACAUAUCGAUGUGAACUAUGGGUGUUAACCACAUAAAGAUGUGAACUAUUGAUGUUAAAUCACAUGGCGAUGUGAACUAGAUUAUUGACUCUAGUGCAAGUGGGAGGCUGAAGGAAAUAUGCCCUAGAGGCAAUAAUAAAGUUAUUAUUUAUUUCCUUAUUUCAUGAUAAAUGUUUAUUAUUCAUACUAGAAUUGUAUUAACCGGAAACAUGAUACAUGUGUGAAUACAUAGACAAACAGAGUGUCACUAGUAUGCCUCUACUUAACUAGCUCGUUGAUCAAAGAUGGUUAUGUUUCCUAGCCAUAGACAUGAGUUGUCAUUUGAUUAAUGGGAUCACAUCAUUAGAAGAAUGAUGUGAUUGACUUGACCCAUUCCAUUAGCUUAGCACUUGAUCGUUUAGUAUUCUGCUAUUGCUUUCUUCAUGACUUAUACAUGUUCCUAUGACUAUGAGAUUAUGCAACUCCCGUUUACCGGAGGAACACUUUGUGUGCUACCAAACGUCACAAUGUAACUGGGUGAUUAUAAAGGUGCUCUACAGGUGUCUCCGAAGGUACUUGUUGGGUUGGCGUAUUUCGAGAUUAGGAUUUGUCACUCCGAUUGUCGGAGAGGUAUCUCUGGGCCCACUCGAUAAUGCACAUCACUAUAAGCCUUGCAAGCAUUGUAACUAAUGAGUUAGUUGCGGGAUGAUGUAUUACGGAACGAGUAAAGAGACUUGCCGGUAACGAGAUUGAACUAGGUAUUGAGAUACCGACGAUCGAAUCUCGGGCAAGUAACAUACCGAUGACAAAGAGAACAACGUAUGUUGUUAUGAGGUUUGACCGAUAAAGAUCUUCGUAGAGUAUGUAGGAGCCAAUAUGAGCAUCCAGGUUCCGCUAUUGGUUAUUGACCGAAGACGUGUCUCGGUCAUGUCUACAUAGUUCUCGAACCUGUAGGGUCCGCACGCUUAAAGUUCGAUGAUGAUUUGUAUUAUGAGUUAUGUGAUUUGAUGUACCGAAGGUAGUUCGGAGUCCCGGAUGAGAUCGGGGACAUGACGAGGAGUCUCGAAAUGGUCGAGACGUAAAGAUUGAUAUAUUGUACGACUAUAUACGGACAUCGGAAAGGUUCCGGGUGAUUCGGGUAUUUUCGGAGUACCUGAGAGUUACGGGAAUUCACCGGGAGAAGUAUUGGGCCUUAUUGGGCCAUACAGGAAUAGAGGAGAGAGGCCAAAAGGAAGGAGGUGCGCCCCCCCCCCUCUGGUCCGAAUUGAACAAGGGGUGCAGCCCCCUUUUCCUUCUCCCUCUCCCCCUGUUUCCUUCUCUCCUACUCCGGAAAGGAAAGGGGAAUCCUACUAGGACUUGGGAGUCCUAGUAGGACUCCCCACACUUGGCGCGCCCGCUCUAGGGCCGGCCUCUCCCUCCCUCCUUUAUAUACGGGGACAGUGGGGCACCUCUAGACACAACAAUUGAUCUCUUGAUCUCUUAGCCGUGUUCGGUUCCCCCCUCCACCAUAUUCCACCUUGAUAAUAUCGUUGCGGUGCUUAGGCAAAGCCCUACGUCGGUAGCAUCAUCAUCACCGUCACCACGCCGUCGUGCUGACGGAACUCUCCCUCAAAGCUUGGCUGGACCGGAGUUCGAGGGACGUCAUCGAGCUGAACGUGUGCUGAACUCGGAGGUGCCGUAUGUUCGGUACUUGGAUCGGUCGGAUCGUGAAGACGUACGACUACAUCAACCGUGUUGUGCUAACGCUUCCGCUUUCGGUCUACGAGGGUACGUGGAGACACUCUCCCCUCUCAUUGCUAUGCAUCACCAUGAUCCUGUGUGUGCGUAGGAAAUUUUUGAAAUUACUACAUUCCCCAACAAUAUUGGCAUCAUGGCCACAAGAAUAGCAAGCAUCAUGUUCAUCGAGGGAAAUUUCAAUCAAAUCAUCGGAAUCAUAAUUGUCUAUAGAUUCAUGCAUAUCAUUAUUUUCUUCCGAAGCAACGGUCAUUCUCUCAAUAAAUUCUUUGACAUAGAUAUUAUGAGCAUAGUUUUAAUAGCAAUAUUUAAGUAUGUCAAAAUUUUCAUAUUCGUAGAGAGAAAUAUCAUUAUUUUCAAUCAAAGAAGCAACUUCAUAAGCACCCUUAAAAGCAACAAAUUCUUCAAUUUGUUUGAUAUCAUAGUAACUAUAAACACCCUUUGCAUAAGAAGAUAAGAUUUCAUUUUCAUUAAACUCACAUAGGUAGGGAAGGUGUUUUUUAGGGUUCUUAGAGCAACAAGUAAAGUCAUAAAUUUCACAAAGAUUCCAAGCAUAACACAGCAAUCUGUUUAUUUGAUCCCAUAAGAGUCUCCCUUUUUUAGACAAACGGUGACGCACAAAAUGAGCAUGCUCAUCUAAAGAUUUCCCAUCAACUAGGCUAGUUGGGGUUUCAGCACGAGCGCAUAAGGAUCGGAGAUGAUCCAAAUAGAACACUUUAAGUGGAUCCAUAUCAAUAGAUUUUUAGCAAGCGAAGAUGCAAGCAUAUAAAAGGCACAUGGUAACACAAGCAAACUAUAGAUCUGUCAAGAAAAAGGCAAAUGAAAAAAGAAGGUGAAUAAAACGGCAAGGGUGAAGUGGGGGAGAGGAAAACGAGAGGCAAAUGGCAAAUAAUGUGAUGCGAGGGAUAGGAGUUGUGAUGGGUACUUGGUAUGUCUUGACUUGACUUGACUUGGUGUAGAUCUCCCCGGCAAUGGCGCCAAAAAUCCUUCUUGCUACCUCUUGAGCAUGCGUUGUUUUUCCCUUGAAGAGGAAAGGGUGAUGCAGCAAAGUAGCGUAAGUAUUUCCCUCAGUUUUUUACAACCAAGGUAUCAAUCCAGUAGGAAACACACACAAGUCGCCUCAUACCUACACAAACAAAUAAGAACCUUGCAACCAACGCGAUAAAGGGGUUGUCAAUCCCUUCACGGCCACUUGCAAAAGUGAGAUCUGAUAGAAAUAAUAAGAUAAAUAUUUUUGGUAUUUUUAUGAUAUAGAUUGAAAGUAAAGAUUGCAAAGUAAAAAUAGAUUGGAAACUGAUAUGAUGGAAAAUAUACCCGGGGGCCAUAGGUUUCACUAGUGGCUUCUCUCAAGAUAGCAUAAGUAUUAUGGUGGGUGAACAAAUUACUAUCGAGCAAUUGAUAGAAAAGUGCAUAGUUAUGAGAAUAUCUAGGCAUGAUCAUGUAUAUAGGCAUCACGUCCGCGACAAGUAGACCGAAACGAUUCCGCAUCUACUACUACUACUCCACACAUCGACCGCUAUCCAGCAUGCAUUUAGAGUAUUAAGUUCAUAAGAACAGAGUAACGCAUUAGGCAAGAUGACAUGAUGUAGAGGGAUAAACUCAAGCAAUAUGAUAUAAACCCCAUCUUUUUAUCCUUGAUGGCAACAAUACAAUACGUGCCUUGCUGCCCCUGCUGUCAUUGGGAAAGGACACCGCAAGAUUGAACCCAAAGCUAAGCACAUCUCCCAUUGCAAGAAAGAUGAAUCUAGUAGGCCAAACCAAACUGAUAAUUCGAAGAGACUUGCAAAGAUAACCAAUCAUACAUAAAAGAAUUCAAAGAAGAUUCAAAUAUUGUUCAUAGAUAAACUUGAUCAUAAACCCACAAUUCAUCGGAUCUCGGCAAACACACCGCAAAAAGAAUUAUAUCGAAUAGAUCUCCAAAAGAAUCAAGGAGAACUUUGUAUUGAGAUCCAAAGAGAGAGAAGAAGCCAUCUAGCUAAUAACUAUGGACCCGAAGGUCUUUGAUAAACUACUCACACAUCAUCGGAGAGGCUAUGGUGUUGAUGUAGAAGCCCUCCAUGAUCGAUUCCCCCUCCGGCGGAGCGCCGGAAAAGGCGCCAAGAUGGGAUCUCACGGGUACAGAAGGUUGCGGCUGUGGAAAUAGGGUUUCGUGGUGCUCCUGGAUGUUUUCGGGGUAUAUGGGUAUAUAUAGGAGGAAGAAGUAGGUCGGUGGAGCUGCGAGGGGCCCACGAGGGUGGGGGCGCGCCUCCCUACCUUGUGGCCUCCUCGCUUCUUUCUUGACGUCCACUCCAAGUCUCCUGGAUCACGUUUGUUCCAAAAAUCACUCUCUCGAAGGUUUCAUUCCGUUUGAUAUUCCUUUUCUGCAACACUGAAAUAGGCAAAAAAACAGCAAUUUGCACUGGGCCUUCGGUUAAUAGGUUAGUCCCAAAAAUAAUAUAAAAGUGUAUAACAAAGCCCAUUAAACAUCCAAAAAUUAUAGAUACGUUGAAGACGUAUCACCCUCCGCCUGUUUCGUUGUCUCGUCGGGGCACUACCAAUCAUUGGCGACAUGAUGCAGGAUCGCGGUAAUUUCCCUCUCACCGAGUAGAAAAAUCACAUCGCUUAUGUAUCAUAUAGAAACCAACAUGUUCGAAGUUAGAUUAAUUGGCGCAGAUGAGACAAGCAAGGUCCACGAUAGUGAAGAAAACUAACAUGGACAGGGGGCAUAUGCCCCCCUCCUCAACGCACUUCACCACAUUGUAUUUAUUCAAUAGUUAUUUAUAGUUGAGUGUAUUAUAGUCAUUAUUUGCACCAUAUAAUCACAUAUAGAUGGUGUAUUGAGACUUUAUUUGACAGCUAAAAUUAUGUCUUUUAUGUUUAUGCAUUUGUAUUUUUUGAUGAUAUACAAGAUAUAUUGUUGAAAGUAUACAUGUUACUUUGUUAAUGUUCAUCGUGCCUCAAUCGCACUACAGCCUUCAUAAUGCUAGGGCUGGCCCUCCCAGGCCUUGUCGUCCUGCCAGAAUCCUCCAGGGAGGUUCAUGACUAACUGGUAUGACAGCGUCACCGCCAAGGAUGCCAGCAACAUAAGCGACCCACGUGUCUCCUUGAUCCACUUCUUUUGCCUCUCCAACAGCUAGUCGUCAUUGUCAUCCUCAUGGAGGACGGCAAUGCUACUGUCCGAAGGAGGGGCGCUGGCACUGGAACCGGCCGACCCGCCGCCCUGCUCAAUGUUGAUGUCGAUGAGAAUGUGUCCUGGAGCACCUCUCUGUGCCCCGUGAUGAGACGACAUAGUCUGCUACCUAGCGCGAUCGAGCAGCACCCCGUAUUUAGAGAAUAACAAAGAACCAUGGAAGAAUAAAGAAGGGAACAGUGAUAAUGCCGCCAAUACUACUACAGUACUAUCACAAUAGCAGGAUAAAGAAUGGGCAUAUGCAAGAAGGCAAUUCAUGGUGUCGCGCUGAUCUAAGUAAGGAAUUCAUGAGAUCUUACACAACUUUUUUCGUAAUCAACAACAUCUGAGACGGGCAUGAGGAAUUUAAAUGAAUUGACCUCAGGCCAACCUUUGGCUCGACACAACUUCUGUCAAUGCAAGCAAGUGAGUACAGUCAGGUGGAGGAUAAAAAUUGCUUUUUGUGCACAACAAAACCCCUAUGCAAUAGUUACAUAAGCGUAGCAUUUUUGUAAGCAAAAGCAAGCUCCAGCAUGAAUCAGGCCAAGGCAAAUAUAAUCAAAGAAUGCUAAAACACUUGAGCGUCAUAUCGCGCAGGCGCACUGUAUGGACAGAUAGAGUUAAUUGCACAGAAGUACCACAAUUGGGGCAUCACAUGCAGAUUGGUACCACGAUUGCUAAUUUUUGCAUGUCAGUACCAUGAUUGCUCCAGGUUUUUUCAAAUAAGGCUAAAACGUGUAUUUAUAUGUAUUGACGCUCGAUCCGACAGCUCGGGCCCACCCGUCAGGUGCCACGCUGGCCAAUCGGCGCGUGCCCGCGUGCUGACUAGGACGAGCCGGUGCGCUGCUGCUCUCCAACCCGGUCCGNNNNNNNNNNNNNNNNNNNNNNNNNNNNNNNNNNNNNNNNNNNNNNNNNNNNNNNNNNNNNNNNNNNNNNNNNNNNNNNNNNNNNNNNNNNNNNNNNNNNNNNNNNNNNNNNNNNNNNNNNNNNNNNNNNNNNNNNNNNNNNNNNNNNNNNNNNNNNNNNNNNNNNNNNNNNNNNNNNNNNNNNNNNNNNNNNNNNNNNNNNNNNNNNNNNNNNNNNNNNNNNNNNNNNNNNNNNNNNNNNNNNNNNNNNNNNNNNNNNNNNNNNNNNNNNNNNNNNNNNNNNNNNNNNNNNNNNNNNNNNNNNNNNNNNNNNNNNNNNNNNNNNNNNNNNNNNNNNNNNNNNNNCCUCCUCUGCUCACUCGUUUCCUCCGUCGCCGCCGCCCGCGUCCCGACUGUCGGCCGCCGCACCACCCCGCCGACGCCAUGGUUUUGGAGGACGAAAGCAGCGACGACCAGUCUAGCCUCCCGUACAUGCAUUCUUCCUCCACAGACGGUCUCAACGAGGUCAGUACAGUGAGUUUAGGGUUAGGGUUUCAGAUUUGGGAUUUCUUGAUUUGGUUGAUUUUGGUAGGUUUUGAUUUGCCUAGUAUCUUUGUGCGAGCUUCUGCAGCUCCCUUUUAGCCUUGAAGAUCCAGAUUACAAGGGGCUUGAGCUGGAUGUGAUGUCUCCAUGUGAGAAGCACGGCAUGGCAUCUGAGAGGCUUGUUGCCUUUGAAGGAACAGACACGGGCAGGCGGUUUUUAGCAUGUGCACAGCCAGUAUGGAUUGUAGGCAUAGUGAUUUUUUUUCUUACUUUGUCAGUGCCAUAUUGAACUCUGUUUGCUGGAGUACUCUGCUUGCUGUCACCAUUUUGGUUCAUAGUGGCACUAGAGUAGCUUAUUUAGGUCAAGCAUGAGUAUAUUUUGCUGGAGUACAAUGGCAUAGUAAUUUUGGUUAAUAGUGGUACUAGAGUAGCUUAAAAAUGGUAACUAACCUAGUCAGUCAGCUACUCAAGUGGCUGCUCCUCUUGUUAAAUGUAGUGGUCUGAUGCUAAAUUUAGAUAUUCUUUUUGGCAACUACAGUUAUCUUGUGUAAUUACUUGUUGUAUGAACUAUGUUGGUGUUGUUGUUGUUUUUGCAGGCAGGUACCAAUUGUGGCUUUGUUGAAUGGGUUGAUCACCAGUGGCCCCCAACAAUGCAGAAUGCAUUGUUGAAGCUAUGGGAAUGGUUGAAGAUACCAAAACUGCUAGGGUGAAUGACAAUCUUGAAAGUUCUUUCACUAUCCACCAUCUGACAGAAGAGAAGAACAAGCUGGAGGCCAACUAUGACAAGCUAGUCCAAGAUGUGCAUGAGCUGAUGAACUUCCAGGAAGAUAAGGUGGUGGAUUUUAGACAUCUGCAGUCUGCCAUUACAUAUCAGCAGGAGGUAAGAAAAGAACUGAUUGAUGAUAUGAAGGCACAGAUGGCAAGUGAGAUGGCAAAGAAAGAUGCAGAGACCCAGAAACUUACUCAGAAGUAUGAGAUGCUGCUCAACCUGACAAGAGCUCAACCAACAGUCAUUCAGAACUUGAAGUUGAACAAAAUGAGAGAGAAGCAAGUGUUUACUGAAGCUAGUAUGAAUUUGGAGCUGAAGAAUGCAGAGCUAACAAAGUGUCAGGAGAAGCUCACCCAAGAGAAGCUAGAGUUGAAGCUUCAGGUUGCUGAUCUGCUUAAGGGAAAUGAAAAUCAUAUUGAAGAGAAGUGGCAGUUAGAGUUUCAGAACGAAAAGUUGAAGGAGAAGUUCAGGGGGAUUCAGGCCAUCUUGGAGAAGUGAAGAAGAUGAAAAUGAGAUUAGUGGCAUUGCUGACCUUUUGGGAAUGAUGGUUGUGUAAUGACCUAGCAUCUAGGAACUAAGGUUGUGUACUGUAUGCUUGUACUAAUGGUGAACUAUGGCUGUGUAUGUAUGUAGUAGUUAUGCUAUUCAUCCUUUUGUGAGAAAAGGAUGAACUAUGCAUUUGAAGUUGAACUCCUCUAUGUAUUGUGAACAAUGGUUAUGUAUGGCUAUAAUGAGUUGAAGUCAGAAACUAAUGUGUGCUAUGAUUGGUAGACAUGGAUCAGUUUCUUAUUAUGUAUGGAUAUGCUGAUUAUGUAGAUGGAUAUGUUGAUGAUGAUACAUUAUGACAAUGUUGCAGCAAACCCCUCAUUUCAUACAAAAUAAAAGAGGAACAAGACUGACUAAAUCUCAUUGCAUCAGAAGAUAACUUCACUGAUCCAUUACCACUUGAUCCAUUACAACUUGGCUUAAACUAAACCAACUUUAGAUUGGCUACAACUAAACCAACUAACUAACUUAAUAUCUUGCCUGCAACUAAGCCAAGCACAAAUAUAGUGAAAAGAAACACAUACAUAUCCAGUAGCAACAUGUUCAACAUUCAGAUAACCACCUCAAGUUCAACACAUACAUAUCCAGUAGCAACACAUACAAGUUCAACAUUCAGAUAACCACCUCAAGUUUUCAACACAUACAUAUCCAGUAGCAACAUAUUCAACACCAAAAUAUGGUGCCCCAACUAGAGUACUCCACCUCAAGUUCAACAUUACAAUAACCAGUAUUGGAUUGUGCCAAAUUAUGCAUCAAGUGGCAACAACACAUCAACAUCAGCAUCAAGUUCAACCAAAAUAACACCACAUCAUUUCAAAUUACAUGGCUCCUCUUCCUCUGCUAGCAGUGAAGUAGGACAUCCAUCCAGUGUGUGUACCAUCAGUAGGAAUGUCAGCAUAUUGCCUGGGGGCACUGAAUGGCCUUGGAGCACCUCUUCCAGCUCCUCUUCCUCUGCCAGCUCCUCUUCCAGAUGGUGGUGGUGUAGUAGAAGUAGCAGCUCCUCUUCCUCUGGCAGCUCCUCUGGCAGCAGCUCUUGGCUGUCUUGCUGUUGUUGUAGUAGAAGGACCAGCAGCUCUUGGCUGUGAGUUACUUGGAGUAGCCUUACAAGGAAAAGGAAAACAGUUAAUAAUGCUAGAAAGAAAUGUACAAGAAAUAAAUGAAAGAUUUGUAUAUUUCAAGGUGAAAAAUUAUUACCACAUGCUUAUUCUUCCUCAAAGCUAGCUCAGGCUUCAACUGUUUAAGACAGUUUAUGUACCUAUGCCCUUGGAGACCACAAUUGCCACAUGUUAUGGUCCCCAUUCUUGAAGUGUCUUUUGGCUUUGGUACUUCAAAUUUGCCCUUGAUCCUCUUUUCUUUCUUUCUUCCUCUCUUGAUUUUGAAUGCAGGUGGUUCUAUGUCUGGACCAGGGGUCCUUGUCCAAUCAUGCUCACCAGGCACAGGAAAGAUCAUUGGUUAAUAAGCUGCAACAUAAAAAUCUUUCUUGAAGAAUUUGCUGACAUAAUCCUCUGGUUUCCUUUUAGCCUUGUUUAUUGCAGAGAUGGCAUGGUUGCAAGGUAUGCCACUAAGGUCCCACUUCCUGCAUCCACAAGUCUCAAGUUCCAGGUUGACAGCAUGUGUUUGCUGCCCACUUGUAACUUGCCAUAAGUUGACCCCUGCCUGUAUUGGCUUGCAAUAUCUGGCCCUCUCCUUCUCAACCUCUAGCUUCUCACUGUAAUGAGGUGUUAUAUCCCAUCUUGCUGCCUUUACACUCUCUCUGUUCCUAUGCCACCUCACCAUCUGCUUAUCUUUUAUCCCAUCACACAUUGUCCUUAUAGGUUUUCUCCUAACAUCUAGAAUGUACUUGUUGAACACCUCAGACAAGUUGUUCACUACCAAGUCAGUCUUGCAGUUUGUGUCAAAUGCAUGCCUUGCCCAUGUUUUUUUUGGUAUUGCAGUAAGCCACUCCCAAGCUUCCUCACUUUCAGCUCUAAGACCAUUCAUUGCAAUAUUAAAUUUGUGUUCAUUGUAGGCAUAGCUAGCAUUAUCCAUGCACUUCUUAAGAUCUUCACCCCUAAACCCAGCAUUUUGGAAAUUUGCAUAUAAAUGCCUAAGGCAGAAUCUUUGGUUGCAAUUUGGAAACACAGCAUUCACUGCAUUCAAUAACCCCUGACACAAACAAUUUAACAAGUCUAAGCUACAAGGUAAAUAAAUAUGCACCAAUGAAACUCUUAGCUACUGUUAACACUUGUGCAAAACAAAAUGAAAUGUGCAAACACAUACCUUUUGUCUAUCUGACAUUAUAGUAUAAGGUCCAAACUUGCCCACUUCUCCACCUAGGCAAAUUUUCAGUUGGUGUAGAAACCAACACCAACUAGGUGUGUCCUCUUGUCCAACUAUGCCAAAUGCCAGUGGAUAUAUGUUGUUGUUGCCAUCUCUACCAGUGGCAGCAAGGAGUUGAGCUCCUGUAGUGAGCUUAAUGAAGCAUCCAUCAACACCUGCAUAAUCAACAUUUCCAAACAUUAAAUACAUUCAAGUGAUAUACAAUAUGGAGUACUCUACAAUAUGUAAAUGGUGCACAAGGUUCAAGAACUAACCAAUGAAUGGCCUACACCCAUUGAGAAACCCCUCCCUUGCUCCAUUCAGGCAAAAGAACAUGGCAUGGAAUCUUGGGCCUGGGUGGGGUAUUUUUGCAUUUGGUACUGGAGUAACAGUAGUGACUAUUACUCUACUCCCAGGGUUUGUGUCCAUGACAGUCUGAGCAUAGUCUUUAAGCCUAGGAUAUUGCUUCUUGUGAUCUCCUAAGACAGCUUCAAUAGCUAUGUUCUUUGCCCUAUAUGCCAUGCACUUGGGCACAUCUACACCAUAUUUUUCCAUGCUUGCAUCAAUUAUUGUCUGAAUACCAGUAGUUAUAUCAGAUCUGAAGAGAUGCUCAUAUUUCUGUGCUAGCCACUUAGCACUAACCCUGGUGGUCUCAGUGGUACUAGGGCAAGUGUGCUCUAGUCUCAUCUUCUUUAUUACAAAGGUUUUCUCGCCUUUUAUAACUGCUGCCACCAUAAAGAACUGGCAUUGUUUAUCUGGACACUCAACAAUUAUCCUCUGAUCUGAAUUCCUGUGAUACUUAAAAUUCCUGGCCUGAGUGAUGUGCAAAUUCAACAAAGCAUCUCUGAAUUGAUGCUGAUCCCUAAAACACAACUUCAUACACAGUUGCUCAUGUGGUUGCUCCAUUUUCUCAUUGUACCACUUCCUGGCAGGCCUUUUCUUUGCCCUACUCUUCCUUUUCUUUGGUAGGACAAAACAGAUUGGCUCAAAACCAUCAUCAUCACUCUCCCUCAACAAUCCCUUCUCUUCUUCAUCUGAUGAUGGUCUGAAAUCAGGUUCAACCUCUGGUAGCUUACUACAAUGUGACCUAGUUGUUGGUCCUCUUCUAACUGGUAGCUUCUGCUUCUUCUUCACAGGUUCAACUAUAGUUUCUUCUUCUUCUUCAAAAGUCCUAUCUUCCUCUACCUCAAAUGGGUCCUCAACUUCAGUGUCACCCUCAUAAUGCAGCAUUUCUUCCUCUUCUGAUUGCUCAUCAUCUGAUUCUUCCUCUUGUACUUCUAGCUCUCUCUGUCUCUUUCCCUCUUCCACCUCUACAUCUUCAUCAUCACCCAUGUAAUGAGGGUCAUUUCCAAUUUGAGCAUCCUCAUCAGAGGCAUUAGCAUCAUUGUCCUCAUAUGCCUCAAAUCCUUGAUAUCCCUCUUCUUCUUCUUCCAAAACUGCUUUCAACUUGGCUGUUGCAUUCUUGCUUUCUUGUGUGCAAACACCAGCAGGAUGAGGUGUGCUAGAGUUGCUACAUUGACUCUCAAAAACUACUCCUUGCUGAUCAACAGCUAAGACAGGAGGCUCACUCAGAUCUAAAACAACAGGCUCUUGGUACACCACAGUGGACAACUCUGGCUUCUCAAAAUGCUGCCUCUCAAAAUCAGUAUCAGGGGGUGGACAAGCCCUGACUAGCAAAUCAAGCUCCAAUUUGUCCUGGAUGUUCCUCUUUAUCAUUUGUAAUUCUGCAUGACUGUCUACCAAAUCCAGCCCUUUCUCUCCUAAAGAUGGAUUUUCAAUGUGAUACAAACAAUCAUAUGCAUUAAAUCCUUGGGUUUCCAUCACUGCAACCAAAUUCAGAUAAGUAAUAUCUGAACCACACAGCUUCAUCUUCAAUGGUUCUCUUGCAUCAAAAUGGAUCCUUACUUGCCAAAUGUCUUCAUCCAAACUACAGAACAAAUUAAAUUUCAUGUAUUCAUUAUAAUUACUCUUAAUUUGGAGAGCAACAGUACAGUACAGAACAAUUUAGAGUAACCUGUAAGUCUAUUAUUUACUAUUAACUCUACUAUUACAGAUGCUAUUUCAGCACAGAACAAUGCUAUUAAAGUAACCUGUAAGUCUAAUAUUUACAGUACAGAACAAUGUACUUUACUAUUUCAGCACAAUAGCAAAAUCAAGGAAAAAGAUAAGGUCAUAAUCCCAAAUUGUUACUGUAAUUGAACUAAUUUGAGAGUGCAAUACACUGAGUUACUAGGUUACUGUAAUUGUCCUAUACUAGUCACUACAAUUGGACAAUCCCUAAUCCCCAACUGGAUAAACAAGAAGAUGAACAAACCCUAAAAAUCCCCAAUUGGAUAAACCAGAGCAGGAGGAGGACAAGGGUACUUACAGCACGCCGCCAAGUCCAUGCGUCAACUGAUGGCUGCUGCUAGGGUUCGCCACCCACUGCUGUGCCAACCGCAACCGCUGCUCCAUGCUGAGUAACAUCGACUCCUCCUCGUCGUCGGUCGAGUACGCGGAGCUGGAGUCAUCGCCGCCAUCGCCGUCGACGCCAACCGUUCCGCUAGGAGGCCAGAACGACAUCUCACCGCCGCCGUGGACGCCCUCGCCGCCGCCUGGCGGAGUCGCCGACGCCAUAGACUAGGGUCCGAGCGAGUGAGGAGAAGAGGAGGGGAGGGGAAUGGUGUGGCGGGGGCGAGCUGGUGCGACCGGACCGGGUUGGAGAGCAGCAGCGCACCGGCUCGUCCUAGUCAGCGCGCGGGCACGCGCCGAUUGACCAGCGUGGCACCUGACGGGUGGGCCCGAGCUGUCGGAUCGAGCGUCAAUACGUAUAAAUACGCGUUUUAGCCUUAUUUGAAAAAACUGGAGCAAUCAUGGUACUGACAUGCAAAAAUUAGCAAUCGUGGUACCAAUCUGCAUGUGAUGCCCCAAUUGUGGUACUUCUGUGCAAUUAACUCAGACAGAUAUAUAGUAAGAGAGAAUGUUCUGAUAUGAACAUGACAGAUACCUUAUCGAAGGAGGGGCAUAGCAUGGAGCCUGAGUACCGUAGGAAGGGGGGGGGCGAGGGCGUCGCUCUGGUCGUCGGCGAAGGAGGCGGGGCGCUGGACCUUGAUCGACGUCGUCUCUCGUUUGGUCAUCUCGAGCCGUGACUUGGAUGCUUUUGUUGGAGCCUUCCUUGCUUGUAUUUUUAUAGCAUUGUCUGCAGGACCUGCCGAAGCAACAAGUAGCGGAGUUCUCUCCGAGGAUGUAAGAUGCCCAGUUACAGACUUAAGGAAGGAAGACGUCCAGUUUCUUACAGACCGAAGGAAGGAAGAUAUACAGUUGCGUGCGUACACGUAUGGUUUGCUCGUGUCCACGUGCGCAUUAAUACACUACGAGAGGUGUACACGUUAACUGCGGAACUCGGGACGAGCCGUGCCGCAACUCCUCUAGGUAGAUGCUGCGAGAGGUGUGCAGUUCAGCAACCGCGGAACCAAAAUCCACGUCACAUCGCCGCGACUUCGCUCACCGGCGGCCGCCAGGCGAUGGCGUUGGGGCUCGUCACAGUGUGCUUUCCGUCGCUCCACGUGAUCGACCCGAACGUGUACUCCUUUAUGCUCCCCGCGGCUCGGAUAGAGAAGGUGACCUGGUACUCCUGUGUGUUGUGCGUAGUGCUGAACUGCAGCUUCUGCGGCUUCACGUCGACGCGCAUGCCGGCGGGGCUGGUUACCGUGGCUCGGUACGUCGCAUCCACAUUGUUGCCGACGUUGCGCACCAUGCGGUGCUGCGUGAUGGUCUCGUUCCGCGAGGUGAACACCGCCACGAAGGCCGGGUAGUUGUGGUCUCCCACAUAGCCUGAACCCGGGAGCGUCGAGCAGUUGGUCGACGAGCCGUCUCUCGUGAAGAUGGCAACCUCGUCAGCGGUGUAGCCGAGUGCGCACAGGAAGGUGACAUAGUCGUCCAUGCCGGCGUCGUACACGAGGCCUGGGUCAAGGGCGCGGUUGGGGUCCACGUGGCCUGCCCCGCGCGCGAACGGCGUGGACGCCUUGCCGGUGGCCAUGUCUCCGAUGACGUGGCCGGCGUUGUCCAUGUUGUACGCGGUGGUCAUCAGGGCGGACUUGAUCGCGGCGGGGCUCCACUCCGGCCUCGCCUGCCGGAGCAUUGCAGCGAUGCCGCUCACAUGUGGGCACGCCAUGGACGUGCCCGAUACGACAUUGUAGUGUACUCGUCUCGAGUCGCUGUCGAGGCCCGAGGGUGAGGCGGUGCCGGUCCAAGCGGCGAGGAUCUCCAAGCCGGGGGCAGUGACGUCUGGCUUGAGGAUCUCUGGCACUUGGAAGUUCGGCCCGCGGCUCGAGAAGGGUGCCAUUCUAGGGGAAGAAGGUGUGGGGCCGAUGACCGUGCCGUGGAACACGAUCGUCGCCGCCGGUGAUGUAGUGUUGCUUAUGUACUUUUUAAUCCUUUUCGCGACGGCGAAGGUGACGGUUGUGGCAGGGAAGUUAUGGGGGCUUCCGACGACCAGCUCGCCGAAUUCUUUGAUGACGGUGAGGACUGCUCCGACACCACCGGCAAGUCUGACGGUCUCGAGUGAAUAGCAUAAGACUGUCUUAUCACAAUUGGCGUUAGGCUUUCAAAAAACUAUCAAAUUUUUAUUUAUGACUGAUAACUACCAAAAUAGGUGUCGGUUGUUUCAAAAAACCCAAAUCGCCCGCUGCUAAGAAACUAAGCCAGUUUAUGACAAGUCGGGCCCGCACCUAAACAAGCCGUCUGUUUGACUGUUUGUGUUGACCGUUAACUGACAUGUGGGGCCCACAUGUCAGUGUCCCUUAAAAAAUUGCAUGUAAUUUUUUUCUUCAACCCCUUGGUUCUUUUACACUACGGGGCCGGCCAGAUCUGGCACAGGCCGCGCCGCCAAGUCGACGCCUGAGACCAGCGAGGCCGGCCCUCCACCGUCGUGCGGGAGGCCAAGCUCCGGCAAGAGCUGCGCCGCCACGCACCAUGGAGGGGCGCACCGCCCACCUCCGACGUCCGCCUCCGCACAGAGGCCGGCGACCUCCGCUGCCCGCCUUCGCGGCGAGGCUGGCCAGACCGCCACCACCUGCCGGCGCCGCCAUGGAUCCAUCCCGUUGCCCGCGUGGAGGCCCGCCUCCGCGCUGAGGUCGGCCACACCGCCACCACCUCGAGCCGACGUCGCCAUGGACCGGCGCGUCGAGCUGCUCCCUGCGUCGCCCGUACCCGCAACCUGGCCGGCGCUGUUCCUCAGGGUGGGCGCGGCCUCACCUCAGGGACCUGAUUGCUUUAAGUACAGGGGGAUUUAAGAGUUCUUUGUAAAUGAGACACUGACAUGUGGUCCCCCACAUGUCAUUUAACGGUCAAACAAACAGUCAAACAGACGGCUUGCUUAGGUGCGGGCCCGACCUGUCAUAAACAAGCUUAAUUUCUUAGGAAUGGACAAUUUGGGUUUUUUGAAAUAGGCGACGACGAUUCUAGUAGUUAUCAGUCACAAACAAAAAUUUAGUUGUUUUUUGAAACCCUAACGCGAACUGUGGUAGUUUUAUGCUAUUUACUCGACGGUCUCUUUGCGCAGCAAUCACGCCGGGGUCGCACAAAACGAUCUUCCCGGCGACCAAGCUGGCGUUGAGCCUCUCAGCUUCGCAGGUUUUUGAGCCGGCGGUCCGGCCGUACACGAGCGGUACGUCGGUUGCGCCAAGCGGGGGCCCGGCGUAGAGCGAAGCGCCUGAAAAGGUAUCACCGUUGCCGAGGACGACGUCCGCCGGGAAACGGCGGUUGAUGCUGGACGCGCCCACGGUCAAGAACCACGGCGCGAUGUUGAUGGCGGUGGACUCAACGGGGCCGGAGUUUCCCGCGGCGGCAGAGACGAUGAUGCCCUUGUGUAGCCGGAGGAGCCGAAUGAAGCGGAGAUGACGUCGACCCCGUCGGCGAUGGCCUCGUCGAACGCCGCGAGGAUGUCGGAGGUUGCGCAUCCGUAUUUCCAGCACACUUUGUAGGAGGCGACGCGCGCGCCCGGGGCCAUGCCGACGGCGUUCCCUCUGGCGUAGCCGUAGAAAGCCGCGUCCGGGACGGCAGAGCCGGCGGCGGUGGAGGCGGUGUGCGUGCCAUGGCCGAGGGUGUCGAGCGGCGACUUGGACUCCUCCGUCUCGUUGAUCGGGCCUCCGAAGUCAACCUCGUACCCCUUGUAGAAGACCUUGGCGCCGACAAGCUUGCCGUUGCAGUACGCCGAGGCGUUGAACACUUGAACGACGGAGCCGAGACACAGGCACCGCGGAACUUGCCGGGCGGCGGCGGCAGCGACGGGUCUGCCGCGAACGCCACGCGGUCGAUGGGGUACACGCCGGUGUCGAGGACGCCGAUGACGACGUCCGAGGCGCCGUUGGACGCCGGCAGCAAGCCCGAUGACUCCGACAGGCCGAGGAAGGAUGGCGUCAGCGUGGUGUGCAGCUGCUGCAUCACGUCGGGCACGACGGCGAGCACGGAGCGCUGGCCCGCGAGGUGCGCGGCCUGGCGACUCGUCAGGCGGGCCGCAAAGCCCGUGGCGGCGUGGGAGUAGGAGUAGAGCACCCGCGGCGCCGGGAGCGACAUGUCCGCCGGCAUGCGGUCACGCAUGAAUGAGGCGUACGCCCAGGUGGCGCGCAGGCCACGGUGCGGUAGCGGCGGCGCGUGCGCGUGAGCGACAUGCACGAUGUAGCAGGACCGCUCCUCCUCCUUUUCCCUCGCCGGCGACGAUGUGGCGGUGGCAACGACGGCGAGCAGGACGCACAGAAGGGUGAGUGGUCUGGCCAUCAUCAUAGUUUUUGAACCUUGACAAAAAAAAUCGUGGCAUGGCAAAAAAUCGUAACAUGGCAAAUUUCACAACAUAACACAAAAUGCCAUGGGUACAGAUUUUUUUUCCUUUCAAACCAUUUUUAGUUUUUGUAAUUGUAUCGUCUUGGUAGCAUGGCAAUUGUAAAUUUUAAUAGUGUUUCACAUAGUCUCAUGGCAAUUUCAUAUUUUUUUGGUUUUCAAAGCACGCCAUUUUUUUGCAACUUACAAUGCAUUAUUGUUUUUACAUGGCAAAUUUAUUGAUGGCAAUUUUUUACAAAAACAACAAAUUGGGCCUAGCCCAUUUUUCUGCAUGUUCAUAAUUUGUUGUGCCACCUGGGGUCGCCGGGAAACUCCCUCUUGAGCGGACGCCUAGGUUUGCUCAAUCGCUCCCCCUGGGGCGAAUGAAUCAUUCGCCUAGGUUCCCGCAAGAGCUAUCGAUCAUAUCUUGUAGAUAUUCACUCUAAAUUGCAAUUUGAUUGUAUCAUGACUUGUUUUUUCAUAAAAGGUGAAUUGUACGACUCAUAAUGUCGCAUGAAGAUGAUACAAGCACCAUGAACACACAUUCAGCCUUUAUAUGAUUAGUAAACACACAAUAACAUCGACACACGAAGAAAAGAAAAAGGGACAUCCAAAAAUUAUGUCGAAGCAAACUCAGAAAUGCAGUUGCAACCACUAGUAGGAAAAGGGGCUUUUACCCCGGUUCAUAAGGGCCUUUAGUCCCGGUUCUGAAACCGGGACUAAAGGGUCGUUACUAAUGCCUAGCCCUUUAGUCCCGGUUCUUACACGAACCGGGACUAAAGGCCGUCCAUGUGGCCGGUGCGGGGAGCCCAGGCAGGAGGGCCUUUGGUCCCGGUUGGUGCCACCAACCGGGACCAAUAGGCAUCCACGCGUCAGCACCUGGCAGGAGCUGAGGUUUUUUUUUGAAAGGGGGGGUUUUGGGGGGUUAAUUUAGGUUGUUAUUAGGUAGCUAUUAGAGAGAAGUGUCCUGUCUUAUAUCUCCGUGCUUGGUUUACCAACGCUACGUACUGCUAUGCCUAAACAUGGCUUAGAUUGAAGUGAAGGCAACAUGUGGUGCAUGUCGAAAGUAAUACUAAUCCGGACUUGAUCAAGUUUGGAUUGUACUACUUUCGACACGCACCACAUGCAUGUUGCCUUCACUUCAAUCCAAUCCAUGUUCAUUUCACCCGCUGAUAUAUAAUAACUCUUCAUGCGCGCAUCAUGCAUCGUCAUAUAUAAUAAUAAGUCCUACUAAUCAUCAUCAUACAACUUCUACUCGUUAUUAAUAACAAGUCAUACGAUCAUCAUCCUCAUAGUCAUCGAACCAACCCUACUUAAUUGUUCUUAGCACAUGAUCAUCAGUAUUAGGUAGGACCGAAAUACCCUCUUUAAGGUAAAAUAGCAUAAAACAAUAUAGAACCUGACUCUCCAUUAUGGAGAAUGGAGAUCAUCCUGUCUCCAAUUCUUGCGCCUCGCUUCCUUUUGCUUCCAAGAACCUCCUUGCGAUUGUCCAUACAUUUUUUCCAUUCUUUGAUUUGCAUGUCUCCACUUCUUUUAGAAAUCCGGUAUGGACAGUUGAGAUUCGUAGGAUGACCUGGUUGUAUAUUCAAAACAUCAAGCCUACCAUUCUGAUACAUCAAAUGAGGCACACAAUCCUCUGGGAUUAUCUAUUGAAAAACAUAGCAAUAACUUCAUAGUUAGCAAUGAUAAUGUACUAGUUUUAGAACUAUGCAAAAUACGCACGGAUGUCGUAAUAGUAAGAAAUCUUACCAGGGUAUCUCCAUAUUAGUUACCGUAGUUCAACACGUGCACUAGUGGCACGUAUUGAGGACCAUAAUGUUGAGGAGUUUGAUUGUAGAUAUUGUAACAAUAUCAGUACAAAAUCCGACCAGAUGAGUUUUCUCCUUAUAAGUUAACUCAGAGCCAUCGGUGUAGUAGGUUCUGUCUACCAUGUUCCGCACAUUGUUUGAACAAUCAAAAUAAGCUGUCAAUGAAAAUAAGCUGUCAACUAUUUUGAAAUGAACAAUAUAAAUUAGCUAAUAACUAUGUUUGAGAAACUCACAUAGCGGUAGAAUUGGAGGCGUAUCAACAAGGACCCAAAUGUCCAUAUUGUCUUGCUCGAUGUCAGGAUCACCAAGAUCCAUGGUGACAAGCAUACCCUCAUCAAAACCAUACAUCUUGCAAAAUGCUUCCCAAUUUUUGCAAUCAAAAUGGGUUACGCUAUCAGAAUUAUACAGCUUUACUUCAAAAUCUAUAUCAUGAUGGGUCCUUAGGUGAAUUUUCUUUGUUUCCAUACUUUCAUGGUCUUCAAAACCCAUCCUCUCCAAGACGUAGCGUCUUGCAUGGCAUGGGAUAAGCUAGCCGAAUUGUAAAAGAUGAAAAGUACACGUUGAAAUAGUUGAAGUCGUGCUUAAUUACGAAAAAAUAACACUUGUCGUCGUUGCGUACCGUUUCAACAUCGAACGUCUCCUCCAGCUUAAUACUGAAGCGCCGAUCUUCGUCCAGGUGAGGCCUGUCGCACUGACCUCGGUCGUCGUGGCACCAGUCGCACUCCCCCGGGAGACUUUCGUCGUCCGAGUACGACAUUUCCUAUGUUCAUAAUUCAAAUAUUAAACAUCUACAAUUAAAUAUAUGUACUAAAAAACCUAAGUUAGAUCAUUAUUAUUCAUCACGGGUUGACUAUCGGUUUGUCGAGUCUUUUCUUGAAAACUCUCAGCUCACGUGGUGUAUACAUUCGACCGUUGGUGAUGGUCGCUCCUCCCUUUGUCCCCGUGUGCAUUACACCAAAAUGUCUAGCUAGCACACGGGAACAAAGGAGAAGCGACCCCCACGACAACAGUCGGGAUUCUUCGUCCUCUCAUAUAUAUAUGGUGGAACUCUCCCUCACUGAUUCCUCUCUGACAUUUGCGACCGUCGGUGAUGGUAGCUCCUCCUUUCGUUCUCGAGUGCAUUACACCAAAUUGUCUAGCACACGGGAACGAAGGAGAAGCUACCCCCACGACAACAGUCGGGAUUCUUCGUCCUCUCAUAUAUGGUGGAGACUCGACAGACUUACAGUCAACCCGAAAUAUCGUUUAAUUAUCUUUCUAAAAGAGGAUUUGGCUGGUCUCACCUCGAUGUCAGAGGGGGCGGUGACGGGGACGACGGCGGGGAUGAUGGAGGGGCCGGGGGCUCCUACAUUUCUGCGAAAACAAAAACCCUAUAAGCUAUCAACUAAUCAUAGUGCUCUCCAAUUUUAGCAUUCAAAGUAGGAUCAGAGUAGUUUUCCACUUUGAGCAUUCAAUAAGCAAAAUCAAAUCACAAAAUAAAGUAGUAUUCAAAUUAGGAUGCAUUCAAUUAUAAGCAAAACUACAUCAUCUCCAUGCGUCCGUACAUCGUCGAAUAUUAUCACACCUCGAAUACUAUCAUACAUAUAGCAUCGCUAGUACAGCUAGAACAGUAGCGCCCGACGGGUAUCGGCGCGGGCGGUGGACACCCAAAGGGACGGAACCAUCACAGGAUCAUAGCUCCAGUGAGAUCCCUGAAGAACCUGCCAGGUAUUGUCGAACCUGCCCUCCAACGCAACCAUGUAGCGACGGAUGUGCUGGUCCUCCUCGCUGACACAGUGACGUACCACCUCCGCGGUGUCCGGAAGCCUCGGCACCGUCACUGGCCCACGCGAGCGCCACCAAACAAGGACCGGGUCAACGACGGGCUGGUUCCUCACCAACCUACGCCCACCGGAAGGUAGCACCUCCCAAAACCAGCCCGGCGGAGCCCAGUCCCGGACAUGGCCCCUCUGAUCAAGCCGGCCUCCUCCGCCGAGUCGACGACGAGGAUGCGGGAUAGGCAUCGUCAACGUCGAUGCGGGAAUAAUUGCUUUAACUAAAAAAACAAACUAGUUCUAUUAAUUUCCUUACUAUAAAUAGAAUAAAGUAGUACUUACUAAAAAUAAACUAGCUAGUUUAACUAGUUCUAUUAUUUUUCUAACUAAUUCUAUUAAACACUUUCUAAGUAGUACUUACUAAAAGUUAUCGGGGAGGGGGGUACAUAUAUCGACAACGACAUACCCGAUAAAAAAUAAGAAGAGGAAGAAGACGAAAAAAAGAGGAGAAGAAGAAAGGAAUAGAGGAGGAGAUCGAAGAAAAAAAUAAAAAAAGAGGAGAAGAAGAAGGAAUAGAGGAGAAGAAGAAAAAAUAGAAUAAUAUAUUAUUCUAUUUCUUCUUCUUCUCCUCUAUUUCUUCUUCUUCUACUCUUUUUUCUUCUUCUUUUUCAUCUUCUUAUUUAUUUCUCCUCUACUUCCUCUCCUCUUCUUCUUAUUCUUCUUCUUCUUCUCCUUCUUCCUCUUCUUAUUUUCCUUUUUUCUCUCCUUCUUUUUCUUCUAAAUAUGAACAUACAUAAAUGACUUCUAAAUAUGAAAAAUCUAAACUACACAUCUAAAUUAAUACAUCUAAAUUACAACAACUAAAUUAACUACACAUCCAAAUUAAUACAACUAAAUUACAAAUCUAAAUUAAACUACAUACACAUAUAAUAGCUAGGGGGCGCGGCGGCAGCGGCGGCGGCCAUUACAGGGAGGAGGAGGAGGGGAUCGGGGCGGCGCUCACAGGGUGGCGGAGGNNNNNNNNNNNNNNNNNNNNNNNNNNNNNNNNNNNNNNNNNNNNNNNNNNNNNNNNNNNNNNNNNNNNNNNNNNNNNNNNNNNNNNNNNNNNNNNNNNNNUAAAAAAUGAAAUCCCUUUGUAACAGACGAGUUUUCGGAUGAAAUCCUGAUACUUUGAAAGAGAUUGUCCGUUUUGUACACGAAGUGCAUCCAGUUUUUGUCGUAACCCUCUCAACUUUCUUGCACAUGCUAUGUGGAUGAAAUGAUGAUAUCAUGCCAACUUUCAACCUUUUCAGAGUUCAUUUGAAAUGUUUUUCAAUUUUAGGGUCUUGUAGCUCAAAAUAAUUAGUAAAUGCAUGAAAAAUAACAAAUGAAGUAAGAAAUGAUUGAAAAAUGAUGAUGUGGCUUUGAAUGGUGCAUUUUGAACACACAAAAAGUCAGGAGUUCAAAUAAGUUUUAAAAAAUGAAAUCCCUUUGUAAUAGACGACUUUCCGGAUGAAAUCCUGAUACUUUGAAAAAGAUUGUCCGUUUUGUACACGAAGUUCAUCCAGUUUUUGCCGUAACCCUCUCAACUUUCUUGCACAUGCUAUGUGGAUGAAACGAUGAUAUCAUGCCAACUUUCGACCUUUUCAGAGUUCAUUUGAAAUGCCUUUCAAUUUUAUGGUCUUGUAGCUCAAAAUAAUUAGUAAAUGCAUCAAAAAUAACAAAUGAAGUCAGAAAGGACUGAAAAAUGAUGAUGUGGCUNNNNNNNNNNNNNNNNNNNNNNNNNNNNNNNNNNNNNNNNNNNNNNNNNNNNNNNNNNNNNNNNNNNNNNNNNNNNNNNNNNNNNNNNNNNNNNNNNNNNNNNNNNNNNNNNNNNNNNNNNNNNNNNNNNNNNNNNNNNNNNNNNNNNNNNNNNNNNNNNNNNGAACACACAAAAAGUCAGGAGUUCAAAUAAGUUUUAAAAAAUGAAAUCCCUUUGUAACAGACGAGUUUCCGGAUGAAAUCCUGAUACUUUGAAAGAGAUUGUCCGGUUUGUACACGAAGUGCAUCCAGUUUUUGCCGUAACCCUCUCAACUUUCUUGCACAUUCUAUGUGGAUGAAAUGAUGAUAUCAUGCCAACUUUCGACCUUUUCAGAGUUCAUUUGAAAUGCUUUUCAAUUUUAGGGUCUUCUAGAUCAAAAUAAGUAGUAAAUGCUUGAAAAAUAACAAAUGAAGUCAGAAAGGAUUGAAAAAUGAUGAUGUGGCUUUGAAUGGUGCAUUUUGAACACACAAAAAUUCAGGAGUUCAAAUAAGUUUUAAAAAAUGAAAUCCCUUUGUAACAGACGAGUUUCUGGAUGAAAUCCUGAUACUUUGAAAGAGAUUGUCCGUUUUGUACACGAAGUGCAUCCAGUUUUUGCCGUAACCCUCUCAACUUUCUUGCACAUGCUAUGUCGAUGAAAUGAUGAUAUCAUGCCAACUUUCAACCUUUUCAGAGUUCAUUUGAAAUGCUUUUCAAUUUUAGGGUCUUAUAGCUCAAAAUAAUUNNNNNNNNNNNNNNNNNNNNNNNNNNNNNNNNNNNNNNNNNNNNNNNNNNNNNNNNNNNNNNNNNNNNNNNNNNNNNNNNNNNNNNNNNNNNNNNNNNNNNNNNNNNNNNNNNNNNNNNNNNNNNNNNNNNNNNNNNNNNNNNNNNNNNNNNNNNNNNNNNNNNNNNNNNNNNNNNNNNNNNNNNNNNNNNNNNNNNNNNNNNNNNNNNNNNNNNNNNNNNNNNNNNNNNNNNNNNNNNNNNNNNNNNNNNNNNNNNNNNNNNNNNNNNNNNNNNNNNNNNNNNNNNNNNNNNNNNNNNNNNNNNNNNNNNNNNNNNNNNNNNNNNNNNNNNNNNNNNNNNNNNNNNNNNNNNNNNNNNNNNNNNNNNNNNNNNNNNNNNNNNNNNNNNNNNNNNNNNNNNNNNNNNNNNNNNNNNNNNNNNNNNNNNNNNNNNNNNNNNNNNNNNNNNNNNNNNNNNNNNNNNNNNNNNNNNNNNNNNNNNNNNNNNNNNNNNNNNNNNNNNNNNNNNNNNNNNNNNNNNNNNNNNNNNNNNNNNNNNNNNNNNNNNNNNNNNNNNNNNNNNNNNNNNNNNNNNNNNNNNNNNNNNNNNNNNNNNNNNNNNNNNNNNNNNNNNNNNNNNNNNNNNNNNNNNNNNNNNNNNNNNNNNNNNNNNNNNNNNNNNNNNNNNNNNNNNNNNNNNNNNNNNNNNNNNNNNNNNNNNNNNNNNNNNNNNNNNNNNNNNNNNNNNNNNNNNNNNNNNNNNNNNNNNNNNNNNNNNNNNNNNNNNNNNNNNNNNNNNNNNNNNNNNNNNNNNNNNNNNNNNNNNNNNNNNNNNNNNNNNNNNNNNNNNNNNNNNNNNNNNNNNNNNNNNNNNNNNNNNNNNNNNNNNNNNNNNNNNNNNNNNNNNNNNNNNNNNNNNNNNNNNNNNNNNNNNNNNNNNNNNNNNNNNNNNNNNNNNNNNNNNNNNNNNNNNNNNNNNNNNNNNNNNNNNNNNNNNNNNNNNNNNNNNNNNNNNNNNNNNNNNNNNNNNNNNNNNNNNNNNNNNNNNNNNNNNNNNNNNNNNNNNNNNNNNNNNNNNNNNNNNNNNNNNNNNNNNNNNNNNNNNNNNNNNNNNNNNNNNNNNNNNNNNNNNNNNNNNNNNNNNNNNNNNNNNNNNNNNNNNNNNNNNNNNNNNNNNNNNNNNNNNNNNNNNNNNNNNNNNNNNNNNNNNNNNNNNNNNNNNNNNNNNNNNNNNNNNNNNNNNNNNNNNNNNNNNNNNNNNNNNNNNNNNNNNNNNNNNNNNNNNNNNNNNNNNNNNNNNNNNNNNNNNNNNNNNNNNNNNNNNNNNNNNNNNNNNNNNNNNNNNNNNNNNNNNNNNNNNNNNNNNNNNNNNNNNNNNNNNNNNNNNNNNNNNNNNNNNNNNNNNNNNNNNNNNNNNNNNNNNNNNNNNNNNNNNNNNNNNNNNNNNNNNNNNNNNNNNNNNNNNNNNNNNNNNNNNNNNNNNNNNNNNNNNNNNNNNNNNNNNNNNNNNNNNNNNNNNNNNNNNNNNNNNNNNNNNNNNNNNNNNNNNNNNNNNNNNNNNNNNNNNNNNNNNNNNNNNNNNNNNNNNNNNNNNNNNNNNNNNNNNNNNNNNNNNNNNNNNNNNNNNNNNNNNNNNNNNNNNNNNNNNNNNNNNNNNNNNNNNNNNNNNNNNNNNNNNNNNNNNNNNNNNNNNNNNNNNNNNNNNNNNNNNNNNNNNNNNNNNNNNNNNNNNNNNNNNNNNNNNNNNNNNNNNNNNNNNNNNNNNNNNNNNNNNNNNNNNNNNNNNNNNNNNNNNNNNNNNNNNNNNNNNNNNNNNNNNNNNNNNNNNNNNNNNNNNNNNNNNNNNNNNNNNNNNNNNNNNNNNNNNNNNNNNNNNNNNNNNNNNNNNNNNNNNNNNNNNNNNNNNNNNNNNNNNNNNNNNNNNNNNNNNNNNNNNNNNNNNNNNNNNNNNNNNNNNNNNNNNNNNNNNNNNNNNNNNNNNNNNNNNNNNNNNNNNNNNNNNNNNNNNNNNNNNNNNNNNNNNNNNNNNNNNNNNNNNNNNNNNNNNNNNNNNNNNNNNNNNNNNNNNNNNNNNNNNNNNNNNNNNNNNNNNNNNNNNNNNNNNNNNNNNNNNNNNNNNNNNNNNNNNNNNNNNNNNNNNNNNNNNNNNNNNNNNNNNNNNNNNNNNNNNNNNNNNNNNNNNNNNNNNNNNNNNNNNNNNNNNNNNNNNNNNNNNNNNNNNNNNNNNNNNNNNNNNNNNNNNNNNNNNNNNNNNNNNNNNNNNNNNNNNNNNNNNNNNNNNNNNNNNNNNNNNNNNNNNNNNNNNNNNNNNNNNNNNNNNNNNNNNNNNNNNNNNNNNNNNNNNNNNNNNNNNNNNNNNNNNNNNNNNNNNNNNNNNNNNNNNNNNNNNNNNNNNNNNNNNNNNNNNNNNNNNNNNNNNNNNNNNNNNNNNNNNNNNNNNNNNNNNNNNNNNNNNNNNNNNNNNNNNNNNNNNNNNNNNNNNNNNNNNNNNNNNNNNNNNNNNNNNNNNNNNNNNNNNNNNNNNNNNNNNNNNNNNNNNNNNNNNNNNNNNNNNNNNNNNNNNNNNNNNNNNNNNNNNNNNNNNNNNNNNNNNNNNNNNNNNNNNNNNNNNNNNNNNNNNNNNNNNNNNNNNNNNNNNNNNNNNNNNNNNNNNNNNNNNNNNNNNNNNNNNNNNNNNNNNNNNNNNNNNNNNNNNNNNNNNNNNNNNNNNNNNNNNNNNNNNNNNNNNNNNNNNNNNNNNNNNNNNNNNNNNNNNNNNNNNNNNNNNNNNNNNNNNNNNNNNNNNNNNNNNNNNNNNNNNNNNNNNNNNNNNNNNNNNNNNNNNNNNNNNNNNNNNNNNNNNNNNNNNNNNNNNNNNNNNNNNNNNNNNNNNNNNNNNNNNNNNNNNNNNNNNNNNNNNNNNNNNNNNNNNNNNNNNNNNNNNNNNNNNNNNNNNNNNNNNNNNNNNNNNNNNNNNNNNNNNNNNNNNNNNNNNNNNNNNNNNNNNNNNNNNNNNNNNNNNNNNNNNNNNNNNNNNNNNNNNNNNNNNNNNNNNNNNNNNNNNNNNNNNNNNNNNNNNNNNNNNNNNNNNNNNNNNNNNNNNNNNNNNNNNNNNNNNNNNNNNNNNNNNNNNNNNNNNNNNNNNNNNNNNNNNNNNNNNNNNNNNNNNNNNNNNNNNNNNNNNNNNNNNNNNNNNNNNNNNNNNNNNNNNNNNNNNNNNNNNNNNNNNNNNNNNNNNNNNNNNNNNNNNNNNNNNNNNNNNNNNNNNNNNNNNNNNNNNNNNNNNNNNNNNNNNNNNNNNNNNNNNNNNNNNNNNNNNNNNNNNNNNNNNNNNNNNNNNNNNNNNNNNNNNNNNNNNNNNNNNNNNNNNNNNNNNNNNNNNNNNNNNNNNNNNNNNNNNNNNNNNNNNNNNNNNNNNNNNNNNNNNNNNNNNNNNNNNNNNNNNNNNNNNNNNNNNNNNNNNNNNNNNNNNNNNNNNNNNNNNNNNNNNNNNNNNNNNNNNNNNNNNNNNNNNNNNNNNNNNNNNNNNNNNNNNNNNNNNNNNNNNNNNNNNNNNNNNNNNNNNNNNNNNNNNNNNNNNNNNNNNNNNNNNNNNNNNNNNNNNNNNNNNNNNNNNNNNNNNNNNNNNNNNNNNNNNNNNNNNNNNNNNNNNNNNNNNNNNNNNNNNNNNNNNNNNNNNNNNNNNNNNNNNNNNNNNNNNNNNNNNNNNNNNNNNNNNNNNNNNNNNNNNNNNNNNNNNNNNNNNNNNNNNNNNNNNNNNNNNNNNNNNNNNNNNNNNNNNNNNNNNNNNNNNNNNNNNNNNNNNNNNNNNNNNNNNNNNNNNNNNNNNNNNNNNNNNNNNNNNNNNNNNNNNNNNNNNNNNNNNNNNNNNNNNNNNNNNNNNNNNNNNNNNNNNNNNNNNNNNNNNNNNNNNNNNNNNNNNNNNNNNNNNNNNNNNNNNNNNNNNNNNNNNNNNNNNNNNNNNNNNNNNNNNNNNNNNNNNNNNNNNNNNNNNNNNNNNNNNNNNNNNNNNNNNNNNNNNNNNNNNNNNNNNNNNNNNNNNNNNNNNNNNNNNNNNNNNNNNNNNNNNNNNNNNNNNNNNNNNNNNNNNNNNNNNNNNNNNNNNNNNNNNNNNNNNNNNNNNNNNNNNNNNNNNNNNNNNNNNNNNNNNNNNNNNNNNNNNNNNNNNNNNNNNNNNNNNNNNNNNNNNNNNNNNNNNNNNNNNNNNNNNNNNNNNNNNNNNNNNNNNNNNNNNNNNNNNNNNNNNNNNNNNNNNNNNNNNNNNNNNNNNNNNNNNNNNNNNNNNNNNNNNNNNNNNNNNNNNNNNNNNNNNNNNNNNNNNNNNNNNNNNNNNNNNNNNNNNNNNNNNNNNNNNNNNNNNNNNNNNNNNNNNNNNNNNNNNNNNNNNNNNNNNNNNNNNNNNNNNNNNNNNNNNNNNNNNNNNNNNNNNNNNNNNNNNNNNNNNNNNNNNNNNNNNNNNNNNNNNNNNNNNNNNNNNNNNNNNNNNNNNNNNNNNNNNNNNNNNNNNNNNNNNNNNNNNNNNNNNNNNNNNNNNNNNNNNNNNNNNNNNNNNNNNNNNNNNNNNNNNNNNNNNNNNNNNNNNNNNNNNNNNNNNNNNNNNNNNNNNNNNNNNNNNNNNNNNNNNNNNNNNNNNNNNNNNNNNNNNNNNNNNNNNNNNNNNNNNNNNNNNNNNNNNNNNNNNNNNNNNNNNNNNNNNNNNNNNNNNNNNNNNNNNNNNNNNNNNNNNNNNNNNNNNNNNNNNNNNNNNNNNNNNNNNNNNNNNNNNNNNNNNNNNNNNNNNNNNNNNNNNNNNNNNNNNNNNNNNNNNNNNNNNNNNNNNNNNNNNNNNNNNNNNNNNNNNNNNNNNNNNNNNNNNNNNNNNNNNNNNNNNNNNNNNNNNNNNNNNNNNNNNNNNNNNNNNNNNNNNNNNNNNNNNNNNNNNNNNNNNNNNNNNNNNNNNNNNNNNNNNNNNNNNNNNNNNNNNNNNNNNNNNNNNNNNNNNNNNNNNNNNNNNNNNNNNNNNNNNNNNNNNNNNNNNNNNNNNNNNNNNNNNNNNNNNNNNNNNNNNNNNNNNNNNNNNNNNNNNNNNNNNNNNNNNNNNNNNNNNNNNNNNNNNNNNNNNNNNNNNNNNNNNNNNNNNNNNNNNNNNNNNNNNNNNNNNNNNNNNNNNNNNNNNNNNNNNNNNNNNNNNNNNNNNNNNNNNNNNNNNNNNNNNNNNNNNNNNNNNNNNNNNNNNNNNNNNNNNNNNNNNNNNNNNNNNNNNNNNNNNNNNNNNNNNNNNNNNNNNNNNNNNNNNNNNNNNNNNNNNNNNNNNNNNNNNNNNNNNNNNNNNNNNNNNNNNNNNNNNNNNNNNNNNNNNNNNNNNNNNNNNNNNNNNNNNNNNNNNNNNNNNNNNNNNNNNNNNNNNNNNNNNNNNNNNNNNNNNNNNNNNNNNNNNNNNNNNNNNNNNNNNNNNNNNNNNNNNNNNNNNNNNNNNNNNNNNNNNNNNNNNNNNNNNNNNNNNNNNNNNNNNNNNNNNNNNNNNNNNNNNNNNNNNNNNNNNNNNNNNNNNNNNNNNNNNNNNNNNNNNNNNNNNNNNNNNNNNNNNNNNNNNNNNNNNNNNNNNNNNNNNNNNNNNNNNNNNNNNNNNNNNNNNNNNNNNNNNNNNNNNNNNNNNNNNNNNNNNNNNNNNNNNNNNNNNNNNNNNNNNNNNNNNNNNNNNNNNNNNNNNNNNNNNNNNNNNNNNNNNNNNNNNNNNNNNNNNNNNNNNNNNNNNNNNNNNNNNNNNNNNNNNNNNNNNNNNNNNNNNNNNNNNNNNNNNNNNNNNNNNNNNNNNNNNNNNNNNNNNNNNNNNNNNNNNNNNNNNNNNNNNNNNNNNNNNNNNNNNNNNNNNNNNNNNNNNNNNNNNNNNNNNNNNNNNNNNNNNNNNNNNNNNNNNNNNNNNNNNNNNNNNNNNNNNNNNNNNNNNNNNNNNNNNNNNNNNNNNNNNNNNNNNNNNNNNNNNNNNNNNNNNNNNNNNNNNNNNNNNNNNNNNNNNNNNNNNNNNNNNNNNNNNNNNNNNNNNNNNNNNNNNNNNNNNNNNNNNNNNNNNNNNNNNNNNNNNNNNNNNNNNNNNNNNNNNNNNNNNNNNNNNNNNNNNNNNNNNNNNNNNNNNNNNNNNNNNNNNNNNNNNNNNNNNNNNNNNNNNNNNNNNNNNNNNNNNNNNNNNNNNNNNNNNNNNNNNNNNNNNNNNNNNNNNNNNNNNNNNNNNNNNNNNNNNNNNNNNNNNNNNNNNNNNNNNNNNNNNNNNNNNNNNNNNNNNNNNNNNNNNNNNNNNNNNNNNNNNNNNNNNNNNNNNNNNNNNNNNNNNNNNNNNNNNNNNNNNNNNNNNNNNNNNNNNNNNNNNNNNNNNNNNNNNNNNNNNNNNNNNNNNNNNNNNNNNNNNNNNNNNNNNNNNNNNNNNNNNNNNNNNNNNNNNNNNNNNNNNNNNNNNNNNNNNNNNNNNNNNNNNNNNNNNNNNNNNNNNNNNNNNNNNNNNNNNNNNNNNNNNNNNNNNNNNNNNNNNNNNNNNNNNNNNNNNNNNNNNNNNNNNNNNNNNNNNNNNNNNNNNNNNNNNNNNNNNNNNNNNNNNNNNNNNNNNNNNNNNNNNNNNNNNNNNNNNNNNNNNNNNNNNNNNNNNNNNNNNNNNNNNNNNNNNNNNNNNNNNNNNNNNNNNNNNNNNNNNNNNNNNNNNNNNNNNNNNNNNNNNNNNNNNNNNNNNNNNNNNNNNNNNNNNNNNNNNNNNNNNNNNNNNNNNNNNNNNNNNNNNNNNNNNNNNNNNNNNNNNNNNNNNNNNNNNNNNNNNNNNNNNNNNNNNNNNNNNNNNNNNNNNNNNNNNNNNNNNNNNNNNNNNNNNNNNNNNNNNNNNNNNNNNNNNNNNNNNNNNNNNNNNNNNNNNNNNNNNNNNNNNNNNNNNNNNNNNNNNNNNNNNNNNNNNNNNNNNNNNNNNNNNNNNNNNNNNNNNNNNNNNNNNNNNNNNNNNNNNNNNNNNNNNNNNNNNNNNNNNNNNNNNNNNNNNNNNNNNNNNNNNNNNNNNNNNNNNNNNNNNNNNNNNNNNNNNNNNNNNNNNNNNNNNNNNNNNNNNNNNNNNNNNNNNNNNNNNNNNNNNNNNNNNNNNNNNNNNNNNNNNNNNNNNNNNNNNNNNNNNNNNNNNNNNNNNNNNNNNNNNNNNNNNNNNNNNNNNNNNNNNNNNNNNNNNNNNNNNNNNNNNNNNNNNNNNNNNNNNNNNNNNNNNNNNNNNNNNNNNNNNNNNNNNNNNNNNNNNNNNNNNNNNNNNNNNNNNNNNNNNNNNNNNNNNNNNNNNNNNNNNNNNNNNNNNNNNNNNNNNNNNNNNNNNNNNNNNNNNNNNNNNNNNNNNNNNNNNNNNNNNNNNNNNNNNNNNNNNNNNNNNNNNNNNNNNNNNNNNNNNNNNNNNNNNNNNNNNNNNNNNNNNNNNNNNNNNNNNNNNNNNNNNNNNNNNNNNNNNNNNNNNNNNNNNNNNNNNNNNNNNNNNNNNNNNNNNNNNNNNNNNNNNNNNNNNNNNNNNNNNNNNNNNNNNNNNNNNNNNNNNNNNNNNNNNNNNNNNNNNNNNNNNNNNNNNNNNNNNNNNNNNNNNNNNNNNNNNNNNNNNNNNNNNNNNNNNNNNNNNNNNNNNNNNNNNNNNNNNNNNNNNNNNNNNNNNNNNNNNNNNNNNNNNNNNNNNNNNNNNNNNNNNNNNNNNNNNNNNNNNNNNNNNNNNNNNNNNNNNNNNNNNNNNNNNNNNNNNNNNNNNNNNNNNNNNNNNNNNNNNNNNNNNNNNNNNNNNNNNNNNNNNNNNNNNNNNNNNNNNNNNNNNNNNNNNNNNNNNNNNNNNNNNNNNNNNNNNNCAAAUAAGUUUUAAAAAAUGAAAUCCCUUUGUAACAGACGAGUUUCUGGAUGAAAUCCUGAUACUUUGAAAGAGAUUGUCCGUUUUGUACACGAAGUGCAUCCAGGUUUUGCCGUAACCCUCUCAACUUUCUUGCACAUGCUAUGUGGAUGAAAUGAUGAUAUCAUGCCAACUUUCAACUUUUUCAGAGUUCAUUUGAAAUGCUUUUCAAUUUUAGGGUCUUAUAGCUCAAAAUAAUUAGUAAAUGCAUGAAAAAUAACAAAUGAAGUAAGAAAGGAUUGAAAAAUGAUGAUGUGGCUUUGAAUGGUGCAUUUUGAACACACAAAAAGUGAGGAGUUCAAAUAAGUUUUAAAAAAUGAAAUCCCUUUGUAACAGACAAGUUUCCGGAUGAAAUUUAAACUAUUCAAAUUUGGAAACUAAUGGAGUAACAGAAAGUUUAUAAUUAUUCUGAGCUAAAAGCAAAAAGAACAAAAAAAUAAAGCAAAAAUCAAAAGAAAAUAAAUAAUUCAAAAAACACAAAAAUACUGGAAAAAAUAAAAAAUGCCGCCUAAUGGGCCACACGGCCUGCAUACGAUUAGAAACCCAUCUGCACAUGGGCCAGGAUGCAGGCCCGCAGGCCCAAUAGGCCCAACAUGGCAGUGACAAAGGUAGGCAUGUGUAACGCCUGCAUAUUAGAGAGGAGCUCAGCACCUGAGCUGCAACGCAGCUUAUAAAUAGGUGCUGAGCUCUCUCAGCUAUUGAGGUGGGACUAAACUUCCCACCGCACCGCGCAAGCACAUUAGUCCCGGUUGGUGGCUCCAACCGGAACCAAUGCUCCCCUUUGGUCCCGGUUGGUGCCACCAACCGGGACCAAAGCCCUCUGCUUCCCGCCCUUUGCGCUGGUGAAAAGAGGCCUUUGGUCCCGGUUGGUGCCACCAACCGGGACUAAAGGGUGGGUAUUGGUUCCGGUUUGUGCGUUGAACCGGGACCAAAGCCUUUGCUAUAUAAGCAGCACUUAGGAAAUUUUCAGAUUUCCAUCGCCAGUUGCCCCUUNNNNNNNNNNNNNNNNNNNNNNNNNNNNNNNNNNNNNNNNNNNNNNNNNNNNNNNNNNNNNNNNNNNNNNNNNNNNNNNNNNNNNNNNNNNNNNNNNNNNNNNNNNNNNNNNNNNNNNNNNNNNNNNNNNNNNNNNNNNNNNNNNNNNNNNNNNNNNNNNNNNNNNNNNNNNNNNNNNNNNNNNNNNNNNNNNNNNNNNNNNNNNNNNNNNNNNNNNNNNNNNNNNNNNNNNNNNNNNNNNNNNNNNNNNNNNNNNNNNNNNNNNNNNNNNNNNNNNNNNNNNNNNNNNNNNNNNNNNNNNNNNNNNNNNNNNNNNNNNNNNNNNNNNNNNNNNNNNNNNNNNNNNNNNNNNNNNNNNNNNNNNNNNNNNNNNNNNNNNNNNNNNNNNNNNNNNNNNNNNNNNNNNNNNNNNNNNNNNNNNNNNNNNNNNNNNNNNNNNNNNNNNNNNNNNNNNNNNNNNNNNNNNNNNNNNNNNNNNNNNNNNNNNNNNNNNNNNNNNNNNNNNNNNNNNNNNNNNNNNNNNNNNNNNNNNNNNNNNNNNNNNNNNNNNNNNNNNNNNNNNNNNNNNNNNNNNNNNNNNNNNNNNNNNNNNNNNNNNNNNNNNNNNNNNNNNNNNNNNNNNNNNNNNNNNNNNNNNNNNNNNNNNNNNNNNNNNNNNNNNNNNNNNNNNNNNNNNNNNNNNNNNNNNNNNNNNNNNNNNNNNNNNNNNNNNNNNNNNNNNNNNNNNNNNNNNNNNNNNNNNNNNNNNNNNNNNNNNNNNNNNNNNNNNNNNNNNNNNNNNNNNNNNNNNNNNNNNNNNNNNNNNNNNNNNNNNNNNNNNNNNNNNNNNAUAUAAUGUAGCUAUAUGGUUUUAGGUUAUAAGUGCUUAGUAGUUGAACUAGCUAGUUGAUUUAAUAAAACUAUUUUAUUAAAUUUUACUAUAUAUAGAAGUAGUUUAUUUUUAGUAAGAACUACUUUAUUUUAUAUAUUUAUAGUAAGUGCUUAGUAGUUGAACUAGUUGAUUAAUUAAUAGAACUAUUUUAUUAAAUUUUACUGUAUAUAGAAGUAGUUUAUUUUUAGUAAGAACUACUUUAUUUUAUUUAUUUAUAGUAAGUGCUUAGUAGUUGAACUAGUUGAUUAAUUAAUAAAACUACUUUAUUUUAAUUAUAGUAAGUGCUUAAUUAGUAGUUGAACUAGUUGAUUUAACAAAACUAGUUUAUUUUACUAUAGAAGUAGUUUAUUUUUAGCAAGGAAAUUAAUAGAACUAGUUUGUUUUUUUAGUUAAAGCAAUUAUUCCCGCAUCGACGUCGACGAUGCCUAUCCCGCAUCCUCGUCGUCGACUCGGCGGAGGAGGCCGGCUUGAUCAGAGGGGCCAUGUCCGGGACUGGGCUCCGCCGGGCUGGUUUUGGGAGGUGCUACCUUCCGGUGGGCGUAGGUUGGUGAGGAACCAGUCCGUCGUUGACCCGAUCCUUGUUUGGUGGCGCUCGCGUGGGCCAGUGACGGUGCCGAGGCUUCCGGACACCGCGGAGGUGGUACGUCACCAUGUCAGCGAGGAGGACCAGCACGUCCGUCGCUACAUGGUUGCGUUGGAGGGCAGGUUCGACAAUACCUGGCAGGUUCUUCAGGGAUCUCACUGGAGCUAUGAUCCUGUGAUGGUUCCGUCCCUUUGGGUGUCCACCGCCCGCGCCGAUACCCGUCGGGCGCUACUGUUCUAGCUGUACUAGCGAUGCUAUAUGUAUGAUAGUAUUCGAGGUGUAUUAGUGAUAAUAUUCGACGAUGUACGGACGCAUGGAGAUGAUGUAGUUUUGCUUAUAAUUGAAUGCAUCCUAAUUUGAAUACUACUUUAUUUUGUGAUUUGAUUUUGCUUAUUGAAUGCUCAAAGUGGAAAACUACUCCGAUCCUACUUUGAAUGCUAAAAUUGGAGAGCGCUAUGAUUAGUUGAUACCUUAUAGGGUUUUUGUUUUCGCAGAAAUCUAGGAGCCCCCGGCCCCUCCAUCAUCCCCGCCGUCGUCCCCGUCACCGCCCCCUCCGACAUCGAGGUGAGACCAACCAAAUCCUCUUUUAGAAAGAUAAUUAAAUGUCAGAGAGGAAUCAGUGAGGGAGAGUCUCCACCAUAUAUGAGAGGACGAAGAAUCCCGACUGUUGUCGUGGGGGUAGCUUCUCCUUCGUUUCCGUGUGCUAGACAAUUUGGUGUAAUGCACUCGAGAACGAAAGGAGGAGCUACCAUCACCGACGGUCGCAAAUGUCAGAGAGGAAUCAGUGAGGGAGAGUUCCACCAUAUAUAUAUGAGAGGACGAAGAAUCCCGACUGUUGUCAUGGGGGUCGCUUCUCCUUCGUUCCCGUGUGCUAGACAAUUUGGUGUAAUGCACUCGAGAACGAAAGGAGGAGCUACCAUCACCGACGGUCGCAAAUGUCAGAGAGGAAUCAGUGAGGGAGAGUUCCACCAUAUAUAUAUGAGAGGACGAAGAAUCCCGACUGUUGUCGUGGGGGUCGCUUCUCCUUUGUUCCCGUGUGCUAGCUAGACAUUUUGGUGUAAUGCACAUGGGGACAAAGGGAGGAGCGACCAUCACCAACGGUCGAAUGUAUACACCACGUGAGCUGAGAGUUUUCAAGAAAAGACUCGACAAACCGAUAGUCAACCCGCGAUGAAUAAUAAUGAUCUAACUUAGGUUUUUUAGUACAUAUAUUUAAUUAUAGAUUUUUAAUUUUUGAAUUAUGAACAUAGGAAAUGUCGUACUCGGACGACGAAAGUCUCCUGGGGGAGUGCGACUGGUGCCACGACGACCGAGGUCAGUGCGACAGGCCUCACCUGGACGAAGAUCGGCGCUUCAGUAUUAAGCUGGAGGAGACGUUCGAUGUUGAAACGCUACGCAACGGCGACAAGUGUUAUUUUUUCGUAAUUAAGCACGACUUCAACUAUUUCAACGUGUACUUUUCAUCUUUUACAAUUCGGCUAGCUUAUCCCGUGCCAUGCAAGACGCUACGUCUUGGAGAGGAUGGGUUUUGAAGACCAUGAAAGUAUGGAAACAAAGAAAAUUCACCUAAGGACCCAUCAUGAUAUAGAUUUUGAAGUAAAGCUGUAUAAUUCUGAGAGCGUAACCCAUUUUGCUUGCAAAAAUUGGGAAGCAUUUUGCAAGAUGUAUGGUUUUGAUGAGGGUAUGCUUGUCACCAUGGAUCUUGGUGAUCCUGACAUCGAGCAAGACAAUAUGGACAUUUGGGUCCUUAUUGAUACGCCUCCAAUUCUACCGCUAUGUGAGUUUUCUCAAACAUAGUUAUUAGCUAAUUUAUAUUGUUCAUUUCAAAAUAGUUGACAGCUUAUUUUCAUUGACAGCUUAUUUUGAUUGUUCAAACAAUGUGCGGAACAUGGUAGACAGAACCUACUACACCGAUGGCUCUGAGUUAACUUAUAAGGAGAAAACUCAUCUGGUCGGAUUUUGUACUGAUAUUGAGAAUUACAAUAUCUACAAUCAAACUCCUCAACAUUAUGGUCAAUACGUGCCACUAGUGCACGUGUUGAACUACGGUAACUACUAUGGAGAUACCCUGGUAAGAUUUCUUACUAUUACGACAUCCGUGCAUAUUUUGCAUAGUUCUAAAACUAGUACAUUAUCAUUGCUAACUAUGAAGUUAUUACUAUGUUUUUCAACAGAUAAUCCCAGAGGAUUGUGUGCCUCAUUUGAUGUAUCAGAAUGGUAGGCUUGAUGUUUUGAAUAUACAACCAGGUCAUCCUACGAAUCUCAACUGUCCAUACCGGAUUUCUAAAAGAAGUGGAGACAUGCAAAUCAAAGAAUGGAAAAAAUGUAUGGACAUUCGCAAGGAGGUUCUUGGAAGCAAAGGAAGCGAGGCGCAAGAAUUGGAGACAGGAUGAUCUCCAUUCUCCAUAAUGGAGAGUGAGGGUCUAUAUUGUUUUAUGCUAUUUUACCUUAAAGAGGGUAUUUCGGUCCUACCUAAUACUGAUGAUCAUGUGCUAAGAACAAUUAAGUAGGGUUGGUUCGAUGACUGUGAGGAUGAUGAUCGUAUGACUUGUUAUUAAUAACGAGUAGAAGUUGUAUGAUGAUGAUUACUAGGACUUGUUAUUAUAUAUGAUGAUGCAUGAUGCGCGCAUGAAGAGUUAUUAUAUAUCAGCAGGUGAAAUGAACAUGGAUUGGAUUGAAGUGAAGGCAACAUGCAUGUGGUGCGUGUCGAAAGUAGUACAAUCCAAACUUGAUCAAGUCCGGAUUAGUAUUACUUUCGACAUGCACCACAUGUUGCCUUCACUUCAAUCUAAGCCAUGUUUAGGCAUAGCAGUACGUAGCGUUGGUAAACCAAGCACGGAGAUAUAAGAGAGGACACUUCUCUCUAAUAGCUACCUAAUAACAACCUAAAUUAACCCCCCAAACCCCCCCCUUUCAAAAAAAACAAAAACCUCAGCUCCUGCCAGGUGCUGACGCAUGGAUGCCUAUUGGUCCCGGUUGGUGGCACCAACCAGGACCAAAGGCCCUCCUGCCUGGGCUCCCCGCACCGGCCACGUGGACGGCCUUUAGUCCCGGUUUGUGUAAGAACCGGGACUGAAGGGCUAGGGCAUUAGUAACGACCCUUUAGUCCCGGUUCCAGAACCGGGACUAAAGGCCCUUAUGAACCGGGGUAAAAGCCCCUUUUCCUACUAGUGAUACACACACACACACACACACACACACACACACACACACACCUCAGAAUGGCUAUGGAAAUGUCAAGAUUGGUAGGUAUUAUGAGUUUUUUGGGUAAGAUGUAUGGGCAUAUGUGUAGGUGAACAAGAGUAAUUCCUCCCAUGUGAUUUGGAUGUAUCGAUGAAGUACGCACCAAGUCUCAAUGUGAGAGUGGUCAAUUCUUGAUACCAAAGAGGCUAGCAAUAAAGAUGAAUUAAGUGCAGAAGGUUUUCGAACUCAAAUCAGUCAUAAAGAACUCUAACAUUGCACAAGUGUUUUGUGGCAUUCACAUAAAACCUAAGUAAUCCCUUACUCCGAGGGGAAAGGUUGUGAGGAGUUAACCACCCCUCCCCUCCCCCCAACCGUAUAAACAUUAUUGGUUUACUUACAACACCACUUGGAUCGAUGUCUUAAUCUGCUCUAGUCAAUUCUAAGUUCCCAAGUUUUAGUUUAUUAAGUAAAAGAAUGUCUCAAGUACUAAUCAAAUUUAACGCACUAAUUCACUUAUAGACUCAAGUUUCAUUUAUUGGUAUGUUCCUUCAUUACACUUUAAUUACCUCAAAACUAUAUGCUUAUUUUUGCGUAGUAAUAAUACAUUUUUGUUAUAUACAUGUACUGUAUGCAUGUAUAAAAAUAAAUAUACAUGUGAAGAUUGCACAUAUAGUCACUAACCGUCGCAUGUAAAUAUGUAUGAGGUUGCAAUUUAUCCGUCACCUACAAAGGCUUGGACAACACUAUACUAGAGCAGCCCGUAAUCUAUACCUACUAAUAAAGCAAGGUGCGUUUCACCAAUUUUUUUCAUCCGUUCGCCCUAGAAAAUAAUUUUGUUCUAUCCGAGAUGGUACUAAAUUCUUAUGCGUUCGUCUACUAGAAGAAAAAGCAUUUCCAGAAUUUCGUACAUGGACCACACGCUGUGGCCCAGCGAAGCGAACCCACUUAUUUUUCUGCCAACGCAGCUGCGAAAAAUAUAUUUUCCGCACAUGGCGACAAAUAGUCAGAGCUUCGCACAUGACAACAAAUAAUGAGAUGGCCCAUUCUUUUUUGUUUCUGUGUUUUACAUAUAUUUUUUUCUCAUUCCCCCAUCUCUUUUUUUCGUUCCAAAUUUAUUUUAUAAAUUCAAAAUUGUCAAAAAAAAUUCAAAAAGUAAAUACAAAUUUGGAAAAUAUUCAGAAUUCCAAUAUGUACAAAUAAAGCAAGGUGCGUUUCGCAAAUUAUUUCAUCCGUUCACUGCUGAUUUUUUACCCGAGGUGAUACUAAAUUCUUAUGCGGUCGUCUGCUAGAAAAAAAAGGCUUUUCCAGAAUUUCGUAAGUGGGCCGCGUGUUGUGGGCCAGCGAAGCCAGCCCACUUAUUUUUCUGCACACGCAGCUGUCAAGAUUCUAUUUCUGGCACAGGGUGACAAAUAGUCGGAGCUUCGCAGAGGACAACCAAUAAUGAGCUGGCCCAUUUUUCGUUGUUCCUGUGUUUUACUUCUGUUUUUAUUCUCCUUCCCCUAUUUAUUUUUUUCCCUUCCAAGUUUAUUUUUCUUAUAGAAUUUAUUUCAUAAAUCCGAAAUUCUCAAAAAAAUCCAAAAUUAAAAAAAAAUACAAUUUUUGGAAAAUGUUCAGAAUUCCAAAUUCUUGUUGCUAUUUUGAAAAAUAUUCAGAACUAGAAAAAAGUUUCCCAUUUUUCUACAAAAAACUAUUGUUUUGCAAAAUUGUUCGAGAUUUCUAAAAAGAAAAUUACAUUUUGAAAAUUUCUCCAAAUUCGAAAAAUAUUCUUGGUUUAGUGAAAUUUUCACAAUUUAAACAUAAUAUUCACAUAUAAAAGACACAUUUUCAAAAAAUGUUAUGAAUUUUCAAAGAUGUUCCCGUUUUAUAAAAUGUUCACAAAUUGAAACAAUGUCCAUGUUUUUACAAAAAAAAUGGUGUUUCUAAAAAACGUUUGUGAUUUUAAAAAAUGUUCCUGUUUUAAAUCUUGGUUCUUGUUUUUCUAAAAGUUUACAUAAUUUUCAAAAACUUGCUCAGAAUUUUAAAAAUGGUUCAUGUUUCCUACAAUAUUCAGAAACUUCAUGCCUUAAAUCUUCUUGAUUGAAUGUAAAAAUAGAUUGAAUAAUUCAUGAGCAUUCUCUCAUGUACGAUGUCAUAACAAAACUCUUAAAUGCACCUCCAUCAAUGAAUGGAAAAUAUCGGAUUGAUUAAUUCACACCCAGCAAAACCGAGAAGCUAAAUGUUCAUUUUUUGCGUGCACGCUAGGUUUUGCUUGCACAUAUAAUUCUCACUAAUUUCAAAUACAUAUUAUUUUGUAUGCCGUUGCAAUGCACGGGCAUAUGCGCUUGUCAACAUACAAAAAGAAUAGGGUGGCUUGGCAGUAUUGGACUGAAGCAGCCCAUGGUCCAAGUUGCACCUGUGCGGAUGCUGUGUGGCCUUGUGCGGCUGCAGGCGCUGGUGCACACCAUCAAAUGUGUCGAUGCGGUGCAUGUUUCAAAUCGACUGGCCAAAAUUUGUGCUCAGUAAAUCGACCCAAAAACAAAAGUCGAAUUGUACGUAGUCACUUCUAAUAAUCAAUGGAGUAAACCAUGCACCUACAAAUCCGCCCUCACCUCUUGUCCGGUUUUGAGAGUGUAGGAUUGAAAUCAAAUAUGAUACCACUUGAUUCACUCAACCCACCACACGAACUGAAACUUACAACAAAUGACAUAAUAAACUCACAUGUACGGAUACUAGGUAGUGCCCACCCUACACUGAUCACAUUCACAUCUCCAGAACCUGGCUCGUCGGCCAAGUGAUGGCGAUGGGGCUCGUCACCGUGUGCUCGCCGUCGCUCCAUUCGAUGGACCCAAACGUGUACUUCUCCGUGACGCUCCCGGCGAUUUGCGGCGCGAAGGUGACCGCAUACCCCUACGUCUUCUGCGUCGCACUGAACCGCAACGCCUCGGGGCUCACCGUCACAAGCACGCCCUCCGGGGCGGUGAUCUUGGCCCGGUACGUCGUCGCGUCGCUGCCGACGUUGCGCACGACGCGGCGCUGCAUGACGGCCGUCCGUUUUUUGCUCGAGGUGAACACCACCGAGAAGGCCGGGUAGUUCUGGUCGCCCACGGAGGAGCCCGUGCGUGUCGAGCAGCUGGUGGACGAGCCGAAGAUGGCGACCUGCUUGGCGGUGUAGCCGAGCGCGCACAGGAAGGUGAUGUAGUCCUCCGUGCCGGCGUCGUACACAAGGCCCGGGUCGACGGCACUGUUGGGGUCGAUGUGUCCAGCCCCGCGCACGAACGGCGUGGACGCCUCGCCGAUGGACAUAUCACCGAUCACGCCGCCGGCGCUGUCCGUGUUGCUUGCGGUGGUCAUCAGGAUGGACUUGAUCGCGACGGGGCUCCACUCCGGCCUCGCCUGCCGGAGCAGCGCCACGAUGCCGCUCACAUGCGGGCAUGACAUGUACGUGCCCGAUAUGACGUUGUACUUCACUCGCCUCGUGUCAAAAUCAAGCUCCGAGGGCAAGUUGGCGCCCGUCCAAGCGGCGAGGAUGUCCACGCUAGGCGCGGUCACGUCCGGCUUGAGGAUCUCCGGCGCGCGGAAGUUCGGCCCGUGGCUCGAGAAGGAUGCCAUUCUAGGGAAGGAGGCGUCGAGCCGACCACGGUGCCGCGGAAGACGAUCGUCACGGUAGGGGAAGUUUGCGUGCGUAUGUACUUUUUAAUCUUCUCAGCGGCAGCGAAUGGGACGUCCGUAGCGGGGUGGACAUGAGGGCUGGUGAUGAGUUUGCUUGCUCGUUGUUCGUCUACUUCAUCUACGUCCGUGUUGCCCUCAUCAUCACCAUGUCCACCGACGCCGAACGUGCCGCCGACGAGAAGCUCGAGGCCGACAAGAAGGCCGCCGAGGACACCGCUGCUGCCGCCACCGCCGCGGCGGCUUCUGCAUGGCCUACUGGAGGGUAUAACGCGUAUAUCCCUCUCCUGAUUAUUUCCGUAUUAGCUGUACUAACAUUAUGUGUAGAUCCGUCUACUGUUUGCGUAGUACGUGCUCGUUUAGAUUAGUAUCAGUAUGUUGCUAAUUCUGUCAAUGCCAUGCUAGUCAUCUAUUUAUGGAUUAAAUUAGUCGAAAAAUUAUCUAUUUACUCAGCAAUCCAAAAACCUAUUAUGUGUAGGAAUUUUUCGGCAAGUGGCUUUGCCGUUGCACUGAAACCGGAUAAGUUUACAGGUACGUACUUUAAGCGUUGGCAGACUAAGACCAAUUUAUGGCUCACGGCUAUGAACGUGUUCUGGGUCACCGGUGUCCCCACGGGAACGAUUGCUCCUGAACAGGAGAGGGCGUUCAGGGAGGCCACCGUUGUGUUUCUCGGAGCAGUUCUUAGCGUGAUCGGAGAUAAAUUGGUCGAAGCAUAUUUACAUGUGCACAUCGUCAAGGACUUGUGGGAGGCGCUCGAAUCUAAGUUCGGGGCCACCGAUGUCGGGAGCGAGAUGUAUAUUAUAGAGCAGUUCCACGAUUACAAGAUGGUUGAAAAUCAUCCUGUAUUGGAGCAGGCUCAUGAGAUAAUAUGUAUCGUUAAGGAGCUUGAGCUUCUUAAGUGCGAUUUACCGGGCAAGUUUGUCGCGGGUUGCAUAACCUCUAAGCUCCCUAAUUCCUAAAGCAACUUUGCCACCACUCUAAAACAUCAGAGGCGUGAAUUCUCUGUGUAGGAUGUGGCCAUCUGAGUGUUGAGCAGAAUUCGAGGGCAAAUGACUCGCAUGGAAAAGGGACCGAAGGGACUUCUGUCACCAACAUGGUGAACUAGAGGAACCUCAACUCCCACAAGCCCAAGGGAAAGAACGGUGUCCAACAUAAUACCGACUUUAAGAAGAAGGGUAAGAAGAACUUCAAGAAGAACAACAAGGAUGAGGGCUGCUUUACUUGUGGUUCGAUUGAACAUUGGGCCAACAAGUGCCCAAACAAGUUUAAGAAGUCAGGACAGGACUUCAAGUCUGUCAACAUGAUUAUGGGCAACAAUGAGAAUGGUGCAUCUGGGUACGGUAAUUUAUUUACUGUUUUUUCAGUGUUUCGGCCUACCGAUUGGUGGGUGGACACAGGUGCAGGUGUUCAUGUGUGUGCUAACAUUUCAUUGUUCACGUCUUACCAGGUCACAGGCCACGGGUCCGUAUUGAUGGGGAAUGGCGCGAGUGCUUCUGUUCAUGGUGUUGGCACGGUCGAUCUAAAGUUUACUUCGGGAAGGAUCGUGCAGCUGAAGAACGUGCAACAUGUCCCCGCCAUCAAGAAGAACCUCGUUAGUGGCUCCCUUCUAUGUAGAGAAGGGUUUAAGUUGGUCUUCGAGUCUAAUAAAUUAGGUGUUACUAAAUAUGGACUAUUUGUUGGAAAAGGUUAUGAGAUCGGAGGGAUGUUUCGCCUUUCCCUCGUAGAUUUUUGUAAUAAAGGCGUGAACCAUAUUCAUUCGAGUGUUAAUGAAUGUGAAGUUUGGCAUUGGCGGCUUUGUCACAUUAGUUUUGGUGUUAUGACGCGGCUAGCUAAGUUGGAUUUAAUCCCGAGUUUCACUUUAGGCAAAGGUCCUAAGUGCCUUUCAUGUGUGCAAGCUAAGCAACCUCGCAAGCCUCACAAGGCUGCAGAGGAGAGACACUUGGCACCAUUAGAACUCAUACAUUCUGAUCUUUGUGAGAUGAAUGGUGUGUUGACUAAAGGUGGAAAGAAAUACUUCAUGACAUUGAUAGAUUAUUCCACUAGAUAUUGUUAUCUGUAUCUGUUAAAUACUAAAUAUGAGGCUCUACACUACUUUAAAAAUCUAUAAGGCAGAAGUUGAGAAUCAACUUGAAAAGAAAAUUAAACGAGUCUGGUCAGAUCGUGGUGGAGAGUACUUCUCGAGUGAGUUUGAUUCCUUUUGUGCGGAACACGUCAUUAUUCAUGAGAGGACGCCUCCCUAUUCACCCCAGUCAAAUGGGGUUGCCGAGCGGAAAUAGCGUACUCUAACUGAUUUGGUUAACGCCUGUUAUACACAUUGGGUUUAUCCAACGCAUGGUGGGGGGAGGCUAUAUUGACAGCUUGUCAUGUCCUGAAUAAAGUUCCGACAAAGGAUAAUGAGAUCACUCCCUAUGAGAAAUGGGCGAAGAGAAGGACAACACUCUCAUACUUGCGUACUUGGGGCUGUUUGAAGAAAGUCAAUGUGCCGAUCCCCAAAAAGCGUAAACUUGGACCCAAGACGGUGGACUGUGUUAAUUUGGGCUACGCUAAGAACAGCGUUGGCUAUAGAAUUCUAGUAGUGAAAUUUGAGGUUCCUGACCAGAAGGUCGGUACAAUUAUGGAGUCUAAGGAUCAUACAUUCUUCGAGGAUAUUUUCCCUAUGAGAGAUAUGCAAAGCACUUCUAGACAGGAACCUGAGGAGACUCCUGAGCCUGCCAUUCCUAUGGAAUAUUAUGAACGAACACAUGAUGAAAAUCCUGAGGAGGAUGAUGAGGAAACCCUUGGUAUGGGCAAGAGACAAAGGAUUGCAAAGACCUUUGGUGAUGAUUUCUCCGUGUACCUCAUGGAUGACACUCACACUUCUAUUUCAAAAGCGUAUGCCUCUCCAGAAGCUGACUACUGGAAGGAUGUGGUCCAUAGCGAGAUGGAUUCCAUCAUGGCUAAUGAGACAUGGGAGAUCACUGAGCGUCCCUAUGGUUGCAAACCAUUGGGAUGUAAGUGGGUGUUUAAAAACAAGCGUAGGCCCGAUGGUAUGAUUGAAAAGUGCUAGGCUAGGCUUGUGGCCAAGGGCUAUGACCAGAAAGAAGAGGAAGAUUUCUUCGAUACUUAUUCACCUGUGGCCAGACUGACCACCAUUCGAGUAUUACUCUCGUUGGUGGCCUCGCAUGGUCUUCUCGUCCACCAGAUGGAUGUUAAGACGGCUUUUCUGAAUGGAGAGCUGAACGAGGAAAUCAACAUGCAACAACCAGAUGGCUUUGUGAUAGAUGGUCAGGAAAGAAAGGUGUGUAGGUUGCUGAAAUCUUUAUAUGGCCUGAAACAAGCACGUAAGCAAUGGCAUGAUAAGUUUAAUACAACUUUGACAUCUGUUGGCUUCGUUGUUAAUGAAGCUGACAAAUGUGUAUACUAUUGCCAUGAUGGGGGCGAAGGAGUUAUAUUGUGCUUGUAUGUUGAUGACAUACUGAUAUUCGGAACCAACCUCAAAAUCAUUGAGGAGGUCAAGUCGUUUCUAUCUCAGAACUUUGAGAUGAAAGACCUUGGUGUGGCUGAUGUUAUCUUGAACAUCGAGCUACUGAGAGAUGAUGAUGGUGGGAUUACACUUCUGCAAUCCCAUUAUGUUGAGAAGGUGUUGAGUCGUUUUGGAUAUUCGGACUGCAUGCCAUCUCAAACACCAUAUGAACCUAGCAUGUUCAUUCGAAAGUUCGAAGGCGCGGCUAAGGAUCAACUGAGAUACUCUCAAAUCAUUGGUUCACCCAUGUACCUAGCGAGCGCAACGAGGCCUGCCAUCGCGUUUGCUGUGAGCAAACUGAGCCGAUUUGUUUCCAAACCGGGCGAUGUACAUUAGCAUGCUGUUGAGAGAGUUAUGCGCUAUCUGAAAGGUACUAUGAACUAUGGACUUCACUAUACCAGAUACCCAUCGGUACUUGAAGGGUAUAGUGAUGCGAAUUGGAUCUCUGAUGCUGACGAGAUGAAGGCCACAACUGGGUAUAUGUUUACUCUUGGAGGUGGCACAGUUUCCUGGAAGUCUUGCAAGCAAACAAUCUUAACGAGAUAGACAAUGGAAGCAGAAUUAACAACAUUCACUACCGCAGGAUGCUGCUAACGCGACACUACGAUCAGAGACCCUUCGACGAAACUGUGUGCGAUGCAAUAAUUGCAAACGGUGGUGUAAAAGAACCGUCAAAAAAGGUGCAAAUUUUUUGCGAUGGCGGAGCCAUCAAACACGGUUCAGAUUUUAGUUGCGUGUGCGAUCCAGGGCAUACAGUUCAGUUCAAUGAACUGUUUGCGAUGAGGCGGAACAAAAGAAACGGGCAGCCUGAUGAAGGCAUGUGCGAUAUAGAGCAUACGGUUCACUCGGAUGAACUGUUUGUGAUUAGGCAGCACAAAAGAAAUGGUCAGCCAUAUCAAGGUGUGUGUGAUUGAGGGAAUACGCUUCAGAAAGAUUAACUGUUUGUGAUUAGGCAACAGAACAGAAACGGGUCAGCCAGAUCAAAGUGUCUGCGAUUGAUGGCAUACACUUCACAUGGAUGAACUGUUUGCGAUUAGCCACAACAAACUGAAAUAGUUAGAUAGAUCAACGUGUGUGCGCUACACAGACACACGCAUUCUAAUUAAAAGAAGCGUGCGCGAUGGUAAUAACAAGCGCGCACGGUUGUUGCAACAAGACGCGUGCUGACAUUGCCUAUUGCGGUGCGCCCUAUGGUGCAAACGCCACAUACACGGCCGAGAAGGCGUAAGUGCCCACAUUACGCGUUCCGAGAAUAGUGCCGCACUUAUAAUCGUCAGUAAAUUUUGAGCAUGCAUCCCGUCACAAUGUUUUUUAGAAGAACAGGGAGGCCGCGUCCCGUCACAUUCCAAAUUGCAAACCCGUUCACACGGAUCAAAACCUAAACGGUUUCCCACUUAGGAGCGUACUACUACUCGGUUAUAAAUACUACUACUCCAAGAUGACUGCACAUUCCUACUCAACUCCUCAUCCACAAAAACAAACAAGUCAUUCAUCAUCGUUCCCUUGCGUCUGCCAUAGCCAGCGCGAGUUCUGGGUCGAGAGAUUGCCACCAGGGAGACGCGAGCCUGGAAGCGGAAGCACGUGAGAUGUCCCGCCUCACCGUGAAAGCAGCCAACAUAUCCCACCGCGUGGCCGUAGUAGCAGAGAGGUCCUGCCGCGCCGCCGAAGCAUCACGGAGGUCCCGCCGCACCGUCGAUGCAGCAGACUAGUCCGGCCGCGCCGCGGAAACAGAAGAGAUGUCCCGCCGCGGCGGCCUGGAAAAAUGUCUCGCAGGCAGGCGAGGACUCUUACAGGCGCAUGCGUCCCUCGUCCUUAGGCAGAUGGAUCAGAUCUCCAGGUGGGCGAGGUUGCAGGAUGACCUGAAAGCCUCAUUUGAACAAUCUACCGGCGUCAUCCGGCAACUAAAUGAGAGCAAUGUGAAGCUCCAGGCCGAGCGCGACCUGCUGAGGGCGAAGAUCGUCGGAAGUGCGGAGCAGCGGGAGCAGAGCACUGCCUUGUUGAAGAGGACCGGCGUCAUCGUCGAGAAACUUAUGGACGAGAAUGCCAUGCUGCGCAUCGAGCGCAGAAGGCUGGUGGAGGAAUCCGUGGAUGCUCUCAAGAAGCAUCUUGAGGACAAGAAAGGGCUCAUCGCCGCUCGCCGCAGAGACUAGUUCCCGCGGCCUGCAGCAACGCAUCAACAAAGUAGAGAGUAGCGAGCCAGAUCGUUGUCUUCCUUCUUCUUUUUCCCUUGUGUAUUUCGGGUGUUGUCGCAUGUGGCUUUUUUUAAAUAUGUUCCUAAAUAUGUGAGACAAUUAUUAUCCACUGUUAUCGUCCUUAUAUUCAUCAUGCUUGCUAUAAGUCGCAGUUGGUGCUAUAUAGGUCCGUCGGAUCUUACAUCAAGAUCCGUGCAAAACUUUUUUUCUUCAGAUUUUCAUUUUUAUCUCUUAAUCUCAGUCCAGUGAGACAUAUAGCCACGCCGUAGAACAGGUGCUUGAGCGCCAUUAAUGGGGACGUUGGGAGGGAGGUGCGUGGCGGGUAGCGGUCAAAGGGCUCUCCUCCCGAUGAGCACGCGCAGGGGUUUGAUCGCACGCCUCCCGUACUUAGCUACCCCGCACGUCACCUCCUAGCCAAUAAAAAAAGGGGACGCGUGACGACACGUAAAUGGUAAGUAGAACGCCCACGGUUUCAAUAAUACUUGUGUUUCCGAUUUGUAACGUGACAACAGUUGUUUCAAAAUGACUUUGUUGAUUGUUAAUGUGUGCGCCUUGGCAAAUCGGACAGAAAAACUCCACAUCAUGUUGGUGCCAUGUCAUGACACCAUGCCAAGUUUCAUGAUUUUCGGGCGUGUUUUGGAUUUACAGGAAUUAAAAAAUCAAGUUUCUCAAUCUUUCCGGCCGAGCCACGAUGCCCAGAUGUUUGAAUUUCAUUCUCAUCUCUUGCAUAGGACCUAGAAAUUCACCCAAGGACACACAUGUGGUUUUUCAAACAACUUUGGUGCAGUGGAGCCUGUGCUUGUAGUUAAAAUUUGAAUUAUGCGCAUUAAAUGCGCAGAAACUCAAUUAAUGUAUAAAAAAGGCCAAACGAACCCGGAAUAAUUCCAAAAUUUAGCACGAUACUUCUAUUUGGUCUAAUCUUCCUAUGUAAAAAAAUAAGGAGGGAGAAGGCAGUGUACAUAUGUCGUUUCGCACACGGAGGUGGCACGUUCCCUCUCGGACCACGAGCCUUCUUGAGGGAAGCUCUGGUUUGCAAGAAGCUUACACCAAAGCUUGUCCCAAUUCGGCCAAAAAAAUUACCGCAGCAUGUUGGUGCCAUGUCAUGACACGAUGCCAAGUUUCAUGAUUUUCAGGCGUGUUUUGGAUUUACAGGAAUUAAAAAACCAAGUUUCUCAAUCUUUCCGACCGAGCCACGACGCCCAGAUGUUUGAAUUUCACUGCUUGCAUGGGACCCAGAAAUUCACCCAAGCACACACAUGUGAUUUUUGAAACAACUUUGGUGCACUAGAGCCUGUGCUUGUAGUUCAAAUUUGAUUUAUGCACAUUAAAUGCGUAGAAACUCAAUAAAUGUAUAAAAAAGGCCAAACGAAUCCGGAAUAAUUUCAAAAUUUAGCACGAUACUUCUAUUUGGUCUAAUCUGGCUGUGUAAAAAAAUUAAGGCGGGAGAAGGCAGUAUAUGAAGGAAAUAUGCCCUAGAGGCAAUAAUAAAGUAUUAUAUAUUUCCUUAUAUCAUGAUAAAUGUUUAUUAUUCAUGCUAGAAUUGUAUUAACCGGAAACAUAAUACAUGUGUGUAUACAUAGACAAACAAGAGUGUCACUAGUAUGCCUCUACUUGACUAGCUCGUUAAUCAAAGAUAGUUAUGUUUCCUAGCCAUAGACAUGAGUUGUCAUUUGAUUAACGGGAUCACCUCAUUAGGAGAAUGACGUGAUUGACUUGACCCAUUCCGUUAGCUUAGCACCCGAUCGUUUAGUAUGUUGCUAUUGCUUUCUUCAUGACUUAUACAUGUUCCUAUGACUAUGAGAUUAUGCAACUCCCGUUUACCGGAGGAACACUUUGUGUGCUACCAAACGUCACAACGUAAAUGGGUGAUUAUAAAGGUGCUCUACAGGUGUCUCCAAAGGUAUUUGUUGGGUUGGCGUAUUUCGAGAUUAGGAUUUGUCACUCCGAUUGUCGGAGAGGUAUCUCUGGGCCCACUCAGUAAUGCACAUCACUAUAAGCCUUGCAAGCAUUGUGACUAAUGAGUUAGUUGCGGGAUGAUGUAUUACAGAACGAGUAAAGAGACUUGCCGGUAACGAGAUUGAACUAGGUAUCGAGAUACCGAUGAUCGAAUCUCGGGCAAGUAACAUACCGAUGACAAAGGGAUCAACGUAUGUUGUUAUGCGGUCUGACCGAUAAAGAUCUUCGUAGAAUAUGUGGGAACCAAUAUGAGUAUCCAGGUUCCCCUAUUGGUUAUUGACCGGAGAGGUGUCUCGGUCAUGUCUACAUAGUUCUCGAACCCGUAGGGUCCGCACGCUUAACGUUACGAUGACGGUUAUAUUACGAGUUUAUGUGUUUUGAUGUACCGAAGGAGUUCGGAGUCCCGGCUGAGAUCGGGGACAUGACGAGGAGUCUCGAAAUGGUCGAGACAUAAAUAUUGAUGUAUUGGACGACUAUAUUCGGACACCGGAAGUGUUCCGGAGAUGUUUCGGAUUUAACCGGAGUGCCGGAGGGUUACCGGAACCCCCCCCCCCCCGGGGAAGUAUUGGGCCUUAGAGGGCCUAGAGGGGAGAGAGAGGGCAGCAGCCAGGAGGUGGCGCGCCCCCUCCCAGGAGGAAUCCUAGUUGGACUAGGAGAGGGGGGCGCAGCCCCCUUUCCCUCUCCCUCUCCCUCUCUUUCCUCCCCCCCUCUUUUCCUAGUAGGACUAGGAAAGGGGAGUCCUACUCCUACUAGGAGGAGGACUCCCCCCUCUCUUUGGCGCGCCUAGGGCAGCCGGCCUCCCCCUUGCUCCUUUAUAUACGGGGGCAGGGGGGCACCUCUCUACCCACUUGAUAUACGAUAUUUUAGCCCUGUGCGGUGCCCCCCUCCACCAUAUUACACCUCGAUAAUACCGUCGCGGAGCUUAGGCGAAGCCCUGCGUCGGUGGAACAUCAUCAUUGUCACCACGCCGUCGUGCUGACGAAACUCUCCCUCAACACUCGGCUGGAUCGGAGUUCGUGGGACGCCAUCGAGCUGAACGUGUGCUGAACUCGGAGGUGCCGUGCGUUCGGUACUUGAUCGGUCGGAUCGUGAAGACGUACGACUACAUCAACCGCGUUGUGUUAACGCUUCCACUUUCGGUCUACGAGGGUACGUGGACAACACUCUCCCCUCUCGUUGCUAUGCAUCACCAUGAUCUCGCGUGUGCGUAGGAUUUUUUUUGAAAUUAGUAUGUUCCCCAACAGUGGUAUCAGAGCCUGGUUUUAUGCGUUGAUGCUAUGCACGAGUAGAACACAAGUGAGUUGUGGGCGAUAUAAGUCAUACUGCUUACCAGCAUGUCAUACUUUGGUUCAGCGGUAUUGUGAGAUGAAGCGCCCCGGACCGACAUUACGCGUACGCUUACGCGAGACUGGUUUCACCGUUGCGAGCACUCGUUGCUUAAAGGUGACUGGCGGGUGUCUGUCUCUCUCACUUUAGUUGAACCGAGUGUGGCUACGCCCGGUCCUUGCGAAGGUUAAAACAGCACCAACUUGACAAACUAUCGUUGUGGUUUUGAUGCGUAGGUAAGAACGGUUCUUGCUAAGCCCGUAGCAGCCACGUAAAACUUGCAACAACAAAAUAGAGGACGUCUAACUUGUUUUUGCAGGGCAUGUUGUGAUGUGAUAUGGUCAAGACAUGAUGUGAUAUAAUUUGUUGUAUGAGAUGAUCAUGUUUUGUAACCGAGUUAUCGGCAACUGGCAGGAGCCAUAUGGUUGUCGCUUUAUUGUAUGAAAUGCAAUCGCCAUGUAAUAGUUUUACUUUAUCACUAAGCGGUAGCGAUAGUCGUAAAAGCAAUAAGUUGGCGAGACGACAACGAUACUACGAUGGAGAUCAAGGUCUCGCGCCGGUGAAGAUGGUGAUCAUGACGGUGCUUCGGAGAUGGAGAUCACAAGCACGGUGCUUCGGAGAUGGAGAUCACAAGCACAAGAUGAUGAUGGCCAUAUCAUAUCACUUAUAUUGAUUGCAUGUGAUGUUAAUCCUUUAUGCAUCUUAUCUUGCUUUGAUUGACGGUAGCAUUAUAAGAUUAUCUCUCACUAAAAUUUCAAGAUAAAGUGUUCUCCCUGAGUAUGCACCAUUGCGAAAGUUCUUCGUGCUGAGACACCACGUGUUAAUCGGGUGUGAUAGGCUCUACGUUCAAAUACAACGGGUGCAAAACAGUUGCACACGCGGAAUACUCAGGUUAAACUUGACGAGCCUAGCAUAUACAGAUAUGGCCUCGGAACACAGAGACCGAAAGGUCGAGCGUGAAUCAUAUAGUAGAUAUGAUCAACAUAGUGAUGUUCACCAUUGAAACUACUCCAUCUCACGUGUUAAUCGGACAUGGUUUAGUUGAUUUGCAUCACGUAAUCACUUAGAUGAUUAGAGGGAUGUCUAUCUAAGUGGGAGUUAUUAAGUAAUAUGAUUAAUUGAACUUAAAUUUAUCAUGAACUUAGUCCUGAUAGUAUUUUUGCAAAUUAUGUUGUAGAUCAAUAGCUCGCGUUGUUGCUUCCCUGUGCUUAUUUUUGAUAUGAUUCCUAGAGAAAAUUAUGUUGAAAGAUGUUAGUAGCAAAGAUGCAGAUUGGAUCCGUGAUCUGAGGAUUAUCCUCAUUGCUGCACAGAAGAAUUAUGUCCUUGAUGCACCGCUAGGUGACAGACCUAUUGCAGGAGCAGAUGCAGACGUUAUGAACGUUUGGCUAGCUCAAAUAUGAUGACUACUUGAUAUUUUAGUGCACCAUGCUUAAACAACUUAGAAUCGGGACUUCAAAGACGUUUUGAACGUCAUGGACCAUAUGAGAUGUUCCAAGAGUUGAAGUUAAUAUUUCAAGAAAAUACCCGAGUUGAGAGAUAUGAAGUCUCCAACAAGUUAUAUAGCUAAAAGAUGGAGGAGAAUCACUCAACUAGUGAGCAUGUGCUCAGAUUGUCUGGGUACUACAAUCGCUUGAAUCAAGUGGGAGUUAAUCUUCCAGAUAAAAUAGUGAUUGACAGAAUUCUCUAGUCACCAUCACCAAGUUAGUAGAACUUCGUGAUGAACUACAUUAUGCAAGGGAUGACGAAAGUAAUUCCCGAGCUCUUCGUGAUGCUGAAAUCGACGAAGGUAGAAAUCAAGAAAAACAUCAAGUGUUGAUGGUUGACGAGACCACUAGUUUCAAGAAAAGGGCAAAGGGAAGAAGGGGAACUUCAAGAAGAACGGCAAGCAAGUUGCUGCUCAAGUGAAGAAGCCUAAGUCUGGUCCUAAGCCUGAGACUAAGUGCUUCUACUCCAAAGGGACUGGUCAAUGGAAGCGGAACUACCCCAACUAUUUGGUGGAUAAGAAGGAUGGCAAAGUGAACAAAGGUAUAUUGGAUAUACAUGUUAUUGAUGUGUACUUUACUAGUGUUUAUAGCAACCCCUCGGUAUUUGAUACUGUUCAGUUGCUAAAGUAGUAACUCGAAUCGGGAGUUGCAGAAUAAACAGAGACUAGUAAAAGGCGAGGUGAAGAUGUGUGUUGGAAGUAGUUCCAAGAUUGAUAUGAUCAUCAUCGCACACUCUCUGUACUUUCGGGAUUAGUGUUGAAACUAAAUAAGUGUUAUUUGGUGUUUGCGUUGAGCAUGAAUAUGAUAUGAUCAUGUUUAUUGCAAUACGGUUAUUCAUUUAAGUUAGAGAACAAUAGUUGUUCUCUUUACAUGAAUAAAAACCUUCUAUGGUCAUACACACCAACGAAAAUGGUUUGUUGGAUCUCGAUCGUAGUGAUACACAUAUUCAUAAUAUUGAAGCCAAAAGAUGCAAAGUUAAUAAUGAUAGUGCAACUUAUUGGUGGCACUGCCGUUUAGGUCAUAUUGGUGUAAAGCGCAUGAAGAAACUCCAUACUGAUGGGAUUUUGGAAUCACUUGAUUAUGAAUCACUUGAUGCUUGCGAACCGUGCCUCAUGGGCAAGAUGACUAAAACGCCGUUCUCCGGAACUAUGGAGAGAGCAACAGAUUUGUAGGAAAUCAUACAUACAGAUGUAUGUGGUCCGAUGAAUAUUGAGGCUCGUAGCAGGUAUCAUUAUUUUCUGACCUUCACAGAUGAUUUGAGAAGAUAUGGGUAUAUCUACUUAAUGAAACAGAAGUCUGAAACAUUUGAAAAGUUCAUAUAAUUUCAGAGUGAAGCGGAAAAUCAUCGUAACAAGAAAAUAAAGUUUCUACGAUCUGAUCGUGGAGAAGAGUAUUUGAGUUACGAGUUUGGCCUUCAGUUAAAACAAUGUGAAAUAGUUUCACUACUCACGCCACCUGGAACACCACGAUGUAAUGGUGUGUCCGAACAUCGUAACCGUACUUUAUUAGAUAUGGUGCGAUAUAUGAUGUCUCUUACCGAUCUACCACUAUCGUUUUGGGGUUAUGCAUUAGAGACAGCUGCAUUCACGUUAAAUAGGGUACCAUCUAAAUCCGUUGAGACGACAUCUUAUGAACUGUGGUUUGGCAAGAAACCAAAGUUGUCGUUUCUUAAAGUUUGGGGUUGCGAUGCUUAUGUGAAAAGGUUUCAUCCUGAUAAGCUCAAACGCAAAUCGGAGAAAUGUGUCUUCAUAGGAUACCCAAAAGAGACUGCUGGGUACACCUUCUAUCACAGAUUCGAAGGCAAGAUAUUCGUUGCUAGGAAUGGAUCCUUUCUAGAGAAGGAGUUUCUCUCGAAAGAUGUGAGUGGGAGGAAAGUAGAACUUGAUGAGGUAACUGUCGGGGAUAUACCCCGCGGUAUGACCCGGACGAAAGUAUGACCCGGCCGGACUUGGCGCUUCACCGUGACCCGCCAGAAGACUGGCGACUCACGGGUCUGACGGCUCACUGUCAGACGACUCACGAGCCGGACGACUCCCGGAUGACCCCAACGGCGGGUCAGAUAGAAGACUAGGCCCAAGGCCCAGAUGGCCGGCUCAUGAGAUGGUGGGCCGGCUUAAGAAGAAAGGGAUGACGAAUAUUUCCUUUACAAGGAAGCAAGACCCGGACUUGUAAUUAACUUGUAAGAGAAGAUAGACUAGUCCUAGUCCUACUAGGACUCCACAUGUAACCCGCCCCUCUAACUUAUAUAAGGAGGGGCAGGGCUCCCCAAAGAGGGACAAGACAAGAAACAAUCUCUAGGGCAAAACACUGAGAGCCGGUUCCCGGCGACUCUCCCGUGAUCAUAAUGAGACCUAGCCUCAAACAGCAUGUAGGGUUAUUACCGGAUGAUGUUUCCCGGGGCCCGAAGCUGUCUAAAUCCUCGUCUUGUGUUGCGUCUCUCGAUUCCGCUCAACCCCUCUCAAGCUACCACAUAGAUGCGUUGUCCUCGCGACUAAGUCCUGACACUAAGGACAUCUGCCGUGUCAAUUCCACGACAGUUGGCGCCCACCGUGGGGCUUUCGCACGGUGGUGUUGAGUUCUUGGAGGGAUCUCUUCUAGGGUUCGAGAAGCUCGUAAAAUUCCGGAUGAAAAAGAGCCGGCGCAGAAGGAUCUACAUCGGCUACGAGUUCACCAGUUGAUUAAAAAGUUUGGUGCCCUGCAUGGAUGCAGUCGACUCGAAAAAAAAUACCAUAUGACCUAUAUAUAGAAGGGGAGACGAUUUGCUUAACUCAGGAAAAUUCAAUUCUCCGCAAUUUGCAAUCCGAGGAAGACAAAACAGGGCAACACUGCGUUCAGCUUCGUGGGUUCACACGACCGGCUACUACAGCCCCAUGAUAAAGUCAGCUCGUGGUGGAGAGAUCAAACAUCAGUCAAAGAUUACAAUUAUCCCAGUCUGUACAUGAAGACAAUAAAAAAAGAGGAGCAUUGAUCUUGCAACGCUAAGGUGGACAAAAUUGAUCAGGGUCACGUCUGACUAAAAGCUGCCGCAGCUUUUGAUGAACUUCCAGAUGUAUUAAGGAAAAUACUAUUGAAGAAAAAGAGUUGGUAGUUGUUUCAGACCAAGGCAGACUCGGACGGGUGUAACAGCUCAAUCAAAGAUGAAUACUACUCUGAUUCAAAUAUGGAUCUAAGGAAAAAGCCAGGAGUCAAUUGCUAGUGUGCUACGUGGAAGCUAAAUCCGAGUGGCCAGGGAUCAUCAUGUGAGGCGUGCUAGUCAUAUAAGGAGUAUGUAUCCGUACAUAUUGUAAAAAAAUAGAGGAAAGGAAGCGAUCUGUCAGAUGAGUUGUAGUCACCUGUUUCUCUGGUCCGAGCCGGUCGCUGCCACUUAGAGCCACCACCCGGUGGAGUCUCUGCUACAAGCCGGGUCACGGGCCUCCUUCGCCUAGUUUCCGCCUUGAGAUGCCCUGCGCGGUCGCUCCCGAUGUUUCUUCUGCCGAGACUCAUCUCCGCUUUGCCAAGGCGCCCUUGCUGGUGAUGUCUUGUCUCGCCAGUGCAAAACAAAAGCAGCACUAUGCAUUAUCCAGCGUGAGCAUCCGUGUUCAUCCAGCAAAAAAUACCAGGUGUUAUUUUUCCAAUGUAUUUUAUCAGUACAUGUUAAUUCAUCCGACAACGGUUACUCUGGCCUGUAAUAUUUUUAUGUAGGACGGCUAUUAAAAGAAAAAGGGGUGGUAUUACGCCGCGGAGGCAUGUUUGGUUGUGCCGCGCAGCUUCACGGACACCCGUAUCGUGGUCCAGUUUACAUCAACGCGCCGGCCGACUCGCCCGUCUGCACCACCUUACAAUGCCACGGACGACUCACGCGUCCGCCCUCGCCGCCGGUUCAUGCGUCCGCGCCGGUUUACAACGCGGAGGACAACUUGCUCGUCCGCACCGGCUUACAACGCCGCGGCCGGCUCAUUUAUCUGCUCCCGCGGCCGACUCGUCUGUCUGCGCGGCUUACAAUGCUGCGGCCGACUCACGCGUCCGCUAUGUCCUUUAAAUGUCGCGUAUCGUUUAUGCAGGGCAAUGGUUCACUGCAAGAGCGAUGGCCGUGUCAUGUUGCUCGACGAACGCGCGUGCCAGCCGCCGCCUCUGCGGCCCAAUUUACAUCAACACGUCGGCUGACUUGCCGGUUCACGCGUCCGCACCAGUUUACAAUGCGGAGGACAAUUUGCUUGUCUGCACCGGUUUACAAAGCCUCAGCCGACUCAUUUGUCUAUAUCUGUGGCCGACUCGCUCGUGAUUGGUUUUAACCUCGCCGCGGUGAUCAUCAACUCCGCGGUGGAUAACUACUGGCCUGACGUAUCAGGGUAUGGAGCAAGCAAUGGCAACGUUCUGCACCGGGGUUUCGUCCGUGUCAUACUACCCGGAGAAUGAACGUGUGCAAGGUCACCAUCCUCUGUGGCCCGGUUUACAUUAACUCGCCCGUCCGCGCCGGCUUACAGCGCCGCGGCCGACUCGUCUGUUGCCCGGGCGAAUCAGGACAUUUGUUCACUACGUCAAAACAAACAUGGUUGACUCGCUCGCGCCGGUUUACAGCGCCGCAGCCGGCUCAUCUGUUUGAGCUGCCUCUGAUGUGGCGGUCGUCUUUUCCAUCCGUCUAUUGCGGCCUAGUCUACAUCGACACACCAGGACUGCAUCUGUCUGCAUGAGCGAAUUAUUGAAUAUGAGCAAGUCACUACUUGGGAAGCCCGGUUUUCUUCCAACAGCUUGGAGGAAAAUUGUCAUGUGUUAUCAGCCGCCGUCGGCACUAGACGGCUCAAUGGGCAGGCGCACAAGUCGCCGCCACUACAGUUUGGUUAACUUCAAAACAUCCAGUUGGAAGGAACCAUUGGUCGAGUUGCUGACACGGCUCAUACGGGAUCAUUUAUAACCCGCCGCAGUCACUUCAACCUUCUGUGGAUUCACAUCGCGCUAUCAGCACCAAGGAUAUACACCUUAUGCUAUGGUCAAUAUGGAGAAUCUCAAAGCCAACUCCUCGAGUCAUCUUGAGACUCGGAGGCUACAAUGAUAUGACUCGGCAGCAUUGGUCGGUUUCAAUGCAUUCAAGAAAUCUGGGUCAUUGGAGGGGAAAAUAACCCGGUCCCGGAGGCUACCGCCAUAUUGGUAAAAAGGUUUAAAGGCCGUCAGAAAAUUUCCGGCUUAAAAAGAAGGAUUCCGGUUUAGAUCCGGCUCAAGAGACUUGACAUCUCCCACAAAGCACUGAAGCUCUUAAAUAUCCGGUUUAAAAUCCGGUUCAAGGUAAAUUUGUUUAUCACAAAGCCUUGAAACUCUCAAUAUCCGGUUUUUCCGGUUCAAAAAGAAUUUAUCUCUCGCAAGGUUCGAGUUCUCAGGAAAAAUUAAAGGGACCAAAAGGAGUCUUUACAAAGCACAACUCAAGCAUAGGUACCUUGCUUUAAUGACCAUUGGGAGCUGAUCGUAUUCGAAUUUAGCUUAACCCUUUUGGUGUGACCCUGAUCGUAUUCGAAUCAGAGUCGUUAAAUAUUCUCAUGAUCACUAGGGGGCUUCCUGUUCAAACAUAGGUCGUAUUCGAACCAAAGAGAACAUAGCUGUCGAUACCCUUUUGAUCGGCACACUGCCGAGCUCAUUGGGUAGUUUCUUGGUCAUAUUUGAACCAUAGCUCAACCCCCUUUGGGAACCGACGUGGAUCGUAUUCGAAUCAGCGUCGUUAAACAACUCUCAAGGUCAUUUGGGGGCUUCCUGUUCAAACAUAGGUCGUAUUCGAACCAAAGAGAACAUAGCUGUCGGUACCCUCUUGAUCGGCAACGCCAAAGCCACUGGGGGCUAUAUGAUCGUAUUUGAAUCUUAGCUUAACCCCUUUGGGACGGUUUUCUGAUCGUAUUCGAAUCAGAAGCCUCAAAACUUUUGAAGUCUCUUUUUGCAAACAGUUUUUGGGUUUUAUUUGAAGCUCUUUUGAUCAUAUACAAAGUGUAUAUGAGUGGUUGCUAUUUAACCCGGUUUGACUUUGGAUGAUAAGUCGCCAUCAUAUGACAAUCAUAAACAUUUGGAAGUCUUGAUUUCUAAAGAUUGGGUUAUCACCCUUACUGCACAGGUCAUGUAAACCGGUAGUACAAAUUCAAUAUCACCGUGGUUAUAUGUGAGAUAUUAUGACCCGCCCUGCGGUAAACCGCCAAGGGAUCUUGUAUUCUACUUGUGUGCAGGAUAAGACUACAUUUGGGUGGUUACCGCCCUGGCUUUUAACGUUAAGUCGCCAGGGCAUAUGUUGUUUAAACUUUAUGCAGGAUUUACAGGGCUAUGACUUACAUAAAUGAUUAAGUUCAAGCCCAUCAUCAAAGAUUGAAAUUGGUGUCUCAAAAGGGUUAUCAAUUCUUGAUUUUCUCAAAGGCUAUAAGCCGUCGGGUUAUAAAAGUUCCGGCUUACAAUGGAGGCGUAUUAAAUUGCCAUCGGCCAAGAGCCGCCGAGUAUUUCAGCUCCGGACUUACUUAUCAACGGAUGAGGUAUUCAAAGUCGCUUUGGCGCACUGGCUAUUAUUUUAUCAAUGGAUAUGAUUUAUUAUACAAUGGAAGGAAUAGUCCCGAGUCGCUGCAGGCUUACGACCCGGCACUUGGGGGCUACAUUAUUUACAUUGAGAUCACAUCAAAUAUGCAAGUCCCAUGUUACUGCCAGCAUAUACCAUGGCACUUGGGGGCUAAUGCAAAGUCAUUUUUGCUCAACUUAUUGAAGACCCGACUCAUCACAUUCUAAAUGAGCCGGCCCUUAGGGGCUACCAAUUGCUCCUGUCGAAAAUUCAAGGUACACAAGCCUUAAUCCAUUAUAUUGAAAGAUCCACUAUUCAGUUGGUAGAGUACAAAGCUCUUAACCUUGUGGACGUGGGUCCAAGCCCCAUGGUGGAGAUUACAUCAUAUACUGUUAUUAUCAAUGAAUCAUAUACAAAGUCCCAGCUCAGUAAUAUCUUACUGACCCGGCCCUUGGGGGCUACACGUUGCUGGUCAAGUUUACAUGAUCAUAUUUACAAAACCCAUGCUCAUUAUUGCAUAAUGACCCAGCCUUUGGGGGCUACGCUGGUUAAAGUUUAUAUGAGCAUAAGGCAAUUACAAGUCCCAGGUUGCUGCAAGCAUGUCAACCCGGCACUUGGGGGCUACAUAAUAUGGAGUAUUCAGUUUUUACUAGUGACUGAGAUGAACAAUAUGGAUUUCUUCAAAGUGGCAGCAUUUAUAUUGAAGCAAGUCUUAAGCCAUCACUUUGUUCUACUCAAGACUUGGGGGCUACAGGUAUUAUAUUAUAAUCGAAGAAAUAUUUUCAAAUUCUUUGUUUUGAGUAAACCAGAUUGACCGGGUGUCACCAAUCAUUAUGACCCUGUGUCUACAACCCGGCGUCAUCAAUAAUCAUGAACCGGCGUUGGCAACAAUCAUGACCCGGAAUUAUCAGCUUUUAUAACCCGACAAUGGUGGUAAUCAUAAACCGGCAAGUUUUACAUCUUUAAGCCAGCUGGAUAUCAGUUGAGUAUUUCAGAGACUAAUAUUUUUGUCAAGUCAGAGCAUUGAAGGCCAAUUCAAACUGACUCUUUAUUUACAAGAACCAAUAUCAGCAAAUGGGUUAUGAAGCUGGCCUAUUGACUCGGAUUUUCCAGGAGAAAAUGUCAAGGACUUAAGGAUGAUCAGGUGCCGGCUUACAGGAAUAUUUAACCCGAAGCACAACCUGUCAAAUUUGUUCUUGUGUUUAUAUUGCAGAUUAGUUUAACAUGGAUGAAUCCAAAUUAAACUGGGGGCUAAUGUCGGGGAUAUACCCUGCGGUAUGACCCGGACGAAAGUAUGACCCGGCCGGACUUGGCGCUUCACCGUGACCCGCCAGAAGACUGGCGACUCAUGGGUCUGACGGCUCACUGUCAGACGACUCACGAGCCGGACGACUCCCGGAUGACCCCAACGGCGGGUCAGAUAGAAGACUAGGCCCAAGGCCCAGAUGGCCGGCUCAUGAGAUGGUGGGCCGGCUUAAGAAGAAAGGGAUGACGAAUAUUUCCUUUACAAGGAAGCAAGACCCGGACUUGUAAUUAACUUGUAAGAGAAGAUAGACUAGUCCUAGUCCUACUAGGACUCCACAUGUAACCCGCCCCUCUAACUUAUAUAAGGAGGGGCAGGGCUCCCCAAAGAGGGACAAGACAAGAAACAAUCUCUAGGGCAAAACACCGAGAGCCGGUUCCCGGCGACUCUCCCGUGAUCAUAAUGAGACCUAGCCUCAAACAGCAUGUAGGGUUAUUACCGGAUGAUGUUUCCCGGGGCCCGAAGCUGUCUAAAUCCUCGUCUUGUGUUGCGUCUCUCGAUUCCGCUCAACCCCUCUCAAGCUACCACAUAGAUGCGUUGUCCUCGCGACUAAGUCCUGACACUAAGGACAUCUGCCGUGUCAAUUCCACGACAGUAACUGUACCUGCUCCCUUAUUGGAAAGUAGAUCAUCGUGGAAAUCAGUUUCUGCGACACCUACACCAAUUAGUGAGGAAGUUAAUGAUAAUGAUCAUGAAACUUCAGAUCAAGUUAUAACUGAACCUCGUAGGUCAACUAGAUCAAGAUCCGCACCAGAGUGGUACGGUAAUCCUGUUCUAGAGGUCAUGUUACUAGACCAUGAUGAACCUACGAACUAUGAAGAAGCGAUGGUGAGCCCAGAUUCCGCAAAAUGGCUUGAAGCCAUGAAAUCCGAGAUGGGAUCCAUGUAUGAGAACAAAGUAUGGACUUUGGUUGACUUGCCCGAUGGUCGGCAAGCCAUUGAAAAUAAAUGGAUCUUCAAGAAGAAGACUGACGCUGAUGGUAAUGUUACUGUCUAUAAAGCUCGACUUGUUGCGAAAGGUUUUCGACAAGUUCAAGGGAUUGACUACGAUGAGACCUUCUCACCCGUAGCGAUGCUUAAGUAUGUCCGAAUCAUGUUUAGCAAUUGCCGCAUUUUAUGAAAUCUGGCAAAUGGAUAAACAAAACUGCAUUCCUUAAUGGAUUUAUUAAAGAAGAGUUGUAUAUGAUGCAACAGAAGGUUUUGUCAAUCCUAAAGGUGCUAAACAAAAUAUGCAAACUCCAGCGAUCCAUCUAUGGACUGGUGCAAGCAUCUCGGAGUUGGAAUAUACGCUUUGAUAAGUUGAUCAAAGGAUAUAGUUUUAUACAGACUUGCGAUGAAGCCUGUAUUUACAAGAAAGUGAGUGGGAGCACUACAACAUUUCUGAUAAGUAUAUGUGAAUGACAUAUUGUUGAUCAGAAAUAAUGUAAGAUUAUUCUGCAAAGCAUAAAGGAGUGUUUGAAAGGAGUUUUUCAAAGAAAGACCUCGGUGAAGCUGCUUACAUAUUGAGCAUCAAGAUCUAUAGAGAUAGAUCAAGACGCUUGAUAAAGUUUUUUCAAUGAGUACAUACCUUAACAAGAUUUUGAAGUAGUUCAAAAUAGAACAGUCAAAGAAAGAGUUCUUGCCUGUGUUACAAGGUGUGAAAUUGAGUAAGACUCAAAGCCCGACCACGGAAGAAGAUAGAAAGAGAGUGAAAGUCAUUCCCUAUGCCUUGGCCAUAGGUUCUACAAAGUAUGCCAUGCUGUGUACCAGAUCUAUUGUAUACCCUACACUGAUUUUGGCAAGGGAGUACAAUAGUGAUCUAGGAGUAGAUCACUGGACAGCGGUCAAAAUUAUCCUUAGUGGAAUAAGGAUAUGUUUCUCGAUUAUGGAAGUGACAAAAGGUUCGUCGUAAAGGGUUACGUCGAUGCAAGUUUUGACACUAAAUCUAGAUGACUCUAAGUCUUGGUCUAGAUACAUAUUGAAAGUGGGAGCAAUUAGCUAGAGUAGCUCCGUGCAGAGCAUUGUAGACAUAGAAAUUUGCAAAAAUACUUACGGAUCUGAAUGUGACAGACCCGUUGACUAAAAUUAUCUCACAAUCAAAACAUGAUCACACCUUAGUACUCUUUGGGUGUUAAUCACAUAGCGAUGUGAACUAGAUUGUUGACUCUAGUAAACCCUUUGAGAGUUGGUCACAUAGAGAUGUGAACUAUGGGUGUUAAUCACAUGGUGAUGUGAAUUAUUGAUGUUAAAUCACAUGGCGAUGUGAACUAGAUUAUUGACUCUAGUGCAAGUGGGAGACUGAAGGAAAUAUGCCCUAGAGGCAAUUAUAAAGUAUUAUAUAUUUCCUUAUAUCAUGAUAAAUGUUUAUUAUUCAUGCUAGAAUUGUAUUAACCGGAAACAUAAUACAUGUGUGUAUACAUAGACAAACAAGAGUGUCACUAGUAUGCCUCUACUUGACUAGCUCGUUAAUCAAAGAUGGUUAUGUUUCCUAGCCAUAGACAUGAGUUGUCAUUUGAUUAACGGGAUCACCUCAUUAGGAGAAUGACGUGAUUGACUUGACCCAUUCCGUUAGCUUAGCACCCGAUCGUUUAGUAUGUUGCUAUUGCUUUCUUCAUGACUUAUACAUGUUCCUAUGACUAUGAGAUUAUGCAACUCCCGUUUACCGGAGGAACACUUUGUGUGCUACCAAACGUCACAACGUAAAUGGGUGAUUAUAAAGGUGCUCUACAGGUGUCUCCAAAGGUACUUGUUGGGUUGGCGUAUUUCGAGAUUAGGAUUUGUCACUCCGAUUGUCGGAGAGGUAUCUCUGGGCCCACUCAGUAAUGCACAUCACUAUAAGCCUUGCAAGCAUUGUGACUAAUGAGUUAGUUGCGGGAUGAUGUAUUACGGAACGAGUAAAGAGACUUGCCGGUAACGAGAUUGAACUAGGUAUCGAGAUACCGGCGAUCGAAUCUCGGGCAAGUAACAUACCGAUGACAAAGGGAACAACGUAUGUUGUUAUGCGGUCUGACCGAUAAAGAUCUUCGUAGAAUAUGUGGGAACCAAUAUGAGCAUCCAGGUUCCGCUAUUGGUUAUUGACCGGAGAGGUGUCUCGGUCAUGUCUACAUAGUUCUCGAACCCGUAGGGUCCGCACGCUUAACGUUACGAUGACGGUUAUAUUAUGAGUUUAUGUGUUUUGAUGUACCGAAGGAGUUCGGAGUCCCGGAUGAGAUCGGGGACAUGACGAGGAGUCUCAAAAUGGUCAAGACAUAAAGAUUGAUAUAUUGGACGACUAUAUUCGGACACCGGAAGUGUUCCGGAGAAGUUUCGGAUUUAACCGGAGUGCCGGAGGGUUACCGAAACCCCCCGGGGAAGUAUUGGGCCUUAGUGGGCCUAGAGGGGAGAGAGAGGGCAGCAGCCAGGAGGUGGCGCGCCCCCUCCCAGGAGGAAUCCUAGUUGGACUAGGAGAGGGGGGCGCAGCCCCCUUUCCCUUUCCCUCUCCCUCUCUUUCCUUCCCCCCUCUUUUCCUAGUAGGACUAGGAAAGGGGAGUCCUGCUCCUACUAGGAGGAGGACUCCCCCCUCUCUUUGGCGCGCCUAGGGCAGCCGGCUUCCCCCUUGCUCCUUUAUAUACGGGGGCAGGGGGCACCUCUCUACACACUUGAUAUACGAUAUUUUAGCCGUGUGCGGUGCCCCCCUCCACCAUAUUACACCUCGAUAAUACCGUCGCGGAGCUUAGGCGAAGCCCUGCGUCGGUGGAACAUCAUCAUUGUCACCACGCCGUCGUGCUGACGAAACUCUCCCUCAACACUCAGCUGGAUCGGAGUUCGAGGGACGUCAUCGAGCUGAACGUGUGCUGAACUCGGAGGUGCCGUGCGUUCGGUACUUGAUCGGUCGGAUCGUGAAGACGUACGACUACAUCAACCGUGUUGUGUUAACGCUUCCGCUUUCGGUCUACGAGGGUACGUGGACAACACUCUCCCCUCUCGUUGCUAUGCAUCACCAUGAUCUCGCGUGUGCGCAGGAAUUUUUUUGAAAUUACUACGUUCCCCAACAGUAUACGUAUGUCGUUUCGCAGACGGAGGUUACACGUUCCUUCUCGGAACCACGAACCUUCUUGAGGGAAGCUCCGGUUUGCAAGAAACUUACACCAAAGCUUGUCCCAAUUCGGCCAAAAAAAUACCGAAGCAUGUUGGUGCCAUGUCAUGACACCAUGCCAAUUUUCAUGAUUUACAGGCAUGUUUUGGAUUUACAGGAAUUAAAAAACCAAGUUUCUCAAUAUUUCUGGGCGAGCCACGACGCCCAGAUGUUUGAAUUUCAUUCCCAUCUCUUGCAUGGGACCUAUAAAUUUACCAAGGACACAAAUGUGAUUUUUCAAACAACUUUGGUGCACUGGAGCAUGUGCUUGUAGUUCAAGUUUGAAUUAUGCACAUUAAAUGCCCAGAAACUCAAUUAAUGCAUAAAAAAUUGCCAAACAAAGCCGGAAUAAUUCCAAAAUUUAGCACGAUACUUCUAUUUGGUCUAAUCUGCUAGUGUAAAAAAAUUAAGGACAGAGAAGGCAGUGUACGUAUGUCGUUUCGCACACAGAGGUGACACAUUCCCUCUCGAAACCAAGCGCCUUCUUGAGGGAAGCUCCGGUUUGCAAGAAGCUUACACCAAAGCUUGUCCCAAUUCGGCCAAAAAAAUUACUCAAACAUGUUGGUGCCAUGUCAUGACACCAUGCCAAGUUUCAUGAUUUUCAGCCAUGUUUUGGAUUUACAGGAAUUAAAAACCCAAGUUUCUCAAUCAUUCCAGCCGAGCCACAACGCCCAGAUGUUUGAAUGUCAUUCCCAUUUCUUGCAUGGGACCUAUAAAUUCAUCCAAAGACACACAUGUGAUUUUUCAACAAACUUUGGUGCGUUGGAGCAUGUGCUUGUAGUUCAAAUUUGAAAUAUGCACAUUAAAUGGCAAGAAACUCAAUUAAUGCAUAAAAAUGCCAAACAAACCCAGAAUAAUUCCAAAUUUAAACACGACACUCAUGUACUAGUUGCAUGUUCACUGUACGUAAAUAUUCUAGCAAUUCAAACACCAUCCUUUCCCUCCGUAACACCAUUUUGUCUUUCAAAACAUACUGAAAAAAUCAGGUAUACCACAAACAGUUUACUAGAAAGAAUCGUGUGGGAUGCGAUAUAAAAUAUCUUGGCGCACCGUCUUGUCUGGCUUACGCAGGAAGCUUCGUCGUCUACAGUCCAUCGCCCCCGCUUGAACCGCACUUGCGCGCCAAUUUCUCGCGGCAUCGAGCGAAUUUUUCUUGCCACCGCGGAAAUAUCUAUCUCCCCGCCCGCUCCCUUCUACGAAAAGCCAAAUUUUCACCGUUCCUCCUUGCUUUCCAAGUUCAAACCUUCACUGCUGCUUAUUGGUAGCUCAGCCUCCUUGCCAACGACCCUUCUUCUUGCAGCGCCGCCUCCUCGCCGUCUACCCUUCUUCUUACAGCGCCGCCUCCUUGCCGGUGACCCUUCUUCUUGCAGCGCCGCCUCCUCGCCGGCGACCCUUCUUCUUGCUGCGCAGCCUCCUCGCCGCCAACCCUGCUUCUUGCUGCGCGGCCUCAUCGAUAUGGUUAGGUAAUCCACACCCCACCCACACCAUCCUCCUCCUUUCCCGUCCCACAUGCCCCGACCGACGGAGCGACACCUUCCACCGAAAUCACUACCCCCGCCUCCAAUUAAGCGCCGCCCAUAGCCAUUUUGCACGCAGUAUAACGUGGAGCUCGGUAGCAUGCGGCCGCACGCGCGAACGAGGUCACUAUGGCUGCCAUGCGUGUCGACCGCCAGAUCUUGGAGGAGCACCUCGUCUUCGAGGCCACCGUCAACACCGCCACGCGGUUGUCUACUUUAAAAUACAGUUCGUGAUGUUUUCUCGAGGCCACUGCCAGUGCCUUCUAGUAAUUUGUUCUCUGUAAUGUUAAUAUGCAAUCUGAUGUUCAGUGAACAGUUUGGUCCUCUAAAAUGUAAUGUUCAGUUAACACUUUGGUCCAACAAUUGCUACAUUUCGUAGUACUGUUCUCAAGAAUUCUUUGUUUUUUUAACAGUCUUAUUUUCUAGUACAUGUUUCUAUUCUGCAAUGUUGUGCUCAGUUAACUAUUUUGGUUCAUUUGGUCUGCUGUCCAUUUAACUGUUCGGUUCAGUUCUGCAAUUUGAUUUUCAUUUGCUGUGGGUACAAUUUUGUAUUGUUAUGCAUGUGAUAUCAAUCGAAUUUGGCUGUACUCAAUACAUAUUCUACUGAUAGUAUGGAAACUCUCAGUUAACCUGAUCAAGAUCUUCCUUAUGUGUGUUGCUGGGAAACAAUGGGAGACAUUGCGGUUUACCAUCGAGGUUUGUUCAAGCAGGGUCGUCCUUUGGCUAAUAGCACAUUAUUGUGCAGUUGCAGGAAUCAUUCUAAUAUUUAGGUUGCUUACAAUUUGGUCUUGCACAUGUAGGUCCUGCUGUCAGAGGCUUAGACCCACUGUUCGACCCAUUUUGCAUAUGGGAAAAUGAGAUGUCUAUGAAUAUCAGUCAAGUCAAGAAACUCAGAAAUGUUAGGAUGAAGAAACUUGCGACGAAUAACAGCAAGAUCUUUGUUUGCACAAUGAAGAAGACACCAGUCAACUAUAGGAUGGUACCAACUCUUUCAUCUUGUUUUUACCCCUUGCGCCAUUUCAAAAUUUACAACAGCGAUUUAUGCAUAGCUUUGUUUUCAGUACUUUUCAAUGUAGUUCAUCGAUGAUUACCUCUGAAACCACCUGCAUGGUCAAGAGGCGAGGAAGGUAUUCAUUCAACACCCACGGUACAAUAUUGAAGUCUUGCUGAAGAGGACGAAGGUUGGGCGGGCAAUUAUCCAUAGCCACUGGCCUAAAGUUGCAAGGACAUUCAACAUCACUAAAGGCUCAAUAUUUGCCUUCCGCUUCUGCAGUUUCCCAGAUGAGAUUCAUAUGUCUAUUUACCGUGUAUGAUGCUACUUUCCAAAGGUUUUUGAUGCUGCAUGUGAAACUUGGUGCUGUUGUGUAAUGGCGUAACUGAGUGCCGAAGCUAUCUGAUGUAAUUCGAUUAUGAAAUCCGGGUUGCUUUUAUAUGGAUAUGAAAUAUCUGGCGUGUUUUAUAAGAAAUAUCAGUUUGAUUAGUACAUGGAGUAUCAACAAUAGGCUAAUUACCCUGCUUAUUGGGGUUUUGUAUUGCAAACGGUUACUCAGACAACACCGUGGGCGAUGAACUCAAACAACCCGCACGGUUUCUAGAAAGUAGGCAUGUUCGAUCAACUAACAAUCACACACGGCUUCCGGCAGUGAACUGUUUGCAUUAGGACACCUUGCACAAACGUUUCCACACAAAGAACUGUGUGUGAUAUACAUACCUACGGAAAUGUUUUUCUAGGAUUCACCGUGUGGGAUGUACAUACCUACGGAAAUGAUUUUCUGGGAUUCACCGUGUGGGAUGUACAUGCCUACGGAAAUGAUUUUCUGGGAUUCACUGUGUGGGAUGUACAUACCUACGGAAAUGAUUUUCUGGGAUUCACCGUGUGGGACGUACAUACCUACGGAAAUGAUUGGGUUUCGAUGCCUCGCCCGAUCGCACACGGCCCCAGCCUGGGUCCCAGGAGGGCCUAUCCUCGACGAUUUCUGGGUCAUUUGGGAAGGACCUGUCGGUGUCAAAACCGGCGGAUCUCGGGUAGGGGUCCCGAACUGUGCGUCUAAGGCUAAUGGUAACAGGAGGCGGGGGACACGAUGUUUACCCAGGUUCGGGCCCUCUCGAUGGAGGUAAUACCCUACUUCCUGCUUGAUUGAUCUUGAUUAUAUGAGUAUUACAAGAGUUGAUCUACCACGAGAUCAUAGAGGCUAAACCCUAGAAGCUAGCCUAUGAUUAUGAUUGUGUAUAUAUCUAUCGACUAGCCUGGCCUCGGUUUAUAUAAUGCACCAGAGGCCUAGGAUAACAAGAGUCCUAGCCGAAUACGCCGGUGGGGAGGAGUCCUUGUCUUGAUCACCAAGUCUUGUGGAAUCUUCCUUGUAUGCGGCAGCUUUCCGAACUGGCCCAUGAGUAUACGGCCAUGGGGGCCCUCGGCCCAAUCCAACUGAUCGGGAGACGACGUGAUGAGUACCCCCUAGUCCAGGACACCGUCAGUAGCCCCCUGAACCGGUCUUCAAGUUGGGGACGCUCCUCGAUUCUUCCAAACUGUUCUUCAUCUUUGGUUGCCGGUCUUGAAAACUGGUUCAACAAAUCUUCUCAUCUUCGAUCUUGAGGAUCGCCGAAGUGCAUCCGACGAGUUUACACGUCGGGUAUCCGAGGAGCCCCUUUAAGUUUCCGGCCUUUAUUAAUGCCUUGUUAUUUUUAUGCCACACCUCGGGUUUGAAGUUGUUCCCGGGCGGCAGUGUCCUCUUGCGUCCAAGACCCAACACCGGACUAUAUUCGAGGUAUCUUUUGCAGCCGGGUACCAACGCCGGGCUGUAUCCGAGCUCCAACGUCGGACUAUAUCCAAGCUCCAACGCCGGACUAUAUCCAAGCUCCAACGCCGGACUGUAUCCGAGGUGUCAUAGAUCACCUUGGUUCUAAAAAGUUGAAGGUGUUUAGCCGAGCUCAAUGCCGGAAAUGCCCUCUAUGGAGCCAUCCACUGGCGCCCGAGCUUUAUGCCGGACUGCUUCCGAGGUGGUGCACCACCCGACAGCGGGCUGAUUUUUUGUGAAUAUUUUUGAUUGGUGCAAUUUAUUCUCUGCCGAGAUAUAUAGCCAGUAUAUGUAUAUCCAGUGGCCCUCAAGGUGUGUGUCGGUCUAAAAUCCGAGAUGCACCUGAAGGAAAAUAUGAAACCGCUGAUCCUAGUAGAUUCUGAGACUCAGGUCGUGAAAUCGGCCUGAGGAUCAACUCCUAGCUCGGCAGCAUACAUAGGAAUAAAAACACAGUGUAAUAUAUUAGAGAUAAUAGUGAUCGGCGAACGGGCCCCUGAGAGAGGGUCGUGAGAAGUCGCCGCAAUAUACUAGCUUGAUGCUGGAUAGGUCCAUAUGGUACCUAUUAUUGUUCGAAGACGCGUAUGCGCAUAGUUCGGUCAAGCCGAACACUGAGCACUUUGAAUUCUCUGCAUUGAAUAAGCAAUGCAGUAGCCCCCGAUACACUGGUCGGGUGGCAACACCACAUCAGGGGAUCGAUGUGCCCCUUUAAUAUUUAUAAAUAAUGAGCACGAAGCCUAGUAGCCCCCGAGACUUAAUGUGGGCACGGGUGGCCGAAUUAAGGAUCGAUAUCCAGAGUAAAAUCACAGAUUAUGUGUAAUGAUUCUAUGUGUCCAAGUACUUUACAUCAUUAUUUUCACUCCAUUGCGACCGUUUAUCAGUUGAAAGUGGCCCAUCGUCGGCUUCUACCCCUUGGUAGAUACUAUGCAAGGUGUUUCCGCACUUAACAAAACAACCCUUAGCCGACGCCUCGGUGCCCGGAGGCGGCUGUGUUAGCAGAAAUGAGGCAAUCAGAUAUGCGGGCUUUAUAACUUUCGCUUAGUCAUAGGAGCUUUAAACUGGGGAAGCUAGCUAUGAGCCCCCGGUUAGUGUUCGGCGACAUCCGAGGUCAAGCCGUAAACACUUCGGCCAAUGUUAUGAACGGCCCGUCAUUUAACAUAGUCAUCGGAUCACUGACCAGUUUACACUUAUUGUGACAGUCAAUUUUUGGCUUUCUCCACUGAGGUGCUUAACCAUGCGAGCUGGAAGCACAAUCGCAAUGGUUCUCCCUUUGCACACCUAGCCGAACAAAGCGGAACGUAGGAGGCAAGCACAGGAGCCGGGCAACCCAACUAUUGACCAAAGACACAAUUCGAAACCAAUGCAUAUAUAGUAGUGUCCGUGAAUGUUUUUGCCGAAUCUCUAAAGGUGUCCGGUGCUGCACUGCGAGACUUAUGCUGGAAACACACAAAUAGUUUAAAAGUGCCAUAAGCUUGGAAAACCAAAAAACGUCAGUAAAAACUUGACGUCCGAACAAGAUCAAGUGUUCGGUGCCAAUUGGUCUUGAAAAAAAGUGCUUAUGUCGUGCUUUAAUAUGACACAUCCUAUCUCAAGACUUUAAGCGGGUCAGCAUACGGCCUCAACCUCCUAUCCCUAAGGCGGGGUACUUCUCGUUAGGCCAAUUUUGCAAACUAAACUCUAGCGGCUUUGAGAGAGAAAUUAGGCUCCCCGGCUAUUGACCACACACUCGCGUCGAAAAAGGAGUGAUAGAAAAAGACUUUGCAACGACUAGGAAGAAAUCAUUUAUUAUAAAAUGGCUCAUAUAAAUUUAAGAUCCCCCAAGUGACUUGGGUAAAAGAAUUUUUAUGUAUAAUGAUCGUAUGUACCGAAGUACUUGUAUCAUAUCUGUGUUCACCCGAACUUUAAACACGUCUUAACCGACCGUCGGCUUCUCCCUCUUCGGUCAAGGACCGAAAAGUGUUAUGUACUCCACCUGUCGAGAAUAUCAACGGUGUUUCCGAUAACCAGGAAAUCAGGCCAUAAGGCUGUAACAGACAAAGCGCGCUCAGGGAACUUAUGCUAUAUUACUGACAAAGUGUAAGAAGCAUCUUCGAAGAAAAUAGUACCCCCACCAAUACCUUUCUUCGGUGCUCAUUGUUACUAUGAGACUUGUGCAAUAGAUUUUUUGUACUCAUGAGUUCCGUUGUGUGCCGACCAUAAUUGAAAACAAUAAGAGCGCUAGCUUUCGGCUUCACCCAGUCCGAGGUCCGGCUCGGAUGACCCGAUCGUGACAAUCGCAGAGGUGCUCCCUUUACUCCCUAGCCGAACAAUCGGGAACGUAGGGUUAAACACGGGAGCGAGGCAACCCAGCUUGCAAAUCGCUUAAGUCAACAUGGUGCAUAUUGUGGCGUAAUACACGAACAAGGAACGAAGCCGUACAAGUAUAAUCAUUUGCAAGAGGAGAGGCUUCACAAAGGAAGCCCCCAAGUAAACGGGGUAUGUGAGUUUGUGUGUCACAAACAAGGUUAUGACAAGGAAUUUUUUUCACAAACAACUUUUUGCCAAAAAGGUAUAAUGCUAGGUCGAACCGAACACAAGUUAAAAAUUUAAAACUUUGAGCAUGAAGGCAACUUAGCUGGUUAAUGUGUUCGGCAUUGAUGAUGCGGUCCAAGCUUGAUGCGGGACAAGGUUCCAUCCCCCAAGCCGGUCCCGAGGUGGCGGAGCGAAGAGCUCGGCAUUCCGAAGUGGUGACAUAGCACAGCCAAUGCAGGCCGACAGAGUGACGCCGAAGUCCCCGGCGUGGGGUAAUGAAGUGUUGACGAAGCCCCCCGUCCAGCCGAGGUGACGUGGUAUGUCAGUACACCGAGUUGUCGAUACUGCCCUACCCGGAUCAUUUUCCUGUGCACAAAAAAUAGUGGAAACCUUAGUGCCCCUGGUAUUGUUAUUUUGGGCCAUGCCUUGUUUCGUGAUAACUCUUUUAGCCUAGGCGCCACUGUUGCCAAACGGUUAAGUCUUAACCGCACAAAGGGUCCCAUCUUGGGAGGCAUCUUCGCCUCGCGCCUCGUUGCACACUUUAACAUACCUAUUAGGCAUUAUGAGAAAGAAGAAAAGUUGUUGCCACCUAUUUUUCUAGACUAUAAGAGUAUGGUAGCACAUGAUUUUAUUGUUAAGAAUAAGGAAAAGAUGCUUAAGUAUAGACUGAUAUUUGAUAAGAAUCACCCUGAGACUAUUACUUUGCCUGCUCCUUCUUUGUUUGACUUAUCUUCAGGCAAGUAUCUUGUUCUGCCGGAGGCAUUUCAUGCCUACCAGAACCCCACAGCAGCUACGGAGCUAGAGCCGGAGCCACAACCUGAUCCUCCACGUCAGUCUGUUUACUAGUGGUAUCCAGAGGAGAUCGCCAAUCAGUGGUACCCCGAGGCUCCUUCUCAGUACGACCCCAACUACAACUUUGAUCCAUGGGCAUAGACCAACUUAGGCCAAAAGCCUAAGAUUGGGGGAGUACGUAUUUCUCACCGACAUUACAUUCAUAUUCACACACUCAUGCUAGUUGUCGGUGCUCAUAAUUUUUCAUUGUAAUAUCCAUGCUAGUUUAUUUUCUUUUUCUCGCUUUCUUCUUGUGUGUUUGAUAAACCUUAAGAAAAACAAAAAAAAUAUAGUUGUAGCUUUUAGCUAGUUUACUUUCCAUGCUUGUAGUACUAAUAAUUAAAAGAAAACCAAAAAGAUUUCUUGUUCUUCUUUUACUUGUUGGGAGCUUUCCCGUGUAAAUAAUUUUAUUUCUUUUCUUUUCUUUGGGGGUCGAGAGGAGAAGACCAUAAUGAAAAUGUUGAACUGGCUCUUAUAUGCAUUAUUGUUGAUUUAACAAAGAGCCCAUAUUAUCUUGUCUUCUCCUGUGUGUCAGAUGCUUGCAGAUUCCAGCUUAGUCCAAUGCACGUGCACGAUUAUUAUUAUUCACAUCCUUCGGUCGUGCAAGUGAAAGGCAAUAAUGACGAUAUAUGAUGGACUGAUUGAGAUGAGAAAAGCUGGUAUGAACUCGACCUCUCUCGUUUUUGUAAAUAUGAUUAGUUCAUCGUUCCUGAUUCAACCUAUUAUGAAUAAACAUGUUUGCAAUGACAAUUAGAGAUUAUAGUUGCUUAUGCCAUGCUUAAUCCACUAGGAGUUUAUAAUGGUUUACCUUGCGUGCCAACAUCCUAUUAAAAUGGUUGUGAUGUGCUAUGAUAGGGUGGUAUCCUCCUUUGAAUGAUUCAAGUGACUUGACUUGGCACAUGUUCACGCAUGUAGUUGAAACAAAAUCAACAUAGCCUCCACAAUAUUUAUGUUCAUGGUGGAUUAUAUCCUACUCAUGCUUGCACUCCAUGUUAAUUAAUUUUAAUGCAUGUUCAUGACUGUUGUCGCUCUCUAGUUGGUCGCUUCCUAGUCUUUUUCUAGCCUUCACUUGUACUAAGCGGGAAUACUGCUUGUGCAUCCACUUCCAUAAACCCCAAAGUUAUUCCAUAUGAGUCCACCAUACCUUCCUAUAGGCGGUAUCUACCUGCCGUCCGAAGUAAAUUUGUAUGUGCCAAACUCUAAACCUUCAAAUGAAAUUCUGUUUUGCAUGCUCGAAUAGCUCAUGUAUCAACUAGGGUUGUCUAUAUCUUCCUUGCUAGGAGAUUUAUUCUCAAGAGGAGUGGACUCCGCUCCUCACUCACGAGAAAAUGGCUGGUCAUCGGGAUGCCCAGUCCCAUGCUCUAAGCAAAUCAAAUCGAAAUAAUUGCAAACAAAACUCCCCCAGGACUGUUGUUAGUUGGAGGCACUCGUUGUUUUGAGCCAGCCAUGGAUUGAUGCUUGUUGGUGGAGGGGGAGUAUAAAAUUUACCAUUCUGUUUGGGAACCGCCUAUAAUGUGUGUAGCAUGGAAGGUAUCGAGAUCUCUCGGUUGUUAUGUUGACAAUGAAAGUAUGCCGCUCAAAAUAUUAUUUAUCUCUGGCACCUCUACAAAUCCCAGCUUCCCUCUGCGAAGGGCCUAUCUAUUUACUUUUAUGUUGAGUCAUCACCCUCUUAUUAAAAAGCGUCAGCUGGAGAGCACCGCUGUCAUUUGCAUCCAUUACUAUUAAUUUAUAUUGGGUAUGAGUAUGACUGGAUCUCUUUUACCAUGAAUUACAAUGUUUAGUCAGUCCUUGAUCUUCAGAGGUGCUCUGCAUUUAUGUUUUGCGGUCUCAGAAAGGGCUAUCGAGAUACCAUCUUGUUAUAUCAUAUUAUGAUUGUUUUGAGAAUGUAUUGUCAUCCGAGAUUUAUUAUUAUUGCUCGCUAGUUGAUUAUGCCAUUGAUAUGAGUAAAUAUGAGACCUAAAUGUUAUUGUGAAUAUGGUUAGUUCAUAAUCUUUGCUGAAAACUUGAAUGCUGGCUUUACAUAUUUACAACAACAAGAGCAAACAGAGUUUGUAAAAGUUUUUCUUUAUCACUUUCAGUUUAUCAACUGAAUUGCUUGAGGAUAAGCAAAGGUUUAAGCUUGGGGGAGUUGAUACGUCUCCGUCGUAUCUACUUUUCCAAACACUUUUGCCCUUGUUUUGGACUCUAACUUGCAUGAUUUGAAUGGACUAACCCGGACUGACGCUGUUUUCAGCAGAAUUGCCAUGGUGUUAUUUUUGUGCAGAAAUAAAAGUUCUCGGAAUGACCUGAAACUUCACGGAGAAUAUUUUUGGAAUUAAUAAAAAAUACUGGCGAAAGAAUCAAGGCCAGGGGGCCCACACCCUGUCCACGAGGGUGGGGGCGCGCCCCCCUGCCUCGUGGCCCCCCUGGUGCUCCACCGACCUCAACUCCAACUCUAUAUAUUCGUGUUCGGGGAGAAAAAAAAAGAGUGAAGGAUUCAUCGCGUUUUACAAUACGGAGCCACCGCCAAGCCCUAAUCUCUCUCGGGAGGGCUGAUCUGGAGUCCGUUCGGGGCUCCGGAGAGGGGAAUCCGUCGCCAUCGUCAUCAUCAACCAUCCUCCAUCACCAAUUUCGUGAUGCUCACCGCCGUGCGUGAGUAAUUCCAUCGUAGGCUUCCUGGACGGUGAUGGGUUGGAUGAGAUUUACCAUGUAGUUGAGUUAGUUUUGUUAGGGUUUGAUCCCUAGUAUCCACUAUGUUCUGAGAUUGAUGUUGCUAUGACUUUGCUAUGCUUAAUGCUUGUCACUAGGGCCCGAGUGCCAUGAUUUCAGAUCUGAACCUAUUAUGUUUCCGUGAAUAUAUGUGAGUUCUUGAUCCUAUCUUGCAAGUCUAUAGUCACCUAUUAUGUGUUAUGAUCCGUUAACCCCGAAGUGACAAUAAUCGGGACCACUACCGGUGAUGACCGUAGUUUCAGGAGUUCAUGUAUUCACUAAGUGUUAAUGCUUUGGUCCGGUACUCUAUUAAAAGGAGGCCUUAAUAUCCCUUAGUUUCCAAUAGGACCCCGCUGCCACGGGAGGGUAGGACAAAAGAUGUCAUGCAAGUUCUUUUCCAUAAGCACGUAUGACUAUAUUCGGAAUACAUGCCUACAUUACAUUGAUGAAUUGGAGCUAGUUCCGUGUCACCCUAUGUUAUAACUAUUACAUGACGAAUCGCAUCCGGCAUAAUUCUCCAUCACCGAUCCAAUGCCUACGAGCUUUUCACAUAUUGUUCUUCGCUUAUUUACUUUUCCGUUGCUACUGUUACAAUCACUUCAAAACUAUCACUGUGAUAGCGCUUGUUGGGAGGCAACCCAACUUUAUUUUAUUUUCUUGCUUUUUGGUUCUGUUUAGUAAUAAAUCUUUGAUCUAGCCUCUGGUUAGAUGUGUUUUUAUGUUUUAAUUAGUGUUUGUGCCAAGUUAAACCUAUAGGAUCUUCUUGUAUGAUAGUUAUUUGAUCUUGCUGAAAUUUCCAAAAACUUUCUGUUCACGAAAACAAUUGUUAAAAAUCACCAGAACGUGGUAAAAUACUGAUUCCAAUUGCAGUAGAUCAAUAAACAAAUUAUCUAGGUCGUCCUAUUUUGGUAGAAUAUUUGGAGUUCCAGAAGUUUUCGUUAGUUACAGAUUACUACACCCGCAAAAAAAGUUACAGAUUACUACAGACUGUUCUGUUUUUGACAGAUUCUGUUUUUCGUGUGUUGUUUGCUUAUUUUGAUGAAUCUAUGGCUAGUAAAAGAGUUUAUAAACAAUAGAGAAGUUGGAAUACAGUAGGUUUAACACCAACAUAAAUAAAGAAUGAGUUCGUUACAGUACCUUGAAGUGGUGUUUUGUUUUCUUUCGCUAACGGGGCUCACGAGAUUUUCUAUUAAGUUUUGUGUUGUGAAGUUUUCAAGUCUUCGGUAAAGAUUUGAUGGAUUAUGGAACAAGGAUUGGCAAGAGCCUAAGCUUGGGUAUGCCCAAGGCACUCCAAGGUAAAAUUCAAGGACUACAAAAAGCCUAAGCUUGGGGAUGCCCCGGAAGGCAUCCCCUCUUUCGUCUUCGUCUAUCGGUAACUUUACUUGGGGCUAUAUUUUUAUUCACCACAUGAUAUGUGUUUUGCUUGGAGCAUCUUGUAUGAUUUGAGUCUUUGCUUUUUAGUUUACCACAAUCAUCCUUGCUGUACACACCUUUUGAGAGAGACACACAUGAUUCGGAAUUUGUUAGAAUACUCUAUGUGCUUCACUUAUAUCUUUGGAGCUAUAUAGUUUUUGCUCUAGUGCUUCACUUAUACCUUUUAGAGCACGGUGGUGGUUUUAUUUUAUAGAAAUUAUUGAUCUCUCAUGCUUCACUUAUAUUAUUUUGAGAGUCUUAAACAGCAUGGUAAUUUGCUUUAAGUGUGAAAUUAAUCCGAAUGUGAUAGGCAUCCAAGAUGAGCAUAAUAAAAACUUCCAUAUCGAGUUCAUUGAAUAUCAUGAGAAGUUUGAUACUUGAUAAGUGUUUUGAGAUAUAAAGGUGGUAAUAUUAGAGUGUGCUAGUUGAGUAAUUGUGAAAUUGAGAAAUACUUGUGUUAAGGUUGGCAAGUCCCGUAGCAUGCACGUAUGGUAAAAGUUGUGUGACAAUUUUGACACACAAGGUGUUCUUUUAUUGCUUUCCUUAUGAGUGGCGGUUGGGGACGAGCGAUGGUAUUUUCGUACCAAUCUAUCCCUCUAGGGGCAUGCGUAGUAGUACUUUGCUUCGAGGGCUAAUAAAGUUUUGCAAUAAGUAUAUGAGUUCUUUAUGACUAAUGUGAGUCCAUGGAUUAUACGCACUCUCAACCUUCCACAAUUUUCUAGACUCUACGGUACCAUGCAUUACCCUUUCUCGCCUUGAGAGUUGGUGGAAACUUCGCCGGUGCAUCCAAACCCCGUGAUAUGAUACGUUCUAUCACACAUAAACCUCCUUAUAUCUUCCUCAAAACAGCCACCAUACCUACCUAUCAUGGCAGUUCCGUAGCCAUUCCGAGAUAUAUUGCCAUGCAACUUUCCACUGUUCCGUUUAUUAUGACACGCUUCAUCAUUGUCAUAUUGCUUUGCAUGAUCAUGUAGUUGACAUCGUAUUUGUGGCAAAGCCACCUUUCAUAAUUUUUUAUACAUGUCACUCGUGAUUCAUUGCAUAUCCCGGUACACCGCCGAAGGCAUUCACAUAGAGUAAUAUUUUGUUCUAAGUGUUGAGUUGUAAUUCUUGAGUUGUAAGUAAUAAAAGUGUGAUGAUCAUCAUUAUUAGAGCAUUGUCCCAUGUGAGGAAAGGAUGAUGGAGACUAUGAUUCCCCCACAAGUUGGGAUGAGAUUCCGGACUACAAAAAAGAGGCCAAAGAAAAAAAAGAGAAGGCCCAAGAAAAAAAAGAGAAAAAUAAAUAAAUAUGAGAGACAAAGAGAGAAGGGACGAAACUCUCCCUCGAGCUCUACUGGAUCGUGAGUUCGCGGGAUGUCACCGAGCUGAACGUGUGCUGAACGCGGAGGUGCCGUACGUUCAGUACUAAGGAUCGGUCGAUCGUGAAGACAUACGACUACAUCAACCGCGUCGUCAUAACGCUUCCUCUUAACGGUCUACGAGGGUACGUGGAUGACACUCUCCCCUCUCGUUGCUAUGCAUCACCAUGAUCUUGCGUGUUCGUAGGAUUUUAUUUUGAAAUUACUACGUUUCCCAAUAGUGGUAUCAGAGCCAGGUUUAUGCGUAGAUGUUAUAUGCACGAGUAGAACACAAGUGGGUUGUGGGCGAUACACGUCAUACUGCUUACCAGCAUGUCAUACUUUGGUUCGGCGGUAUUGUUGGAUGAAGCGGCCCGGACCGACAUUACGCGUACGCUUACGCGAGACUGGUUCUGCCGACGUGCUUUGCACACAGGUGGUUGGCGGGUGUCAGUUUCUCCAACUUUAGUUGAACCGAGUGUGGCUACGCCCGGUCCUUGAGAAGGUUAAAACAUCACUAACUUGACGAACUAUCGUUGUGGUUUUGAUGCGUAGGUAAGAACGGUUCUUGCUCAGCCCGUAGCAGCCACGUAAAACAUGCAACAACAAAGUAGAGGACGUCUAACUUGUUUUUUCAGGGCAUGUUGUGAUGUGAUAUGGUCAAGACAUGAUGCUAUAUUUUAUUGUAUGAGAUGAUCAUGUUUUGUAACGAAGUUAUCGGCAACUGGCAGGAGCCAUAUGGUUGUCGCUUUAUUGUAUGCAAUGCAAUCGCCCUGUAAUUGCUUUACUUUAUCACUAAGCGGUAGCGAUAGUCAUAGAGCAAUAGUUGGCGAGACGACAACGAUGCUACGAUGGAGAUCAAGGUGUCGCGCCGGUGACGAUGGUGAUCAUGACGGUGCUUCGGAGAUGGAGAUCACAAGCACAAGAUGAUGAUGGCCAUAUCAUAUCACUUAUAUGGAUUGCAUGUGAUGUUUAUCCUUUAUGCAUCUUAUUCUUCUUUGAUUGACGGUAGCAUUAUAAGAUGAUCUCUCACUAAAUUUCAAGGUAUAAGUGUUCUCCCUGAGUAUGCACCGUUGCGAAAGUUUGUCGUGCCGAGACACCACGUGAUGAUCGGGUGUGAUAAGCUCUAUGUUCAAAUACAACGGGUGUAAGACAGUUUUGCACACGCAGAAUACUCGAGUUAAACUUGAUGAGCCUAGCAUAUGCAGAUAUGACCUCGGAACACUGAGACCGAAAGGUCGAGCAUGAAUCAUAUAGUAGAUAUGAUCAACAUAGUGAUGUUCACCAUUGAAAACUACUCCAUCUCAAGUGAUGAUUGGACAUGGUUUAGUUGAGAUGGAUCACGUGAUCACUUAGACGAUUCGAGGGAUGUCUAUCUCAGUGGGAGUUCUUAAGUAAUAUGAUUAAAUUGAACUUUAAUUUAUCAUGAACUUAGUACCUGAUAGUAUUUUGCUUGUCUAUGUUGUUGUAGAUAGAUGCCCAGUGCUGUUGUUCCAUUGAAUUUUAAUGCGUUCCUUGAGAAAGCAAAGUUGAAAGAUGAUGGUAACAAUUACACGGACUGGGUCCGUAACUUGAGGAUUAUCCUCAUUGUUCCACAAAAGAAUUACGUCCUGGAAGCACCGCUGGGUGCCAGGCCUGCUGCAGAUGCAACUGACUAUGUUAGGAACGUCUGUCAGAGCAAAGCUGAUGACUACUCGAUAGUUCAGUGUGCCAUGCUUUACGGCUUAGAACCGGGACUUCAACGACGUUUUGAACGUCAUGGAGCAUAUGAGAUGUUCCAGGAGUUGAAGUUAAUAUUUCAAGCAAAUGCCCGGAUUGAGAGAUAUGAAGUCUCCAAUAAGUUCUACAGCUGCAAGAUGGAGGAGAAUAGUUCUGUCAGUGAACAUAUACUCAAAAUGUCUGGGUAUAACAAUCACUUGAUACAACUAGGAGUUAAUCUUCCGGAUGAUAGUGUCAUUGACAGAAUUCUUCAAUCACUGCCACCAAGCUACAAGAGCUUUGUGAUGAACUAUAAUAUGCAAGGGAUGGAUAAGACAAUUCCCAAGCUCUUCGCAAUGCUAAAAGCUGCGGAGGUAGAAAUCAAGAAGGAGCAUCAAGUGUUGAUGGUCAACAAGACCACCAGUUUCAACAAAAAGGGUAAAGGGAAGAAGAAGGGCAACUUCAAGAAGAACAGCAAACAAUUUGCUGCUCAGGAGAAGAAACCCAAGUUUGGACCUAAGCCUGAGACUGAGUGCUUCUACUGCAAGCAGACUGGUCACUGGAAGCGGAACUGCCCCAAGUAUUUGGCGGAUAAGAAGGAUGGCAAGGUGAACAAAGGUAUAUGUGAUAUACAUGUUAUUGAUGUGUACCUUACUAAUGCUCGCAGUAGCACCUGGGUAUUUGAUACUGGUUCUGUUGCUAAUACUUCCUCCGUCCCGAAAAACAUGUCGCACCCGUAGUUCAUUGGUAAUUUUACAAAAAGGCCAUCAUAGGUUCAAAACAGCCGCAAAGAAGUCCCU